rnacentral:lncRNA from 1 species
GUGUGUUGAGAAUGUUCGCUACUGGCUAUGAAUGUUUUCAUGAAGCACCAGAAGACAGCGUUUUAUUUGGUGGGGGUGAAGUUUUAGUACAGGAAUUGCUCGGUUUGAAAUAUUUAGAGGUAUUGGAGUUGACCUUGGGAAGUUAUCAGGCUCUCCAAAUCUUUUUGAGCUCAAAUAAGUUAAAAAGUUGUAUUCGAUCUCUUUUCCUCCAGUUGGCCGGAGAUACAAAGUCGAUUAUUGAUGCUGCGGCUUUCGCAGAUCUAAACCACCUCAAUGAAUUAUAUAUUUAUGAAGGUAUUGAGUUGGAAGAAUUGAAGAUUGAUUAUACAGAGAUAGUACGAAAAAGGCGGGAACCUUUUGUUUUCCGCAGCCUUCACCGUGUUACCAUAUUUAGUUGCGGUAAAUUGAAAGAUGUGACAUUCCUCGUUUUUGCUCCAAACCUCAAGUCUCUUGAGCUAUUGCAAUGCGAUGCUAUGGAAGAAAUAAUCAGCGUCGGAGAAAUUGCUGAGACUCCUGAGAUGAUGGGACACAUAAGCCCUUUUGAAAAUCUCCAAAGUCUUCAUUUAUCGUAUUUACCAAUUUUGAGGAGCAUCUACUGGAAGCCAUUGCCUUUCACUCAUCUCAAAAAAAUGGAGGUACGUAGAUGCGAUCAGCUUAGAAGGCUUCCGCUCGAUUCCAACAGUGCAACAGAGCGUAAUGUUGUUAUUCGUGGAUACACACUCUGGUGGAACCGACUUCAAUGGGAGGAUGAAGCCACUCAAAUUGCUUUUCGUUCCUGUUUCCAACCUCGUUCCUGAGCAGUGGUCGCAAAAUUUGAUUUCUGGUGAGUGCGUUUGUCUUUUAAAAAGAAGAAUUUAAAAGAAAUUUAUUCUUGUCGUUUUCUUCACUGUUUUUAUUUGAUUUCUGGUUAGUUUCUUUCUCUCUCUCUCUCUCUUUGUCUUCUGCAAAUCACAAUUAAAUGUUGAAUUAAUGGAAUUGAUGCUCUGGUUUUUUACUUUUUGUUGUCAAAUUUUGCCCUGUUCUAUCUUCUUAGCGAUUUAAUUUCCUGUCAAAAGACGAGCGAGAAGAACAUAUAUAUGACUUAAACCAAUUGAUACUUUAUUUAUGUGCAUUGUAUGUAAUAAAUAUUAAGUAUACUUUAUUUUUGCCCUGUUCUCUGUUUUUAUUUCAGUCUCUCUCUCUCUUUCCUGUCUUCUGCAAAAUAUAAUCAAUUAUUUUCAAAAUAUCAUUGAUGAUUUUUCUGCUCUAAUGCUAUGUAAAUAGUAUGUUAAGUAAAACAUAAUCAAUUAUUUGUGUUUUAUCUCUAAUUAGAACAUCAAUCAGUUCAGUACCUCACAAAUAAUUCGCAAUAUCUACAAAAUACUAUAAUGGCUACAAAACAAAUCCUGCUUGCAAAUUGUCAAGGAUACCUAUCCGUUCGCUUGACAAGUCAUUUGAAUAAAUAUUGUUCACAUUCCUUACUCUAUCAAUUAUCCAAAGCACCAUCAAUGGUCCUCAACUUUAGUUUGAAUAGUAUACAUGCCAUCACCAUUACCAAGAAUCAAGCAUGGAAGAGUCAUUCUAUAGAGUUAAUCGAAGCAAGGAAUGAUGUAUCAGAAAAUAUUUGGUGGAGAAUUCAGCACAAACAUAUUUUGGAUGAUCAGAAUCAAUAAAACCUGGUGGUUGCGCCAUAUAAACAUCUUCGGAAAGCUGACCUUGAAGAAAGGCGUUAUUGAUAUCCAAUUGACGAAGAGGCCAGCCAUGACUAACAUCAAUACUAAGAACAAGCCGUACUGUGGUGGACUUAACAACUGGACUGAAAGUGUCAUAAUAGUCCACACCAGGCCAUUGAUUGAACCCUUUGGCAACAAGAUGAGCUUUAAACCUGUCAACAGAACCGUUGGAAUGUCUUUUAAUACAAAAAUCCAUUUGCAGCCAACAAUAUUGGAAGGGAUGGGAGGUGGAACAAGCUUCCAUGUCCCGUUACGAACAAGAGCAUCAUACUCUUCUGACAUAGCUGGACGCCAGUGAAGAUUUUUGAUAGCUUGCGUCACAGUUGUAGGUUCACAAUCAGAAGAAGGGCUAAAAUGAGCACGGAGGUUAAGUUUUUGUAACGGCUUGUGAAUCUUAUUUUUAGCUCGGGUAGUCAUAUCAUGAUGACUUGUGGGGCAAUGAUCUAGUGGAGUUUAGGAAGAUGAUUGAACAGGAAGUGAAGAAGUGCUUUGUGUAGAGGUAGAAGUAGGUUGGGAGGAUUGCUGCGGAGAUGUUACCGGUAGAGAAGAAGGAGCAGUACACGGUGGCAACUCCAGAGGGCCCACAAUAGAUGGAGUAGGUGCCGACAAUGGAGUACUAGGAAAUGAAACAGGAAGAAUUGGUGGAACACUUGCGUAAUUAGGAGUGGUAGAUGAGCUUGUAAUGAUUUGUAUGGAAAAACAAACUCUACAAAUUUAACGUGACGUGAAAUAAAAAUUCAACCCGAUUGCAUAUUUAAGAACAUCUCAAAUGAAUUGCUUACUGCUAUCAUCAUCAUUAUUGUCUAUAUAAUAAUGGAUCUUUAUUAUAUAUAUGUUUCCACUAAAAUAUAUUUAAUUAUUCUUUAUUUUUCUAUUGUUGCGUGUAAGAUUUAUUUGAGUUCUAAGUUAUAUCAAUACAAAUGUUAUCUUAUCCAUAAAAAGUUAGAUCCAACAAUUAUGAAAAUUACUAUAGAGUUGCUUUCAAUUAUUUUUUUAAAAUACCAGGAGUAAAUAAUAAUUAGUUCAAAUGGUGGAGACUAAAAUGCGUUCACCUUUAUUUUUUAUCUGUUAUUUACUUUUGUCAUUACAUUAAUGCACAUGCUAUACAUUUGAGACAUUCCAUUAAUUGCCAAUUAUGUAUGUGAGAUAGUAAUUUAAAUUAAAAAAUAAAAGUGAAAGUUAAUCCUAUGCAAUGUGAAUAAAUUUCUUUCCUUUUUCCUUUACUCUUUUUAUUUGACAAUAAAGUUUCCAUCUAUCAUCUAUCAUCUAUGUACACAAAAUUUCUGCAACAAGUACAAAACAUAAAAAUAUAUGAAUAUUAAGGGAAACACGCAGAAGUUCAUCAUUUCAAUGUUCAGUAUUACCAAUUUUGGCAUUAAGCUUGUACGAAUAUAUUCUACUUCGAAAGCAAAAUAUUAGACUCGUGAUUUUAAUUCAUUCAUUAUCUCUCAUUUUAAUCCCAAAAUAUUCAAGAGUAUCCAAGUUACCAUAAGACUUCAGAGGCUCGAGCCUUAGCCAGAGAUGGUUAAUUGAUAGACUAUGUGCCUGGGUCGAGCACUGGAAGCCUGCAAUGCAGACUGAUUGAUUUAUCAGUUUAACGUGUGCCAGGAAUGAAGAACUGGAAUAUCACCGUCAAGCAAGCACCCUGUGGAGCAAUACCAAAGAAUGCACAAUCUGGCUUUGCUAGGUGACCCUGGAGGCUUUUUGAAAAGUGCUUCAUGCUCACUUGCACAGAUUGAGCAUCCCCUCUGGAUAUUGCCCUCUCUGAUCGAGUCUGAGCACUCAAAUUUCGGUCCUCAGAUGGAGCUACAGCUUUCUCUCCAAUAACCAACAAUUUUCUAAACUCAGCACCUAGUGUGAUCAGAGUUGUUGAUAUUUGCAAAUGGAGAUCCCCAUAUUUGCAAAUGGAGACAUUUAACAAAUCACCAACAUGCUUCAUCCGGUCCACGAAAUUCUGCAACUGAUUCAAAUCUGGAACCUGAACCAGAGUCGGAGGUAUAUCUUGAGCCAUAUCUAAAGCAGUUUGAAGUUCAAGACCUUGAGCCCUUGACAAUGGUUUUGAAAUUGGAACAUCUUGGAUUACUGCAGACUUGUACCCCUUGGUUUCAAAGGUAAGGAAAGGCAUUGCUUGAGUACAAUUUGGAGGCAGCUUCUUCACCAAUUUUAUUUGGAGGCAAUUGGCAGCGGAUCCAGCUGCACCAAUUUCAGAGCAACUACUGACACUACUUCGAACAGCACACUGACGAAGUGAUAUGUCUACGGCAAAGGCAAUGCAGUCCUCAUUUUGGCUUGAGAUGCAGUAAUCAUCGAAGAGAGUUUCCUUGUGAAACUGGGCAACACAUUGAAUCCCUUCGCCACUGAGAAGGUUGUGGAGGAAGUAAGCUGUCUCUCUAGUGAGGAAGAGGUGGCAUACCUUCCCCAUUUUGUCUAGGGCAGGUAGGAAUCUUUUUUCUAAGAGAUUUACUUCAUUCUCUGUGAGAAAUGCUUUGAACUUCAUCCCUCUGUCUCUAUCCUCACUUAUCAGGAAAUAAGUUGAAAGCACUAUGAAGAGAGAGAGAGAGAGAGAGAGAAUUAAGAUAUAUAGACAAGAAAAUAAUUAGACGUUGAUCUUACAAACUAAUACUUCAAGCAGUAUCCUAGAAAGCUAAAAACUGCAAGAUGGCUUGAAAUUUGAAAAGAGCACAUGGUUUUCCUCCUUAACUUGAGAAAAUGUUUAAUAUAGUGCACCUUACAGAAGCAUUUAAGCAAUUAGAACUUUGCACAAAAACAUCAAGAAGACUAAACAAAUCAGAUGCAGUGUAUUUGUCCAAGCACAAAUUGCAUUUUGUCCUCAACUUUAAUAUUUAUUGAUGAGAAUCAAUACAGGUCCCUCAUUUGUUAUAGAAAGCUUUCUUGUAGUCUCACCAGUUAAUUCACAGGUCUAUAAUCAUCUUGCAAAGUUAAGGGCAUUUCUUUCGAUCUAAAGUCUUUGCAUCACCACCUCAUCACACGCCAAGCCAAUAUUCCAUUUACCUCUACAACAAAAAGUUUUUAAGUAAAUAAUCCUAAUGCACGCAGCCGAAUAAAAUGCAGUAAGAAUAUUCAACUUAAAAAUCUGAAAGCCAACUUGGUGAAUUGCCUCCUUAGGUGAAGUUCCAUGCUUUACUAUAGUUGACAGAACUCAGCAAAAGCUUCCAUACAACAGAUUUUGAAAAUGAUGAUGCCAAUAGAUACUCAUUCAAUCCAUUGAAACUCCAAAGGUUCAUUGUUCAUAGAAGUUUACAGAGUUUUGGUCAUCAAAUAGCUCAGACCUAAUCCCAAACAAAAAACGAGUGAAAAUUAGAUCACGAGCAGCUAAUUGUAAAUUCUAACUUAACUCUUCAUCUCCUUUGUAAACAAGAAACAAAAUGGAGACACGCAAAAUGAAUAUGGAGAAAAUUUGAACUCAAAUGAAAUGAGGGCACGAAAGCAAACAAAUGGCAUGCACAAAAAAACCAAGCCUCGAUAAAAAACUAAUUAACCAUUAAGAAAAAAAUUGGUCAGAGAAUGAACUCCAAAUUCAGGAGUCAAGCAAGAAGCUUUCAUUAUUUCAGAAGCUCCUGUACAAAUUAAUAAGUUAUGCUCUUUGGAAGCAAACCUAAAUUCCAAGAGAAACAGAACCCAAAAAAUUUGCAAUUAUACGCAAAGGAAGUGAAGCACAGGAUUCUAUCACACAUAGGAAUUGUAUAACAAGAGAUCGAUAUAUCGAAUUAGAAAACUCAAUUCGAAUUUGUGUCAAAAAUCAAAAUUAGAAGAUUUCACAUUUCGAGAGGAACAAGCAACAGAUGAAGUUCAAAAUUUCAGCCAUAACAUGCUAAAAAUGCUACACUUAACGGUUCAUUUUCAUGGAUUUUCUCGGGAAACAAACAGAAAAUUACGGUUUAGAGAGUUGACUGACCUUUUGGCUUUUGAAAUUGACCAGAUCGCGCGCCAAAUUGGAAGAGGGAAAGUGAAAGCGCGAGUUUUAAUAUGGGUAUUAGAUAAGGAAAUUUUAUUAGGUUGCGAGGGUAAAAAAGGAAAGAGAUAUCAUUAUUUUAUUAUCGAUAAUUAUUAAAUUUUUUUCCAAAAAAAAGAACAAGCAAGGAUUUUUUAUUGUCAUCACUAAGUUAAAAAAAAUUGUUUCAAAAUUACUUGAGUCAUAUCCAAUGGACCAACAAAGUAAUCGUUUUUAUUUUUAUUGAUUUUUGCAGGAAAUUAAUAACUUAAAAAUACUGAAAGCUACUGUAAAAAUUUUUAUUAUCAACCUCAUAAUUUUUUUUUUUUGGGGAAGAGAAUUCAAACUUUUUUUUUAUGAAUAUCGCUGUUUCGUUUGAGUUGGAUGUGAAUUCAAAUCCAAAUAUUCUUUGUUUUUCAAUUUUGAACUCAAUUUCUUUUUCUCAAGAAUGUUAUGCAGAAAUAAUUUUUACUAAAUCUUUUUUGAUGAAUUGUUUAAAUUAAACAAUUGGAAUAAGAAUUGUAACGAUUUAUCAUAAGCGUGCUAAUAUGAUAACUUGUUUUACGAAGGAUUAAUUAAUCAAUUAAUAUUAAAUUAUAUAUUAGUCAAUUAGAUAUGUGUUACAUUUAUCAUGUUUUGUAGGUGAUAGUACAUCAUUUCUAAAAGAAUAUAGUACGUUAAAAUAUUAUUUUAAUGAAGAAAAUUUUAUUAUUUUAUUAUUAGGUGACACAAUAAUAAAUGGAUUUCUGUAAGAAUUGAGAUUCUUGAUAUAAUUAUUACAUAAGGAGAAGUUUAGUUGGUUCAAUUUUGACGUGAUAAGAAGACAACACAGCACAGAAAACCCAAAUUGCCACUUCCACUAAUAAAAGAUACCUGUUUGAAAAGUAAUUAUAAACUAUCUUCUUUGUGUUAUUUCUCAAAACUUUUGUGGCACAAAUGUUAUUUCCAUUGACAACAGUACGAAAUACCACCCCUUUCACUUGAGCAGGAGCAAAGCAAAGGUAUGAUGAGCUAUCUCUGUAUAAUUGAAACGCCAUUACUAAACGAUUCUUGAUGAUGGGAGCCACCGUGCCAGCUUUGUCGCUGAUUUGCAUGAUUUAUUAGUUGUCCAGAUGGCGGAUUUUGUACUGUUACCUUCGUUUCAUUCUUCAGAGCCAUGUACUGUUCUAGGAUACCAGAGAAACCAAGGUGGCAUUGAAGUUGCCCUGGUGGUUAGUUUUCCGAUCAUUUUUUUAUUCAAUUAUUUAUGUUUUUAGAAAAAUGUAGGAAAUAUGUAGAAAUGUUGACAGCUAUGAUUUUGAAACUUUUGCCUAAAAUUGUUAUCAUUACUUGUUGUUUCUUAUUUAAAGAGAAAUUCUAGAAACAUGAAAUGAUUAUUCUACGCUUGUUUUAAUAUUGUGCUAUGAAGAUUACGAAGGUUUGAUUAUAUGUCACUAUCAAUUGCCUUAAUCGUUUGUCGUAAAUCAAUUAAGCAUUUUGAUGCGAAUGAUUCCCUAUUAAAAAAUUCAAGUCAGAGCUGAAUUGCAAAGUAGUUAGUCGUGCUUGCAAUUCAAAUUAAGUAUUGUAUUUUCUCCCUGAUUUGGUUGAUUCAACUAUGUGCAUUUGCUUAUGAACGUUGCAGUAUAGAAAUCGAAAUAUCUUGUCUUUUGCUAAGCCCAGAAGCAAAUUCUUUGUAUUCUACUCAUCAGUUUUCUUCAUUCUCUUUGUUGAAAUUUUAUCUAAACAGCGGUUUCUUCGAAUUUAUGCCUUCGCUUACUCUUUUAAAUUUUAUCCAAACAACGGUUUUGAAAUUGUUUUCACUACAAUACCUUAGUCUUUCAGAUGCUCCCGUCACUGAGUUGCCAGAAGAGCUAAAAGCCUUGGUAAAUCUUAAGUGUUUGAACCGGAGUACACAAAUUAUCUCUCUACAUUUCCAAAGCAAUUGAUUUGUUACUUUUCGAUGCUACAUGUUCCGCGAAUAUUCAGUUGUGGUUAUCUUGUUCAGAUACCAGAAAAUAGCGUUAUAUUUAGUGGUAAUGAAUUCUUGGUUUGGGAGUUGCUUAGUUUAAAACGUUUAAAUGUAUUAAGCAUCAUCUUGAAAAGUUUUUCUGCUGUCCAAAAACUUAUGAGCUUCCAAAAGUUUCAAAGCUGUACACAAUGCAUGGAGCUUGUAGACUGUGAUGAUCCAAAGUCAUUUGCCGUGGCAGAGUUGAAGCAUCUUGAAAAACUAGGUUUUUCAAGUUGUGGAAAUUUGGAAGAGUUAAAGUUCUGCUGUGUCGAAGUUGCAAAGGCUCGAGAAUGUUUUCGUUUGAACAGCCCUCACUGAGUUAAGAUGAAGGCUUGUCAUAAAUUGUGGGAAGCGACAGGUUAUUCAAAUAGAAAAAUUUAUGGAGAUGGAUGUUAAUCUUAAGGUUAUUCAAUUAGAAAAAUUUGAAUAAAAUUUAUGGUAAGUGCUUUUCCAUUUAUUGCAUAUUUAUAUCUAAUUUUUAUUUUCCUUUAUUGUUAAAUUUUGGUCUCUAUUUGUUGUUGUAUGGUGGCAUUCUUGUACAAUUAUUAGCUUUUCAUUUCUCUUCUCACAUUAACUGCCCUUCUGAUCAUGUAGGAUUUGCUGAUGCAAAGAGUCAUAAUUUGGGAUACAAAUGUAAGAAUUAGACAGAUGACAUGUUGUUUUGAAGCUCUCAAAGAAGGACUAAUUAUGUCAUUGAAAGCCUCCAAUUUUGUGAUUGGUUUCUUUUUAUUUUAUUUGUUGUUUUCUCUAUUUUCAGAUCACUUAAUUGUUAGUUGUUGUAAUGUAAUGUUUUAGUAUAGCAAAUUAUAUUCGGCCAAGACAGUGAUAGGAGGGCACAUUGUGCAUGCACACUAGUGGAUUUGGCAUGCCAAAUCCAAUUAGGAUGGAUAACACUUUAUAAGCAUUAGGCUUCUCUCAUACCUGAGUAAUAUAGAAUAUGUUUAUAAGUUGUGAAUCACCCUUUACAAGUGUUAGGCUUCUGCUAUACUCAGUGAUGUGAAAUAUAUUUAUAAGCACUAAACUUCUCCCAUACACUUUAUGUUAAUAAUAAUAAUAAUAAUAAUAAUAAUAAUAAUAAAAUAAUAAUAAAUAAACCCAUUUUAACAGACUCUUUUUUCUUUUUCUAUAUGAACAAAUGCAUUCUUCAAAGCAACUGUGGGGAGAAGAAGUGAGUAGAGAAGAACUGAGCCCCUGUCAUUCCCCUAAAACCUCACCAAAACCUCUCUUGUAAGCUUCUCGGAUUUUCUUUCUAUAUUUCUUAGGAACUCAUUUUUUAUUGAAUCACUUAUUUUGCAUGCUGCAUUUUUUGGUUGUCGUAUUUGUGUAUUAUCUUAUCUGGAAUGCUGUUAUGAUUGAUGGAACAAGUAAUCGAUUUUUGGUCUAAUGGAAGUUGAUUUAUUUAUUUAUUGUUGUUUUUAUUUGAAAUUAUGUACAAUUGUAUUUCAUUCAUUUCUCUCUCUUUUGCUUUUUUCCCCCCAUAUAUUUGUUAUGUAUAAUUGCGUUUCAUUUAAUAUUGAUCAUACUGUAGGUAACCAUGUGAUUGUAGAUGGGGAUUUCGAGUUUGUUGAAUAUUCAUGUAAGUGAAGUAACCGUCACAAUACUAGUGAAAUUGGGAGCUUUAUUCAUGAGUUUGUGGUUUUGAAAAGUACCACAGUUCAACUGGUGAAGGCUCCGUUUUGGGAUUCUUCUUUUUCUAGGCUGCAAUUAGGAUAUGUACAUGAUAGACAAUCUUUUGUUGGUUUAGCAUAUCUUCGCUGAUUUUGUCUUUUAUUCCCCAAUUUUAUAAUUACACACCAUGAAUGUUGGGUGAUUGUAUAGAAAAUUUGUGUUAUAACAAAAACAUUGUGAAGGAGUUUCCGUGCUAAUAGUUAGUGGCUUCUGUUUUAUUGGCAUUGAUUGGGUAGAUUACGUGUUACAGUGAUUCAAUUUGUGUUCCAAACUUUGCUUUAAUUUUCUGUUUUCCCCAACUAUUUAUGUCAAAUUUAAAUCCAGAAGCAUGUGCUGAUUUUUUCUUUUUGUAUUAAUCUGUGAAGUUUAUUUGGAAUGGAAGUAACUGGGUCGGGUCUAAUGGAUUAAAUUAUGACAUUGAGGGGAAGGCACUAAAAGGGUUUGCUUGACACAUUUGGUUCUGUGUUUACUCUGCAAGAAAUAACUUUUGCUUAUUGCAAUGCAGGGGGAAAUCCCGAUUUGGCUGGUGAAUUUCUCUGCAACAAACAGGCAAACACCUCAACAUCUUCUGUCCAUACUUCUGCUGGGGAGGCAAGGGGUAAAGAGUCUUCAAAAUCAUCAAAUAGUUACAUCUCUGAGAAUUCAUUUUAUGGAAAUGGAAAAUCUAGAGUUUCUAAUACAAAAUGGCAUCUGGUAUCAGGACGUACCGUUUCAAGUUUUCUUGGUAAAGAUUAUGUUAAACCUGCACAGCCAGCUAAUGGCACUUUUCUGGCAUCAAAGCCAUUGAAGUUGGAUCCAAGGGAGUUUCGCAUUUCUGCACUUUCAGAGAAGAAACUAAACCGACAAUCAAAGGAUGACCAUUUGCAGAAGGAUAUGGAAGAUUUUCUUUUUAAAUUGCUAGGAGAAGGGUUCCAGCUGUACAGGGAUGUGAUUCAGGAGGUUCAUGGUAACGUCUUAAAUAUAUUGAUGCCAAUUUAAUACAUAUUGUCCUUUUCAAUGUUCUUUCUUUCUUUCUCCUCUUUUUAUUAUUCUUCUUCUUCUUUUUUCUUUUCAUGUGCAUGUGAUCACUAAUUUGGUAUUAUUCUUGACUUGCAGAUAGUUGUGGAUAUGAAAUGCAAAAGGUAAGGGCUAUAUCUUCUUGAUGGAGGCCUCUGAUUUUUUAAAUCGCAUUUUCCUUUGUGAUUGAUAUAUCAUACCAAAGUCAAGUCUUAAAUACUGCUGUCAUAUGUUAAGGUUCAACUUCCAUUUUGAUUAACGUCGAUUUGCUACUGCUUCCAAAAGUGAGAAUGAGAUACUUUGGUUAAUUUCAGUAGUUGAACUCAAUGGAGUACUUUAUUUAGAUCUUCAUGGUUCAAAGGCCUGAAAAAACUUGCCGGUAUUUGCAAAAUGACAUCUGUGCUUUUAUUUAGACUUAUUAUUAAAGACAACAUUUUAUUUCAGCCAAAAAUGUUUGUUUCAAUUAAAGACUUGAACCAUUUUCAUUUAACCUGAUUGUGAUGCUUUACAUUAUGCAUGUUCCUCUCAAUCAAUAAAAGUUGAGGUCAUGAUUUUAUAUUUCUAUUUUGUAACUUGAAAUAAUUGGUCUGCCUGUUUCUGUUGCUUGAUAACAUGAAUUUUUCCUUCUGAAGUUAAUUUGAUCAAUAAAGUAAUUCUUCGGAGAGGAUAUGCCCAUUCUAUAGUCAUUUUCUUAGCUAACAUGUUUUUUCUUCACUCUUCAAAGCAUGUCUAAACUAAUUGAUCGCUCAGCGGAGACUUUGGGUGAGAAGACAAAAUUUCUUGGUAAAUCCUCUGAAAAGGUAUGCAUAAUUCCCGAGUAUUAAAUAAUCAUUGGUCAUAAUUUUUGUACACGACUCUUGUUUUGGAGAUCGUUAAAAGUGGUUGAUGAUCUAUUUUGUAAUAUCAUAGAGGGAUCAUGAAUUCCUUUUCUUUUCUGUGGCUAGGCAACACUUUCGAGCCAAGCUAAGGAAAUCUAUUUUAGGUAAUGUGAAAACUAGUUGUAGGAUGUAAUAGUUUAUUAUGCCCUGACAAUAACUUUUUGUAUAAUUGUCAGUUUAAUGAAUACAAGAGGAACUCUGUUGGCAAGUUCAUCCAUGAUAGAUGCUAAAAUUAUUUAUGCAUACCAGUUGCCUUAACUAAUUUUUCUCAACACUGGUAUUGAACAGGAAAAUGAAUAUGCAAUUUGUAUAUUGUGCCAUUGUGGAGAAUUUGGAUAUUCUUAUUUAAGUAACAAGGAGAGUAUUUGCCUCAUCUUUAAACAAUGAAUCUUUGAGAAAUGAGGAGUGGGUGAUUGACAGUGUCUUCAUGUAAAUGUUCAUUUAUUUGUAUUUUGAACUAUUAUGAGAAUCUUUGUAUGCCAAAUUAGUAAUACAAAUGUUCAGAUGAUUUUUCCUGUUGAUCAUGCGUGUGUAUCUGCACACAACCAUUGUGUACCACUUUAUUCUGAUGCACAAAUAUCUGUAGUUUAGAAGAAAAGAAAUAAUAAUCAUAUAUUAUUGCUUGGUUCAUGAUUAUUAAAUGAUUAUGGCUUUAGAAAAUCCACAAAUCCUUUGUGUUCAUAUAUGAAUGUGCGAAGUUCGCUAUAUCUUAGAUUACCUUCUUCCAAGAUAACAAGUUCAUAUAUUUUUUUUAAUCCUUUUUCAUCACAGUUGAAUUUCAAGUGUAAGUUUUGUUAUUAAUAGCUGGUUUCCUGUUAUUAUGAUUUCAUAAACAAUGAGAGGAUAUGUGCUCUACUUUUGGAUGGCCUCCACAUAAAAGAAAAUUGCAACAAUUGAAUUCUUCUGGAGGGUAUGGUAUUUAAUUUAUUUUCUCAGCUUGUUGUAAGACUAAUAUAUUUCCUUCAGUACGCACGGCAUGGUGGGAAGGGUUUUUAUUGAAAGAAUUAUGAUAUUUCUUAGACUUUGUUUUGGAAGGGGGUGGAGGGAUUUCUCAUCCAUGUAUGGUUACUUGAUUAGCUUUUGACUGUACUGUCUCCGUCGUGCAAAGGAAAAUCCAAAUACUAACGAAGGGGAAUUGCUUAGGCACCCAAAGGACAGAAAUGAAUUACGGAAGGAGGUUUUUGCUGCUUUAUUUAGUGCUGCUGAGAAAUCUGAUGAAUUUCCUGAAAUUACGGUGAAGACGGAGUGGAGGUCCAACGCAUUAGGAAAGGUGGUGAGUGAACCGCCAGAGGAAUUAGUACCAGAAUACAAGGCUAAUGUGGUGCACUGGCAGCAAGAUGACCAGACCUGUAUGUGCUCUUAUAUUAACUAUAUUGGCUGGAUUUGUGAGUGUGUUCAUUUUUGUGUGUAUACUCACUUUUGUAUUUAUGCAUAUUCACGUGUGUAGGAUUCUCGAUUUCUGCCACUUACUGGAGAACUAGUGGAAAGCUUUAUACUGAUAUAUGUGCUAUAUAACUAAUGGAAACUACAAUAUGAAUAUUUUCUCUCACCUGGAGAGCAGUGUAACUAAUAUAAUUUGUGGCUCUGGAAUACUGAAGAUUCUGCAAUAACUAAUGGAAAAUAUGAUAUGAAUAUUUUUUCUCACCUGGAGAACUUUGUAACAGAUACAUUUUGUGCUGGAAUGUCUAAAGAAUGCUUCAGUUUAUAUCAAAUAUCUUUUAGUUAGAAAAGAUAAAAUUCUCUGAAUCUGAAAGACUGAAACAUUUUGCAUAUUUCGUGAAAGGCAAGUAUCUGUAGAUACUAGCUCAUGCAUUGAGGUAAUAUCAAUGUUAAAGAAAAACAGCAAUAAUUUAUUAUACAGAAUUAGGUUCACUUGCUUUAAAUGCUGGUCUGAUCAACCAUAUCAACCUGUAAUGGUCCUGCAGAAAUAUAUAUACGGGGAGAAACUAGCUAAUUUUCCUUUCACUUAUGGGUUUGGUCUUUUUUUCCCCAAUUUUUCAGCUUUCCUUCUCCUGAAGUAUGUUAAUAAUUGCAGAUAAUGGCGAAGAGGACUGCUUCCAGGCUACCGGCAAAAACUUUGUGAAAGCUUUGGAGUUAAACAGGGAAUUCACUUACUGCUAAGGACAAUUGGUGGCGAGCUAUUUCAUUCAUUUUAUGUCCAUACAUCUAUUUAAUUAUUAAAGAUAAUGUACGCAUUUGUAAAUUUCAGAUUGUGUGUCUCUGAAAAUAACAAUAUUUAAAAUGUCUCUUAAAUUAUUAUAAAUUUUAAUUUACUCUCGAUUUAAAAUGGAACAUGUUGGUGAAAUAUUUUUUCUUCUUAAUAAAAUUGAAAUAAAUUAUGUUAGCAGUAGUUUGAAAUAUUUUAAAGAUGAUUAUUUUAUAAGGGAGUAAUAUGAAAUGAAAUUUACUUUUCAUGCGUGAAAUGUUGAAAAAGGACAAAGCAAGUGUCCCUGCUUUUAUUUUAUUUCAAAGUGGAGUCAUCUCACAUACUUUAGCUCUAUCAUUAGGAGCCGGCUAAGUUACGUUAAACGUAAUUUACGCCAGGCACAGCAAUAAUGACAAGUCCCAUGACUAGUAUUGUUGCUGUGUCUGACGUAAGUUACGUUUAACGUAACUUAGCCAAAGCCCUAUCAUUAAUAUAUAUUUAAAUUUAACACAUGCAUGUGGGUUACUUUUCCGUAAGUUCCUUAAUAUAUAUUUAACACAAAUCAUGGAAGAGAUGGGAGUAUAUCAAGAUGAUCAAAGCAUGAAACAAAAAUAUUUAAGAAGUAAAACACUGAAAAUGGAGAAGAGAUGCAAGCAAAAGAUAUUCUAAAGAAAAGCAAUCUAUCCCCUUUCGAGGGCAAACUUAUCAGGUUUAAGAAAAGUACAUGCUUUGGAUUGGUAGUUGCAGCCUUGCAGGAUAAUUGUUUUUGCCACUAUAUUAGUUGGAGGAGUUGAACCCAGUGAAGAAUGUUAUGGAAGAGCAAAUGAUAUUUCUGAUAGACUCUAUUUGAUUAUGUAGCCUGAAUAGAUGUCUUGUUGAAAGAUAUAUCAGUGCAUUAGUUCAUCCUUGUCUGUCAAUGUGUUUUUAAUGGUUUUUCCAAUUGUUUUUUUUUUUUUUGAAACUGAUUAAGCAUCAGGUUACUGCAUUACACAGAUAUAUAUACAACUGCUAUGACAGCAGGUCAUUACACUGAUAUUUACAAUCAGAUAUAUAUACAUGGGACUUAUAUUAUUACAUUUUUAUUCUAUGAAGUACAUGCCCAUCCCAAAUACCCCUCACGGAGGAGGGAUGUCUCUACUCCACUCGCAUUUCGCAAGGGAGAAAGACGUUUAUAGAAAUCUCCACACAAUUAUGUUUAAUUGGAGGAGGUUGAGUCCGUGGGGACUCGAACCAUUGCCCUCAAAGUCAUGCUUAACUUUGAGGGCAAUGGUCCACCACUGGGCUACAAGCCCAAGUGGCGGUUUUUCCAAUUGUUUAUUGCUAUAGAUUGAUUGUAAAUUGAUGUGAACUUAAUGUUGAAAUAUUUUCUCUUUAGUGGAAUGAAAGUUAAACAUUCAAGAUUAGAUUAUUCAAGGUCCACAUAGUAUGUGUUCCGUUGUGUUGUCUGUAAUUUUGCAUUUAAAUAAAUUUGAGUGCUGCCGUUUCGCUCCCACAAUCUCUCGCCUUUUUUUAAUUUUAAAAAUUAAAAUAUUAAUAAAAAACAAUAAAGAAAAUCGAAUCCUUUAUGUCAUUCCAUCUUUACAACUCUCUCUCACAAACUCCAUCUAACAGACUUCUCUCUUACUAUCUCGGUCGAACAAGACCAGUGACAAUGAUGACACGACCGCCGACGAUGAGAUGGUCAUCGCUAAAGAAUCGGGCCGUGUAUUUUACAAUUUCUUGGUUUGUGACAACAAUGGAAAACUCCUGAAAAUUUUGAAUUUGUAGUCGAGCAAAGGAAGAAGCAAGUUAUCUUCAAAGCAUUUUCCAGUAAUAGCUGAUGAAAUUUAAUACUUCAAGCUGGCCCUUUGCUGUCACAACUAGAUGCAUUUGCACUGUCAUUACAAUUUAUGGAAAUUAAAGUAAUUAAUGGUUCUAAUUAAUAGCUUCCCAAAAAACCAAUCUGCCCUUGUGAGAACCAAAGCAUUAAUUUCUUGUAAGAGCUGCAGAAGGCCAGAGAAUUUCAGAUCGUGAAAAGGAGUGUGUGAGUGAGAGAGAGAUCGUGAAAUAGUGAGAGACAAUGAGAGAGAGAGCCGCUCGACUGAGAUGGUGAGAGAGUUGCAAAAAUGGAGUAAGGAGCAGAUAAGAUUAUGUUUUCUUUAUUAUUUUUUAUUAAUAUUUUAAUUUUUUUAAUUAAAAAAGGGCGAGAGAUUUUGGGAGUGAAACGGCAGCAUGUUCCAAUAAAUUUUUACCAAAGUUUCUCUCGUGUUUCUCUCACCUUUCUAGAUACCAAGCAUUUUCCAAUAAAUUUUUACUAAAAACUUAGCAAGCCCUUGAAACUUUGGUCAAAAUUAUUGUUAUUAUUACUUUUAGAGGAAAAACUUUUAUUAAAACCUCAUUAACACAAUUCUUAAUUAAAAUUAUAAGUUUGUGUUGGUGUAAGGAUUUGCAGGAGCAAUUACUGCCUAGCCAAGUGUCAAAAGCACAAAAUAAAUCAAGAGAAAGUAGACAUGAAUUAGGAUCCAAUGAAAUUUAAAUCCCGGAGAAAAGAAAUAAUCAUGCAGAUUAUCAAGAUUUCAAUAAGGGAUAUUGAUAUCCUAUUUUGAUUAAUAAUAUCCUUUUACUGUGUUAACUCAAAAAAUAUGUAUAUUCUAAUAUUUUACAAUAAAUAGAAAUCUAAUAUUAAAAUAAAUGUGAUAUAUAUAUAUAUAUAUUAAAUAAUUUAAAUAUAAAAAAUAUUUUAAUGUUUUACAAUCUACUACACAUAUUUUAUUAAGUUAAUAUAAUUUUUCAAAUAAAUAGGGACAUAAUAUUAAAAUAAAUUUAUAAAAAUUUAAAUUAUUUUGAAUUUAAAAUAAUUUUAAUAUUAUUAAUAUGUUAGAUAUGUUUGAUUAAUUAUAAAAAUUAUUUACGCAAAUUUUUUUAAUAUUUUCAGUAGAUAUAAAUAUAUUACUUACAUUUUGAUUAUUUAACUAUUAUUAUUCUACAAUUAUUUAUAUAAUGUUUGCACUUAUUAGAAUAUAUUUAAAGUCAAAUCUUUUGCACUUCUACCUAGCUAGAAUUAUUGGACGCAGAGAAAUAAGCAUAUAUGCUUUAUAACUUUAGAAAUCGAAUUAUCUAUACAAAUUGAUUUUAGCUGGAAAAAAAGUGAGCUGAAUGAUAUAGGCGAUUAGUGUGGUAAUAUUUCAUAGAGUUAGACUAUUGAAUUUGGCACCCCUCCAAUCUUCUCAUGAUUACCUUUUUGAGUUAUUAAUACACUUCUAAUUUUUCGUUUAAUUUUUUUUAUUGUUAUACUCAAAGUAGUAUUGUGAUAUUUUAUAUUUCUUUUGCAAUCUUAUUAUUAUUUUACACAAAAUUAAAAAGUUUUCUAGGUGAUGAACUUUUGAGUUUUGAACAUUAAUCAUUGGCUUAAAUUUCAUAUAUUUUACAUUAUAAUUUGAAAUUAAGUACGAAAAUAUUUAAUAAAUUAUGAAAAGAUUAACAGAUUAUUCUAAAUUGAUACAACUUAUUUUAGUUAAAUAAAAAGUAACAGGUAAAAAAAAAAAGGAUUGGUUAUGAAAUUUGUUGGAAAAAAAUCUGUGUGUGUUUAAUUUUUAUUUGUCCUUAAUUGUAAUUUAUUUGAAGUGAGGUUUUAUAAGGAUAAUGAAGGGGUGCCAUAGUUUCACUCUAUUUCAUAUGGAGAGAGAAGUAAAAGGUACACCUGAGGUUAAUGGAAAGGACUUCGAAAGUUUCUUUUGAUUAUAAUACUGUUUGUUCUAAUUAACUUAAAAAAUUUUACUUUAAUAUUUUAUAAUAAAUUAAAUUUUAAUCUUAAAAUAAGUAUAAUCAUAUAUUUUAAAAUAAUCUUAAAAUAAAUACAAUCAUAUAUUUUAAAAUAAUCUUAAAAUAAAUACAAUCAUAUAUUUUAAAAUAAUCUUAAAAUAAAUACAAUCAUAUAUUUUAAAAUAAUCUUUAUAUUUAAAAUUUAUUUAUUUGUACAUAUUUUAUAAUAAAUAUAACACAUACUAUUAAAAUAAUAUAUAAAAAAUUAAAGUAUUUUGAAUAUUAUAUAAAAUAACUUUAAGAUUCUUAAUAUGUAAGAUAUAUUUUAUUAAUUUAAAAUUCUAUUUAAAAUUUUAUUAAUUUAAAAUUCUAUUUAACCCAAAGAUUUAUUUAAGAUAAAUUAAUAAUCAUAUUUUUUAAAUCAUUUCAAAUAUUAAAAAAUAUUUUGAUAUUACUAGUCUAUUAAAUAGAUUAAAUAUUUUUAUUAUUUUGUACUAAUCAAAAGUUACAGCUCGAAUGAUAUUAUGAGAACAGAAUUUUUAUGUCUUUAUUAAAAAUUUGGGUUUGUAUAAUUAUUUUUUCAAAUGUUAGGGGCAUAGCUGUCUUUUUACUUUUAUAUAUGUGAACCGCGGUGGUGAAAAAGUGUGAUUUAAUAUUAGUUAUUUAAAUAAUAUCUGAAUUAAAGAUGUACAGAGAAGAAAUUUCGGUGGGCAUUUUAGUCUUUUAACGAUUAUCAUGAUUAGGGAUUAGGUCCUGCUCUUGAAACGUUGGUCAGAAAAGUUCUAAAAUGCGUACAUUAUCUUUACUUUAAAAAAGUUAUUUUAUUUUAUUACAAAUUAAUGCCGACAAGAAAAAGCAAGAUCUUAAANNNNNNNNNNNNNNNNNNNNNNNNNNNNNNNNNNNNNNNNNNNNNNNNNNNNNNNNNNNNNNNNNNNNNNNNNNNNNNNNNNNNNNNNNNNNNNNNNNNNAUAAAGAUGAAGAAAAGGGCAAAAAAAUAUUAAUGAUUAACGAAAUCUCUAUCCAAAUUGAUUUUAGCAGGAAAAAAGUGAGCUAAAUGAUGUAGACGAUUAGUGGUAAUAUUUCAUAGAGUUAGACUAUUGGCACCCUUCCAAUCUUCUCACGAAUCCUCUUUUUGAGUUAUAUUUAUUUUAUUUUUAAAAUAUCUUUUUUCUCUUUUACUACACUUCUAAUUUUUCAUUUAAUUUUUUUAUUGUUAAACUCAAAGUAGUAUUGUGAUAUUUUUAAUUUCUUUUGCAAUCUUAUUAUUACUCUGCAUAUAAAUUAAAAAGUUUUUUAGGUGAUGAAUUUUUGAAUGUUAAUCAUUAGCUUAAAUUUCACAUAUUUUACAUUACAAUUUGAAAUUUAAUAUGAAAAUAUUUAAUCAAUAAGAAUUAUGAAAAGAUUAAUAAAUUAUUCUAAAUUUAUACAACUUAUUUUAGUUAGAUCAGAAGUAGCAGGUUAACAAAAGAAAGGAUUGGUUAUGAAAUUUGUUGGAAAAAAAUCUAUGUGUGUUUAAUUUUUAUUCGUUGUUAACUCUAAUUAAGUAGGUUAAAUAUUUUUGUUAUUUUUUACUUAUCAAAAAAUUUAAGAUCAAUAUUUUUAGUUACCAUUCGAAGGAUAUUAUGACAAAAACAGAAUUUUCACUUCUUUGUUAAAAAUUUGGGGGUUUGUGUAACUAUUUUUUCAAAUGUUAGGGGCAUAUCUGUCUUUUUACUCUAUAUAUAUGAACCAUGGUGGUGAAAAAGCGUGAUUUAAUGUUAUUUAUUUAAAUAAUAUCUCAAUUAAAAAUGUAAGGAGAAGAAAUUUCGGUGGGCAUUUUAGUCUUUUAACGAUUAUCAUGGUUAGGCCCUGGUCUUGAAACGUUGGUCAGAAAAGUUCUAAAAUGCGUUCAUUUGUCUUUACGCCAACAAUAAAAAGCAAGAUCUUAGUGUCCCACAAAAGCAAAUCGUAAUAUUCCGCAAUGGAGUUAGAUCCGCAAAAGCAAACAAAUUCUUUUAUUAAACUACAAAUUAAAGUGGAAUCAUUUACUAAACAACAAAUUAAAUUUGAAAUAUUUAAAUAGUCGUGCGUUAGACGAUUAGAGACUCUUAUUAAAGGCAAGUACAAAGUAGUGAAGAAUCGAAUAUUUCUAUUGUCUAGUCUUUUUUUAAAAAAAAUUUUCUUUUAUUAUUUUUCAGAAUAUGUUUUGGUGAUUACUAUUGGGUUAUUAUUCAGAGUUAUUGUUAUCUUCCGGGGCAGUUUCUGUUCAUCGAAUUCGUUAAUAAAAUUUUAAAACUCUUAUUGAAAGAAUGUUUUUCCGUUAUCUUUUUUAUAAUCUAAUUUUAAGUGUAAGAAGUAGUCAUUUUAGAAUUUGGGUCUUGAAUCGAAUUUCAAUGCAUGAAUUAAUAUUUAAAAAAAAUUUACUACAUGCAGUUUAGGUUACAAACUAUUUUUUGCAAAGUUGACUAUGAAAUUGGAGAAAUUAAGUAAUUUAUAAUGUUUGCAAAGAAAGAGACCAACAUACUUCCAAUUACACUAUAUCUCAAUUAUCAUAAUGUUAAGAUUAAACUAACUUAAAAUAAAAUUUAUUUAAAAAGUUUAUCAAACGCAGUCUAAUUUUAUUAACUUGAAGAGAUAAUAGUUAUAGAAAUUAUUAUUCUAACUUAAUUAGUAAAAGUGGUAUAAAGGUUAAGUGUGCACUAAAUCUAUUUAAAUUUUUUUCCAGUAUAACUAACAGAGGUCAUUACUAGAAUUAUAUUACUAGUCUAUUAGAUAGAAAAAAUUAUUUAUAUUGUUUUAUAUUUAUUAAAAAAAUUUAAAGUCAAUCUUUUUAAUUACUAUUUAAAGGAUAUUAUAAUUAAAAAAAUUUUAAUGUCUUCAUUAAAAAUUUAAAAUUUUAUAUGACCGUUAUCUAAAUAUUUAAAGUGUAACUGUCAUUUUCUCAUAUAUAUAUAUAAUUUCAUCAACCCCUUAUACUUUAUGUUAUUUAUAUUUUAUUCAUGAAUAUUAUAAAUUUUUUGAAAUAUAAAAUUUCGUUUAACCCUUUAUACUCAAUUUUAUUUUAUUAAAACCCUAGAGUAUGAAUUCGUCCCUAUAAUAUUAAAUUCUCAAAAUAACUUCCAUUUAAUUAAAAAAUAUAAUUAUUAUUAAAUGAAUUAUAAUUAUUAUUAUUAUGUUAUUAUAAUCAUAAAAAGCGAGAUCAUAUUCCACAAAAGCAUAAGUGACAAAACAACCAACUGGAUUCUUUUAUUAAUCAACAAAUUGUAUAGUCUUUUUCAAAUUGUUAUAAAUUGGUGGCCCCUACAAUCCUCAAUAAUUGUACCGAAAUUCACAAGUUGGUGGGCCCUACAAUUCUGUUCCGAUAAUUUAACUGUGCAAGUGCUCAUUCACAAUCUUCCAGGUCAUGCUCUUAACAAUUGUUUUUUCUUUUCUGCACGCCCUUUCAUGCUCUUAAUAAUUGAAGAGCAUACUUUUCAAAUGUGAAGCCGCAUCUAAUGUCGCUAAUUUAAUUUGGGAUUAAAUUACGGGACUAUUAUAUUGCAGUGUGCACUAAUUUUUAUGUUUAUCUAAACUCUUCAAAUUUAAAACAUAUUAUGGCAUAAAUAAGAAUGUAACAAUAACAAAAGAGUAAGAAAGUGUAGAGAAAAUCUUGCAGAAAUAUAAAUAAUAUUUAUUUUUAAAAUAAUAUUAAUAUUUAAAAUAAUUUUUAAUAUUUUAUGGUCCAUUAGAUAUAUUUUAUUAUAUUAAAAUAAAUUUUAUAAUAAAUAAAAACAUACUAUUAAAAUGAAUAUAUAUAGAAAAUUUAGAGUAUUUUAAGUAUUAUAUAAAAUAAUUUUAAUAAAAUAUGUGAGAUAUUCAUAUUUUAUUAAUUUAAGAUACCAUUUAACCUAAAGAUUUAUUUAUGAUAAAUUAAUAAUUAUAUUUUUGAAAUUACUUCAAAUAUUAAAAAAAUUAAUAUUACUAAUAUAUUAGAUAGAUUAAAUUAUAUAUAUUAUUUUUACUUAUUAAAAAAAUUUUAAAAUUAUUUUUAAUUACUAUUCAAAAAACGUAUUCAAAAAACAUAAUGAUAAAAAAAUCUUAACAUCUUUAUUAAAAAAUUAAAAACUUAUAUGAUAAAUUCUCUAAAUAUUUACGGUAUAUGUGAACCACGGUGGAUAAGCUUUAUUUAAUAUUAUUGAUUUAAAUAAUAUGUCAAUUAAAAAUGUACAGAGAAGAAAUUUCGGUGGGUAUUUUAGUCUUUUAAGCAAUUAUCAUGAUCAGAUCAGCCUUUAGCCUUCAAACGUCGGUCAGAAAAGUUUUAAAAUUAAUGCUAAAUUGUUUUUCACUUUUAACGUUGGUGGCCUUGAAAUUGCUUGUAUUUUAUUAAAAAUUAAUGCUAACAAGAAAAAGCUAGGUCAUAUUCCACAAAAUCAAAAGUGACAAAACAACCAGCUGGUUUCUUUUACUAAACUACAAAUUAAAAUAAAUUUUUUCGAUAAAUUACAAAUUAAAGUGGAUUCUUUUGAAUACAAAUGGGACAGACGAUUAGGCUCUUUUUAUUAGAGGCAAGUAAAAACUAGUCAAGAAUCGAACAGUCUUUUUCCAAUUCUUGUUUUAUUAUUUUUCAAAACUAGUUUUUGGUAAUUACAACCGGGUCAUUAAUCAUUAUUCAGAGUUAUCUUCCGGGGCAGUUUCUGUUCAUCGAAUUCGUUAAUAAAAUGUUAAAACUCUUAUUGAAAGAAUGUUUUUCCGUUAUCUUUUUUAUAAUCUAAUUUUAAGUGUAAGAAGUAGUCAUUUUAGAAUUUGGGUCUUGAAUCGAAUUUCAAUGCAUGAAUUAAUAUUUAAAAAAAAUUUACUACAUGCAGUUUAGGUUACAAACUAUUUUUUGCAAAGUUGACUAUGAAAUUGGAGAAAUUAAGUAAUUUAUAAUGUUUGCAAAGAAAGAGACCAACAUACUUCCAAUUACACUAUAUCUCAAUUAUCAUAAUGUUAAGAUUAAACUAACUUAAAAUAAAAUUUAUUUAAAAAGUUUAUCAAACGCAGUCUAAUUUUAUUAACUUGAAGAGAUAAUAGUUAUAGAAAUUAUUAUUCUAACUUAAUUAGUAAAAGUGGUAUAAAGGUUAAGUGUGCACUAAAUCUAUUUAAAUUUUUUUCCAGUAUAACUAACAGAGGUCAUUACUAGAAUUAUAUUACUAGUCUAUUAGAUAGAAAAAAUUAUUUAUAUUGUUUUAUAUUUAUUAAAAAAAUUUAAAGUCAAUCUUUUUAAUUACUAUUAAAGGAUAUUAUAAUUAAAAAAANNNNNNNNNNNNNNNNNNNNNNNNNNNNNNNNNNNNNNNNNNNNNNNNNNNNNNNNNNNNNNNNNNNNNNNNNNNNNNNNNNNNNNNNNNNNNNNNNNNNNNNNNNNNNNNNNNNNNNNNNNNNNNNNNNNNNNNNNNNNNNNNNNNNNNNNNNNNNNNNNNNNNNNNNNNNNNNNNNNNNNNNNNNNNNNNNNNNNNNNNNNNNNNNNNNNNNNNNNNNNNNNNNNNNNNNNNNNNNNNNNNNNNNNNNNNNNNNNNNNNNNNNNNNNNNNNNNNNNNNNNNNNNNNNNNNNNNNNNNNNNNNNNNNNNNNNNNNNNNNNNNNNNNNNNNNNNNNNNNNNNNNNNNNNNNNNNNNNNNNNNNNNNNNNNNNNNNNNNNNNNNNNNNNNNNNNNNNNNNNNNNNNNNNNNNNNNNNNNNNNNNNNNNNNNNNNNNNNNNNNNNNNNNNAUUGUGGGCACUCUUGUUCGUGCAUGUUUGCUAGAAGAGAUGGAAGAUGAUAAAGUAAAAAUGCAUGACGUUGUUCGUGAUAUGGCUUUAUGGAUAGCUUGUGAAAUUGAGAAGGAGAAGAGAAACUUUUUGGUUUGUGCAGGUGCUCGAUUAGAAGAGGCACCGGGUGUUAAAGAAUGGGAAAAUGUGAGAAGAUUGUCAUUGAUGCAAAACCAAAUUGAAACUGUGUCAGAGAUUCCCGCAUGCCCUCAUCUCCAUACUCUAUUUCUUGCCUCUAAUAGGAAUUUCAGGAUGAUCACGGAUGGCUUCUUUCAAUUUAUGCCUUCUCUCAAAGUUUUGAAGAUGUCACGCUGUGGGCAAUUCGAAGGUUUUCAAUUACCUGUUGGGAUGUCAGAGUUGGGUUCAUCACUAGAACUUCUUGAUAUUUCACAUACCACCAUAAGAGAGUUACCCGAAGAGUUAAAGUUGCUGGUAAAUCUGAAAUGUUUGAAUUUGAGGUGGACAGGUGCGUUAAUUAGAAUUCCACGGGGACUAAUAUCAAAAUUUUCAAGGUUACGUGUGUUGAGAAUGUUGGGUACUGGCGGGUUCAUUUUUUAUGAAGCACCAGAAGACAGCGUUUUAUUUGGUGGGGGUGAAGUUUUGAUACAGGAAUUGCUCGGUUUGAAAUAUUUAGAGGUAUUGGAGUUGACCUUGGGAAGUUAUCAUGCUCUCCAAAUUCUUUUGAGCUCAAAUAAGUUAAAAAGUUGUAUUCGAUCUCUUUACCUCUAUUUGACCGGAGAUAAAAAGUCGAUUAUUGAUGCUACGGCUUUCACAGACCUAAACCACCUCAAUGAAUUAUGGAUUGAUAAUGGAAUUGAGUUGGAAGAAUUGAAGAUUGAUUAUACGGAGAUAGUACGAAAAAGGCGGGAACCUUUUGUUUUCCACAGCCUUCACCUUGUUACGAUAUAUAGUUGCCAUAAAUUGAAAGAUUCGACAUUCCUCGCUUUUGCUCCAAACCUCAAGUCUCUUUCGCUAUUCAAAUGCCGUGCUAUGGAAGAAAUAAUCAGCGUCGGAAAAAUUGCUGAGAAUCCUGAGAUGAUGGGACAUAUAAGCCCUUUUGAAAAUCUCAAAAGUCUUGAUCUAUCAUAUUUGCCGGAGUUGAAGAGCAUUUUCUGGAAGCCAUUGCCUUUCACUCAUCUCAAAGAAAUGGGGGUAAGAGCAUGUGAUCAGCUUAGAAAGCUUCCACUCGAUUCCAACAGUGCAAAAGAGCGUAAAUUUGUAAUUCGUGGAGAAGAAGACUGGUGGAACCGACUUCAAUGGGAGGAUGAAGCCACUCAAAUUGCUUUUCGUUCCUGUUUCCAACCUGAUUCCUGAGCGGUGGUCGCAAAAUUUGAUUUCUGGUGAGUGCGUUUGUCUUUUAAAAGAAGAAUUUAAAAGAAAUUUAUUCUUGACGUUUUCUUCACUGUUUUUAUUUCAGUCUCUCUCUCUCUCUUUUUGUCUUCUGCUAAUCACAAUUAAAUGUUGAAUUAAUGGAAUUAAUGCUUCAUAAAUUUGCCGGCACUGCCAUUACUUUUUUUUUUUUUAAUACAAAUUGAUACUUUAUUUAUAUCUUCUUAGCGAUUUAAUUUCCUGUCAAUUGACGAACGAGAAGAACAUAUGACUUGAACCAAUGCUCGCAUAAACUUGCUGUAAAAAGAUAUAAUCUCACUGAAAUGCACACGCCUAGAAUGAAUAGAAUUAAAACAGGGAAAAUAUUAAGUAUAUUAGCCCUCUUUACCGAAAAUCAAAUGACAAUAAAUUUUUUGAAGUUUUGAUUUUCUAUGGUCAAUUCCACCUUUUGCAAUUUCUUCUGUUCUAACAAAAACCAAUUUCUUUGUUCAAGUAUUUUCGUUUGGGUAUUAAUAAUUCUCCACCGAAAGAGUGAACUCUUGCUCAAGGGAUCUCUAAUCAAUAGCCGGAAGGGCGCCGAGACCUGAUCGGACCUAGGCCCAAGUUUGGUCUUAAAGCCUGGGCUUGAGCCUGGCAAUUAAAUUAAAACAGUAAUUGAUUUCUUGAAUGAAUUGUCGUGUAAUUGAUUUAUGGGGGAUGACACAUCAACAUACUUGAAAAUACACUAAUCUCAGCAUCAUCCGUUAAUAACUUUUAGAUUUAUGGGCAAUCAAUAGUUAAAUUAGUUGUCAUUAAUACUAAAUAAUUUUUACUUUUUUUGUCUCUUCUAGAGGAUCUUCUAGAAAAAUGCAUCCACAAUUAAAUUUAAUACUUUACAUAAUAAAGAAAGCAUAAAUGUUAAAUUUAAGAAACUGCAUUGUAUUUCAGCUGAAGUUGACUUUAAUAUUUAGGGUAGAAAAAAAUUAAAUCCUUAAUGUGUUUAAUUUCUAUCACUUGUGUCAUUAAAAUUUUCUAGUCACCCUAACCAAUUACAUCUCAACCCACUUUUUUUUGGAUGAUUUUAUUUUUACACUAUUAUUUUCAACAUUUUUUUUUCCUUUUAACACCAACAUUAGUGUAUGUUACGUAACAUAAUCCAUAUUUGGAUAAUUUGAAAUUUGUUUGUGUUUUAUCUCAAAAUAGAGCUUCAAUCAAUUUGUACCUCAUAAAUUCACAAUAUCUGGCAUAUUGUCAAAUGUGCUUAUCCUUUUGCUUGACAUGUCAUUUUAAAAUUGUCAUUCAAUGUCAAAAAAUCACAUCAACUAAUGGCCGACUACUUUAAUUUGAAAGCAUGCGUGCGAUCGCCAAUAAUUAUAACUUAAUUGUUAUAUUGAAAUUUUUUUCUUUAUAAUUUAAGUUUAAUACUGCUACAUGUGUGGCACAUAAGUUGGAAAAUAUAACAUAAAAUUUGAAAAAUGUGUAGUUUUCGUUCCUUUUUUUUCUAAAAAAAUGGGAAAAAAGAAUGUAAUUUUGUUUAAAUUACUGUUGUCAUAACAAUUAUUAUUUUAUUGAUUAAUUGGCAGAGAAUCGUAAUGGUUUCGCAUGGUUGUUAAAACAUUGGAAAGUCCACUACAUCAUCGGUUAAUAACUUUCAGAUUUAUGGUUAAUUAAUAGCUGAGAUUUAUUAUCAUUAAUGCUAAAUAUUUUUUCUCUCUCCUGGAGGAUCAUCCACAGGCAGGUGCUUCCUGACGAUGACAAAAUUUUGGGCAGGCAGGUGCUUCCUGACUUUCACACGGUAAUUCUCAAAUUCUGAUUUCACCAUAUUUUAAUUACUGAUUAGCAUAUAUUCAAGUGCUCUCCAUUAUAAUGGAAGCCGCCGCCUCACUCGUAAUUCCAAACUUUAUCUUUUUUUCCUUUUUUAAAUUAAUGCAAGUAGCCGCUGUCCUUUCUAUUAAUUAAUUAAUUCGGCCGCCCACAUUUCUUUUCCUAAUGUCUUCUACUGUCGAGUUUAUUUUAUUUUCUCUUUAUUAUUAAAAUAUACUUAUAAUAAUAAAAAAAUAAAAAUUAACAUAUCAAAAUAUAAUUUAACAGAAAAUUAAGAUAAAAAAUUAAAAAUAAAUAAAUUAUGAGCAUAUCAAUCAAUAAAUGAAAAAUAAUAAUUUUUAUUUUUAUUAAAUAUAAAUUUUUCAGUAUUAAUCAAUUAUCUGAAUAAAUAAAAUCAUUUAAAAAUAAAUAAAUAAAUUAUUCUUAAAAAAAAAAAAAAAACUUUUUAUAACACUCACUAUGCUGGUUGUAGGGUUGACGCUUUGGGUACUGAAGCUAGUAACUUCUACAAGUAGUCUUAAGUUGACUGGCAACAACUAUAUUGGCAUUUAGAAAUAAUGUACUGCAACCAUAUUGGCAUGUUCAAAUGUUCUUAUUAUUGUAUUGGUGUGUCAAUAUUAUCUCUAACGGUUUUAUAAAUAAAAAAAUAAUCUAAAUUUAUAAUUUAACAUAAAAUAAAAUAAUUGGUAGAAAAACAAUUAUGGUUCAUUUACUUAUCAGUAAUCAGAAUAGACUGAAAUCGAAAUGAGUUGUAUUACUGUUGAUGUGUUUAUGUUGUACUCGAAUCGAAAUGAAUUAUUUUAAAUUACUAAAAUAUCCUUGGUCUGUUAUUCUAAUUAUUAUUAUUAUUUAAUAUUUAUUAUAAUAUUUUUCAUAUCAUUAAAAAAAAAUAAUAAUGAUGAUAAUAUUCUCAUUAUUGUUUGUUACAUUAUUAUUAUUCAAAAAAAUUAUUGUUAAUAACAAUAAUUACUUUAUUUCAAUAAUAAUAAUGAUAAAAUUAAUAAUAAUAAACAUGACAACAACAAUAAUUAUUUAUUAUGCCAAAAAAUAACAAUAAUAAUAAGAAUAAUAAUCAUCAUCAUUUUUUUGCCAAAGAAGCAUUAUCAUCAUCAUUUCAAAAAAAAAAUCAUCAUCAUCAUCAUCAUUUUUGUAGUGGCUACCUAUCGGCUGCUGCUUUCAUGUGAGAUUGACUUGCGACGCUUCAACGGCUAUUAUUUCUGACAAUGUCAGGUGUUGCUAUUUCAAUUUAGGAAGAAGUUGUUUCGGUGUGCUAGCGAUGGGAGAUGUUGUGGCUGCGAUUCGGGGAGCUACUAGUUUAUUGCACUAAUAACGGCAGGUGCUGUUGCUUGAUGCGAGGUCCAUGGCCAGUUGUCAGCAGUUCGACUUUGGUAUGGGUGCUGCUGGUUCGAUUUUAGGUGUUGUCCAAUUUCAUUUUCAGGAUUUUAAUUUUAUUUUUCUUUUAUAUUUUCAUUAAUUAAUCAGGGUAAAAUUGGAUUUUAGAAUUUAGAAUGAAGGUAAUUUUGUUAAUAAUGGAAAUGAGAUUCUGAUUGUCGAGAAUGAGCUUACACAAACAACUAUAAAUUAAGUGAAAACAAAACACUUUUUCUCUUUGUGUGAUUAAAACAUGAUAUGUACCAUAAAUAAAUAAGUAAAAAAUAAAUCAACACAAUCUAAAACAGUAAACAAAUUACAAGAGGCACAGAUUUUUAUGUGAAACACCGAAAAUGGAAAAAACCACAGCAUCUUAGUUUGAUAUAAUCUUCUACUAUAUUAAUGGGAUUAUAGCACAAAUUCUUUCCUAUAUAACACUAGAGAUUAACAACAUCAAGAAUCUCAAUAAUCUUGACUUACAAUACAGCCUAAUAUUUGUCUCUCUAAUAAGUAGAUAUCUAAAAUAACAGUCUCUAAUAAGUAUGUAUCUAAAAUAAUAGUCAACAAGAGGAUAAAACAAAAAUUAAGAUUAGUAGGAUGUGUAUAAGGUGAUGCUAUCAAUUUAUCUUCUAAAUUUGAGAAAAAUAGUUAAAUUCACUUUUUCGAUUGUCCGACCAAAAAUGGAAACCCUUGCCCCAAAACCAAAGGAAUCACCAUUAUGUUUUUCUCUCUCUCUCUCUCUAUCUCGUUCUUUUCUUCUUCUUUUCUUAAUGUUAGCCAUCACUUGCUUUUAUUCUUUAUAGCAUUCAAAAAGCUACUUUUAAUGGUAAAUUUCAUUUAAGUCUGCAACUUAGUGAUAAUUGCACACCAAACAAUCCUUACAUAGUGUUUUGGGCCCUCAAAUGAGAUGAAUACAACAAAUCUCCCCCUUUAAAUCAUGUGGGGGGCACCGCAAGCCCGCUAUUUGCAUAUAGCUUUUCAGCUUCUCCUUGAAUAAUGACUUUGUCAUCAUACAUAAUCCAUUCUUCGUUGUGUAAAUCUUCUCAAGCUGUAACUGUUCCUUCUCAAGCUGUAAUUAUUCCUUCUCAAGCACGUCUCGUAUCUAAUGAUACCUUACAUCAAUAUGCUUAGAUUUCGAAUAGUAUAACAGCACUCUGACUAUCGUAGUACAUAACAUAGCUGUCUUGUUUUACACCCAGCUCUUGUAGGAAAUUCUUCGUCCACAAUAUUUUUUUGCAACCUUCAAUAAUUGUAAUAUCAUUUGCUUUAGUGGUAGAAAAGGCAACUUAUUACUAAAGUUUAGAUUGCGAUGAGACUGUUCCCCCUGCAAAAGUGAGCAAACAUCCUAGUAGGAAUUUUUCGGAAUCAACAGCUCCUGCCAUAUCUACACACUUGUAACACAGGUUUGUCACCACCAAAAUAUAAACAUGCUCUGGAAAUGCAUCUAAGAUAUCUGAGAAUUUUUCACUGUUGUCCAGUGCUCUUUACCGAGGUUGAAGAGAAACCACUGACUACACUAACUGUAUAGGCAAUAUUUGGUCUUGUACAAAUUAUGGCGUACAAUAAACUGCCAACUGCUGAAGCAUAAGGAACUCCUCUCAUGGAGAAAUGGGUUUUACUCUUGAGAUUUUUGGGACCAUGAAGAAUAAAGAUGUAAUUUCUUAUACUGCCAUUGUUUCGGGAUAUAUAAAUAGAGAACAAGUCGAUAUAGCUCGACAGUGUUUUGAUCAGAUGCCAGAACGAGAUUAUGUCUUAUGGACUACCAUGAUUGAUGGGUACCUUCGAGUGAAUAGGUUCAGAGAGGCUUUGACACUUUUUCAGGAGAUACAAACUUCAAAUAUAAUGGGAGACGAGUUUACCAUUGUUAGCAUUCUUACAGCUCGUGCGAAUCUGGGGGCACUAGAACUGGGAGAAUGGAUAAAGACUUAUAUUGACAAAAACAAAGUCAAGAAUGAUAUAUUUGCGGGGAAUGCUUUGAUAGACAUGUACUGUAAAUGUACUGUAAAUGCGGAGAUGUUGAGAAAGCUCAAAAGGUAUUCAGGAAGAUGCUUUGAAAGGUCAAAUUCACAUGGACGACCAUGAUUGUUGGCCUUGCCAUCAGUGGAAAUGGUGAUAAAGCUCUUGAUAUGUUUUCCCAAAUGCUCAGGGCUUCGAUCAAACCAGAUGAGGUAGCUUAUGUUGGUGUUCUGUCUGCCCGUACUCACAAUGGUAACGAAACUUUUGUGAUAAAUAGUUGCAACUUAAGGUGAGAACUGGAGGAAGGGAAAUAGAUUGAAGUUGUUCAAUCAUCAGUAGUUGCUACUUGGUUUUAAGUUGUUCAAUCAUCGGUCGUCUCUAUUUGGUUUUCUCCAAUAUCUCAUCUUCAAUUUUGACUCAGAUUGUAUCUUACCACUAGUAAUUACAUAGACUUGCUGCCAAAGGUAAGAAUGGGAAUAAAUUAAAUAGAUUAUGUCGAAAACGAAAUAAAUUUACUAUUGUUCUGUUCAUUCUAUUUGUUUCCUACAAAAUAUUUCUCCUGCCUAAAAUUUUUUGAAUCAGUAAGUUUUUACCUUAUGGAUGAAUUGUGUUGAGAGUAAUUCCAUUUCUCAGUCUCUUUAUGUUUCAAUGAAGACGUAAAACUUGUGUUCUAGUGCACCAACGUUUAUGCUUCUUACAAUUUGACUUUAAUUUACUUUGUAAAAUUUUUGUCAAAAAGUACUAAAAAGUAGUGCACCAAACACCAACUUUAUUACAGAGAGGACUUUAGUUAAAUUUUAAGAAAACACUCAAAAGAAAGAGUUGUAAAUUAUUAUAAAAAUAUUUCACAUAAAUAAAAGCCAUCCCAUGCUGCAAAGAUCUUGCUAUAAUCACCAAAAACUAUCGGGAGCUUUUAGGGUUUCCAUAAAAAUGCCAUUUCGUUCCAUGUAUAUGAUUCUAUAGUCUCACUGGCAAGUAAACCACAGCCCAACAGCACUGACUGUCCAUGAUGAUUCACCCCAAUGAACGAAACCAGCGUUGCAUCAUAUCUUUCUGUCAAGCAUGUAAUAUCAAUUGAUUUGAGCUAUUAACAUCAUUUCCAAAUACUCCAUUGGCAUCUACAUUACCAUUUCCCUCGGCAUCAAUGAUAAGAGUUCGAAACAGUCUAAUCUUUUGAACUUCUUCAGCACCAUCUAAGAGCAAUGUUCUUUUGGUUCCAAUACCCAUGUGCUUAUGAUAUUUGUAAAAUAAUUAUUUGUAAAAUAAUUAGUUCAAUUUUGACAUAAUACGGAAUAAACACAACCUGCCAAUCUAAGUUACUAUCUUUUCCCGUCAUCAGGUACCUGUUUGAAAAAUAAUUAUAUACAAUUUUAUUUGCGUCGUCCCUCUAAAAAUUUGGGACUCAAAUGUUAUUUCUAAUUGCUAAAAGUACGAAAUUGCCCCCUUUCUCUUCAGCUAAAGGAGUGCAAAGUCAUCUGUAUAAUUGAAUCUGCAUCAUCAGUUUCUAUUGCUGGCUGGUGUUACUGCAUGCUUACAGUUGCUUGACAAAGUGAGCCAGUUUUUUGUUUAUUAAUUUUUUUUCUUGUCGAGACAGUCACAAAGUAUUACUUGUUCUAUUUGAGAAUGAUGUGAAUCAAUUUUUCAAUUAUGCAUUCUGUGGUAAUUAUUGUGAAUUUAGUUUCAUUUGUCUUGUCUCCUGCAAAUUUUGAAGAAAAUGCAGACAUACAAAUUUACAAUAUGUAUUUGCGUUAGUAUAAAAACAAUUGUUAGAUGAUUAAAGCGAUUUAUUUUUUUUUUUACAGCAUUUGAUUGUAUUAGUUAAAAUCAUUUUUUAAGGAUAAAAAUAAAUAGAAAAUUAUUCUCAUGUAGUGUGGAAAUCUUUUCUAAUUUCUUGUUGACUUGUACAUUUAUUUCAGAAUUUCCAUUCAUUAAUUCUACUGUUUUAAUCUUUGACUUAGCUACCGUAGUUGACUUUUUAUAUCAAAGGCUUAAACAGCAUGCAUUUUUGAAUUGACUGAGAAUAAUUUGGUGGACAAAUUACUAGUAAAGGACUUCAAAUGGUUGAAUUGACUGUGGGUUUUUCAUGCCCAAGUCACUCGUCACGUCGUUUCAUCGAAACAAAGUGCCCGGUGCAAAUGGUGUGAUGUAAAACACCUUUUUAAAUUGUCAUUUUUUUUCCUUUGCUUUUGCUUUAAUUUUCUAAAUGCUCAACGCCAUAAAUCCAUGUAUUCUUAAUUUUCGUUUGCUGUAUUGAUUCCCAACCCUCUAUGUCACAAGGUUUUGAAUGCCAGUAAUUAAGUUAAAUUAAACAUAUUUUAAGUCCUACUUUAAAUUAUUGAAAAAUGUAUUAUGGUUGAACUGAAUUUUAACUAAAAAAUAUAUACAAAAUAAAAGAUUAAUCAUAUCUUUUUAUGAGGAAGGUCAGUCAUCAUUCUGACCACAGACACUUAAAAUUAAUUGAGUGGAAUAUUGCAAAAUAUAUAUAAACCAUGCCAAAACUAGAUGUUUGAGUAAUGAAAACGAGAAUUCAUAUGACUCAGAAAUAUGGUCGCUUUCCUUUUUCUGAAAGGCAAAAAAAAAGGGGGAACCAAAAAGGACCAAAAUGAACAAAAAUGGAAGGCGAAGGUAAGCAGACAUGUUAUAUGUUUUACCUAAGAUGCCAAAUGCAACUCCCCAUUGAUGGUGAUCGAACAUUAUGGCCAUUUUCUUAGUAAACAAAAAAUGAAUUUUGAACACUCAACAACGAAACUUGAGCAGAAGAUCAAGCAAGGGCCUCGAUCUCAAAGAAGAUACUAUGAAACCCUACUUAAUGGUUAAAUAACUUUCAUUCAGCUUUGGACCCUAUUUCGUGAUACGGAAAGACAAACCUUUCUUGGCCGGCAGUGUCCCAGAUCUGGGCUUUGAUGAUCUAGAGGUUGAUGGUGACAGUUCUGGUUUGGAACUCGACGCCAAUGGUUUAUUUCGAUUCAAAGCAAAACUCAUUCUUGGUGAAUCUCGAAAGAAUCUGAGACUUGCCCACGGCCGAGUCACCGAUCACCACUACCUUGAAUACAUAGUCUAUUUUGUCAGGAAUCAUAUUCUCUCGUUGUUGAUGACGAUGAUCGGUGCCAUCACCACUCAUUUCUUCGUUCAUUCAUUCUAUGUCCAUUGAUCUUUUUGAAUUAUUGAAGACAAGUGGCUCACCGCUUUUAGUAUUGGUAAAAUUCAGAUAAUCUCUAUUCCGAAAUAAUAAUAUUAAAAAUAUCUCUUAAAUCAUUAUAAACUUCAAAUCUAUUUUAAUUUUAUUUAAAAGAUAAAAGAAAAAUAAGUUAUGUUGGUGAUUUUUUAUUAUCUUUUUAAUAAAAAUAGAAUAAAUUGAUGUUUAUAAUUAUUUAAAGUAUUUUAAAGAUUGCUAUUUUAUGAGAGAAUAAUAUUUCAUUUUUUUUUUCGUGUGAAAGACCGAAAAAGGACAAAGCAAGUUUCCCUAAUUUUUAUUUUAUGUGAAAUUGGUCAUCUCAUAUACUUUACCCUUCAACACUCUAAUUUUUUUGGUUAUAAUUUUAUUAUUUUUUCUCUUUUACACAUGCAUGUGAAUUACUUUUCUUUAAGCUCCUGAAUAUUUAAGACAAAUCAUGGAAGAGAUGAGAGUAUAACAAGAUGAUCAAAAUAUGUAACAAAAAAAUUUUAGAAGUGAAAAAUAUGUUAGAGUCGAAGUAAAACUCUGAGGUGAUGUUUGAUUUGAAGAAAAUGGAGGAGAGAAAAAGAGUGGAAUGGAGAGGAAAAGAGAGAAAAGGAGAGGAGAGGAGAGGAGAGUGAACUUUUUUUCUAAUGUUUGGUUUGUCACAUAAAUAUACAAAGAAAGGAAAUCUCCAAUUUUUUAUUUAGACAAUUUUAACCUUAAUAAGUAUUAAGCUUUCAAUAUUUAUCAUGUGUAUAAUUUAAAAAAAGUAAAUGGUAGAAAGCGGUUUCUGAUUCCGGCCACAUCGCCGGCAAUGGAAGGUACUUAUCAGAACAUCAAGAACCGGCCAUCAUUCCCUAGCCAUCACUGCUGUAGGAACACUGCUAAAAAGCUGCCGAUUGAACCGCGAAAAGUCGUGGAAAUCGUUGCCUCAAAUCGGUGAGUUUCGCCUUUUUCUGGUCAUGCCGUCGCCUUGGCUUUGUCCAUCAACGCUGCCACUUCCAUUUCAACCAUCCAUAGCCACUAUUAACCGCCAAAUCGCCGCCGAUCAGCGGGAUCUGUGGAAGUUAAAAAGUUUCUAAAAUUUUUUAAUUGGAUUUGAACAACAUACAACCAUUUUUUGAUCUCAAUAACGACAUAGUAAUGUUGAUCGUUGGUCGGCAAGUCGAAUGGUAGUGGCGGUGAGUAACACGCGCCAAUGACAUCGGCGGCGGCGGCGGCACUAUCCGGCUACUGUUAAAAUUAAUAUUUUAUAUUUGUAGAUUAAAUAAAUUUAUUUUAUUAAACUUUUUAAAUCAUUAUUUAAAUUUAAUUAAUUUAAAAUUAUCUAUGAUGUUGAAUUGAUAAAAUAAAUUUAUAAAUAAUAAUUAUGUGAUUACAUUAAAUAAGUUAAAAAGUUGAAGGGUUAUUUUUGGAAGAUUUAGUUUCCAACACAAAGGGAAUUUGAAUUCUUCACUUCUUAGUGUGGAAUUCAAAUUCUAUAUUGUAAUGGAUAUUAAAUUCCAAUAGAAAUUAAAUUCUUAUAAGUUAUGUCAAACCAAACAACGGAAAUAAAAAAAAAGAAUUUAAAUUACUUUCCUUUCCUCCACCCUCUCCUUCCAACCAAAUACAUCCUGAAAAUAGAGAUAUUGAUUAAUUUAGAAGAGAUGCAAGCAAAAGAUAUUCCACAAAAAAAAAAAAGCAAUAUGUCCCUUUGGAGGGCAAACUUGUCAGUUUUAAAAAAGUACAUGCUUUGGAUUGAUAGUUGUAGGAUAUUUGUUUUGUCACUAUGUGUUAGUUGGAGAAGUCAAGCCUUGUGAAGAAUGUUAUGAAAGAGCAAAGGAUAUUCCUGAUAGCUGAUAGAGCUCUAUUUGAUUAUGUAUCCAAUGAAUGGAUGUGUUGUUGGAAGAUAUUUGAGUGCAUUAGUUCAUAUGUGUCUAUCAAUGUGAUUUUAAUGAUUUUUCCACUUGUUUGUUGUAAAAGAUUAUUGUAAAUUGAAAUGAACUUGAUGUUGUAAUAUUUUCUCCUUAGUAGAAUUUCACCUAGUAUGUAUUUAGUUGUGUUGUCUAUAAUUUUGCAUUCGAAUAAGUUUCACCUAAAAUAUUAGCAUGAGUAGUGGCCCUUGAAACUUUGGUCAAAAUUAUUGUUAUUAUUUCCGACUAGAUGUAAAUUUUUUAUUAAAUCUCGCUAACACAAUUCUUAAUUAAAAGUAUAGGUUAGUGUUGGUGCAAGACUUGCCACACCAAAUUCUGCCUAACUGUCAAAAGUGCAAAAUAAAUGAAGAGAAAGCACAAAUACACGACUUGAAUAAGGAUACAACGAAACUUAAAUUCAAGAGAAAAUGAUAGCUAUAUCUCAAGAUUUGAAAAAACGGUCAUGUAGAUUUUUAAGAUUUCAAUAAGCGACUGAGAUUCAAAUAAUAUCCUUUAAUUCUAUUAACAAAAAACAAAGACUCAAAUAUUUUAUGAUAAAUAAAAAUAUAAUAUUAAAAUAUAUGUGAUAAUAUACACAUUUUAAAUACUUUCAAUCCAAAAAAAUAGUUAUGUUUUACAAUCUAUUAGACAUAUUUUAUUAAAUUAAUAUAAAUUUUCUAUAAAAUAAGAAUAUAAUAUUAAAAUAAAUUCACAAAAAUUUAAAGAAUUUUGAAUGUAAAAUAAUUUUAAUAUAUCAAUACGUGAGUUUUUUUAUUAAUAUAAAAUUUAUUUAACUUUAAGAUUUUUUAAAAUCUUUACAAUAAGUAUAACUAUAUUAUUUACAUUUAAAAAUAUUUAAAUAUUAUUAACCUACAAUUAUAUUUGCAUUUGUUAGAAAUUUUUUAAGUCAAAUAUUUUGCACUUCUAUAUUAUUAGAAUUAUUGCACAAAAAGAAAGAAACAUACACCUUUAGAAAUUGUUUUCUUUUAAAAUAGAGAUGAUGAUUAGUAUAAGGAUGAAAAAAAGGAUAAAGAAUAUUAAUGAUUAACGAAAUCUCUAUACAAAUUGAUUUUAGUAGGAAAAGAGUGAGAUGAAUGAUUUCUUUUACAGUUAGAAACAUAGAUGAUGAUUAUUAUAACGAAGAAAAAAAGAUAAAGAAUAUUAAUUAUUAAUGGAAUCUCUAUACAAAUUGAUUUUAGUAGGAAAAAAAUGAUUAAAUGAUUUAGAGUGCGUUUGGAAUUGAGAUUGGGCAGCCAUAGAUUUUAAGUUACAACACUGAAGUGUUUAGUAAAUACUAGUUGCUGCAGAUUGAAAGUUAUGUUGAUAUGAUUUUUCACAUGUAUCAUAGAAAAUAUAUUACAUCUUUAAUAUUUUUUAAAAAUUUAUAUUUGCUAUAUAUUAUUAAUUUUUUUUUAUAGUUAUAACUUUUUUUCCACAACAGUUGUAGCUUAAAAGUCACAGCACCUCAAUCUCAAACAAAUCCUUAGACAUUCAUAGUGUGUUUAUUUUUUGGAUUGGUGAAUCAAAAUUAUUGACAACGCUAACUUCAUCUUCACUGUUCGCAAUCCAACAGCAGCAAUUGUCGCCAAUAAUGAUAUCUCCAAUGAUGAUGACAAUUAUUAUUAUUAUUUUUAUUAUUAUUAUUAUUAUUAUUAUUAUUAUUAUUAAUUAAUUAAUUAAUUAAUUAAUUAAUUAAUUAAUAUAUUAAUGUUGAUAUUAUUAUUAUUAAGAUUAACAAUAAUUAUUAGUAAUACAAUUUUUUGAAUAAAAAUAAUCACAAUAAUUAAAAUACAAAUUAAUAAUUAUGACAAUAAUUAAUUAAUGUCUUUUUAGUAAUUUGUAAUAAUCUAACUCAUUUUGGUUCUGAUUAUUACAGCUUAAGUAAACAAAUUAUUAUGAUUCCUAUUCUCCUUUCCCAUUUUAACUCACUUUGAUUCCAGUCUAUUCCGAUUUCUAUUUAAUAAAUGCACCAUUAGUGCUAAAGUAAUAUUUCAUACAUAGAAAAAUAAAAACUACGCCUAAGGUUAAGGGAAAAGACUUCAAAAUUCUCUUUUGAUCAUAAUACAUUUUGUCCUAAUUAACUUAAAGAUUUUGAAUCUAAUAUUUUAUAAUAAAUAAAAAUAUAUUCCUAAAAUAAAUAUAAUAUCAAUAUUUAAAAUAUGUUUUAAUAUUUUACAAUCUAUCAUACACAUUUUAUUAUAUUAAAGUAGAUUUAUAAUAAAUAUAUAAAAAUUUAGAAUAUUUAGAAUAUUAUAUAAAAUAAUUUUAAUAUAAUGCGUGAUAUAUAUUUUAUUAAUUUAAAAUGUCAUUUUACCUAAAAAAUAUGAUAAAUUAAUAAUUACAUAUUUGAAGUUAUUUCAAAUAUUAAAAAAAUUUAAUAUUAUUAAUCUUUUAGAUAGAUUAAAUUAUUUUUUAUAAGAGAGAUUAAAUUAUUUUAAAAUGCCUUAAUUGUUUUUACUUUUAACGUUACGGGCCUUUCUUUUAUUUUAUUGCAAAUUAAUGCUAACUAGAAAAACAAAAACAAAAGUGACAAACACAACCAGCUGGAAUCUUUUAUAAAACUACAAAUUAAAAUGGAUUUUUUUUUUUUGUUGAUAAAUUACACAUGAAAGUGGAUUCUUUUGAAUAUAAGUGGGGUAGGCUCUUUUAUUUUUUUUUUAAUACCGUAUAACAGGACUGUAGACUCUUUUAUUAAGCACAAAUAUAGAGUUGUCGAGACAAUUAGGGUCUUUUAUUAAACUACAAAUUGUAUAGUCUUUUUUAAAUUGUUCAGAUAUUUAUAAAUUGGUGGCCCCUACAAUCCUCAAUAAUUGUACCGAUAUUCACAAGCUGGUGGCCCCUACAAUCCUUAAUAAUUGUUUUUUUUUUUUUCUGCAUUCCCUUUCAUGCUCUUAAUAAUUAAAGAGCAUACUUUUCAAAUGUGGAGCCGCGGCUAAUGUCGCUAAUUUAAUUUGGGAUUAAAUUAGGGGACUAUUAUAUUGCAGUGUGCACUAAUUUUUAUGUUUAUCUAAACUCCUUAAAUUUAAGAUAUAUUAUGGCAUAAAUAAGAAUAUAACAAUAGCAAAAGAGUUAGAAAGUGUAGAGAAGAUCUUGCAGAAAUAUAAAUAAUAUUUAUUUUAAAAUAAUAUCAAUAUUUAAAAUAAUUUUUAUUAUUUUAUGAUCCAUUAGAUAUAUUUUAUUAUAUUAAAGUAAAUUUUAUAAUAAAUAAAAACAUACUAUUAAAAUGAAUAUAUAGAAAAUUUAGAGUAUUUUAAGUAUUAUAUAAAAUAAUUUUAAUAAAAUAUGUGAGAUAUUCAUAUUUUAUUAAUUUAAAAUACCAUUUAACCUAAAGAUUUAUUUAUGAUAAAUUAAUAAUUAUAUUUUUGAAAUUACUUCAAAUAUUAAAAAAAUUAAUAUUACUAAUCUAUUAGAUAGAUUAAAUUAUAUAUAUUAUUUUCUAUUUAUUAAAAAAUUUCAAAUUAUUUUUAAUUACUAUUCAAAAAAUAUGAUGAUAAAAAAAUCUUAACAUCUUUAUUAAAAAAUUAAAAACUUACAUGAUCAAUUCUCUAAAUAUUUAGGGUAUAUGUGAACCACGGUGGACAGAGGUCAUUACUAAAAUUUCUCUUCCACAGGCAAUUACAGCAGCUCCAGUUUAUCAAACUCAACCAAUUUUCUUUCUUAACAAAAUUCCAAAGAUGUGUAGCUUUUUUCAGAUCACAUGCGAUGGUGCUUUUUUCAAUCGUUGCUUGGAUUGCUUUCUUGGAAAAGCAGCAUACAUACGUAACCUCCAAGAUAAUCUUGAUGCCUUGGACACUGAACUGGGAAGACUAAUCGCAGCAAAGAACGAUGUGAUGAUUAGGGUUGUCAAUGCUGAACGGCAAUAAAUGAGAAGGCUGGACGGAGUGCAAGUGUGGGUUUCGAGUGUGGAUGCUGUUAAAACUGGAGCCGAUGAACUUAUCACAGACGGCUCUGAAGAAAUUGGCAAAUUAUGUGUUGGAGGCUACUGUUCCAAGAACUGCAGGUCAAGCUACAAAUUCGGAAAACAAGUGGCUAGAAAGCUACGAGAUGUGGAGACUUUAAUCGCCGAAGGAGUUUUUGAGGCGGUGGCUACUGAGGUGGUGCCUGAGAGAGCUCCAGAGCCUGUAGCAGAUGAAAGACCUACCGAGCGAAAAGUAGUAGGCUUGCAAUCACAACUUGAACAAGUCUGGACGUGUCUUGUGGAAGAAUCAGCGGGAAUCAUUGGCCUAUACGGUAUGGGCGGUGUUGGUAAAACCACACUAUUGACCCAUAUCAACAAUAAAUUUCUCGAGAGUCCAACCAACUUUGAUUGUGUGAUUUGGGUAGUAGUUUCAAAAGACCUGCGACUUGAAAAACUUCAAGAAGAUAUUGGGAAAAAGAUAGGUUUGGUUGGUGAUUCAUGGAAGAGUAGAAGUGCAGAGGAGAAAGCUCUCGACAUCUUCCGGAGUCUAAGAGGGAAGAGAAUUGUAUUGUUGUUAGAUGAUAUAUGGGAGCGGGUUGAUUUAACAAAAGUGGGCGUUCCACUUCCUGGACCACAAAAUACUACCUCAAAAGUCGUAUUCACAACNNNNNNNNNNNNNNNNNNNNNNNNNNNNNNNNNNNNNNNNNNNNNNNNNNNNNNNNNNNNNNNNNNNNNNNNNNNNNNNNNNNNNNNNNNNNNNNNNNNNNNNNNNNNNNNNNNNNNNNNNNNNNNNNNNNNNNNNNNNNNNNNNNNNNNNNNNNNNNNNNNNNNNNNNNNNNNNNNNNNNNNNNNNNNNNNNNNNNNNNNNNNNNNNNNNNNNNNNNNNNNNNNNNNNNNNNNNNNNNNNNNNNNNNNNNNNNNNNNNNNNNNNNNNNNNNNNNNNNNNNNNNNNNNNNNNNNNNNNNNNNNNNNNNNNNNNNNNNNNNNNNNNNNNNNNNNNNNNNNNNNNNNNNNNNNNNNNNNNNNNNNNNNNNNNNNNNNNNNNNNNNNNNNNNNNNNNNNNNNNNNNNNNNNNNNNNNNNNNNNNNNNNNNNNNNNNNNNNNNNNNNNNNNNNNNNNNNNNNNNNNNNCAGGAAGUCCUAGUGCGUGCUAUCAGAAAAGAUGCUGGGAACUGUUUCGCGAAAAUGUUGGGGAAGAAACUCUUGAGAGUGAUCAUGAGAUCGUUGAGCUAGCCCAAACUGUGGCCAAAGAGUGUGGUGGUUUGCCACUCGCACUUAUUACUAUUGGUCGAGCUAUGGCCUACAGAAAGAAAGCGGAGCAGUGGAGACGUGCAAUUGAAGAGUUAAGAAGAUCAGCUUCAGAGUUUGCAGGUUUGGGAAAAGAGGUGUAUCCUCUUUUAAAGUUUAGCUAUGAUAGUUUGCAGAAUGAUACAAUUAGAUCUUGUUUCUUGUAUUGUUGUUUAUAUUCUGAAGAUUAUGGCAUUCUUAAAUGGGACUUGAUUGAUUGUUGGAUUGGUGAGGGAUUUUUGGGGGAAUCUGACAGGUUUGGUGCAGAAAACCAAGGAUAUGACAUUUUGGACACUCUUGUUCGUGCAUGUUUAUUAGAAGAGGUGGAAGAAGAUGAAGUAAAAAUGCAUGACGUUAUUCGUGAUAUGGCUAUAUGGAUAACCAGUGAAAUUGAGAAGGAGAAGAGAAACUUUUUGGUUUGUGCAGGUGCUGGAUUAGAAGAGGCACCGGAUGUUAAAGAAUGGGAAAAUGUGAGAAGAUUGUCAUUGAUGCAAAACCAAAUUGAAACUCUGUUUGGGGUUCCCACAUGCCCUCAUCUCAUCACUUUAUUUAUUGACUUUAAUAGGGAGUUGAAGACUAUCGCGGAUGGCUUCUUCCGAUGUGUGCCUUCUCUCAAAGUUUUGAAGAUGUCAAACUGUGGAAAGCCUUAGAAAGGUUUGGAAUUACCUUUGGGGAUGUCAAAGUUGGGUUCACUACAACUUCUUGAUAUUUCACACACCUGCAUACAAGAAUUACCACAAGAAUUAAAGUUGUUGGUAAAUCUGAAAUGUUUGAAUUUGAGGCGGACAAUUUGGUUAAAUAAAAUUUCAUGGCAACUAAUAUCAAAAUUUUCAAGGUUACGUGUGUUGAGAAUGUUCGCUACUGGCUGGUUCAGUUUUCAUGAAGCACCAGAAGACAGCGUUUUAUUUGGUGGGGGUGAAGUUUUGAUACAGGAAUUGCUCGGUUUGAAAUAUUUAGAGGUAUUGGAGUUGACCUUGGGAAGUUAUCAUGCUCUCCAAAUUCUUUUGAGCUCAAAUAAGUUAAAAAGUUGUAUUCGAUCUCUUUUCCUACAGUUGUUCAGAGAUACAACGUCGAUUAUUGAUGCUACGGCUUUCGCAGAUCUAAACCACCUCAAUCAAUUAUGUAUUAGUAACGGUUCUGAGUUGGAAGAAUUGAAGAUUGAUUAUACGGAGAUAGUACGAAAAAGGCGGGAACCUUUUGUUUUCCGCAGCCUUCAACGUGUUACCAUAGAGGAGUGCCAUAAAUUGAAAGAUUUGACAUUCCUCGUUUUUGCUCCAAACCUCAAGUCUCUUUCGCUAUACGAUUGCGGUGCUAUGGAAGAAAUAAUCAGCGUCGGAAAAUUUGCUGAGACUCCUGAGAUGAUGGGACAUAUAAGCCCUUUUGAAAAUCUCCAAAUGCUUUAUUUAAUGGCAUUGCCGGAGUUGAAGAGCGUCUACUGGAAGCCAUUGCCUUUCACUCAUCUGAAAGAAAUGGAGGUACUUGGGUGUGAUCAGCUUAAAAAGCUUCCACUCGAUUCCAACAGUGCAAAAGAGCGUAAAUUUGUAAUUCUUGGAGACACACAGUGGUGGAACCGUCUUCAAUGGGAGGAUGAAGCCACUCAAAUUGCUUUUCGUUCCUAUUUCCAAACCUGAUUCCUGAGCGGUGGUCGCAAAAUUUGAUUUCUGGUGAGUGCGUUUGUCUUUUAAAAGAAGAAUUUAAAAGAAAUUUAUUCUUGUCGUUUUCUUCUCUGUUUUUAUUUCAGUUUGUUUCUCUCUCUCUCUUUUUGUCUUCUGCAAAUCACAAUUAAAUGUUGAAUUAAUGGAAUUAAUGCUUCAUAAAUUUGCCGGCACUGCCAGUACUUUUUUUUUUUUUUAAUACGAAUUGAUGCUUUAUUUAUUUCUUCUUAGCGAUUUAAUUUCCUGUCAAAAGACGAGCGAGAAGAACAUAUGACUUAAACCAAUUGAUACUUUAUUUAUGUGCAUUGUAUGUAAUAAAAUUUUCUCUGUUUUUUUCAAAUUGAGGCUUUAUUUAUAUUUUCUUCGUGAAGAGUGAUUUAAUUUCCUGCCAAAAGACAAACGAGAAGAACAUUAGAGUCAAACUAAUGCUCACAUAAAUUUCCCGUAAGAAUAUAUAUAUAAUUAGACUGGAAUGCACACCUCUAGAUUGAACAGAAUUAAAGCUGAGAAAAUAUUGAGUAUAGUAGCCCUCUUUACAGAAAAUGACGCGAAAGUUAAUUUAGAAAGAUAUAUUCUUGAUUAAUCCAUUUUCUGAAGUUUUUUAUUUUGUAUGGUCAAUUAUACCUUCAUACUAAAAAAAAAAAAAAAAAAGAGAAAAUAUGUAAUCCAUGAAUGGUUAAUUUUGUUUGUUUGUUUUUUUUUCUUAAAUAUCAUUCUUUUUCGGCCACCCAAGGACAUUUUCACAAAUACCUUUUGUGUGCAGAAGUCUUCCAAACCAUCAAUGGAAAAAUAAAAAAUAAAAAAAACACGGUCCAGUAUACCUCAAAAUAUCAUUGAUGACUUUUCUGGUCUAAUGCUAUGUAAAUAGUAUGUUAAGUAAAACAUAAUCAGUUCAGUACCUCACAAAUAAUUCGCAAUAUCUACAAAAUACUAUAAUGGCUACAAAACAAAUCCUGCUUGCAAAUUGUCAAGGAUACCUAUCCGUUCGCUUGACAAGUCAUUUGAAUAAAUAUUGUUCACAUUCCUUACUCUGUCAAUUAUCCAAAGCACCAUCAACUUUAGUUUGAAUAGUAUACAUGCCAUCACCGUUACCAAGAAUCAAGCAUGGAAGGGUCAUUCUAUAGAGUGCAGAACAUGACUCUAUGCGGUAGUCAAUUUGACACACGACGAACACCAUAUGCUGCAUAACAUACAAAUUAAUUUCCCAUAUGUGAUGCAAUUUUCUCCUCAACAUAUGCGCAAUUCUUUCCAUUCCGGCAUUUACACUCAAAUUUUCCUUCCUUUCUCUUUGUGGUUGAAUCUUACACCACAACUCAUGUGAUGCAAUCUCCUCUCGCUGCCUAAAUUGCACUCUCAGCAAAGCAGCAUAUGUAAGCAAGCUUGAAGAUAAUCUUGCUGCUCUGCAGAAGAACGGCAAAAGUUAAUCGAAGCAAGGAAUGAUGUAUCAGAAAAUAUUUGGUGGAGAAUUCAGCACAAACAUAUUUCGGAUGAUCAGAAUCAAUAAAACCUGGUGGUUGUGCCAUAUAAACAUCUUUGGAAAGCUGACCUUGAAGAAAGGCGUUAUUGAUAUCCAAUUGAUGAAGAGGCCAGCCAUGACUAACAUCAAUACUAAGAACAAGCCGUACUGUGGUGGACUUAACAACUGGACUGAAAGUGUCAUAAUAGUCCACACCAGGCCAUUGAUUGAACCCUUUGGCAACAAGAUGAGCUUUAAACCUGUCAACAGAACCGUUGGAAUGUCUUUUAAUACAAAAAUCCAUUUGCAGCCAACAAUAUUGGAAGGGAUGGGAGGUGGAACAAGCUUCCAUGUCCCGUUACGAACAAGAGCAUCAUACUCUUCUGACAUAGCUGGACGCCAGUGAAGAUUUUUGAUAGCUUGCGUCACAGUUGUAGGUUCACAAUCAGAAGAAGGGCUAAAAUGAGCACGGAGGUUAAGUUUUUGUAACGGCUUGUGAAUCUUAUUUUUAGCUCGGGUAGUCAUAUCAUGAUGACUUGUGGGGCAAUGAUCUAGUGGAGUUUAGGAAGAUGAUUGAACAGGAAGUGAAGAAGUGCUUUGUGUAGAGGUAGAAGUAGGUUGGGAGGAUUGCUGCGGAGAUGUUACCGGUAGAGAAGAAGGAGCAGUACACGGUGGCAACUCCAGAGGGCCCACAAUAGAUGGAGUAGGUGCCGACAAUGGAGUACUAGGAAAUGAAACAGGAAGAAUUGGUGGAACACUUGCAUAAUUAGGAGUGGUAGAUGAGCUUGUAAUGAUUUGCAUGGAAAAACAAACUCUACAAAUUUAACGUGACGUGAAAUAAAAAUUUGAAAGGUGGAUGGGUCAAAACAUAAAUAAGCACUUUGAGAUAAAGGAAUAUCCUAGAAAAACACAAGGCUUAGAGGGUGGUUCGAGUUUAUGUGAUGAAACACAAACAUUCAAAAAAUUUUAAGUUUAUAUUAAUUAGGAGUGGUACCAAAAAUUAAUUAGCUAUGGGGUUGUUGGAUGUGUUUUGGAUAUUUACAGUUAAGUUUGAGUAUCUCAACUUAAAAUUUGUAGUUUUCACUUGAAAAAAUUCAGUUAAAUUUUGCAAUGCAGACUGAUUGAUUUAUCAGUUUAACGUGUGCCAGGAAUGAAGAACUGGAAUAUCACCGUCAAGCAAGCACCCUGUGGAGCAAUACCAAAGAAUGCACAAUCUGGCUUUGCUAGGUAACACUGGAGGCUUUUUGAAAAGUGCUUCACGCUCACUUGCACAGAUUGAGCAUCCCCUCUGGAUAUUGCCCUCUCUGAUCGAGUCUGAGCACUCAAAUUUUGGUCCUCAGAGGGAGCUACAGUUUUCUCUCCACUAACCAACAAUAUUCUAAACUCAGCACCUAGUGUGAUCAGAGUUGUUGAUAUUUGCAAAUGGAGAUCCCCAUAUUUGCAAAUGGAGACAUUUAACAAAUCACCAACAUGCUUCAUCCGGUCCACGAAAUUCUGCAACUGAUGCAAAUCUGGAACCUGAACCAGAGUCGGAGGUAUAUCUUGAGCCAUAUCUAAAGCAGUUUGAAGUUCAAGACCUUGAGCCCUUGACAAUGGUUUUGAAAUUGGAACAUCUUGGAUUACUGCAGACUUGUACCCCUUGGUUUCAAAGGUAAGGAAAGGCAUUGCUUGAGUACAAUUUGGAGGCAGCUUCUUCACCAAUUUUAUUUGGAGGCGAUUGGCAGCGGAUCCAGCUGCACCAAUUUCAGAGCAACUACUGACACUACUUCGAACAGCACACUGAAGAAGUGAUAUGUCUACGGCGAAGGCAAUGCAGUCCUCAUUUUGGCUUGAGACACAGUAAUCAUCGAAGAGAGUUUCCUUGUGAAACUGGGCAACACAUUGAAUCCCUUCGGCACUGAGAAGGUUGUGGAGGAAGUAAGCUUUCUCUCUAGUAAGGAAGAGGUGGCAUACAUUCCCCAUUUUGUCUAGGGCAGGUAGGAAUCUUUUUUCUAAGAGAUUUACUUCAUUCUCUGUGAGAAAUGCUUUGAACUUCAUCCCUCUGUCUCUAUCCUCACUUAUCAGUAAAAUAGUUGAAAGCGCUACAAGGAGAGAAAAGAAGAGUAUUAAGAUAUAUAUAUUAUAUAGACAAGAAAAACAUUAGAUGUCGAUCUUACAAGCUAAUACUUCAAACAAUAUCCUAGAAAGCUAAAAACUGCAAGAUGGCUUGAAAUUUGAAAAGAGCACGUGCUUUUCCUCCUUAACUUGAGAAAAUGUUUAAUAUAGUGCACCUUACAGAAGCAUUUAAGCAAUUAGAACUUUGCACAAAAACAUCAAGAAGACUAAACAAGUCAGAUGCAGUGUAUUUGUCCAAGCACAAAUUGCAUUUUGUCCUCAACUUUAAUAUUUAUUGAUGAGAAUCAAUACAGGUCCCUCAUUUGUUAUAGAAAGCUUUCUUGUAGUCUCACCAGUUAAUAUGGAUAUUAGAUAAGGAAACUUUAUUAGGUUGCGAGGGUAAAAAAGGAAAGAGAUAUCAUUAUUUUAUUAUCGAUAAUUAUUAAAUUUUUUUCCAAAAAAAAGAACAAGCAAGGAUAUUUUAUUGUCAAUUGCAACCUUUAAUUUUUUUAAAUGCUAUUAGAAACACAAGAUAACAAAAAUGUAGUGAGAUGGGAUCUCCUGCAUGCCACUCUGGUUUAGAACACAAAGAAUGUGUCUGCAUAAAUAUCCUCUGAAAUUGAACAACCCACAAACACAAAGCACCUCCAAGUCGGAGGCAUUGUACAAAACAUCAAAAGCCCUUGAAUCCUUCUCGUUGCCACCAACCUCGAAUUCUUCCUUCACUAUGUAUGUUAUAGGUCCAUCAGAACUAAUAUGUUUUGUGCUAUAGUAAGAGUACAUAGCCUCCACCUCCAUCUGAAACUUCCUUAACAUUUCAUUUGUGUACAGUUUUGAGAGUUGAAAUUCAUAGUAACAUCUUGGUUUCCGGAUACAACUUGAAUUUCUUGAAUCCAUAUCUGCCAAGGCUACCAGUUGAUAAUUCGCCUGCAGUGCUUGAUCAUACUUGUCUAAGAAUUCUUUCAAAGGAGUAUUCUUAUCAAGAUAUCCUUCAAAGUAUGAAGUAGAAACCUCAUUCUGCAGGAACGAAAACACUCCUGAUAAAAAAGCUUCCUUCAAAUAAAUAGGAGCCCACCUUUUAUGAUCUUCAUAUAAAGUUUGAAUCCAUCCGUGAUCCUUUAUUCCAUGACAUUGAAUCAUGUCUUCCCAAGCUGCUUCAAAUUUCUCAGGCCUGAGAGAGUGAUAAAUUGCUCUAUGUAAUGCAGCUUUAAUAGCUUCAUAUUCAAACAAUCCUUGGAGUUUCUCUGGAAUUUUUUUGCAUGAUGCAUGACAAUGAAAAGAAAUGAUAAGCUCUUGGGAAAACAUCACCAACAGCAAUUUGCAAGAUUCUACAUUGGUCAGUGAUGAUUGUUUGUGGAGAGCGCCCUAACAUACAUGUAAGCCACGCCGUAAACAACCAUGUAUAUGAUUCUAUGGUCUCACUGGCAAGUAAACCACAACCCAACAACACUGAUUGUCCAUGAUGAUUCACCCCAAUGAAUGAAACCAGUGGUACAUCAUAUCUUUCAGUCAGGCACGUAGUAUCAAUUAAGACCACAUCACCAAAGUACCUAUAUGCAACUCUUGACCUGGUAUCAGUCCAGAAUAGGUUUUUCAAGCAUCCCUUUUCAUUUAGAUCCACUACAUUAAAAAAGUUUGGAUCUGUCAACUGCAAAUGACAAAAGAAACUCUGGACAGCUUGUGCAUCUCCUGGUUUAAGCUUCAAUUGAUUUGAGCUAUUAACAUUAUUUCCAAAUACUCCAUUAACAUCUACCAUUUCCCUUGGUAUCAAUGAUAAGAGUUCGAAACAGUUUAAUUUUUUGAACUUCUUCAGCACUAUCUAAAUGCAAUGUUCUUUUGGUUCCAAUACCUAUGUGCUUAUGUGACUUGUAAAACUUUCCGCUUCUUGGGCUUAACAAGUGGUUAUGCUCAAGCUCGACUUCAAUGAUUCUCCACCUUUUGGUUUCCAUCAACCUAAACUUUAUCAUUGCUGGACAGCCAGUUCUUGUUUCUGGUCUUGGGCGGUUUGCCUCGCUUUUCUUCUUGAAGCCUGCACUACUACAGCUCAGCUUUCCUCUAUACUUUUCUCUACUCUUUCGGUACCAUGGAUUGCUAACUCUAACACCAAAACCCUGUUCCUUGGCAUAGCAAUUGUAAAAGUAAUAUACAUCAUCAUACAUCUCAAACUCCAUUCCAACAGUAGGAGGCAAGGGAUUUUGGAUUAUCCCAGUUUGUCCAACAUAUUCAGUCAUCGCACAAUCUCCUACAACCUCAAAAUCAUCAGUGUCAUCAUCACCUACUGGUUCGGUGUUGAGAGAAACUUCAUCCAUCUACAAUGGAUGUUCAAUGAAGUGAGCUUUAAGGAGAAAAAGCAAAAUCUGUUCAAGGAAUGAUAAUAUAAUCAUACAGUUACUUUCACAAAGCUUCAUAUUUCAUCACUGCUUUACCAACAUGCAACUGCCAGAGAACAAACAGACAUGUCAUAGACGCUUGAAUUAAGUAUUGGUACAAAUGAGCACACAUCAUGUGGGACAAAAUUUCAGUCACUAAACCCAAUACCACUUUUUACAUCAUACCAAGGAACAGAUUAAACCCGACACCUUCUUUUAAACCAUACCAAGGAACAGAUUAAAUCAUCAAUGAAAAAUUAAUCACAUAAUAACUUAACCAGACAAAUGAAGAGCCUGAAACAGCACAAAACUUGAAUCUGAUUAUGAUAAUUGUUGAGUCCUUGUAUCUACAGCUUUCCUUCAAUGAUAAGACAAUGAACAUAAACGAGACACAAAAAAAUUAUUUUAAACUGACAGCCCAUGAUAUAAAUCAAACAAAAUCAACUCCUUUUUUUACACAUUACAUCUCAUAUUCAUUUACAUUGAAACACAAAAAGGAAGCAGGAGUGGGAAAAAAACAACAGCAGAGGAACUUAUUUCCAUAAGGUUUACGAAAUAAGGAAUCUAUUAAAACCCAAAACUUGAGGUCACCACUAAGAAUUUGGUUCUCAUUAUUUUUUUCUUCAUUUUUCACCAAUUGAUGAACUUAAAAUACAAUCAUAAAUGAUAAAACCCCAUCUCCAUCUUUUUGAACUAGAGCUAAAGCAAAGCAUUUUAAGAUGUUUCAUCAUUUUUUUUUUUAAAAAAAACUCAAUAGUACAAUGUUUUUCAAUGCUAAAUGCACAAUUCAAUCUUCUCCUAAUUUACUCUAAUAAUCUCUUAAUUAAGGAAGAUUAAGCUUCAGUUGUAAGCUAAAACAAAUUUCUUAAAUCAAGCCCCAAUGCUUUAUGCUAUUCAACAAGGGCUCAUAAAUGAUAAAACUACUUCUAUAAAGAUACCCAUUUUCUAAAUUAAUUUCACAAACUGAAAUCAAACUCCUGAAACGUAACGAGCAUUAAUAUAAUCAAGCCCGAACAAGAAUUGAAAAAUGAUACAUAAACUCGUUUACACAUUUCGACAGACACUUUGCAAUCAAUGAGCAAAAAAUUAAUGGAGAAGAUAAAAUUCAAACGAAACAUGCCUUACAUUGAUAAAUUAGAAGGGCAAAAGAAAUUUUAGUACGAUAUGCGAUCAGGGUCUUGCCACGGUGAUGUUAUUUGUGAAGUUCGAGCGACUCAGCAGCCUUCGAGGUUGAAAAUUUGAUUGACCAAAAGCUUCCCGUUCGUUGAUUCUCUAAUAGUAGAAACGAGACUGGCAGUAUACACAAGAAGUUCGCCGAUUUUAAAUUCCGUUGUUUGAGAUGGAAAAUUUUUUGAAAAAAUUAAUGUGUUCGAUGAAAAUCAAAAUCUCAAAAACCUCUUGUUUUUCAUUUUUUUGGAAAAAACCAUUGAGAUCCUUACUAUUUUUUCUUAUAUCAUCUUCCUUAAUAAUUUGCAAAGUCUAUCGCAUAGCACCCAUGUAUGAUGUAUGCUGCGUUGUAAUUUACAAAAUUGCACAUGAAUAAAUCCAGCUAAAAUUUGUUAAAAGAAAAUAAUAAUAACAUGUUAAAACUUUAAAAUUUGAUUAUUCGAAGAAAUUUUAAUUUAGUUAAGUAGGUGACAUGAUAAUAAAUAGAUACGUAUAAUGUCCGAGAUUUUUUAUAAGAUUAAUAAAUAUGAUAAAUUUGGAUUAGUUCAAUUUUGACAUAAUUCAUAAUAAACACAGCUUGCUAAUCUAAAUUGCCACCGUUACUCAUCAUCAGGUACCUGUUUGAAAAAUAAUUACAAACAAUUUUAUUUGUGUUGUUUCUCUAAAAGUUUGAGACACAAAUGUUAUUUCAAAUUGAUAAAAGUACGAAAAUUCCCCCUUGCUCUUCAACUAAAAAUGAAACAUGCAAAUAUACACACUAAUUUAGAUGUGUGAAUAACAAAUAUGGAACGACACAUGCAAAGUCAUCUGUAUAAUUGAAACGCCAUGCACUAGUAGUAGGUAAGAGAAACCAAGGUUGAAGUUGCUCCAAUGGUUACUGUUAAUUUAUUUUUAUUUAUGAUUUUUUUUGUAAAAUGUAAGAAAUAUGUAGAAAUGUUGCCAGCAAUGAUUUUGGAACUUUGCAUAAAAUUUUUAUCAUUAUUGUUUUUGGUAUUAAGAAAUCCGAGGCGGUGAUUAGACGUAUGUUGCAACAAUUAAGAAAUUUCUUAUUGGAGAUAAUUUGGUAGGUUUGCAGCAAUUAGAGAAUAAUUUUCCUGCCAGUUAAUCAAUCAAUAAUAAAUUUCAAAUUGCAGAAAAUAAAAUAAUACAGCCUCACUUAGAAUCAUCUUUUCUAUCUCUUUCAAUUGUGGCAAUCAUUUGCAACAAAUAAAUCAAUUUGAUGCACAUCAUUUCCCCAAUUCAAAGUUCAAGUCACUGCUCAAUUACAGAGUAGUUAGUGGACAUGCAUGCAUGUUUAAUUAAGUACUGCAUUGUAGUAUCGAAAAUCAUAACAUCUCACCAAUAUCAGAUUAUUAACCAUGGAAAUCAUAUCACAAUAUCAUAUAGAAUUCACAAAUCUGAAAAUCAUCACCAAACAAGUACCCAGAGAAAUAAUCUCGUCAUAUCCAGACCUCAACGGACGGGCAAUGACGUACUAUUUGGGUAACGUCACACCCUGGAGCUACACGGAUAAAUAGGAAAAUACCAUCUCAUAUCUCAUCAUAUUUGUGCAUGCAUAAUCUAGUCCCCAAGGGACAAAAGCGCCCAAGCACACGGCCCAAAGCCUCUAUGUGUACUCAGACGGGCCCCAAAGGCCUGUAUCUCAUAUGUAUCAUAUGUAUCAUUUGUAUCUCAAUAUCUGUUUGUAUCUCAUUUCCGUAUAUCUAUAAUCAUCAUACCGCAUGCAUAUGCCCCCAAAAGACAAAAGCGCCCAAACACAUGGCCCAAAGCCUUUAUAUGUGUUUAGACGGGUCCCAAAAGCCUCUUAUCUCAUCUUAUCUGUAUCACUGUAUCUGGAGAGAAGGGUACUGUCUAAUGAUUUAAAAAACAAUCAUUAUACUCAUAUUUACAUACCUCUUAAUCAUAUUUGAAAUCAUAUCACAUUUGAAUCCACUUUUCUAAUCUUUAAAAUAUUAUCAUGCUUUAUUCAAAGUCGAUACGCAAAAUCAAUAACCAAACAUUUUAAAUCAAAUUAUUAACCAUGGAAAUCAUAUCACAAUAUCAUAUAGAAUUCACAAAUCUGAAAAUCAUCACCAAAUAAGUACCCAAAGAAAUAAUCUCGUCAUAUCCGGACCUCAACGGACGGGCAAUGACGUACUAUCUGGGUAACGUCACACCUUGGAGCUACACGGAUAAAUAGAGAAAUACCAUCUCAUAUCUCAUCAUAUCUGUGCAUGCAUAAUCUAGUCCCCAAGGGACAAAAGCGCCCAAGCACACAGCCCAAAGCCUCUAUGUGUACUCAGACGGGCUCCAAAGGCCUGUAUCUCAUAUGUAUCAUAUGUAUCAUUUGUAUCUCAAUAUCUGUCUGUAUCUCAUAUCCGUAUAUCUAUAAUCAUCAUACCGCAUGCAUAUGCCCCCAAAAGACAAAAGCGCCCAAACACAUGGCCCAAAGCCUUUAUAUGUGUUCAGACGGACCCCAAAAGCCUCUCAUCUCAUCUUAUCUGUAUCACUGUAUCUGGAGGGAAGGGUACUGUCUAAUGAUUUAAAAAAUAAUCAUUAUACUCAUAUUUACAUACCUCUUAUCAUAUUUGAAAUCAUAUCACAUUUGAAUCCACUUUUCUAAUCUUUAAAAUAUUAUCAUGCUUUAUUCAAAGUCGAUACGCAAAAUCAAUAACCAAACAUUUUAAUAAAAUACCAAUGCAUAAAUAAAAUUCAUUUCGAGAAAUCAUUAAAUCAGAACAUUUAAAAUACUUAUUUCGCAAACAUGCUUUACUAUCAUCGCUAACUAUGAAAAUAAGUUUUGUAUAUUCCACUUUCAGUGAUGGUGUUCACGGUCGGUUAUCGUCCAUAUCUGCAGACCGAUUCUCGCUCGCGAAUCCUCCUAAAUCAAGGAAACGACAUAAUUAUUUUUUGUAAAUCGGAAUUAUGACUAAAUUUUAUGCAAUAAACUCAAAACGAACAUCUAUUCAUAAUUGACAACUCCUAUAUCCAUAAAAUUACUAAAAUAUCCUUGAGUCCGUAGAUCAUUAACAUGCUCCGAAAUCGUAAAUCACUGAAUUACCCUCGGAAUCGUAAUUACACCCGAUCCUCAAUUAUAGGAAUUACUAACAGAUCCACAGGCUUAGAAAUUACAAAAUUGCCCUCGUAGUGUGAAAUUACCAAAAGCCGGAAGUUGGUCAACAAUGGCUAGGAAGCUCAAAUCGUAAAGUUCCAAUCACGCUGAGUUCAAUGGUACCGGCGGUGAGCUCCAACGCGCGACAACGAUGCCAGAAUCUAGCUCGGCAGCCGUGAAUUCCACCAAUCGACCGGCGGCACAACAGUGACUCUCGGUGCCUAUGGAUGGUCGAAAAUGGAAGAGGGAGCCGUGGGGAACAAAAUCCAACCGGUGGUGUCACCAAAACCGGUGAAAAUCCCGGCGGAGCAAAGUGAAACAGUCGCGGGUUUCAUGCUUCGAUCGCCGGUGUUCCGAUUGGUUUUUGGCGAGGAGGAUGGCAAGGGAACGACAGCCGGCUUCUAAGCUUCAGAUUGGUACCAAGCUCGGCCGAAACGAUGGCCGGAAAUGGGAGAUAUGACCGGGUCAAGGUCGCGGGUUCCGGGUCGGGUUUUUUGGUCUGUAGUUGGGUCGGUUUGGUAGCUUCUCUCUCACUCUCUGUUACACGUGCAUAUGUUUCCUCUGUUUCCAGCUUAUUCUUUUGCUUUUACUAACUUCUUAACCGCCUCAUACUUAUUCAUUUUUAAUUCACAUAUGUUACAAUAAUUCCCGAGUAUUAAAUAACCAGUGGUCAUAAUUUUUGUACAAGAUUCUUUUUUUUUUUUGGAGAUCGUUAAAAGUGGUUGACGAUCCAUUUCGUAAUAUCAUAGAGGGAUCAUCAAUUCCUUUUCUUUUCUGUGGCUAGGCAACACUUUUUGGCCAAAGUAAGGAAAUCUAUUUUAGGUAAUGUAAAAACCAGUUGUAGGAUGUAAUAGUUUAUUAUGCACUGACAAUAACUUUUUGUAUAAUUGUCAGUUUAAUGAAUGCAAGAGGAACUCUGUUGGCAAAUUCAUCCAAGAUAGAUGCUAAAAUUAUUUAUGCAUGCCAGUUGCCUUAACUAAGUUUUCUCAGCACUGGUUUUGAACAGGAAAAUGAAUAUGCAAUUUGUAUAUUGUGCCAUAGUGGAGAAUUUGGAUAUUCUUAUUUAAGUAACAAGGAGAUUAUUUGCCUCAUCUUUAAACAAUGAAUCUUUGAGAGAUGAGGAGUGGGUGAUUGGAUGUGUCUUCAUGUAAUUGUUCAUUUAUUUGUAUUUUGAACUGUUAUGAAAAUCUUUAUAUGCCAAAUUAGUAAUACAAGUAUUCAGAUGAUUUUUCCUAUUGAUCAUGCAUUUGUAUCUGCCCACAACCAUUGUAUAUCACUUUAUUCUGAUGCGCAAGCAUCUGUAAUUUAGAAGAAAAGAAAUAAUAAUCAUAUUUUAUUGCUUGGUUCAUGAUUAUUAACGAUUAUGGCUUUAAAAAUCUACAAAUUUCUUGUGUUCAUGUAUGAAUGUGCCAAGUUUGCUGUAUCUUAGAUUACCUUCUUCCAAGGUAACAAGUUCAUAUAUAUAUAUUUUUUAAAUCAUUUUCCAUUACAGUUGAAUUUCAAGUGUUAGUUUUGUUAUUAGUACCUGGUUUCCUGUUAUAAGGAUCUAAUAAACAGUGUACGGAUAUGUGCUCUACUUUUGGAGGGCUUCCACGUGAAAGAAAAUUACAACAAUUGAAUUCUUCCGGAGGAUAUGGUAAUUAAUUUAUUUUCUCAACUUCUUGUAAGACUAAUAUAUUUCCUUCAGUAGGCACAGCAUGGUGGGAAGGGUUUUUAUUGAAAGAAUUCUGAUAUUUCUUAGACUUUGUUUUGGAAGGGGGUGGAGGAAUUUCUCAUCCAUAUAUGGUUACUUGAUUAGCUUUUGACUGUAUUGUCUCUGUCGUGCAAAGGAAAAUCUAAAUACUAACGAUGGGGAAUUGCUUAGGCACCCAAAAGGCAGAAAUGAAUUACAGAAGGAAGUUUUUGCUGCUUUAUUUAGUGCUGCUGAGAAAUCUGAUGAAUUUCCUGAAAUUACGGUGAAGACCGAGUGGAGGUCCAAAGCAUUAGGAAAGGUGGUGAGUGAACUGCCGGAGGAAUUUGUACCAAAAUACAAGGCUAAUGUGGUGCACUUGCAGCAAGAUAACCAGACCGGUAUGUGCUCUUAUAUUAACUAUAUUGACUGGAUUUGUGAGUGUGUGCAUUUUUUUGUGUAUACUCACUUUUGUAUUUAUGCAUAUUAACAUGUGUAGGAUUCUUGAUUUCUGCCACUUACUGGAGAACUAGUGGAAAGCUUUAUAUUGAUAUAUCUGCAAUAACUAAUGGAAACUAUGAUAUGAAUAUUUUCUCUCACCUGGGGAGCUGUGUAACAGAUAUACUUUGUGGCUCUGGAAUGCUGAAGAUUCUGCAAUAACUAAUGGAAAAUAUGAUAUGAAUAUUUUGUCUCACCUGGAGAACUUUGUUACAGAUACCCUUUGUGGCUCUGGAAUGUCUAAAGAAUGCUUUAGUUAGAUCAAAUAUCUUUUAGUUAGAAAAGAUAAAAUUCUCUGAGUCUGAAAGACUGAAACAUUUUGCAUAUUUUGUGAAAGGGAAAUAUCUGUUGAUACUAGCUCAUGCAUUGAGGUAAUAUCGAUGUUAAAGAAAAACAGCAAUGAUUUAUGAUAUAGAAUUGGGUUCACUUGCUUCAAAUGCUGGUCUGAUCAACCAUAUCAACCUGUAAUGAUUCUGCAGAAAUAUAUAUACAUGGAGAAAGUAGCUAAAUUUUUCUUUCAUUUAUGGGUUCGGUCUUUUUUCCCCUUAUUUUUCAGCUUUCCUUCUCCUGAAGUAUGUUAACAAUUGCAGAUAAUGAUGAAGACGACAGCUUCCGGGCUCUCCUUAGAGCCGUGAUGGAAUAUAGGGGCACAAUGAAGGAAUAUUGUAAAGCUGUAGGUACUUUUUCUCCUUUCAUUUAUGUUUUCUCACACAUUUUGUAUAUGCCCUGAACAUGCACCUUUGUAUGUAUCAAUUGACUUUUAAAUUUUAAAAGCCAUAAAGUAAGAAUACGGUUCCUUGUCAGGCUACUGAUGACAUUCGCUCAGGGGGAUCAUGUUCGAGCAGGAAAAUUUCUAGAACAGGUAAGGUUUCCAUCUACAGCCAUCCAUUGACAGCAGAUACAUUUUCAUUCAGCAGACUCUGUUAGCAUUCAAGAUGCUGGCAGAUUCACUUGAUUCUUAUUAGCUUGUUUAGUGGCAAAGCCUAUAACCUGUAUUUCAAAGCCAAGUUGUGCUAUUGAUUAUGUUAACUUUUUUGUUAACAUAAAAUGAUAUGGAGGAAAUAAUCAGUGUUGGAAAAUUAGGUGAAAAGAUGAUGUCAAAUCUUGAACCUCUUACGAAACUCUAAGUUCUUUACUUGAAGAGGCUACGAAAUUUGAACAGCGUCUACUCGAAGGCCUUGCCAUUCCCUGAUGCAUGCAGAAUUUUUGUAUUUAAAUGCCCAGAGCUUAAGAAGCUGCCACUGGAUCUUGAAGGGGCAGACCAAGGUAAAAAUCUUAUCAAGGGAAAGGAAGAUUGGUGGAAACAACUUAAUGGGAGGAUCAAGUAACUCAGAAUGCAUUGCUUCCAUUUUUUAAAUUGACUGACAAGUGAUUGAACGGGGCAUCAUCAACAUCAUCAACAGGGAUGGAGAGAUACCGGAGCAGAUCAGCAGGGUUUGAAUAUGACCUUUGGCGGUUGCUUUUUUUUUGUGAUUUUUUUUUCAUUUUUUCCUUCCUGUCAUUUUAUCAUUUCUUUCUCUGUUUCUAUUGCGGGUGUUACUGCAUGCUUACUGUUGCUUGACAAAGUUUGCUAGCUUUUUGUUUGCAGUGUUGCUAUACACUCCGAGUCAAGCCUCGAAAAUUUAUUAAACGAAGCCGUUUCGACAGUAACAAUUCUUUUCUUUUCCCUUUGCAUGUCUCUUUCAUCUGCUGUUUCUCUAUCACUUUUCAUUUUUGAUUUCCUUGCUUCUCAGCUGCCCCUAAAUUGUUAUUCUAGCAAUAUACUUUCUCAUCUUUGAAUUUUCAUCCUUGAGUACUCCCACAGCCGUAAUUUCAUCAUCAUAGACUUCACUUGGAAUGCUGUAUUUUUUCGAUUCUUGAGCUACUUCAAUUACAUCUUAGUAUAGGAUCCUCAUCUUCCUUUAUUUCUUCAUCUUAUGAGGUAAUAAAUGGAUUUCACAACUCAUCUACUUUUAAGCAAUUACAUAUUAUACCUUGAAUGAUUCAACUGUUCUGACAGUUAAAGAUUUUAUGCUCAACCUGCAGUGCUACGAACAUUGUCCAUGAAAGAUGAGUUUCAGCAUAUAAAAUGAAAUAUAGAUGUUUAAUCUAAAAUAACCCUUCACUGCCAGAAACCUAGGUCACAAAAUUCACAGAUAAUGAUAAAGAGCUAAAAAAUUUGAAAAACUCUACAGAUCACACAUCAAGCAAGAUAUCAUGUUUUUUUCCCUCAUUCAGUGGUGAUUGAUUCGCUUUUUGAUGAUGGAUAUGGUAUAAAAGUGUUGACCCAAUUUCAAGCAAACACAAAUAGAAACACAAACACAAUCGGGACUAGAGUUGUGGGCGAUUAUCUUAGGUGUACAAGUGAAACGGUGGUGGCUGUCGAUGGUGGUAGUGGGGUGGUUGGGUAUGCGUGAUGGCUAGAUUUUAGGACAAUAAUGAUUGGAGUUGACCUCAAUCAACGAAGGAAAGUGACAACAAUUUUGACAUCAAACGGUGCAUUUUUUAGCUUAGUAAAAUGGAGCCGUUUCGAUUUUGGGGUUUAAUCCGGGGUUUGACUCGGUGCAAGUAUCAUUUUCCUUUUGUUUAUUAAAUUUUUUUAUGGUCACAAAGUAUCACUCGUUCUAUUUGAGAGUCAUGUGAAUCAAUUUUUCAAAUUUUCAAUUUUAAAUUUUGUGGUCAAUGUGAAUUCAAUUUCAUUUGUCUCCUGCAAUUAUGAAAAAAUUAAAUAGUCAUAAUAUGGAAAAAUACACCGGUAAAAACUUUGUAAAAGCUUCGGAGUGAUACGGGGAAUUCACUUACUACUAAGGACAAUUGGUGGCAAGCUAUUCCAUUCAUUUUAUGUCCAUCCAUCUAUUUAGUUAUUGAAGAUAAGUGGUCCAUUUGUAAAUUUCAGAUUGUCUCUCUCUCCCUCUUGAAAUAACAAUAUUUAAUAUAUCUCAUAAAUUAUUAUAAAUUUUAAUUUACUCUCGAUUUAAAAUGGAGCAUGUCGAUAAAUUUUUUUUCUUCUUAAUAAAAUUGACGUAAGUUGUGUUUACAGUAGUUUGAAGUUUGAAAUAUUUUAAAGAUUAUUAUUCUAUAAGGGAGUAAUAUGAAAUGAUAUUUACUUUUCAUGUGUGAAAUGAAAAAGGACGAAGCAAGUGUCCCUGCUUUUAUUUUAUUUCAAGGAGGAGUCAUCUCACAUACUUUAGCUCUUAACAUUACAUUUUUUCUGGUUACAUUUUUUAUUUAUUUAUUUUUUUUUUUUUACACAUGCGUGUGGGUUGCUUUUCUGUAAGCUCCUUAAUAUAUAUUUAAGACAAAUCAUGGAAGAGAUGGGAUUAUAUCAAGAUGAUCAAAGAAUGUUAAAAAAGAAAAAAGAAAAAAAAAAGAAGUAAGACACUGAAAAUGGAGAAGAGAUGGAAGCAAAAGAUAUUCCAAAACAAAGCAAUCUAUCCCCUUUCGAGGGCAGACUUAUCAGGUUUAAAAAAGUACACGCUUUGGAUUGGUAGUUGCAAUCAAGGGAAAAUAAAUAGGAUCCAAUGAAAUUUAAAUCUCGGAGAAAAUAAAUAAUCAUGCAGAUUUUCAAGAUUUUAAUAAGGGAUACUAAUAUCUUAUUUUGAUUAAUAAUAUCCUUUCAUUGUGUUAACUCAAAAAAUAUAUAUUUUAAUGUUUUGCAAUAAACAGAAACGUACUAUUAAAAUGAAUAUAUAAAGAAUUUAGAAAAUUUUGAAUGUUAUAUAAAAUAAUUUUAAGAUAAUGCGUGAGAUAUAUUUUAUUAAUUUAAAAUGUUAUUUUACCUAAAAAAUAUGAUAAAUUAAUAAUUACAUAUUUGAAGUUAUUUUAAAUAUUAAAAAAAUUUAAUAUUAUUAAUCUUUUAGAUAGAUUAAAUUAUUUUUUAUAAGAGAUAGAUUAAAUUAUUUUAAAAUACGUUAAUUGUUUUUACUUUUAACGUUACCGGCCUUUCUUUUAUUUUAUUGCAAAUUAAUGCUAACAAGAAAAAGCUAGAUCAUAUUCCACAAAAGCAAAAGUGACAAACACAACCAGCUGGAAUCUUUUAAUUACUAUUCAAUAAUUCGAGACGAUUAGGGUCUUUUAUUAAACUACAAAUUGUAUAGUCUUUUUAAAAUUGUUAUAAAUUGGUGGCACCUACAAUCCUCAAUAAUUGUACCGAUAUUCACAAGUUGGUGGCCCCUACAAUUCUGUUCGGAUAAUUUAACUGUGCAAGUGCUCAUUCACAAUAAUUGUUUUGUUUUUUUUUUCUGCAUUCCCUUUCAUGCUCUUAAUAAUUGAAGAGCAUACUUUUCAUUUUCAAAUGUGGAGCCGCAGCUAAUGUCGCUAAUUUAAUUUGGGAUUAAAUUAGGGGACCAUUAUAUUGCAGUGUGCACUAAUUUUUGUGUUUAUCUAAACUCCUUAAAUUUAAGACAUAUUAUGGCAUAAAUAAGAAUAUAACAAUAGCAAAAGAGUUAAAAAGUGUAGAGAAGAUCUUGCAGAAAUAUAAAUAAUAUCUAUUUUAAAAUAAUAUCAAUAUUUAAAAUAAUUUUUAAUAUUUUAUGAUUCAUUAGAUAUAUUUUAUUAUAUUAAAGUAAAUUUUAUAAUAAAUAAAAACAUACUAUUAAAAUGAAUAUAUAGAAAAUUUAGAGUAUUUUAAGUAUUAUAUAAAAUAAUUUUAAUAAAAUAUGUGAGAUAUUCAUAUUUUAUUAAUUUAAAAUACCAUUUAACCUAAAGAUUUAUUUAUGAUAAAUUAAUAAUUAUAUUUUUGAAGUUACUUCAAAUAUUAAAAAUAUUAAUAUUACUAAUCUAUUAGAUAGAUUAAAUUAUAUAUAUUAUUUUCUAUUUAUUAAAAAAUUUAAAAUUAUUUUUAAUUACUAUUCAAAAAAUAUAAUGAUAAAAAAGAAUCUUAACAUCUUUAUUAAAAAUUUAAAAAUUUACAUGAUCAAUUCUCUAAAUAUUUAGGGUUAUAUGUGAACAACGGUGGAGAAGCUUUAUUUAAUAUUAUUGAUUUAAAUAAUAUGUCAAUUAAAAAUGUACAGAGAAGGAAAUUUCGGUGGGUAUUUUAGUCUUUUCAGCAAUUAUCAUGAUCAGAUCAGCCUUUAGCCUUGAAUCGUCGGUCAGAAAAGUUUUAAAAUUAACGCUAACAAGAAAAAGCUAGGUCAUAUUCCACAAAAGCAAAACUGACAAAACAACCAGCUGGUUUCUUUUACUAAACUACAAAUUAAAAGUGGAUUCUUUUGAAUGCAAGUGGGACAGACGAUUAGGCUCUUUUUAUUAAAGGCAAGUAAAAACUAGUCGAAUAGUCUUUUUCAAAUUGUUGUUUUAUUAUUUUUCCUUCAAAAGUUAGUGUGGCUCAUGUUUGCAGGUGCGAAUGUGGGUCCCGAAUCAUUACUAAAAUUUCUAUUCCACAGCCCACCGCAGCUUCAGUUAAUCAAACUCAAAUCAAUUUUCUUUCUUAACAAAAUAUUCCAAAGAUGUGUAGCAUUUUUCAGAUCACAUGCGAUGGUGCUCUUUUCAAUCGUUGCUUGGAUUGCUUUCUUGGAAAAGCAGCAUACAUACGUAACCUCCAAGAUAAUGUUGAUACCUUGGGCACUGAAUUGGGAAAUCUGAUCGCUAGAAAGAACGAUCUGAUGAGGAGGGUUGUCGAUGCUGAACGGCAACAAAUGAGAAGGCUGGACGGAGUGCAAGUGUGGGUUUCGAGGGUGGAUUCUGUUAAAACUGAAGCUGAUCAAUUUAUAAGAGACGGCUCUCGAGAAAUUGAAAAAUUAUGUGUUGGAGGCUACUGUUCCAAGAAUUGCAUGUCAAGCUACAAGUUCGGGAAAAAAGUGGCUAAAAAGCUACGGGAUGUGCGGACUUUAAUCAGUGAAGGAGUUUUUGAGGUGGUGGCUGACAGAGCUCCAGAGUCUGUAGCAGAUGAAAGACCUACUGAGCGAACAGUAGUAGGCUUGCAAUCACAACUUGAACAAGUCUGGAGAUGUCUUGUAGAAGAAUCAGCGGGAAUCAUUGGCCUAUAUGGUAUGGGCGGUGUUGGUAAAACUACACUACUGACCCAUAUCAACAAUAAAUUUCUCGAGAGUCCAACCAACUUUGAUUGUGCGAUUUGGGUUGUAGUUUCAAAAGACCUGCGACUCGAAAAAAUUCAAGAAGAUAUUGGGAAAAAGAUAGGUUUGGUUGGUGAUUCAUGGAAGAGUAAAAGUGUAGAGGAGAAAGCUGUCGACAUCUUCCGGAGUUUAAGAGAGAAGAGAUUUGUAUUGUUGUUAGAUGAUAUAUGGGAGCGGGUUGAUUUAACAAAGGUGGGCAUUCCACUUCCCGGACCAAAAAAUACUACCUCAAAAGUCGUAUUCACAACCCGUUUCAUCGAUGUUUGUGGUAGCAUGGAAGUUGACAGGAAGUUUCAAGUAGCAUGCUUAUCAGAAAAGGAUGCUUGGGAACUGUUUCGAGAAAAAGUUGGGGAGGAAACUCUUCAGAGUCAUCAUGAUAUCGAUGAGCUAGCCCAAAUUGUGGUCAAAGAGUGUGGUGGUUUGCCACUCGCACUUAUUACUAUUGGUCGAGCUAUGGCCUACAGAAAGAAAGCGGAGCAGUGGAGACGUGCAAUUGAAGAGUUAAGGAGAUCAGCUUCAGAGUUUGCAGGUUUGGGAAAAGAGGUUUAUCCUCUUUUAAAAUUCAGCUAUGAUAGUUUGCAGAAUGAUACGGUUAGAUCUUGUUUCUUGUACUGUUGUUUAUAUCCUGAAGAUUAUGGCAUUCUUAAAUGGGACUUGAUUGAUUGUUGGUUUGGCGAGGGAUUUUUUGGGGAAUCUGACAGGUCUGGUGCAGAAAACCAAGGAUAUGACAUUUUGGACACUCUUGUUCGUGCGUGUUUAUUAGAAGAGGUGGAAGAUGAUGAAGUAAAAAUGCAUGACGUUAUUCGUGAUAUGGCUAUAUGGAUAACUUGUGAAAUUGAGAAGGAGAAGAGAAACUUUUUGGUUCGUGCAGGUGCUGGAUUAAAAGAUGCACCGGGUGUUAAAGGAUGGGAAAAUGUGAGAAGAUUGUCAUUGAUGCAAAACCAAAUUGAAACUCUGGCAGAGGUUCCCACAUGCCCUCAUCUCCAUACUCUAUUUCUUGACUUUAAUAGGGGGUUGGAUAUGAUCGCGGAUGGCUUCUUUCAAUUUAUGCCUUCUCUCAAAGUUUUGAAGAUGUCAAACUGUUCGAAUUUGAAAUUACCUGUUGGGAUGUCAGAGUUGGGUUCAUCACUAGAACUUCUUGAUAUUUCAGAAAACAGCACAAGAGAGUUACCGGAAGAGUUAAAGAAGUUGGUAAAUCUGAAAUGUUUGAAUUUGAGGUGGACAGAGCAUUUAAAUAAAAUUCCACGGCAACUAAUAUCAAAUUCUUCAAGGUUACGUGUGUUGAGAAUGUUCGCUACUGGCCGGUUCAAUUUUCAUGAAGCACCAGAAGACAGCGUUUUAUUUGGUGGGGGUGAAGUUUUGAUACAGGAAUUGCUCGGUUUGAAAUAUUUAGAGGUAUUGGAGUUGACCUUGGGAAGUUAUCAUGCUCUCCAAAUUCUUUUGAGCUCAAAUAAGUUAAAAAGUUGUAUUCGAUCUCUUUACCUCGAGUUGACCGGAGAUACAACGUCAAUUAUUGAUGCUACGGCUUUCGCAGAUCUAAACCACCUCAAUGAAUUACGGAUUGAUAAUGGUAUUGAGUUGGAAGAGUUGAAGAUUGAUUAUACGGAGAUAGUACGAAAAAGGCGGGAACCUUUUGUUUUCCGCAGCCUUCAACGUGUUACCAUAGCGGAGUGCCAUAAAUUGAAAGAUGUGACAUUCCUCGUUUUUGCUCCAAACCUCAAGUCUCUUCGGCUAUUCUAUUGCGGUGCUAUGGAAGAAAUAAUCAGCGUCGGAAAAUUUGCUGAGACUCCUGAGAUGAUGGGACAUAUAAGCCCUUUUGAAAAUCUCCAAAUGCUUGAUUUACAAGGUUUGCCACAUUUGAAGAGCAUCUUCUGGAAGCCAUUGCCUUUCACUCAUCUGAAAGAAAUGGAGGUACUUAGGUGCGAUCGGCUUGAAAAGCUUCCACUCGAUUCCAACAGUGCAAAGGAGCGCAAAUUUGUUAUUCGUGGAGAAGAAGACUGGUGGAACCGACUUCAAUGGGAGGAUGAAGCCACUCAAAUUGCUUUUCGUUCCUGUUUUAAAAGUGAUGCUUUAUUUAUAUCUUAUUCGUGAAAAGUGAUUUAAUUUCCUGCCAAAAGACGAACGAGAAGAACAAUAGAGUCAAACUAAUGCUCACAUAAAUUUCCCGUAAGAAUAUAUAAUUAGAUUGGAAUGCACACCUCUAGAUUGAACAGAAUUAAAGCUGAGAAAAUAUUGAGUAUAGUAGCCCUCUUUACAGAAAAUGACGUGAAAGUUAAUUUAGAAAGAUAUAUUCUUGAUUAAUCCAUUUUCUGAAGUUUUUAUUUUGUAUGGUCAAUUAUACCUUCAUACUAAAAAUUUCUGAAGUUAUAAAUUAGUGCAACUUGACAAUUUUUACUGAUGAUAUCUUCUAUUUUUCCCUUUUUUUUUUUUUCACUUUCAUAGACUGGCAGCGGAUCCUGCGGCACCAAUUUGAGAGAAUAUACUGACACUACUUCGAACAGCAAGCAGAAGAAGUAAUAUGUCUACGGCAAAGGCAAUGGAGUCCUCAUUUUGGCUCGAGAUGCAGUAAUCAUCGAAGAGAGUUUCCUUGUGAAACUGGGCAACACAUUGAAUCCCUUCACCACUGAGAAGGUUGUGGAGGAAGUAAGCUUUCUCUCCAGUGAGGAAGAGGUGGCAUAUACCUUCCCCAUUUUGUUGAGGGCAGGUAGGAAUCUUUUUUCUAAGAGAUUUACUUCGUUCUCUGUAAGAAAUGCUUUGAACUUCAUCCCUCUGUCUCUAUCCUCACUUAUCAGGAAAUAAGUUGAAAGCACUAUGAAGAGAGAGAGAGAGAGAGAGAGAGAGAGAGAGAGAGAGAAUUAAGAUAUAUAGACAAGAAAAAUAUUUGACGUUGAUCUUACAAACUAAUACUUCAAGCAGUAUCCUAGAAAGCUAAAAACUGCAAGAUGGCUUGAAAUUUGAAAAGAGCACAUGCUUUUCCUCCUUAACUUGAGAAAAUGUUUAAUAUAGUGCACCUUACAGAAGCAUUUAAGCAAUUAGAACUUUGCACAAAAACAUCAAGAAGACUAAACAAGUCAGAUGCAGUGUAUUUGUCCAAGCACAAAUUGCAUUUUUUCCUCAACUUUAAUAUUUAUUGAUGAGAAUCAAUACAGGUCCCUCAUUUGUUAUAGAAAGCUUUCUUUCUUGUAGUCUCACCAGUUAAUUCAGAGGUCUAUAAUCAUCUUGCAAAGUUAAGGGCAUUUCUUUUGAUCUAAAGUCUUUGCAUCACCACCUCAUCACACGCCAAGCCAAUAUUCCAUUUACCUCUACAACAAAAAGUUUUAAUUAAACAAUCCUAAUGCACGCAGCCAAAUAAAAUGCAGUAAGAAUAUUCAACUUAAAAAUCUGAAAGCCAACUUGGUGAAUUGCCUCCUUAGGUGAAGUUCCAUGCUUUACUAUAGUUGACAGAACUCAGCAAAAGCUUCCAUACAACAGAUUUUGAAAAUGAUGAUGCCAACAGAUACUCAUUCAAUGCAUUGAAACUCCAAAGGUUCAUUGUUCAUAGAAGUUUACAGAGUUUUGGUCAUCAAAUAGCUCAGACCUAAUCCCAAACAAAAAAUGAGUGAAAAUUAGAUCACGAGCAGCUAAUUGUAAAUUCUAACUUAACUCUUCAUCUCCUUUGUAAACAAGAAACAAAAUGGAGACACGCAAAAUGAAUAUGGAGAAAAUUUGAACUCAAAUGAAAUGAGGGCAUGAAAGCAAACAAAUGGCAUGCACCAAAAAACCAAGCCUCAAUCAAAAACUAAUUAACCAUUAAGAAAAAAAUUGGUCAGAGAAUGAACUCCAAAUUCAGGAGUCAAGCAAGAAGCUUUCAUUAUUAUCAAAGUCAAUUAUCUUUGUUAGUAUGCGAGUGUGACGACUAUAGGUUGUUCUUUUUCUAAUGUCAUAUGAUUCCAAUUUUAGGUACAGGGCAUCUCUCUCUCUCUCUCUCAUCGCUAAGUGGAUAUUUUUCUCUUUUGUCAUAUACUUUAGUUAUUCUUCAAUUUACUAACUAAAAUGAAGGCCGCUUUAUUAAGAAGUUAUAUCCAGUUAUAUAAUUUGUUGUAUUUAAUAUAUGUUUGGGCUCAUAAUUUUUUUUAAAAAUAUAUAUUUCAUUCUCCAUAAUUUUUUCCCAUCAUAGCUACGAAACGUCUUAGUUUCGACUAAAAUCCUAAAAUUGGUCCUUAAUUGAAUAUGCAUUGCAAUUUGCAAAUGUAAUAUUGUGAAUGGGACACUGGAGAUACCAAAAUGGUCAAAUGCGAAAUAAGUUAGGAUUGUACGAUGUAGUUUGUAUUCAUAUUCAAUGCCUUUUUUUUCAAAAAACAAAUUGAAAUGCCAUUACUAAACGAUUCUUGAUGAUGGGAGCCACCGUGCCAGCUUUGUCGCUGAUUUGGUAUUAUUCUUAACUUGCAGAUAGUUGUGGAUAUGAUAUGCAAAAAGGUAAGGACUAUAUCUUCUUGAUGGAGGCCUCUGAUUUUUUCCCUUCUAUGUAAUUUAGUAAAUCGCAUUUUCCCUUGUGAUUGAUAUAUCAUACCAAAGUCAAGUCUUAAAUACUGCUGUCAUAUGUUAAGGUUCAACUUCCAUUUUGAUUAACGUCCAUUUGCUGCUGCUUCCAAAAGUGAGAAUGAGAUACUUUGGUUAAUUUCAGUAGUUGAACCCAAUAGAGUACUUUAUUUAGAUCUUCAUGGUUCAAAGGCCUGAAAAAACUUGCCGGUAUUUGCAAAAUGACAUUCUGUGCUUUUAUUUAGGCUUAUUAUUUAAGUGAUAAAAACUCCCGUAACCUGCUGUCAAGAAAAUUUCAGAUUGUUAAAAGACAACAUUUUGUUUCAGCCAAAAAUGUUUGUUUCGAUUAAAGACUUGAACCAUUUUCAUUUAACCUUGAUUGUGAUGCUUUACAUUAUGCAUGUUCCUCUCAAUCAAUAAAAGUUGAGGUCAUGAUUUUAUAUUUCUAUUUUGUAACUUGAAAUAAUUGGUCUGCCUGUUUCUGUAGCUUGAUAACAUGAAUUUUUCCUUCUGAAGUUAAUUUGAUCAAUAAAGUAAUUCUUCGGAGAUGAUAUGCCCAUUCUAUAGUCAUUUUCUUAGGUAACAUGUUUUUUCUUCACUCUUCAGAGCAUGUCUAAACUAAUUGAUCGCUCAGCGGAGACUUUGGGUGAGAAGACAAAAUUUCUUGGUAAAUCCUCUAAAAAGGUAUGCAUAAUUCCCGAGUAUUAAAUAAUCAUUGGUCAUAAUUUUUGUACACAACUCUUUUUUUGGAGAUCGUUAAAAGUGGUUGAUGAUCUAUUUUGUAAUAUCAUAGAGGGAUCAUGAAUUCCUGUUCUUUUCUGUGGCUAGGCAACACUUUCGGGCCAAGCUAAGGAAAUCUAUUUUAGGUAAUGUGAAAACCAGUUGUAGGAUGUAAUAGUUUAUUAUGCCCUGACAAUAACUUUUUGUAUAAUUGUCAGUUUAAUGAAUACAAGAGGAACUCUGUUGGCAAAUUCAUCCAUGAUAGAUGCUAAAAGUAUUUAUGCAUACCAGUUGCCUUAACUAAUUUUUCUCAACACUGGUAUUGAACAGGAAAAUGAAUAUGCAAUUUGUAUAUUGUGCCAUUGUGGAGAAUUUGGAUAUUCUUAUUUAAGUAACAAGGAGAGUAUUUGCCUCAUCUUUAAACAAUGAAUCUUUGAGAAAUGAGGAGUGGGUGAUUGGCAGUGUCUUCAUGUAAAUGUUCAUUUAUUUGUAUUUUGAACUAUUAUGAGAAUCUUUGUAUGCCAAAUUAGUAAUACAAAUGUUCAGAUGAUUUUUCCUGUUGAUCAUGCGUGUGUAUCUGCACACAACCAUUGUGUCCCACUUUAUUCUGAUGCACAAAUAUCUGUAGUUUAGAAGAAAAGAAAUAAUAAUCAUAUAUUAUUGCUUGGUUCAUGAUUAUUAAACGAUUAUGGCUUUAGAAAAUCCACAAAUCCUUUGUGUUCAUAUAUGAAUGUGCGAAGUUUGCUAUCUCUUAGAUUACCUUCUUCCAAGAUAACAAGUUCAUAUAUUUUUUUUAAUCCUUUUUCAUCACAGUUGAAUUUCAAGUGUAAGUUUUGUUAUUAAUAGCUGGUUUCCUGUUAUUAUGAUUUCAUAAACAGUGAGAGGAUAUGUGCUCUACUUUUGGAGGGCCUCCACAUGAAAGAAAAUUGCAACAAUUGAAUUCUUCCGGAGGGUAUGGUAUUUAAUUUAUUUUCUCAGCUUGUUGUAAGACUAAUAUAUUUCCUUCAGUACCCAAAAGGACAGAAAUGAAUUACGGAAGGAAGUUUUUGCUGCUUUAUUUAGUGCUGCUGAGAAAUCUGAUGGAUUUCCUGAAAUUACGGUGAAGACGGAGUGGAGGUCCAACGCAUUAGGAAAGGUGGUGAGUGAACCGCCGGAGGAAUUAGUACCAGAAUACAAGGCUAAUGUGGUGCACUUGCAGCAAGAUGACCAGACCUGUAUGUGCUCUUAUAUUAACUAUAUUGGUUGGAUUUGUGAGUGUGUACAUUUUUGUGUGUAUACUCACAUUUGUAUUUAUGCAUAUUAACGUGUGUAGGAUUCUUGAUUUCUGCCACUUACUGGAGAACUAGUGGAAAGCUUUAUACUGAUAUAUGUGCUAUAACUAAUGGAAACUACAAUAUGAAUAUUUUCUCUCACCUGGAGAACUGUGUAACAGAUAUAAUUUGUGGCUCUGGAAUACUGAAGAUUCUGCAAUAACUAAUGGAAAAUAUGAUAUGAAUAUUUUUUCUCACCUGGAGAACUUUGUAACAGAUACAUUUUGUGGCUCUGGAAUGUCUAAAGAAUGCUUCAGUUUAGAUCAAAUAUCUUUUAGUUAGAAAAGAUAAAAUUCUCUGAAUCUGAAAGACUGAAACAUUUUGCAUAUUUUGUGAAAGGGAAGUAUCUGUAGAUACUAGCUCAUGCAUUGAGGUAAUAUCAAUGUUAAAGAAAAACAGCAAUAAUUUAUUAUACAGAAUUAGGUUCACUUGCUUUAAAUGCUGGUCUGAUCAACCAUAACAACCUGUAAUGGUCCUGCAGAAAUAUAUAUACGGGGAGAAACUAGCUAAAUUUUCCUUUCACUUAUGGGUUUGGUCUUUUUUUCCCCUAUUUUUCAGCUUUCCUUCUCCUGAAGUAUGUUAACAAUUGCAGAUAAUGACGAAGAGGACCGCUUCCAGGCUCUUUGUAGAGCUGUGAUGGAAUAUAGGGGCACAAUGAAAGAAUAUUGUAAGGUUGUAUGUACUUUCUCUCUUGUCAUUUAUGUUUUCUCACACAUUUUGUUUAUGCCCUGAACAUGCAGCUUUGUAUGUGUCAAUUGCCUUUUACGUUUUAAAAGCCAUAAAGUAAGAAUACAGUUCCUUGUCAGGCUAUUGAUGCGUUCGCUCAGAAGGGUCAUGUUCAAGCAGGAAAACUUCUAGAACAGGUAAGGUUUCCAUCUACAGCCAUCCAUUGACAGCAGAUAUAUUUUCAUUAAGCAGACACUGUUAGCAUUCAAGAUGCUGGCAGAUUCACUUGAUUCUUAUUAGUUUGUUUAGUGGCAAGGCAUAUAACCUGUAUUUCAAAGCCAAGUUGUGCUAUUGAUUAUGUUAACUUUAUUGUUAACAUAAAGUGAUAUGGAGGACAUAAUCAAUGUAGGAAAAUUAGGUGAAGAGAUGAUGUCAAAUCUUGAACCUCUUACAAAGCUCCAAGUUCUUUACUUGAAGAAGCUGCCAAAUUUGAAGAGCGUCUACUGGAAGGCAUUUCCAUUCCCAGAUGUAUGCAGAAUUUUUGUAUUAAUGCCCAGUUCUUAAGAACCUGCCACUGGAUUUUCAAGGGGUGGGCCAAGGUAAAAUUCUUAUCAAGGGAAAGGAAGAUUGGUGGAAAGAACUUCAAUGGGAGGAUCAAGCAACUCAGAAUGCAUUGCUUCCAUUUUUCAAAUCAACUGACAAGUGAUUGAAGGGGGCAUCAUCAACAUCAUCAACAGAGAUGGAGAGAUUCUGGAGCAGAUCAGCAGGGUUUGUAUAUGAUCUUUGGUGGUUGCUUUCUUUUGUGAUUUUUUUUUUCUUCCUGUCAUUUUAUCAUUUCUUUGUCUCUUUUUUUAUUGCUGAUGUUAGUGUAUGCUUACUGUUGCUUGACAAAGUUCGCUUGCUUCUUGUUUAUUAAAUUUUUUAUCGUCACAAAAUAUUACUUGUUCUAUUUGAGAGUGAUGUGAAUCAAUUUUCAAUUAUAUAUUUUGUGGUCAAUGUGAAUUCAAUUUCAUUUGUCUCCUGCAAUUAUGAGAAAACUGCAGAGUCAUAAUAUGGAAAAGUACACCAGCAAAAACUUUGUAAAAGCUUCGGAGUGAAACAGGGAAUUCACUUACUACUAAGAACAAUUGAUGGCGAGUUAUUCCAUUCAUUUUAUGUCCAUCUAUCUAUUUAAUUAUUAAAGAUAAAUGGUCCAUUUAUAAAUUUCAGAUUGUCUCUCUCUGAAAAUAACAAUAUUUAAAAUAUCUCUUAAAUUAUUAUAAAUUUUAAUACACUCUCGAUUUAAAAUGGAACAUGCUGAUGAAAUUGUUUUCUUCUUAAUAAAAUUGAAAUAAAUUGUGUUUGCAGUAGUUUGAAAUAUUUUAAAGAUUAUUAUUUUAUAAGGGAGUAAUAUGAAAUGAAAUUUACUUUUCAUGCGUGAAAUGUUGAAAAAGGACAAAGCAAGUGUCCCUGCUUUUAUUUUUAUUUUAAAGUGGAGUCAUCUCACAUACUUUAGCUCUAUCAUUACAAUUUUUCAGGUUACAUUUUUAUUAUUUAUUUAUUUUCUUUUUUACACAUGCAUGUGGGUUACUUUUCCGUAAGCUCCUCAAUAUAUAUUGAACCCAGCGAAGAAUGUUAUGGAAGAGCAAAUUAAUGAUAUUUCUGAUAGAGUCUAUUUGAUUAUGUAGCCUGAAUGGAUGUCUUGUUGAAAGAUAUCUCAGUGCAUUAGUUCAUCCUUGUCUGUCAAUGUGUUUUUAAUGGUUUUUCCAAUUGUUUAUUAUUAUAGAUUGAUUGUAAAUUGAUAUGAAAAUUUGAUAUGAAUUUAAUGUUGAAAUGUUUUCUCUUUAGUGGAAUGAAUUUAAAAGUGCAAAAGAUUAUUGCACACAGAGAAAUAAACAUAUAUGCUUUAUAACUUUAGCAAUCGAUUCUUUUACAGCUGGAAACAGAGAUGAUGAUUAUCAUAAGGAUGAAGAAAAGUAGUGCGUUAGACGAUUAGACUCUCUUAUUAAAGGCAAGUAUAAAGUAGUGAAGAAUCCAAUAUCUCUAUUGUCUAGUCUUUUGUUUAAUUCUUCUUUUAUUAUUUUUCAGAAUAAUUUUUGGUGAUUACAAUCGGGUUAUUAUUCAGAGUUAUUGUUAUCUUCUGGGGCAGUUUCUGUUCAUCGAAUUCAUUAAUUAAAAUUUUAGAACUCUUAUCAGAAGAAUAUUUUUCGGUUAUCUUUUUUAUGUUCUAAUUCCAAUUGUAAGAAGUAGCCAUUUUAGAAUUUGGGUCUUGAAUCGAAUUUCAAUGCAUGAAUUAAUAUUAAAAAAAAAAAAUUCACUACUCGCAGUUUAGGUUACAAAUUACUUUUUGGAAAGUUGACUUUGGAAUGUUUGCAAAGAAAGAGACUAACAUAUUUCCAAUUACACUAAAUCUCUAUUAUGAUAAUGUUAAGACUAAAUUAAUUUAAAUAAUUUUUAUUUGAAAAUUAUAUCAAACGCAGUCUAAUUUUAUUAAUUUUAAGAAAUAAUAAUUAUAAAAAUUAUUGUUCUGACUUAAUUAAUACAAGUGAUAUAAAAGUUAAGUGUGCACUAAAUCUGUUUUAAUUUUUUCCAGUAUAACUAACAGAGGUCAUUACUAGAAUUAUAUUACUAGUCUAUUAGAUAGAAAAAAUUACUUAUAUUGUUUUAUAUUUAUUAAAAAAUUUAAAGCCAAUUUUUUUAAUUACUAUUUAAAGAAUAUUAUAAUUUGAAAAAUUUUAAUAUCUUUAUUAAAAAUUUAGAAAUUUACAGUCCUCUAAAUAUUUAAGGCGUAACUGUCAUUUUCUCAAGAAGCUUUAUUUAAUAUUAUUGAUUUAAAUAAUAUCUUAUUAAAAAUGUACUGAGGAGAAAUUUUGGUGGGUAUUUUAGUCUUUUCAGCAAUCAUCAUGAUUAACCUUUGGUUGGCCUUGAAACGUCGGUCAGAAAAGUUUUAAAAUGCUUAAUUGUUUUUCACUGUUAACGUUAGUGGCCUUGAAAUUGCUUAUAUUUUAUUAAAAAUUAAUGCUAACAAGAAAAAACUAGAUCGUAUUCCACCCCCAAAGCAAAAGUGAUAAAACAACCGGCUGUAUUCUUUUAUUAAACUACAAAUUAAAAUGGAUUUCUUUAAUUAAAGUGGAUAUCAUUUAAUUAAUGUUUGAACAUUAAAGUUCUGAUAUAUAACCACUAUGCCGACCACCUAAUUGCUGCUAUUUAAUUUCGUUCCAGUUCUCUCUCUCUCUCUUUUUCUUUUUUUUUUGGGCCAAGCAAUAAAUAGUAAAAAUUCAAUAAAAGCAAUAUUAAUGCUGCAAGUGAGUCAUGUUAUUUAUUGUCAAUUAGGAAAUGUGAACCUAAUUUGAUUGCAUCCCUUUAAUCAUUUAAUAAUUAUGUAAGCACCAUCCCUUUAAUUAUUUAAUAACUAGAAAAUAGAACACUGCGUUUCACGCGGCUUUGAAAAAAGAAUUUAGUAUUAUCUUUUUUUCUUACUUUACACUUGAUGAAACUGAUAAAAAAUAUGAAUUGAUUUUUUUUAAAGAUGAGGCAGCCUUAUAAAAAAUAAAAAAAGCUAUUAGCCAGCAAUACAAAUAAAGAAGGAAUGCAAGAUAAAGAAUAAAAUGAGAGAAUAUAUUAUAGAGUGAUCUUAUUCAUUCUAAUUGUGUGUGUACAAAACAAAAAGAUGAGCUCUCCUUUUAUAACUACAUAAUUACUUCAUGAAAUUAAUGAAAAAUUAUGAAUCAUAAUUUCUUGUGAGAUAGUGGGAGUUAUUGGGAAGCUAAAAGUUGCUAAUGGGAGAUAGUGGGGAGACUAAGAGAUAUAUAUUAUGAACAUCUACAUUUAUUUUAAUAAAUUCAUAACACUCCCCCUUAAAUGUUCAUUACAAAGAAUAUGCCUCAUUAAAAUCUUUACAUAAUUGUUAUUGUGUAAUAACAAUCAAAUUAAUUAUAAGAAGAUGAAAAGCCAAAUCUAACAGAAAAUUUCUCUAUUUAUUAGAUAAUAGAGAAUAUAGCAAGAUGAGAAAUGGUAAUGCCACAUCAUCUCCUCACGUCCCAACUUUAUAUAUAUAUAUAUAGAUAAUAUAUAUUAUUCCUGUCCUACAUUCACAUAUUUAAUUGUCCUUUUGAAAAUAUUCAUGAGUUAGGCCAAGUAAAGUCAAAGAAAUUGGGAAAAAGGAACAAAAGGACAAACCUAAAUUAAUUGAACCUAAUUCAUGAAAAUGCACACUUUUGUGUUGCGGACGGCGGACCCUAAAGCUUCGUUGUUUGCAGCUGCAAUUAAUUCUUUUCCUUCAAAAGUUAGAGGCUCGUGUUUACAGUGGGUCCCGAAUCGGACGUACCUAAUAAAUCUUUUAAAAAAAUUUGCCGUAUAAAGGACAGAGGUCAUUACUGAAAUUUCUCUUCCACGGGCAAUUACAGCAGCUUCAGUUAAUCAAACUCAAAUCAAUUUUCUUUCUUAACAAAAUAUUCCAAAGAUGUGUAGCAUUUUUCAGAUCACAUGCGAUGGUGCUUUUUUCAAUCGUUGCUUGGAUUGCUUUCUUGGAAAAGCAGCAUACAUACGUAACCUCCAAGAUAAUCUUGUAGCCUUGGACACUGAAUUGGGAAAUCUGAUCGCUAAAAAGAACGAUGUGAUGAGGAGGGUUGUCGAUGCUGAACGGCAACAAAUGAGAAGGCUGGACGGAGUGCAAGUGUGGGUUUCGAGGCUCGAUGCUGUUAAAACUGAAGCCGAUGAACUUAUCACAGACGGCUCUCGAGAAAUUGAAAAAUUAUGUGUUGGAGGCUACUGUUCCAAGAACUGCAGGUCAAGCUACAAAUUCGGAAAACAAGUGGCAAGAAAGCUACGAGAUGUGGAGACUUUAAUCGCCGAGGGAGUUUUUGAGUCGGUGGCUGAGAGAGCUCCGGAACCUGUGGCAGAUAAAAGACCCACUGAGCCAACAAUAGUAGGCUUGCAAUCACAGCUUGAACAAGUUUGGAGAUGUCUUCUUGUAGAAGAAUCAGCGGGAAUCAUUGGCCUAUAUGGUAUGGGCGGUGUUGGUAAAACCACACUGUUGACCCAUAUCAACAAUAAAUUUCUUGAGAGUCCCACCAACUUUGAUUGUGUGAUUUGGGUCGUAGUUUCAAAAGACCUGCGACUUGAAAAAAUUCAAGAAGAUAUUGGGAAGAAGAUAGGUCUGUUUGAUGGUUCGUGGAAGAAUAAAAGUGUUGAGGAGAAAGCCGUAGACAUCUUGCGGAGAUUAGGAGAGAAGAGGUUUGUAUUGUUGUUAGAUGAUUUAUGGGAGCGGGUUGAUUUAACAGAAGUGGGCGUUCCACUUCCCAGCCCACAAAAAUACUACAUCAAAGUCGUAUUCACGACCCGUUUCAUUGAUGUGUGUGGUAGCAUGGAAAGUCACAGGAAGUUUAAAGUGGCAUGCUUAUCAGAAGAGGAUGCUUGGGAGCUGUUUCGAGGAAAAGUAAGGCAAGAAACUCUUGAGAGUCAUCAUGAUAUCGUUGAGCUAGCCCAAACUGUGGCCAGAGAGUGUGGCGGUUUGCCACUCGCGCUUAAAACUAUAGGUCGAUCUAUGGCCUACAGAAAGACAGCUAAGGAGUGGAGACAUGCAAUUGAAAUGUUAAGGAGAUCAGCUUCAGAGUUUGCAGGUUUGGGAGAAAAGGUGUAUCGUCUUUUAAAGUUUAGCUAUGAUAGUUUGCAGAAUGAUACGAUUAGAUCUUGUUUCUUAUAUUGUUGUUUGUAUCCUGAAGAUUAUGGCAUUCUUAAAUGGGAUUUGAUUGAUUGUUGGAUUGGUGAGGGAUUCUUAGAGGAAUCUGACAGGUUUAGUGCAGAAAACCAAGGAUACUACAUUGUGGGCACUCUUGUUCAUGCAUGUUUAUUAGAAGAGGUGGAAGAUGAUAAAGUAAAAAUGCAUGACGUUGUUCGUGAUAUGGCUAUAUGGAUAACCGGUGAAAUUGAGAAGGAGAAGCGAAACUUUUUGGUUUGUGCAGGUGCUGGAUUAAAAGAGGCACCGGAUGUUGAAGUAUGGGAAAAUGUGAGAAGAUUGUCAUUGAUGCAAAACCAAAUUGAAACUCUGUCAGAGGUUCCCACAUGCCCUCAUCUUCUCACUUUAUUUCUUGACUUUAAUAGGGAGUUGAAGACUAUUGCGGAUGGCUUCUUCCGAUGUAUGCCUUCUCUCAAAGUUUUGAAGAUGUCAAACUCUGGAAAGCCUUGGAAAGGUUUGGAAUUAAAUUUGGGGAUGCCAAAGUUGGGUUCACUACAGCUUCUUGAUAUUUCACACACCUGCAUACAAGAUUUACCGCAAGAAUUAAAGUUGUUGGUAAAUCUGAAAUGUUUGAAUUUGAGGCGGACAAUUUGGUUAAAUAAAAUUUCAUGGCAACUAAUAUCAAAUUUUUCAAGGUUACGUGUGUUGAGAAUGUUCGCUACUGGCUGGUUCAAUUUUCAUGAAGCACCAGAAGACAGCGUUUUAUUUGGUGGGGGUGAAGUUUUGAUACAGGAAUUGCUCGGUUUGAAAUAUUUAGAGGUAUUGGAGUUGACCUUGGGAAGUUAUCAUGCUCUCCAAAUUCUUUUCAGCUCAAAUAAGCUAAAAAGUUGUAUUCGAUCUCUUUACCUCCAGUUGACCGGAGAUACAGCGUUAAUUAUUGAUGCUACGGCUUUCGCAGAUCUAAAACACCUCAAUGAAUUACGCAUUGAGUCGGCUACAAAGCUGAAAGAAUUGACGGCUGAUUAUACAGAGAUAGUUCGAAAAAGGCGGGAACCUUUUGUUUUCCGCAGCCUUCACCAUGUUACUAUACAAAGCUGCCAGAAGUUGAAAGAUUCGACAUUCCUCGUUUUUGCUCCAAACCUCAAGUCUCUUUCGAUAGUCAAAUGCAAUGCUAUGGAAGAAAUAAUCAGCGUCGGAAAAUUUGCUGAGACUCCUGAGAUGAUGGGACAUAUAAGUCCUUUUGAAAAUCUCCAAAUGAUUGAUUUACUAGGUUUGCCACAUUUGAAGAGCAUCUUCUGGAAGCCAUUGCCUUUCACUCAUCUGAAAGAAAUAUCUGUGCGUUAUUGCCCUAAUCUUAAAAAGCUUCCACUCGAUUCCAACAGUGCAAAGGAGCGUAAAUUUGUUAUUCGUGGAGAAGAAGACUGGUGGAACCCACUUCAAUGGGAGGAUGAAGCCACUCAAAUUGCUUUUCGUUCCUGUUUCCAACCCUUGUUCCUGAACAGUGGUCGCAAAAUUUGAUUUCUGGUGAGUGCGUUUGUCUUUUAAAAAGAAUAAUUUAAAAGAAAUUUAUUCUUGUCGGUUUCUUCACUGUUUUUAUUUCAGUUUCUCUCUCUCUCUCUCUCUCUCUCUCUUUUUGUCUUCUGCAAAUCACAAUUACAUUUUUAUUCUUGUCGUUUUCUUCACUGUUUUUAUUUCAGUUUCUCUCUCUCUCUCUCUCUCUCUUUUUGUCUUCUGCAAAUCACAAUCAAAUGUUGAAUUAAUGGAAUUAAUGCUUCAUAAAUUUGCCGGCACUGCCAUUACUUUUUUUUGGGGGAUCGAAUUGAUACUUUAUUUAUAUCUUCUUAGCGAUUUAAUUUCCUGUCAAAAGACGAACGAGAAGAACAUAUGACUUAAACCAAUGCUCGCAUAAACUUGCUGUAAAAAGAUAUAAUCUCACUGAAAUGCACACGCCUAGAAUGAAUAGAAUUAAAACAGGGAAAAUAUUAAGUAUAUUAGCCCUCUUUACUGAAAAUCAAAUGACAGUAAAUUUUUUGAAGUUUUGAUUUUCUAUGGUCAAUUCCACCUUUUGCAAUUUCUUCUGUUCUAACAAAAACCAAUUUCUUUGUUCAAGUAUUUUCGUUUGGAUAUUAAUAAUUCUCCACCGAAAGAGUGAACUCUUGCUCAAAGGGAUCUCUAAUAAUACAUAACAUGAUUAUUUUCGUUUGAAUAAUUGAUUUCUUGAUUGAAUUGUCGUGUAAUUGAUUUAUGGGGGAUGACACAUCAACAUACUUGAAAAUACACUAAUCUCAGCAUCAUCGGUUAAUAACUUUUAGAUUUAUGGGUAAUCAAUAGUUAAGAUUAGUUGUCAUUAAUACUAAAUAAUUUUUACUUUUUUUGUCUCUUCUAGAGGAUCUUCUAGAAAAAUGCAUCCACAAUUAAAUUUAAUACUUUACAUAAUAAACAAAGCCUAAAUGUUAAAUUUAAGAAACUGCAUUGUAUUUCAGUUGAAGUUGACUUUAAUAUUUAGGGUAGAAAAACAAUUAAUUUUAUUUUUUGAAAUGUCCAUAUUCAGAGCACAUUUCAAAAAGACUCAAUAAUUUCUCAUAAAUUUCAAUUAAAAAUAUUCAAUUUGUUGUUUCAGUUCUUUUAUUUUUUAUUUUUUCCGACAUGAAAGCGACUUAAUGUUACUAAAUUGGGUGGUCUUUGGAUUUUCAUGACCCAAUAAUUGGAACAAAACAAUUUUCUCAAGCGCUCUCCCGCAACAUUUUAUAAUUGAAGCCGCUGCCCCGCCCGUGGUUUCAAACUUUUUUCUUUCUCCUUGUUUAAAUUAAUGGGAGCAGCCUCCGUCCUUGACUAGUUGACUGCUUGUCUUCUUUUUUUUAUUAAUUAAUUAAUUCAGCCGCCCCCCUUUCUUGUCCCAAUAUCUUCUACUUUCGGUUUCCUUUUAUUAUCUCUUUAUUUUUAAAAAAUGCUUAUAAUAAUAAUAAAAUAUAAAAUAUAAAAAUAAAAAUAUAAUUUAUCAGAAAAUUAAGAUAAAGAAAUAUUAUAAGCACAUCAAUCAACAAGUGAAAAAAAAACAAUUUUAAUUUACAUUAAAUAUAAACUUUCAGUGUUAAUCAACUUUUCUAAAUAACUAAAUUAAAAAAUUAAUUGAUUUAAUUGUGGUGUAAUUGAUUUGUAGGGGAUGAAUCAGCAGCAUCAUCGGUUAACGCUUUCAGAUUUAUAGUUAAUCAAUAGUUGAGAGUUGUUAUCACUAACGCCGUGUAUUUUUUAAUGUUUUUUCUCUCUCCUACAGCAUCUUCUAGGAAAGUGCAUCCGUUGCUAAAAUUUAGUAUCGUAAAUAAUAAACCAAGAAUAAAUAUUAAAUCUAAGAAACUGUAUUGCAUUUAAUAUUUAAGGGAGAAAAAUAAUUAUAGUGUCUUUAUUAAUCAGUAAAAAAAAAAAUUAGAAUCAUAAUAAAUUGUAUUGUUAUUGAUGUAUUUAUUUUAUUUUAUACUCAAAAUAAAUUAUUUUAAAUUAUUAAAAUAAUUUAAAAUUAGUAUUUUAUUUUAUACUCAAAAUAAAUAAUUUAAAAUUUUCAUUUCUUGUUUAUUUCGCAAGUUGUUAUUGCCUAAUGCUAUGUCAACUCGAACAUUAGCAUUUUUUUUUUUGGUCCUCUUUUAACGCAAAAUUAGUGUAGGUUAAGUAACAUAAUCAAUAUUAGGACAAUUUGAAAUCCCUAUGGGUGCGUUUGGUACACUGUAUUGUAUUAUACUGUAUUGCAUUAUUUUAAUGCUGAUGUAUUGUAUUAUGUUGUAUUGCAUUAGCACUGUAUUAUAACAAUGCUAUACAAUAUUUGGUGUUACAUUGUACUGUAUUAGAUUUUAAUUAUAUUAUAUUUAGUGUUACAAUUGUUGUAACAUAAACACGACCAAAAUAAAUUGUACUAAAUAAUCUAAGUAAGAGUUCUGUAGUAUAUGUAAUAAUACUAUUUAUAUUAUUAUUAUUAAUAAUUCUAAAUUAAUAUUAUUUAAUUUUAUUCAUAUUUAAAUAUGUAUUAUUAGUUUAUUAAAUUAUUUAAAAUAAUUAAUUUAUAUAUAUUAAUUAUUGUAACUUAAUUAAAUAAUGUAAUGCUAUAUUAUAUUUUUAUAUACUAUUUAAGUAUUUAUUAUUAAUUAUAUUUAAUUAUAAAUUUAUUAAUAAAUUAUAAUAUAAAAAUAAAAAAUAAAAAUUAAUAUUGUAUAAUAUUAUAUUAAAUUAAAGUUUUAUUUUUAUUACUAUUAUUAUAAAGUAAAAAAAAAAAAAAGGGAAGCUACUGACUUUUGAAACACAAAAGUCAGUAAUACAACCUAAUCACGAGGGGGGGCGCGGGUUUUGAUAAUGCGGCAAAAGCUGCAUUGUAAUGCUGCUCAAUGCAAUCCAUUUGAUCACCAAACACAGGUAUAUUUUAACUAAUGCUGGGCCCACAAAAUAAUACAAUGCAAUUCCGCAUGCCAAACAUACCCUAUGGGUGCGUUUGGUACACUGUAUUGUAUUAUACUGUAUUGUAUUAUUUUAAUGCUGGUGUAUUGUAUUAUGCUGUAUUGCGUUAGCAUUGUAUUAUAAUAAUGUUGUACAAUGUUUGGUGUUACACUGUACUGUAUUAAUUUUUAAUUAAACUAUAUUUGGUGUUAUAUUGUAUUGUAUUAAUUUUUAUAAUUAAUUAAAUUAAAUAAUUAAAAAAUAAUAUUUAUUAAUACUUAGAAAAAUAAUAAAUAUAGAAAUCUUAAUUGUAGAAAUUUAACAAAUUUUUUAGUAAAUAUUAAAAAUUAAUGAUUAAAUUUCUAAAAUUUGUAUUAUAAUUAUGAUAAAAUAAAUUUAUAAAAUUUAAUAUUAUAUGUAAAUAAUAAAUUUAGAUUAUAAUUAAUAUUAUAAUUGUUAAUAUAAAUUAAUAAAUUAUUAUUCAAUAAUAUUCAAUUAUAUUUUAAUUUACAAUAUAUUAUUAUUUUUACAUUUUAAUAUAUUAAUAAAUUUAUAAUUUAACAUAAAUAAUUAUAAAUUUAAAUAAUAUUAAUUUUAAAAUUAAUAUUAAUGUAAAUAAUAUUAUAAUAUUAAUAUAUUAUUUUUAUAUGAAUCAUUAAUAAAUAAAAUAAUAUUAUCAUAUAAUUUAUUUUUAUAUUUUAUUCAUUAUAUUAAUAUUUAAUAAUAAAAUAAUUUAUUUUUAUAAUAUUUUAAUAAAAUAAAUUUGCCUCAAUUGAGGCAUUAACUGUUGCCUCAAUUGAGGCAAAAAGCUUCCGCAUCCCUCGGGUUUGCGUAAUGCGGCCCCAUGCCUCAUUAUGCUGCAUUAUAAUGCAGCAUAAUGAGGUGUCAAAUUUUGCCAAACAUGUUCUUGGUAAUAAACUAAUGUGAAUAGUAGUAUAAUACCACAUAAUCUCAUGCACCAAACACGCCCUAUGUGUAUUAUUCACGGUAUCUAUGAGGGCUUAUCCUUUUGCUAGAACAAACUCUAGCAAAUUGUCAAAUGUGCUUAUCCUUUCCCUUGACGACUCAUUUUAAAAUUGUCACUCAUUUUAAAAUUGUCUUUCAAUGCACAAACACAGACAUAACCGCCGACAUCGAGCACCAAGUUUGGAAUUUAAUUGAUAAGCAUACAUUUGAUAAAUUAAUGAAAAGUUUGGAGAGUAGUUUUGAUCACCCUUGAUUAGGACGGUAUUACAAAAAAGAUCAAAAAGAAAACAUCGUCUCUCUUCACAAAAAUAAAUAUUUUCCGUUAGAAUUUAAUACAAUAAUAUUUUUUUUGAUUAAAAUUUAAUUAAAUACACAAAUAAAUUAUAUAUUUUUUAAAAAAAUUUACACCCAGUCACAAGGCUGGCUAUUAAACUUAAAGGGUGGAAGCUUCGGAGACUAAAGUUGGUAACUUCUCCAAGUGGUCUUAAGUUGACCGGAACUACCCAGACUUUAUGUUUGGUAGCCUAGACCUGAUCGGACCUAGGCCCAAGUUUGGUCUUAAAGUCCACAAUUAAAUUAAAAAAAAAUUAUUUGAUUUGUAAUUGAUUUAUGGGGAAUGAAUCCGCAGCCCUAAAAUUACACCAAUCUUGACAUAAUGACAUCAUCGGUUAAAAACGUUCAGAUUUAUGGUUAAUCAAUGGUUUGAGAUUUGUUAUCAUUAAUGCUAGAUAUUUUUUAACAUUUUUUUCUAUCUCUCUUCUCCUGAAGGAUUUUCUAGGAAAAUGCAUCCACAACAAAAAUUUUAAAUUGUAAACAAUAAACAGAGUAUAAACGUUAAAUCUAAGGAACAUCGCUGCAUUUCAGCUGAAGCGAACUUUAAUAUUUUACGGAGAAAAAUAAUUAAGUCUUUAAUGUGAUUUAUUGAUUAAUAUAUAUGACUAAUUUUUUAAAAGAAGAUGAAGGAUGAAGCUUAAAAAUAUAAAUUAUAGAAUUAAUUUAUCUCUUCAAUAAAUCUAAAGUUUAUUUUUUUUAUUACAUGCUUCUAUUUUAUUUUUAUUCCAUGUUAAUGAAUGGAGAUUUAAAUCCAUUUUGGAUUUAUAAAGAUGUUUAGAUAUUUAAAUCCACGUGUGAUUCCAAACUUGAACCUUUUUUUUUUUUUUUUCUAAUUAAUGCAAACAGCCGCCUCUUUGACUGCUUUUCUUCUUUGUUUAUUAAUUAAUUAAUUCAGCUGCCCACCUUUCUUUUCCUAAUGUUUUCUACUCCCAAAUUUUUUUAAGGACAAGGCUACGUUGCAGACGCUGUACCUAACAGCUGCACCUUCGCCAGCUUAAAAAAGGGUGCAUUUGGUAAGCAACUUUUCUUUCGUGUGCAUAUGUGUCCUGCCACCAUUGGGUGUGUACGUAACAGAUAAUGUACCGUAACAAGCUCCUAUUUUUAAAUUUGUUUAUAAUGAUAAAAUAUAAAAAUUAAGAUUAAAAUGUAAUGUAAUGUAAAAUUAAAGGUGGAAGAGUAUUAAAAUAAGGCUAAACCUAUGUUACGUUUAACGUAACAUACAUUUAAAUAUAUAAAAUAUCAAUGGAAACCCUCAAAUUUUAUGGAAACUAUAUUAAUAAAAUUAAAAGAAAUAUUUUUAAAUCUGAAAGAAGAAAUAAAAGAUAUAAAGCAAGAGAUAGGAAAACUAAAAAUAGAAAUAUCUGUAAAAGAAAAAGGAAAAGAAAAAUUAGAAAUAAAAGAAACAACUCCAACUGAAUCGAAUUCAGACUAAUGGAAGAUGUAUUAGAAACUUUAACUGAAAAAUUCAGUGACAUAAAUCUUAGUGAUUUAGAAGACUUUGAAAAAGAAUAUUAGAUAAAAAUGAAUACUGCUGGAGGACCAGAAAUGAAACCUAAUGUAGCAUAACCAAGUCAUAGAUAUGGUAUAAAUAAAAUGAAAAAUAAACCUUUUUACGAGUAUAUACCUCCUAUUAAAAAUACUCCUUGGAAAAAAGAAUACAAACCAAAUCAAGAUACAUUAACCCCAAUAAAUAAUGCUGGAACAUUUUUAAAUCUAGAUUGUAAGAUAGACAUUCGAAAGGCGUUAGCAGAAUGGGUGUUACAAAUGAAAUUAUUUUUUAUAUUUAACGGGUCAAAGGAUGACUAGAAUGUAGAGACUGAAGAAGAAAAAAUAGAUAUAUUUGUUGAAAUCUUAAUAGCCAGUUUUUCAGGAAAUGUGUUUAAUUGGUGGAGAGGAUUAAGCGAUGAUACACAAAACUUAAUAAAAGAUUCAACCAAAUAGCAUUUAGAAAAAAUAAAGCCUUAGGAAUGGAAAGGAUAACUGAAUACAUAGCUAGUGAAUUUUUAGGAGAAGAUUGGCUAGAAAAAUCGGGCAUAUAUGAAAAUUUAAAAAUUUAUGAUAAAAAGAUCUUAGUGUUUUUAUUAAAAAAUUAAAAUUUACAUGACUAUUUCUUUAAAUAUUUAGGGCAUAUAUGAACCACGGAGGAGAAAAGCUUUAUUUAAUAUUUUAGAAUAGUUUUUGAUCAGUACAAUUGGGUCCUUAUUCAGAAUUAUUGUUCUCUUCCGCAACAGUUUUUGUUUAUCAAAGUCGUCAAUUAAAAUUUUAGAAUUCUUAUCAGAAGAAGUAGUCGUUUUAGAAGUUGGGUCUUGGAUCAAAUUUCUACGAGUGCAUGAAUUAACAAUAAAAAAAUUUCAUUACACACGGUUUAAGCUACAAACUACUAUUUGCACAGUUGACUAUAAAACUUACCUCCAAUUACACUAAACCUCUCUAUUUGGUAACGUUGAGACUAAAUUAAUUUUAUUAGCAUGAAAAGAUGAUAGAAAUAUAAUUAUAAAUAUUAUUGUUGUUAAUCAAUUAGUACAUGUGAUAUAAAGGUUAAAUGUGCACUAUAUUUAAUAAUUAAUUAGUGGAGCAUGUUAAACAAAAUGUUAAUGUAUAUUUAUAUAGUGUUAGGAAUAUGCAAAGUCAAGUCCUCAAUUUGCAUUAUCCUGUAUAGAAUAUUACUCUAAAAAUGUUUUACUAUAAUUGGCUUAGAACAUUUGUAAAGAAAAAUAAUAAUAAAAUAAUAAAUAACAUACACCGUCACAUAGCACCUAGACAAUGAUAGAAAAUUAUUAAAGAGAGUGCAAACAAUUAAUUAGAGAUUUUUAUGAUGACUUUUAAUAUUCAUGAUAAUAACAAAUAAAUACAUGUAUCACUUUUUUAAAAUAUUAAAUUUGACUGCUCCAUUAAUAAAUUAUUAUUGUAAUUCAGACUCUAUCUAUAUAUCCUUGCACUAAGAAUAAUUAAGGUAACGUUUGUUUUUUAACUUAAUGACUUAAAGUGACUUAACUUAAUUAAUUAAGUUAAUUAGAGGUGUUUGUUUUAUAACUUAAUGAGACUUUUUAGAUAAUUUUGACUUAAUAAAAUAAGCUAAUUUUUUUUGGCUUUUUACUUAAUGGAGAAAUCUGAAUUAAGUCAAUUACUUGCUAAUGUCAAAAAUAUCCUUGUUUUAUAAUUUAUUUUUCAUGUCUAUCCCAAAACUCGCCCGUAGAUAUUUACCCCACAUAAAAAUAUCCCUGUUUUUUUCUUUCUUAUAUUAUAUACGAUAAAAUUUGAAAUUUAUAGUAUUUUAUAUAUUAAAAUUCUAAAAUAAUUAUGUAUUCACUUGAAUAUAGUUUUACUUAUAAAUGUUAAAAUAUGAUGGUAUUUAAUAUAUUAUUUAUUUGACAUUCAAAUUUAAUAAGGAUACAAAUGUAAAAGUACAUAUUUUCAGCUUUUUAAAUUGAAAAAAAAUAACUUAAUAUUUAUUUUCUGAGAUUCAGACGAAAAAAUAAACAUAUUAUUCAGAUUCAUACAUUCAGAUCUAUUCAGAAUUCAAACUAAUUCAAGUCUAUUCAAAUUUUAGACAAAAAAAUAAACGCCACCUAAGUCAUAAUAAAAAUUUUCGUAACUACAUCUCGUUUCUUCCUCAUAAUAAUAAUUAGAUUGGUUCGAAUAUUAUAACUAUAUAGAUUUAGUGUAUAGCCACAUCCAAUUUAAAUAUUGACCCAAUUGGGAUGGUCCCCAAAAAAAAAGAUUCGUUAAAGGAUAAUUCUAAUUAUUUUUACUUCUCAAACGUUAGUGGGACGUUUCUAUUAGCGCACUCGUAAGCCAAGUUGUCAAAUAUUUAUACUAAACUACAAUUGCUAACAAGAAAAAUCAAGAUCGUGUUAAGCAAGUGGGUCCCGAAUAGGACGUGCAAAUCUCUCGUAAGUCAAGUUGUCAAAUGUUUAUAUAAAACUAACAAUUACUGACAAGAAAAAUCAAGAUCGUAUUAAAAAUGGGUCCCGAAUAGGAUUAUCUUUUUAAGAAUAUUAUUAUUUUAUUAUUAAAAUUUUAUUAAUAUAACAGUAUUAAAAUUUAUUAAAAAAUAUAUUUUAUUAUUAAAAUUUUAUACCGUUAUCAAUUUAUUAUUAUUUUAUUAAAAAAAUUAAUAUUUAACAAAAAUUGAGAUAAAAAUUAAUUUUUGUUCUCUGUCUUUAUUUAUUUAUUUAUUUUUUUGGGUCUUCUGCAAAUCACAAUCAAAUGUUGAAUUAUAAAUUUGCCGGCAUUGCUUUUUUUUUUUUUUUUGGGCCGGGGGGUGGUGUUGAAUUGAUGCUCUGGGUUUUUGACUUUUGUUGUCAAAUUUUACUCUGUUUUUCCCAAAUUGAUGCUANNNNNNNNNNNNNNNNNNNNNNNNNNNNNNNNNNNNNNNNNNNNNNNNNNNNNNNNNNNNNNNNNNNNNNNNNNNNNNNNNNNNNNNNNNNNNNNNNNNNNNNNNNNNNNNNNNNNNNNNNNNNNNNNNNNNNNNNNNNNNNNNNNNNNNNNNNNNNNNNNNNNNNNNNNNNNNNNNNNNNNNNNNNNNNNNNNNNNNNNNNNNNNNNNNNNNNNNNNNNNNNNNNNNNNNNNNNNNNNNNNNNNNNNNNNNNNNNNNNNNNNNNNNNNNNNNNNNNNNNNNNNNNNNNNNNNNNNNNNNNNNNNNNNNNNNNNNNNNNNNNNNNNNNNNNNNNNNNNNNNNNNNNNNNNNNNNNNNNNNNNNNNNNNNNNNNNNNNNNNNNNNNNNNNNNNNNNNNNNNNNNNNNNNNNNNNNNNNNNNNNNNNNNNNNNNNNNNNNNNNNNNNNNNNNNNNNNNNNNNNNNNNNNNNNNNNNNNNNNNNNNNNNNNNNNNNNNNNNNNNNNNNNNNNNNNNNNNNNNNNNNNNNNNNNNNNNNNNNNNNNNNNNNNNNNNNNNNNNNNNNNNNNNNNNNNNNNNNNNNNNNNNNNNNNNNNNNNNNNNNNNNNNNNNNNNNNNNNNNNNNNNNNNNNNNNNNNNNNNNNNNNNNNNNNNNNNNNNNNNNNNNNNNNNNNNNNNNNNNNNNNNNNNNNNNNNNNNNNNNNNNNNNNNNNNNNNNNNNNNNNNNNNNNNNNNNNNNNNNNNNNNNNNNNNNNNNNNNNNNNNNNNNNNNNNNNNNNNNNNNNNNNNNNNNNNNNNNNNNNNNNNNNNNNNNNNNNNNNNNNNNNNNNNNNNNNNNNNNNNNNNNNNNNNNNNNNNNNNNNNNNNNNNNNNNNNNNNNNNNNNNNNNNNNNNNNNNNNNNNNNNNNNNNNNNNNNNNNNNNNNNNNNNNNNNNNNNNNNNNNNNNNNNNNNNNNNNNNNNNNNNNNNNNNNNNNNNNNNNNNNNNNNNNNNNNNNNNNNNNNNNNNNNNNNNNNNNNNNNNNNNNNNNNNNNNNNNNNNNNNNNNNNNNNNNNNNNNNNNNNNNNNNNNNNNNNNNNNNNNNNNNNNNNNNNNNNNNNNNNNNNNNNNNNNNNNNNNNNNNNNNNNNNNNNNNNNNNNNNNNNNNNNNNNNNNNNNNNNNNNNNNNNNNNNNNNNNNNNNNNNNNNNNNNNNNNNNNNNNNNNNNNNNNNNNNNNNNNNNNNNNNNNNNNNNNNNNNNNNNNNNNNNNNNNNNNNNNNNNNNNNNNNNNNNNNNNNNNNNNNNNNNNNNNNGAAGGGUCUCUAAUCAAUAGCUGGAAGCAAUUGAGAAGGCGGUUGCUACAGUGAAUUCAAAUGUAAAAUGUUUGCUAUUCUUCGAUUUGGUUAAUGAUUUCGUAUGAAUAUUGUUGUUCCGUUGAGUUGCAUGCGAAUUCAAAUGCAAAAUAUUCUUCGAUUUUCAAUUUUGAAAUCAAAUUUUUUUUUCCUUCUCAAGCAUGUUAUGCAGAAACGAUUGUCAUGUUAUGCAGAAACGAUUUUUACUAAAUCAUUUUUAACAAACUAUUGAAAUUAAACCACUGGAAUAAGAAUUGUAAGGAUUUAUCGUAAGCUUACUAAUACGAUAAUUCUGAAACUAUCACCUUUUUUUUUUUAUUUGUUGCAGGGAAACCCAAAUUUUGUAUUUUGUCAAUUUCAUCUGAUAUGGAAUUUAUUUCCUCCCUAAAGAUUUAUCAAACUGCUUCUCUUCCCUGCUUCAAUAUCUUUAUGCAAUUACGAUCUCAUAGGAAAAGAGAGUUUGGGUUGUAUAUCUUAUAGUAUUUAUUUAUUUUUUGUUAAAAGAAAUUUAUUUUAAAAUAGUUUAUAGCAACAGUUUUUAUUUAACAAUAAUGAGGAAGGAUUAUUAUAGGUUCAAAUAGUUGUUAGAACAUUAUAAAAAAGUCCAUUUACUAUCAAAUGUUUUAAAUUGGUGCAACGUGAUAAUUGUCUCAUAUAAUUUUUUAAGGGUAAAAACUCGUUUCAUUCCCAUAUUUUAAGAUUAUUACUCAUUUAGUCUUUAUAUUUUUAAAAAUGUUUCAAAACAUUCAUACCCUUAAAUUAUUAACAUCUCUGCUGUUACUUUUUAUUUUUUUUUGACUUGUUUUUACAAUAUUGCCCUCUUACAAUAAUGUUUCUUUUUAUAAAAUUAAUAAAAAGAAAAAAAAUUAAAUUAUCAAUUUAACCCCAAAAAUAAAAUAAAAAUAAAAAGAAUAAAUAUUAAUUUUUGUGAAAGUUUACAUGUGUCCAAAAUAAAUUUUAUUGUAAAAAUAAUUAAAUUGCCUUUUUUUUGGACAUUAGUAAUAAAAAAAUUAAUAUAUUAAUUCCUCAGCAGUGUGUUACAAAAAAGUAAAAUAUAUUAAUUUUGUUUUUAUUUUAGACAAUGAGAUAGAGAAAAGUACAAGAUAAAGGAAAGGACUUCAAAACUCACUGUUCAUCAUAAUGCCCUUUGCCUUUAAAAAAAAAUCAUUCUAAUAUUUUAUAACACAUAAAAUAUAAUCCUAAGAUAAAUAUAAUAAUACAUAUUUUAAACUAAUCUCGAUAUUUAAAAUAUGUUUUAAUAUUUUAUAAUCUAUCAGACAUAUUUUAUUAUAUUAAUGUAAAAUUUAUAAUAAAUACAAACAUAUUAUUAAAAUAAAUAUAUAAAAAAUAUUUAUUUUUUAUAUGUUUACACUGAGGACUCUCUUUAAUUCAUUUAUUUUCUCUCUCUCCAAACAGGUACUGUCUUCAGUUAGCAAUGCUAUGAUAGUAAUCCAAUUCUCUUCUCCCCCACCUGAGCGAGAUUUGAAUUUGAAUCCCUUGUUUUUCACCCACUCUGUUUUUUUUCACGCAAGAUUUGACAAUUUGAGUUAAAAAAUAUGGUCCAAAACUUGAACACGUAUCUUUUAAUUGUAAUAAAAGUUCUUUAAGCUUUGGAGAUGGCAUAUAUAUGGCUGGAAGUGUCCUUUUCUUUGACCUAGAGGCAGCACCAAGCUAUCCAGCAUCAUCAUUUUUCAAGUGGGUCUUAAAUGCCUAGAAACGUUGGUGUUUCUUGAUUUAAAGAUGACACAUGCUAUAAGUGUGAAUGGUUUGGCUAAGCCUAAAUUUAAAGUCUACUCAAGUCGCAUUCAGGAUCAUGGAAAUUGGAAAGGGAGAGAUGAUAGCAAGAUUUAUAAUAAACAAUUAACUUGGGUCCUCAGUGUACAAAGCAAAUGCCACGCAAGCGAUAGCCGGCCCAGCCCAGAAAACCCAGUGGCGAUCCCAGAGAUGGCCUCCUCUAACGAGUGCUGGGCCCAAAAAUCUUUGCGGGUUGAGCCCAGCUCCGGCAUAGCCCUUUUGAGCAGUAACAGUUGUCGAGACAAAAACCAGAAGACCCAACACUGUUCCAAUGACAAUGCAUACGGUAAACUCUGCCAAGAGCCUUGGCUUGUCUGGAGUCAAAAGCCAUCCACACAGAAGCAAAAAGGAACACAAACGAGCAAAUUAUCUCAAGCCAAAGGGCCUGCCUAGUCCCCAAGCCGAUCUCAACAGGCCCAUCUGGCCCAGGUACGACAACAUUCAGGGUGCAGCCUCCAAGUUGUCAAAUAUUUAUAUUAAACUACAAUUGCUGACUAGAAAAAUCAAGAUCGUAUUACAAGUGGGUCCCGAAUUGGACGUGCCUAAAUCUUUUUAUAAUUUUCCCAGUGUAGCGGACAGAGGUCAUUACUAAAUUUCUCUUCCACACGCCACAGCAGCUUCGGUUAAUCAAACUCAAUCAAUUUUCUUGGCUUCUCCGCUUAUCAAUAUUACAAGGUAUGGGUAGCAUUUUUCAAAUCACAUGCGAUGGUACUAUUUUCAAUCGUUGCUUAGAUUGCUUUCUUGGAAAAGCAGCAUACAUAAGUAACCUCCAAGAUAAUCUUGUUGCCUUGGAGACUGAACUAAGGAAACUAAUCGCAGCAAAGAACGAUGUGAUGACGGCGGUUGUCAAUGCUGAACGGCAACAAAUGAGAAGGCUGGACCAAGUGCAAGUGUGGGUUUCGAGGGCGGAUGCUGUUAAAAAUGAAGCUGAUGAACUUAUCAGAGGCGGCUCUCAAGAAAUUGAAAAAUUAUGUCUUAGAGGGUUCUGUUCCAGGAACUGCACGUCAAGCUACAAGUUCGGAAAACAAGUGGCUAAAAAGCUACGAGCUGUGGAGACUUUAAUCGCCGAAGGAGUUUUUGAGGCGGUGGCUGCCGAGGUGGUGCCUGAGAGAGCUCCAGAGCCUGUAGCAGAUGAAAGACCUACCGAGCGAACAGUAGUAGGCUUGCAAUCACAACUUGAACAAGUCUGGAGAUGUCUUGCAGAAGAAUCAGCGGGAAUCAUUGGCCUAUAUGGUAUGGGCGGUGUUGGUAAAACUACACUAUUGACCUAUAUCAACAAUAAAUUUCUCGAGAGUCCAACCAACUUUGAUUGUGUGAUUUGGGUAGUAGUUUCAAAAGACCUGCGACUUGAAAAACUUCAAGAAAAUAUUGGGAAAAAGAUAGGUUUGGUUGAUGAUUCAUGGAAGAGUAAAAGUGUAGAGGAGAAAGCUCUCGACAUCUUCCGGAGUUUAAGAGAGAAGAGAAUUGUAUUGCUGUUAGAUGAUAUAUGGGAGCGGGUUGAUUUAACAAAAGUGGGCGUUCCACUUCCAGGACCACAAAAUACUACCUCAAAAGUCGUAUUCACAACCCGUUUGAUCGAUGUUUGUGGUAGCAUGGAAGCUGACAGGAAGUUCAAAGUAGCAUGCUUAUCAGAAAAGGAUGCUUGGGAACUGUUUCGAAAAAAAGUUGGGGAAGAAACUCUUGGAAGUCAUCAUGAUAUCGUUGAGCUAGCCCAAACUGUGGCCAAAGAGUGUGGUGGUUUGCCACUCGCACUUAUUACUAUCGGUCGAGCUAUGGCCUACAAAAAGACAGCCGAAGAGUGGAGACACGCAGUUGAAGUUCUAAGAAGAUCAGCUUCGGAAUUUGCAGGUUUGGGAAAAGAGGUGUAUCCUCUUUUAAAGUUUAGCUAUGAUAGUUUGCAGAAUAAGACGAUUAGAUCUUGUUUCUUAUAUUGUUGUUUAUAUCCUGAAGAUUAUGGCAUUCUUAAAUGGGACUUGAUUGACUGUUGGAUUGGUGAGGGAUUCUUAGAGGAAUCUGACAGGUUUGGUGCAGAAAACCAAGGAUACUACAUUGUGGGCACUCUUGUUCAUGCGUGUUUACUAGAAGAGAUAGAAGAUGAUAAAGUAAAAAUGCAUGACGUUGUUCGUGAUAUGGCUCUAUGGAUAGCUUGUGAAAUUGAGAAGGAGAAGAGAAACUUUUUGGUUUGUGCAGGUGCGGGACUAAAGGAGGCACCUGAUGUUAAAAGAUGGGAAAAUGUGAGAAGAUUGUCAUUGAUGCAAAACCAAAUUGAAACUUUGUCAGAGGUUCCUGCAUGCCCUCAUCUCCAUACUCUAUUUCUUGCCUCUAAUAAUAGUUUGCAGAGGAUCACCGAUGGCUUCUUCCAAUUUAUGCCUUCUCUCAAAGUUUUCAAGAUGUCAAACUGCGGGAAUUUAAUUUUGGAAUUACCUUUUGGGAUGUCAAAGUUGGGUUCAUUGGAACUUCUCGAUAUUUCACAUACCUACAUACAAGAGUUACCACAAGAGUUAAAGUUGUUGGUAAAUCUGAAAUGUUUGAAUUUGAGGUGGACAAGCGAGUUAAAUAAAAUUCCACGGCAGCUAAUAUCAAAUUCUUCAAGGUUACGUGUGUUGAGAAUGUUGGGUACUGGCUGGUUCAAUUUUCAUGAAGCAUCAGAAGACAGCGUUUUAUUUGGCGGGGGUGAAGUUUUAGUACGGGAAUUGCUCGGUUUGAAAUAUUUAGAGGUAUUGGAGUUGACCUUGCGAAGUUAUCAUGCUCUCCAAAUUGUUUUGAGCUCAAAUAAGUUAAAAAGUUGUAUUCGAUCUCUUUACCUCCAGUUGACCGGAGAUAGAAAGUCGAUUAUUGAUGCUACGGCUUUCGCAGAUCUAAACCACCUCAAUGAAUGAUUGAUUUUUAAAGGUUUUGAGUUGGAAGAAUUGAAGAUUGAUUAUACAGAGAUAGUACGAAAAAGGCGGGAACCUUUUGUUUUCCGCAGCCUUCACCGUGUUACCAUAGAUUCGUGCCUUAAAUUGAAAGAUUUGACAUUCCUCGUUUUUGCUCCAAACCUCAAGUCUCUUUCGCUAUUCAAUUGCCGUGCUAUGGAAGAAAUAAUCAGCGUUGGAAAAUUUGCUGAGGUUCCUGAGAUGAUGGGACAUAUAAGCCCUUUUGAAAAUCUCCGAAGUCUUCGUUUGUCACAUUUGCCAAAUUUGAAGAGCAUCUACUGGAAGCCAUUGCCUUUCACUCAUCUGAAAGAAAUGGUGGUACAUGGGUGUGAUCAGCUUAAAAAGCUUCCACUCGAUUCCAACAGUGCAAAAGAGCGUAAAUUUGUUAUUCGUGGACAAGCAGACUGGUGGGACCGACUUCAAUGGGAGGAUGAAGCCACUCAAAUUGCUUUUAGUUCCUGUUUCCAACCUUAACUUGAUUUCUGGUUAGUGCUGUUUCCUUAACUUUUACAUAUAUUCUCGUCGUUUGCUUCGUGCAAAAUACUAGGUCUUUUGUUCUCUGUUUUUAUUUCGCCCAUUUUUUUUUUUUUUUUUUGUCUUCUGCAAAUGACAGACAAAUGUUGAACUAAAAGGAAUUAAUGCUUUAUAACUUUGCCGGCAUUGCUUUUUUCUUUUUCUUUUUUGAUUUUUUGGGGCGAGGGGGGAUCGAAUAGAUGCUCUGGUUUUUGACUUUUUGUUGUCAAAUUUUACUCUGUUUUUUUCAAAUUGAUGCUUGAAUAUUUGAAUCAAAUUAAUGCUCACGUAAAUUUGUUCAGUUGCCGUAAAAGGAUAUAAUUACACUGAAAUACACAAACUCUAGAAUGAAUAGAAUUAAACAGAGAAAAUCUUGAGUAUAUUAGCCGUCUUCACAUAAAAUCAUAUGAAAAUUAAAUUUUGAAGUUUUUAUUUUCUAUUUUUAAUCAUACCCUUUAUAAUUUCUUCUGUUCUAACUACAAUAAAAUUUUUGGUUCAAGGAUUUUUAUGAGGGGUAUUAAUAAUAGUCCACCAAAAGAGUGAACAGUUGGAUGCUGCCCUAAGGGUCUCUAAUCAAUAGCUGGAAGCAAUUGAGAAGGCGGUCGUUACUGUGUACAAAGCCAUGCAGUAUUUGCUAUUCAUCUUAGUAAUUAUGAAGCUUUGGUAAAAUUUUCAAACAAAGUUGACAUGUUAUUUUGAGAUUUGGUUCAUGAUUUUGUAUGAAUAUCGUUGUUCCAUUGAGUUGUAUAUGAAUUCAAAUGUAAAAUAUUCUUUGGUUUUCAAUUUUGAAUUCAAUUUCUUUUCUUAAGCAUGUUGUGCAGAAAUGAUUUCUACUAAAUCAUUUUUGAUAAACUACUUAAAUUAAACAACUGCAAUAAGAACUGUUAAGGAUUUAUCGUAAGCAGACUAAUAUGAUAAUUCUGAAACUAUCAUUUUUUUUUUCAAUUUGUUGCAGGGAAAGCCAAAUUUUGUAUUUUUCAGUUUUAUCUGAUAUGGAAUUUAUUUCCUCUACACUAGCUACCUAAAGAUUUAUCAAAUUGCUUCUCUUCCCUGCUUCAAAUUAAUAUCUUUAUGCAACUACAAUCUCAUAGGAAAAGACAGUUUGGGUUGUAUUUAUUAUAGUUUUUUUUUUCGUUAAGAGCAAUUUAUUUUAAAAUCGUUUAGUAGUAACAGUUUUUAUUGAAUAAUAAUGGGGUAGGAUUAUUAUAGGUUCAACUAGUUGUUAGAACAUUAUAAAAAGUCCAUUUACUAUCAAAUGCUUUAAAUUGGUGCAACAUGAUAAUUGUCCCACAUAAUUUUUAAUAAUAUAUAUGGCCCAUAAAUUUAAUAUGAAUAAAUGAGUUUCGAUAGUUAAAUUUGAUACGAUUAUUAAAUAAGUUAUAUCCAUGUCAAUUCGACUUAAAAUCUGGUAAAUUUAGAUUUAGAGUUUAUAACAUGAUAACUUGUUUUAUGACAUGAUUUACUAAUCAAUUAAUAUUAAAUUAUAUUUUAGCCAAUCAGAUAUGUGGUACAUUUGUCAAAUUUUAAAAAUUAUUUAUUUAUAUAUGAAAUAAAUUUGACUAGACUGUGUGUAGGUAAUAGUGCAUAAUUUCUAAAAAAAUGUAAUAAUAACACGUUAAAAUGUUAUUUUUAUGAAGAAAAAUUGAAAUUUUAUUAAAUAGGCGACACAAUAAUAAAUGGGUUGAGAUUAUUUACAUUUUAAGAAUUACUCUGAACAUUAUUUUAUUUUAUAAAUUUUAUAUUACAAAAACACCCAUAGUUUAAUUUACCAUUAAGAACAAUUUUGUGCGAUUAAAUAAAAUACAUUACUCUUUACCCUUUCACUACAUCGACAUAAAUCCUAAUUGUUAUGUUUCUAAUUUCUUUGAUAUGCUUAUUGAAGUCCACAUUAUAAUCAAUUUUAAACUAUUAUACCACUUAAAUACAUUUUAGAAUGAGAAGUUUGGUUUUCUUCAUGGGCUGCCUUGCUGAUGCUGUUAUUGAAACUAUCGAACUUAAUAAUUUUAUGGCCAAAAUGAUAUAUGUUGAACCAGCUUUUACAUCGAAUUCUACCACCAUAAAAAAUCGUACUUGUAACAUCUCAAGGUUCCAAUUUAUCAAAAGUUAAUCAUUCAUAUUUGUUAGUUCCUAACAGUCACAAGAGCGUACAAGCCAAUUUUUGUAGCUCCUUUUUCUGCAGUAGAUUCAAGUAUAUUAUUAUCAAGCAUUUUUGUUACACCCUUAAUUCCUUAUCAUCAUCCCUUCAUUCAGAGCAACUAAACAGAGGUCAAUGUCAUUAUGUUAGAGUUACGAGGAAGAGUACUGCCAAAAAAGUUCUUUGUAUGGGAUUUAAUUUUCUGGGUUUGUAGUGAUGAACAAAUUGAGGGUUGUUUUGGUAUUUUCAAGAGUGUAUUGAGUGAAAAUUAUUUUUAAAAAAUUUAACAAAUGAGUGUAAUGAGUAAAAAAGUGUUUAAAGUAUUUUUUAGAGUACAAAUAGCUCCACCUUAAUAAAUGAGUUCUUGUAAAAAUUGAGAUUAUUGAUAUAAUUAUUAAAUAGGUUGGAUUGAAGUUAGUUUAAUUUUGACAAGAUAAUAAGACGACGCGACACAAAUACAACCAACCAGUCAACCCAAAUUGCAACCUUUUACUAAUAAAAGAUACCUGUUUGAAAAGUAAUUAUAAGCUAUCUUCUUUGUGUUAUUUCUCUAAAAAUUUGCGGCACAAAUAUUAUUUCCAUGGAGAAAAGUACGAAAUACCCGCUUUCACUUCAGCAGAAGCAAAGCAAAGCUAUGAGCCAUCUCUGUAUAAUUGAAACGCCAUUGCUAAACGGUUCUUGAUGAUGGGUGCCACCGUGCCAGCGUUGUCGCUGAUUUGCAUGAUUUAUUAGUUGUUCAGAUGGCGGAUUUUGUACUGUCACUUUCAUUUCAUUCUUGAGAGCCACGUACAAUACUAGGUGGCAUUGAAGUUGCCCCAGUGGUUAGUUUUCUGAUUUUUUUUAAUUCAAAUUUUUAUGUUUUAGAAAAAUGUAAGAAAUAUGUAGAAAUGUUGACAGCUACAAUUUUGAAACUUUGCCUAAAAUUAUUAUCGUUGCUUAUUGUUUCUUAGCUAAAGAGAAAUCCUAGAAACAUGAAAUUAUUAUUCUAUGCUUGUUUUAAUAUUAUACAUUAGCAGGUUAAUUAAAAAUUAGACGUGAAUACAACAAGAGAUAAGUGGAGAGAAUUUGGUAGUCGACCGCAUUUAGAAUUUAAUUUUUCUUUUAGCUGCCGAUCAUUAAAUUUUAUAUUUCAGAAAAUUAUACCUAGAAUAUUUCAAGGAUAUACUACGAAGAUUAUGAAGGUUUGAUUACAUGUCACUAUCAAUUGCCUCAAUCAUUUGUAGUAAAUUAAUUAAUCAUUUUGCUGCAAAUGAUUUCCUAUUAAAAAAUUCAAGUCAGAGCUGAAUUGCACAGUAGUUAGUCGUGCUUGCAAUUCAAAUCAAGUAUUGUAUUUUCUGCCUGAUUUGGUUGAUUCAACUAUGUGCAUUUGCAUAAUGGAGAUGCUUAUGAACGUUGUAGUAUAGAAAUCGAAACGUCUUGUCUUUUGCUAAGCCCAGAAGCAAAGUUCUUUGUAUUAUACUCAUCAGUUUUCUUCGUUCUCUUCGUUGAAAUUUUAUCCAAACAGCGGUUUCUUCGAAUUUUUGCCCUCUCUUACAUUUUUAAAUCUAUCAAAGAACGGUUACCUGAGAAGAUUGCCAUCAGGUAUUUCGAAAUUGAUUUCACUACAAUACCUUAAUCUAUCAGAUUUUAAUCUAUCAGAUGCUCCCGUCACUCAGUUGCCAAAAGUGACAAAAGCCUUAGUAAAUUUUUAGAGUAAAAACUCAUUUAUUCCUUAUAUUUUAAGAUUAGUAUCUAUUUAGUCCUUAUAUUUUGAAAAAUACCUUGAAACAUCACUGCCAUUAAAGUAUUGAUACCCUUACCGUUACUUUUUAUUUAUUUUGGCUUAUUUUUACAAUAUUACCCUUUAAUAAUAAUUUUUUUGUUUAGACAUUAAUAAAAAUAAAAUAAUUAAAUUACCAAUUUAAUCCUAAAAAAUAAAAAUAAAAAUUUAUAUUAAUUUUUAAUUGUAAAAAAUUGUAUGCAAACUACCAAAUGUGCAAACGGUGCUUGCAAAAAAAUUAAUAUAAAUUUUUUAUUUUUAGGGUUAAAUUAGUAAUUUAAUUAUUUUAUUUUUAUUAAUGUCCAAAAAAUUAGUAAUUUAAUUAUUUUCUUUUUAUUAAUGUCCAAAAAUUAUUAUAAAAGGGUAAUAUUAUAAAAGUAAGCUAAAAGAAAUGAAAAGUAACGGUAGGGGUAUCAAUACUUUAACGGUAGGGAUGUUUCGAGGUAUUUUUAAAAAUAUAAAGAGUAAAUGGACACUAAUAUUAAAAUACAGGGACUAAAUAAGUUUUUAUCCUAAAUCUUUAAGUGUUUGAAUUGGAGUACAUAAAUUAUCUCUCUACAAUUCAAAAACAACAGAUUUGUUACUUUUCAACGCUACAGGUUCCGCGAAUAUUCAGUUGUGGUUAUCUUGUUGAAACACCAGAAAAUAGCGUUCUAUUUGGUGGUAAUGAAUUCUUGGUUGGGGAGUUACUUAGUUUAAAACAUUUAAAUGUAUUAAGCAUCGCCUUAAAAGGUUUUUCUACCGUCCAAAAAUUUAUGAGCUCCCAAAAGUUUCAAAGUUGUACAAAAUGUUUGGAGCUUAUAGACAGUGAUGAUUCAAAGUCGUUUGCCAUGGCAGAGUUGAAGCAUCUUGAAAAACUAGGUAUUUCAAAUUGUGGAAAUUUGGAAGAGUUUAAGUUCUGCUGUGUCGAAGUUGGAAAAACUUGAGAAGAUUUUUGUUUGAACAGCCUUCACCAAGUUAAGAGAAAGGCUUGUCAUAAAUUGAGGGAAGUGACAUGGCUUGUGUUUGUACCAAAUCUUAAGGUUAUUCAGAUAGAAAAAUGUAUGGAGAUGGAGGUUGUUGGGAAAGAGACUACCACAAGCAGCUAAAAAUUAAGCGAAUACAAAAUUCUUUCUCUCUUUGUGUGAUUAAAAUAGGAUGUGCACCACAAACAAAUAAGCAGAAAAAUAAACCAAUAAAUGCAAAGCAAAAACCAACCACAAGAGACACCGAUUUUUAAGUAGAAAAUUUAAAUUGGGAAAAAUCACAGGAUAGUAGUCUGAUAUAAACUUCUACUAUAUUAAUGAGAUUACAACACAAAUUCUUCUCCAGAUAAUACUAGAUGCUAACAAUAUUAAAAUUCUCAACAAUCUUAGUUUAUAAUAAUAGAUCUAAAAUCUAUUUCUUCAAUAAGUGAGUAUCUCAAAUAAUAGCUACUGAGAGAAUAAAAUACAGAUCAACACCAGUAGAAAUAUAGAGGGCAAUGUCAGGAACUUACCCUCCAAAUUUAGGACUAAUCAGAGCUAAAAUAACCUUUUGAUUGUUGAAUCAAAGAUUGAAAACCAAAAAAAAAAAAAAUAUCUCUUUCUCUCGCAGUGUCUUCUCACUUUCGCAAAAUGUCUACAGCUCUCGCGAUUCUUUACUUAUUUCCUUAGUUAAUUUCAUCCAAGUCCAAAAUUUUACAAUAAUUACACAUCAAGCAAAUUAUUUUGGACUUUGAACUUUUUGGUCCACUGAAGUGAAAUGGACCUUACAAAUCUCCCCCUCCAUCUCAUCUAAGGGGCACCACCAAGCCCGCUCUCUACUUACAGCUUUCCAGCUUCUCCUUGGGUAAUGACUUUAUCAUCAUAUCUGAUGCAUUCUUCGUUGUGUGAAUUUCUCCAAGCUGCAACUGUUUCUACUCAAGCACGUCUUGUAUCCAAUGAUACUUCAUAUCAAUAUGCUUCGAUUUCAAAUGAUAUGUUGAAUUCUUUGCCAAGUGGAUGACACUUUAACUGUCACAGUACACAACAUAACUAUCUUGAUUAACACCUAGUUCUUGUAGAAAAUUCUUCAUCCACAAGGUUUCUUUGUAACUUUCAGUGAUUGUAAUAUACUCUACUUCUGUAGUAGACAAAGCAACACACUACUAAAGUCUAGACUGCCAUGAAACUGCUCCUCCUACAUAGGUGAGCAAAUAUCUUGAUAGAGACUUUCUAGAAUCAACAUCUCCUGCCAUAUAUGCAUCCGUAUCUACUUGUAAUAUAGGUUUGUCACCACCAAAACAUAAACAUGCCUUGGAAGUGCCUCUGAGAUAUAUGACAAUCUACUUUACUGCUGUCCAGUGUUUUUUACCCAGAUUAGAGGAAAACCAGUUGACUACCAACUGUUGAAGCGUACCUCAAACUACCAACUGUUGAAGCAUAAAAAACUCUUUUUAUCUCUUGCUUCUCUUUCUCACUUAUGGGACAAUGCUUGAAACUAAGCUUGAAAUGACCUGCAAGUGGAAAAUAAACAUAUUUUGCUUUGUCCAUAUUAUAUCUUUUAAGAACUUUUUCAACAUAUGCUUCCUGAGAUAACCAUAAAUUCCCAGUUUUUCUGUCACGAGAAAUCUUCAUGCCAAGAAUUUGUUUCGCCGAUCCCAAGUCCUUCAUUACAAAAGACUUGCUAAGCUCUCUCUUCAAAUUGUCAAUCUUACUAGUAUCCUUGCCAACAAUCAACAUGUCAUCCACAAAAAGUAAAAGAAUAAUAAAAUCAUUAUCACUAAACUUUUUCACAAACAUACAAUGAUCACACAUUGUCUUGCAAAAGCCAUGAUUCUCCAUAAAAGAAUCAAACUUCUUAUACCACUGUCUUGGUGCAUGUUUCAGCCCAUAUAAAGUUUUUUUCAAUUUGUACACAAGUUCUUCUUUACCUUUGACACUGAACUCUUCAGGUUGUUAUAUGUAUAUUUCCUCCUUUAAGUCAUCGUGUAAGAAAGCAGUCUUUACAUUGAAUUGUUCAAUUUCCAAAUCCAAGCUAGCUACUAAUCCCAGAGGUGCUUGCUCAAUUGGUUCUGCUGGACCAUUAUUAUUAUCCUCUCCAGCUCCCCUAUGAUCAUCAUGAACAACAUGUGGAGAAACCGAAGUUGGAAUAAUAAGAAUCUCUGGAGAUGGCUGAGACUUAUCAUUUUUUUUUCAUCACCAACUAUCUAAUUUUUAAGAAACACAACAUCUCUAAUUCUGAUUACUUUUCUUGUCACUGGAUCCCAUAAUCUGUACCCAAAUUCUUCAUGUCCAUAGCUUAAGAAAAUACAUUUCUUGGCUUUAUCAUCAAGUUUUGAUCUCUCAUCUUUAGGGAUAUGAACAUACACUCUGCACUUAAACACCCUCAAGUGUUUAUAAGAAACAUCUUUCCCAAUCCAAACUCUUUUAGGUACAUCGUCAUCUAAUGGAGCUUAAGGAGAAAGAUUAAUCAAAUCAACUACAGUACGCAUAGCCUCCGCUCAGAAGGAUUUAUAAAGCUUGGCAUCAGAAAACAUACAUCUGACUAUCUUUUCAAUUGUUCUGUUCAUUAUUUCUGCAACACCACUCUGCUGAGGGGAUUUUGGUACAGUUUUCUUAAGUUUGAUUCCAUGAGAUCUGCAAUACUGCUCAAAUGGUCCUCUGUACCCACCAUCAUUUUCUGCCCUGACACAUUUCAAUUUUUUUCUUGUCCCUCUCUCAACAUAAGCACGAAAGAAUUUAAACAUAGUAAGCACGAAAGAAUUUAAACAUAUCAAGCACUUAAUCUUUAGAUUUUAAAGCAAAAGUCCAUACUUUUCUAGAACAAUCAUUAAUAAAAGUCAUAAAAUAAAGUGCACCUCCUAUUGAUCUAUUUUGCAUCAUGCAAAUAUCAAUGUGAAUCAAAUCAAGGAUUUGUGACUUUCUAGAUGGAGAAAAGCUUUUAAAAGUUACUUUAUGUGCCUUUCCAGCUAAACACUAAACACAAGUCUUGAGGGACGUACCUACAAAGCUUGGUAGAAAUCCUUUUUUGGCAAGAGUUCCUAACCCUUUCUCACCAAUGUGACCAAGCCUUUUAUGCCAUGUCUCAAUGUCAGAAUUGUUUACAGCCAUAUUCAUAUAUUCUUUCUUGAUUUUGGCUUCUAUUACGUAGAGGGUGUUCAUUUUCUUUCCUUUAGCCAACACUAGAGAGCCUUUGGUGAGCUUUCAUUUUCCUUCACCAAAUUAGUUAGUAUAACUAUCAUCAUCAAUUUUUCUUGUGGAGAUCAAAUUAAGACGAAUAUCUAGUACAUGCAAGCUUUUUUGUGGAGAUCAAAUUAAGGCGAAUAUCUAGUACAUGUCUGACAUCUUUAAGGAGUAGCUUAUAGCCAACACUGGUUUGAAGCAAAUAUCUCCUAUGCCCACAAUCUUGGAUGCCCCCUCAUUUCCCAUCCGAACAUGGUCAUAAUUACCAUUAACAUAGGAUGUGAAGUAAUCAUGAUGUGCAGUUGUUGUGCAAAUUUUAAUGUACUCGCAAGCGCACGAAUCUAUUGUAGUAUAGAUCAAUGGUGACGAGUGUCGAUCCCACGAGGAGGUGGAUUUUAAUUGUGUAUAGAAUUAAUUUUGCAAAUGGUUGAUUGGAUUUGUGGUGGAAAUGAUUUGGAAUAUGCUAAAACUUAAAUUAAAAUGGCGAGAAUAAAUUCUAAAAUUGGAAUUGAAAUUGCGAGAAUAAAGUUGAAGAGAAUUCUAUUGAAAUGACGUACUUGGGUAUCUGGAUCCGUAUCAACAUGCAUCAUGGGCUAAAUAAUGCGUAUUAAUGCCAAUUAAAUCAUGAGGGGGGAAUCCACACCUCAUGAACCACGCUCUAAUCAAUAUGGUGCUAAGGGCUUAUCGUGCCAAAUAAUAAUAACCUUGUACUAGAGAGCCGGUGUAACCAAGGCGGUACUAGACAAGAUUAGUAUUAUUUGUCGACGAGAAGUCAAAACAUCCACAAAAACUAGAGGGGAAGAGAAAAUAAAUUUACCAAAUAAAGCCCAUGACACAUGUUGAGACUUCACCUUCAACCCAAGCUUAAAAGAAAAUUAGCUACUCAUAAUUGAACUAAGGGCAAAAUGGGAAUUUAUUAAAAUACGAAGAAAAUACAAGAUAGAGAGGGAAUUACAGAAAAUGGAUCCCAAAAAUGGAUUCAGAGAUAUCAAAUUAGGGGGGGAGGCCCCCUUUUUAUAGAUACAUGGAGUAAAUCAUGGCAAUCGGAUUAAAAACAGUUUGGACGCUCAGGAUUGCGCCACGUCAUCAGUCAACAGUCCACGGUUUGACCACGCGGAUGAACAGUAAUACGGUUUGACCCAUAUGAACAGUACGCGGUUUGACCCGGAUGAACAGUAACGCGGUUUGGUUGAAAAUAAUCCUGUGUGAUGCAUGCACCGUACGCGAGAUUUUUUGUCCACUGAUAUGCUGCCACGUCACCAUCAACAGUACAUAAGAAUUUUAGUCCAACAGGAUCGUGACACCUCAUCAGUCAAUGCCACAUCAUCGAUCCGUCUAUGUGAGCAGUGCCGUGAACAGUAACAUAUACAGUACCGUAUACGUGAAUAGUACCGUACAUGUGAAUAGUGCUAUUUUUCCUUUUAUGCUCCUCCUAAGGUUUUCGACCGUCCUGAGUUCAAAAGUGAUGUCCGUUUUACCGUCUGAUCUCUCCUUUAUUGUGAAAUCACUAUAAUACCACUAAAAUACAUAAAAUACUUAAUUAAAAUAAAACACAUGUAAUUAAAUCACAAGAAGGUUAAAUACAUAAAAGUAAGGGUUGUUAGUAAGACUUGAAAUGUAAAAUGAUGGUUUUCUCCUUUAUAAAUAUGCAUUUUCUAACACUCAACAGCAGUAACCACGAUGUGCAGUAACAUCAAACGAAGCACCCGAAUCAAUCACCCAAUUACUGGUAUGGCAAGUAAGAUUUAUAGAGCUAUCAUUAUAAGCAAUGCCCAUAUCACCAUUAAUUACGGCUGUAACAUUCUCUUUGUCAUUUUUCUGACCAUCGCCUUUUUCUUUCGCAUGUUCUCUUUUCCACAAUUUACACUACCUUUUUACAUGGCCCAUUUUCUGACAAUGAAAGCACUUAGCUUCUCCUAUGGGACUUAGAUCUUCCUCCAGGGUUAUCAUUAUUCUGAUGACGGAAAUUUCUGCUUCGACUUCUCCCCCGUCUUUUUUGGUUUUCUGAAACAAGUGUAGCUGACUCAGAGGGAACUACUUCAGCAUUCUUUCUUCGAGAUUCUUCAUUCCGCAGUCUAUCUGUAACCAUAUCCAAGUUUAAUUUACCAUUCGGUGCCGAAUUAUUCACUGACACCACUAAUGUCUCCCAACUAUCAGGUAAAGAACUAAGCAACAACAAUGCUUGUAACUCGUCAUCUAGAAUAAUCUUCAUAGUAGUCAACUGAUCAACCAAACCCUGAAACUCACUAGUGUGUUCAGUAAUACUGUGGCCUUUUUUAUAUUUCAAGUUAACAAGCCUUUUCAUUAGAUUGACUUUAUUUUGUGCUGUUGGCUGCUCAUAAAUUAUUUCUAAUUUUCUCCAAAGAACAUCAGCCUUGGAUUCCUUCGCGACAUGAUGGUACACACUCUGAUCAAUCCAUGACCUAAUAGUGCCCACGGCUUUCUGGUUCAAUUGAGCCCAUUUCUUAUCAUCUAUAUCAACAAGUUUAACUUCAUCACCUUCAAUAGGUUCAUGUAAGUCUUUCAUGUAGAGCAAAUCUUUCAUUCUAGACUUCCAAAUAUCAUAAUUCCACGACUCAAUUUAAUCAUGAACGCCAAAGACUCCUCUAUUUCAACCACAUAAGUAAUAAAAACACACAACCUGGCUCUGAUACCACUCUAUUGGGAAAACGACUACCACAAACAGCUACAAAUUAAGCGAAAAUAAAAUUCUUUUCCUCUUUGUGUGAUUAAAAUAGGAUGUGCACCAUAAACAAAUAAGCAGAAAAAUUAAUCAAUAAAUUCAAAGCAAAAAUCAACCACAAGAGACACCGAUUUUAACGUGGAAAAUUCAAAUCGGGAAAAACCAUGGGACAAUAGUCCGAUAUAAAUUUCCACUAUAUUAAUGGGAUUACAGUACAAAUUCUUCUCCAGAUAACACUAGAGGUUAACAACAUCAAGAUUUUCAACAAUCUUGGCUUACAAUAAUAGAUCUAAAAUCUAUUUCUUCAAUAAGUGAGUAUCUCCAAUAACAGCUAAUGAGAGAAUAAAAUAUAGAUCAACACGAGUAGAAAUGUAAAGGGCGAUGUCAGGAACUUAUCCUCCAAAUUUGGGAGAAAUCAAAGCUAAAAUUAUUUUUCGAUCGUUGAAUCAAAGAUUGAAAACCCAAAGAAAAAAAAUAUCUUUUUCUCUCGCAACGUCUUCUCACUUGCGCGAAAUGGCUACAUCUCUCGCGAUUAUUCACUUAUUUCCUUUAUAUUUUUUUUGGUUAAUUUCAUCCAAGUCUAAAAUUUUACAAUAAUUACACAUCAAGCAAAUUAUUUUGGACUUUGGGCUUUUGGUCCACUGAAGUGAGAUGGACCCUACAGAAGCAAUAAUCAGUGCAAGAAAAUUAAGUGAAGUUCCAGAGAUGAUGGCAGAUCUAAACCCUUUUGUAAAACUCCAAUAUCUUGGCCUCCGAAUUCUACCAAAAUUAAAAAAGCGUCUAUUGGAAUGUGUUGCCCUCUCCACAUGUCAGGGAAAUUUUUGUAUCUGAAUGCCCAAUUCUCAUUAGAGGAGAGGAACACUGGUGGAAUAAGUUGCAAUGGGAGGAUGAAGCAACCUAUAAUGCUUUUCUUCCUUGUUUUGGAUCCAUUUGAUGGGCAUCAACAUGGAUUAAUAUUUUGCAGCGAACCAAUUUGAAUAAAACUUACGGUAAGUGCUUUUCCAUUUAUUGCAUAUUUAUAUCUAAUUUUUGUUUUCCUUUAUGGUUAAAUUUUGCCCUGUAUAUGUUGUUGUACGGUGACAUUCUUGAAUCAAUUAUUAAUUUUUUUAAUUCUCGUCUCACAACCACCCUUUUGAUCAUGAGGAUAUGCCGAUAUCAAAGAGUCAUAAUUUGGGAUACAAAUGUAAGAAUUAGGCAGAUGACAUGUUGUUUCAAAGCUUUCGAAGAAGGACUAAAUAUGUCAUUGAAAGCCUCCAAUUUUGCGACUGAUUUUUUUUUAAUUUGUUAUUUUUAUAGGUGGCAAAAAUACCCGUCUGAUUUGGACUCGGCUGAUUUGGGCCGGGUACGGAGUAUGAAGCCGGGUUGGUCCUGGGCAUCACUUGAAACUCGGAACCUGGAUUUUAUUAAAAAAUAUUAUAAAUAUAUAUUAUUUUAAAUAUCUAUAUUUAUUAGACUCAUCUAUUACAUAUAUCUAAUUUCAUUGAAAUAAAUUUAAAAAUUAUAAAAUUACCAAUAUAUAUAUAUAUAUAUAAUAUUAAAAAAGUAUAAAAUCUGAGUCCUCAGAUUAAAACCCAGUUCAAGUGUCUAAAAAAUACAUGUGGACCGAGUUUGAACAUUGCGAUACCCAGACCCAAACUUGGGUUUUGCCAACCCUAGUCUUUUAAAUUGCUUGAUUGUAAUGUUUUAGUAUAGAAAAAUGAUAGCCAAGACAACAAUAAGAGGGCACAUUGUGCAUGCACAAUAGUGGAUAAUUUCGGCAUUCCAAAUCCAAUUAGGGUGGAUAACCUUUUAUUAGUAUUAACCUUCUCUCGUAUUCAAGUAAUGUAAAAUAUGCUUAGAAGCUGUGGAUCCCCCUUUAUAAGUGUUGGGCUUAUGCCAAACUCGAUUGAUGUGGGAUGCCUUUAUAGGCAUCAAGUUUUCUCCCAUACACUUUAUGUUAAAAAUAAUAAUGAUAAAAUAAAUCCAUUUUAAAAUAGACUUCUUUUUCUUUUCUAUAUAAACAAACUCAUUCUUCAAAUCAGUUGUGGGUGGAAGGAGUGAGUAGAGAAGAACUGGGCCCCUUUCGUUCCUCUAAAAACCUCACCAAACCUCUCUUGUAAGCUUCUCAGUGUCCCUCUCAAUAUUUCUUAUGAUCUCGUUUUUUAUUGAAUCACUUCUUUUGUGUGCUGCAUUUUUGUGUGUCGUAUUUGGGUUUAUCUUAUCUGGAAUCCUGUUAUGAUUGAUGGAACAAGUAAUCGAUUUUUGGUUUAUUUGGAAUGGAAUUAUGGUUUAUUUGGAAUGGAAUUAUCUGGGUGUAACGGAUUAAAUUAUGACAUUGGGGAGAAGGCACUAAGGGGUUUGCUUGACACAUUUGGUUCUGUGUUUACUCUGAAAGAAAUAGCUUUUGCUUAUCGUAAUGCAAGGCGAAAUCCCGAUUUGGGUGGUGAAUUUCUCUAUCCCAAUUGGGCUGGUGAAUUUCUCUGUGACAAAUAGGCAAACAGCUCAACCUCUUUUAUCUAUCUUCUACUAGUGAGGCAAGGGAUAAAAAGUCUUCAAAAUCAUCAAAUAGUAACAUCUUCGAGAAUUCAUUUUAUGCAAAUGGAAAAUCUAGACCUUCUAAGACAAAAUGGCGUCCAGUAUCAAGAGGUACCGUUUCAAGUUUUCUUGGUAAAAAUUAUGUAAACUUGCACAGCCAGCUAAUGGCACUUUUCUAGUUUUCUGGCAUCAAAGCCAUUGAAGUCGUAUCCAAAGGAGUUUCCCAUGUCUGCACUUUGUGGAGAAGGAACUAAACAAAAACAAUCAAAGGAUGACCAUUUGCAGAAGGAUGUGGAAGAUUUUCUGUUUAAAUUGCUAGGAGAAGUGUUCCAGCUGAAUAGGGAUGUGAUUCGGGAAGUUCCAGUAAUGUCUUAAAUAUGUUGAUGCCAAUUUAAUAUAUAUUGUCAUUUUCAAUGUUCUUUCUUUCUUUCUUUAUCUUCUUUUCUUCUACUUCUUCUUCUUUUUCUUUUCGUGUGCAUGUGAUCACUAAUUUGUUAUUAUACUUAACUUGCAGGUAGUUGUGGAUAUGAUAUGCAAAAGGUAAGGACUAUAUCUUCCUGAUAGAGGCCUCUGCUUUUUCCCUUUUAUGUAAUUUAGUAAAUCUCAUCUCCCUUUGUGAUUGUUAUAUCAUAUCAAAGUCAAGUCUUAAAUACUGCUGUCAUAUGUUAAGGUUCAACUUGCAUUUUGACUAACAUCCAUUUGUUGUCGCUUCCAAAAGUGAGAAUGAGAUACUUCGGUUAAUUUCAGUAGUUGAACCCAAUCGAGUACUUUAUCUAGAUCUUCAUGGUUCAAAGGCCUGAAACUUGCCCGUGAUUGUAAAAUGAUAUUAUGUGCUUUUAAUGCAAUAGGGGGAACAAGGUGUCAAAGGAAUUAGCAGAUUCUAUGGCAGAUUCUAUGCCUGUACAACUGUAACAAUUAUCCUUAUGAUUGUAAAUCUUAUAUGUUUUCCUUAUUUAGGAUAUACUAGCUGUAGGCUAUUUUAGAUAGUUAUGUAUAUGAUAGUUUAGCUAUGUUUAGGGCUAAACAUAAGCUUGUAUUCAUAGUAUAUAAAGGGAAUUCUCUUCUAAGAGAAAGCAUAACUUUUGCUCAAAAUUCUCUGAGUUUAUCAUGGUAUCAGAGCCUCAGUUCUGAAUUCUCUUCUUCCUAGUUCAUUCCCUUGUUCUUAGUUAUUCUUUUUUUUAUCAAGUUAUCUCAGCCUCAUGUCUUCAGACAAGUAUGAUGCUUUUUUGAUCCGUUUUAAUGGCACAAACUACUCAGCCUGGGCAUUUCAUUUCGAGAUAUUUGUCAAAGGCAAAGAUCUAUGGGGACAAGUUGAUGGCAGGAAACCUGCCCCUGAUAAAGAGAUAGACCAGGAUGGGUACGCCAAGUGGGAAGUCAAGGAUGCUCAAAUCAUGGCAUGGAUUCUAGGAUCUGUGGAAUCCAACUUCAUCUUGAAUCUUCGACCCUUCAAGACUGCAGCAGGAAUGUGGAAUCAUCUAAAGAAACUCUACAGUCACACCAACACUGCUCGUUGAUUUCAGCUUGAACAUGAGCUAGCCAAUCUCCAACAAGGCAGUCUCUCUAUUUCUGAUUUUUAUUCUAUCUUUAUGAUUAUUUGGGCUGAAUAUACUGAUAUAAUCUAUGCUACCUUACCUCCGAAGGUCUUAGUUUUGUUCAAUCUGUACAUGAAACUACUAAGAGAGAUCAAUUUAUGAUAAAACUGAUAUAUGAAUUUGAAAGCACUAGGUCCAAUCUUAUGAAUUGAGAAUCUGUCCCUUCCUUGGAUACAUGCCUCAAUGACUUAUUUCAUGAGGAGCAACGACUUCUUACUCAAAAUACCAUGAAACAAAAAAAAUCUACUUCUGUUCCUAUGGCUUAUGCAGCUCAAGGCAAGCCAAAAGGUAAGGACAUCAGUAUAGUUCAAUGUUUUUGUUGCAAAGGAUUUGGACAUUACGCUUCAAAUUGUUCAAAAAAAUUAUGCAACUAUUGCAAAAAAGAUGGACAUAUCAUUAAGGAAUGCCUUACUCGACCCCCCAAGAAAUCUGAAACAACAUAUGCUACCUCAGUUGGUUCUUCUAGUGAUGGUAGUUCUGUGGAUACAGCACAUUUGACCCAAAGUGCUCCUGUUCCUGUUCAAUCUGUGACCCCAUAAAUGAUUCAACAAAUGAUCAUUAUUGUAUUCUCCUCAUUAGGACUCUCAGGUAAAUCACCCACUAGAUCUCCUUGGUACUUUGAUUCUGGGGCUUCCCAUCACAUGACAAACAAUGCUAAAUUCUUCACCAAUGUAAGUAAAUACCUUAGAAAUCUAAAAAUUCAUACAGCUGAUGGCAACUCUUUACCUAUCACAGCCACUAGUGAUGUUUCUUUUUCUAUAACCAAUGUCUUUGUCUCUCCUGGUCUUCCUACUAAUCUUGUUUCAAUCGGUCAGUUAGUUGACAAUAAUUGUAAAGUAGAAUUCUCUAAAUCUAGUUGUGUUGUGCAGGAUCAGCAGUCAGGGAAGAUGAUUGCCAGGGGGCCUAAAAUAUGACGUCUUUUCCCUCUCCAAUUUGCUAAGUCUCCAUGUUUCUCUUUGCCUAUCAUCACUUGCAAUUUUACUAAGGUUAAUUAUCGAGCAUGGCAUAAACGUCUAGGACACCUAAACUCUAAUGUAUUUUAUGCUUUGCUAAAUUCUGGUUUACUUGGGAAUAAAAGAUCACCAUCCCUUAGUGUUGUUCAAUUUGAUUGCAAUUCUUGCAAGCUUGGAAAAAGUAAAAUUCUGCCAUUUCCCACUCACACACCGAAUGUUGUCCAGCCUUUUGAUUUGAUACAUAGUGAUGUGUGGGGUAUGGCGCCUGUUACAUCUCAUGCUAAUUACAAGUACUUUGUCACUUUUAUUGAUGACUAUAGUCGCUUCACAUGGAUUUAUUUUCUACAUUCUAAAGAUGAAGUGUUCUCUGUUUUCAAGCUUUUUCAUGCAUAUAUUCAGACCCAAUUUUCUACUAAUAUCAAAAUUCUUUGCUUUGAUAAUGGGGGUGAGUAUAUGUCUCAUUUAUUUUAAGAAUUUUUGCACACCAAUGGUAUAAUUUCUCAAAGAUCUUGUCCUUCAACCCCUCAACAAAAUGGGGUGGCUGAAAGAAAGAACUAUCACCUUCUCGAUGUUGUCUUCAUUUGUACCCUCUCGUUUUUGGUGUGAAGCUUUCUCCACUGUUGUCUAUCUCAUCAACAGAUUGUCCUCUCAUUCCUUGAACCAUGUCUCCCAUUUCUUUCAGUUAUUUGGCCAUACACUAAGUUACUCUCAUCUCCAUACCUUCAGUUGUGUGUGCUAUGUUCAUCUUCCUCCAUAUGAGCGUACAAAACUCACAGCCCAAGCUGUGAAAUGUGCUUUUCUAGGAUAUUUUAUGCACUAAAAAUGUUUUCUUUGUUAUGAUCCAAAUUUGCAUCAUAUAAGGGUUUCUCGAAAUGUGAUUUUCUUUGAAAAUCAGUAUUUCUUUUCCGCAUACCACGACGAUUCUUCGCCUUCAUUUUCUGUUUUGCCAAAGUUUACUAACCCUUCUGCAGAUUCUGCACCUUCUAAACCUAUCAUAGUCUAUCAGCGACGCAAGAAUUUAGUACCUCUCGGGCCCCCUCCAGCAACUUCCCUGAAUGUUGAUCCAGUUCCAGCAACUGCACCUGAACCUUUCAGACAUAGUACUCGGGUUCGUAGACCACCAGAUAGGUAUGGUUUCACCUCUCCAUUAUUUUUGACAGCCACUUUGUCUUCUAUUCUUAUUCCUUCAUCAUAUAAACAGGCAAUAGAGCAUGAAUUUUGGUGAAAAUCUAUUGAAUCAGAACUUCUUGCACUUGAAGAAAACCAAACUUGGGAUAUUGUUUCAUGUCCUCCAUCCGUGAAACCCCUUAGUAGUAAGCUAGUGUUUUCUAUCAAGCUGCGUUUUAAUGAAUCCAUAGAUCGUUACAAGGCUCGGUUGGUGGUUCUUGGCAACAAGCAAGAAUAUGGCCUAGACUACGAUGAGACCUUCGCGCCGGUAGCCAAAAUGACCACUGUUCGAACAAUAUUAGCCCUUGCUGCAUCACAAUCAUGUUCUUUACAUUAAAUGGAUGUAAAGAACGCUUUCCUACAUAGUGAUCUCAAGGAGGAAAUUUACAUGAAACUUCCCCACGGUAUGACUACUUCCUCUCCUAAUGAUGUUUGCAAACUAAAAUGUUCGUUGUAUGGGUUGAAGCAAGCACCGCGAGUAUGGUUUGAGAAGUUUCGAUCAACUCUUUUCAGUUUUUCAUUCACUCAAAGUCAGUAUGACUCCUCCUUUUUUUUUUCCAACAGACAUCUAAGGGCAUCAUUGUUCUCCUUAUUUAUGUGGAUGACAUCGUUAUCACUGGUUCUGAUAUGGAGGCAAUUUCUAAACUUCAGAAUUUGUUGCACUCUAUUUUUCACAUGAAAGACCUCGGUCAACUCACCUAUUUUUUGGGGUUAGAGGUGCAUUAUCUGCCUCAAGGUAUCUUCUUGAAUCAACACAAGUAUAUUCAGGAUUUAAUUUAAUUAGCUGGACUUAUGGACAAAAAUUCUGUUGACACCCCAGUGGAACUUAAUGUGAAAUAUCGACAAGACGAAAGGGAACUACUUCAAGAUCCUACUUAUCUAUCUAACUAUCACCCGCCCAGACAUCUCUUAUGCUGUCCACACCGUUAGCAAGUUCAUGCAAGCCCUUCGACAUCUCCACGUAUCCACAGUCCGCCGCAUCAUUAGAUAUAUUCUUGGCACUCUUAACUGCAGUUUAUUCUUCCCUACUGGUUCUUCACUCCAACUACAAGCCUACAAUGACGCAGAUUGGGCUAGCUGCCCGGACACGAGAAAAUCUACUUUGGGAUGGUGCAUGUUUCUUGGUGAUGCCCUUAGCUCUUGGAAAUGCAAAAAGCAAGACUCAGUCUCCAAAUAAUCCACUGAGGCAGAAUACCGCGCCAUGUCUGUAGCCUGCUCCAAGAUCAUUUGGUCGCGUGGUCUCUUAACAGAGCUUGGUUUCUCACAACAUCAACCUACUCCCCUACAUGCUGACAACACAAGUGCCAUCCAAAUUGUAGCCAACCCUGUCUACCAUGAGCGCAUGAAACACAUAGAGGUUGACUGCCACUCUAUUCGAGAGGCCUAUGACCACCAAGUUAUCACCCUCCUGCAUAUCUCCACUACUCUACUGAUUACGAAUAUCUUCACCAAAUCCAUGACAUGUCAGCGACAUAACGUUCUUGUUAGCAAAUUGAUGCUUGUAGAUUUACCAGCAUCAAUUUGAGGGGGGAUGUCAAAGGAAUUAGUAGAUCUUAUGGCAAAUUCUAUGCCUGUACAGCUGUAACAAUUAUCUUUAUGGUUGUAAAUCUUAUAUUUUUUCCUUAUUUAAGAUAUACUAGCUGUAGGCUAUUUUAGAUAGUUAUGUAUAUGGUAGUUUAGCCAUGUUUAUGGCUAAACAUAAGCUCGUAUUCAUAGUAUAUAAAGGGAAUUCUCCUCCAAGAGAAAGCAUAUGAAAGAAACUUAGUUCUAUAUUGUUUGGUAGGCUAGAAAAUGAAAGAAAAUAAAAGAAAAGCUUUGCAAAGAAAACUGUUAGAUCCUUUUAUUAUACCAAACUUACAGUUUAAUGACUAAAAAUUGAUAUUUAUAUUGAGCUACAAACUCUUCACACACACACACGAGAUUGUUGCAACACAUAACCAAUUGCUGUAUAACUAACUUGACACAUCAGCUCAACCAGCUAACUAACUUUGACAGGUCAGCUUAAUGAUUUGAUCUGAUACAACCAGCUACACAGCAACAUCAUGCUCUGCUCCAGCUUCAUCUAAUUCACUAACAACUUUUGCUCAAAAUUCUCUUAGUUUAUCACAGGGAAGUAUAGCUUUGGAAAAGGCCGGAUCAAUAACUAUGGAGAGAUUUAUAAGUGAUAAAAAUUCCCGUAACCCGCUGUCAAGAAAAUUUCACAUAGUUAAAGACGCCAUUUUGUUUCAGCCAAAAAUGUUUGUUUAAUCUGCCAAAAAUGUUUGUUUCGAUUAAAGACUUGAACCGUUUUCAUUUAACCUGAUUGUGAUGCUUUAUGUUAUGUAUGUUCCUCUCAAUCAAGAAAAGUUGAGGUUCAUGAUUUUAUAUUUCUAUCUUGUAACUUGCAAUAAUAACUGGUCUUCUUGUUUUUGUAGCUUGAUAACAUGAAUUUUCCUUCUCAAGUUAAUUUGAUCAAUAAAGUAAUUCUUCAAAGAAAAUAUGCCCAUUCUAUAAUCAUUUUCUUAGCUAAUAUGUUUUUUUUUUGUUUACUCUUCAGAGUGUGUCGAAACUAAUUGAUUGCUCGGCAGAGACUUUGGGUGACAAGUCAAAAUUUCAUGGUAAAUCCUCUGAAAAGGUAUGCAUAAUUCCUGAAUAUUAAAUAACCAAUGGUCAUAGUUUUUGUACACGACUCUUUUUGUGGAGAUCGUUAAAAGUGGUUGAUGAUCCAUUUGUAAUUUCAUAGAGGGAUCAUCAAUUCCUUUUCUUUUCUGUGGCUAGGCAUCACUUUCGUGCCAAAGUAAGGAAAUCUAUUUUAGGUAAUGUAAAAAACAAUGGUAGGAUGUAAUAGCUUAUUAUGCACUGACAAUAACUUUUUGUAUAAUUGUCAGUUUAAGGAAUACAAGAGGAACUCUGUUGACAAAUUCAUCCAAGAUAGAUGCUAAAAUUAUUUAUGCAUGCCAGUUGCCUUAACUAAUUUUUCUUAACACUUGUAUUGAACAGGAAAUGAGUAUGCAAUUUGUGUACGUGCCAUUGUGGAGAAUUUGGAUAUUCUUAUUUAAGUAAGAAGAAGAGUAUUUGCCUCAUCUUUAAACAAUGAAUCUUUGAGAAAUGAGGAGUGGGUGAUUGGAAGUGUCUUCAUGUAAAUGUUCAUUUACUUGUAUUUUGAACUAUUAUGAGAAUCUUUUAUAUGCCAAAUUAGUAAUACAAAUGUUCAGAUGAUUUUUCCUGUUGAUCACGCGUUUGUGUCUGCAGACAACCAUUGUAUAUCACUUUAUUCUGAUGUGCAAUUAUGUAUAGAUUAGAAGAAAAGAAAUAAUAGUCUUAUAUUAUUGUUUGGUUCAUGAUUAUUAAACGAUUAUGGCUUCAAAAAAUCUACAAAUUCCUUCUGUUCAUAUAUGAAUGUGCCAAGUUUGCUAUAUCUUAGAUUGCCUUCUUCCAAGAUAACAAGUUCAUAUGUUUUUUAAUCCUCUUCAAUCACAGUUGAAUUUUAAGUGUUAAGAUUUGUUAUUAAUACCUGGUUCCCUGUUAUUAUGAUUUUUAUUAUGAUUUCAUAAACAGUGUACGGACAUGUGCUCUACUUUUAAAGGGCCUCCACGUGAAAGAAAAUUGCAACAAUUGAAUUCUUCCGGAGGGUAUGGCAUUUAAUUUAUUUUCUCAACUUCUUGUAAGACUAAUAUAUUUCCUUCAGUAGGCAGGGCAUGUUGGGAAGGGCUUUUAUUGAAAGAAUUCUGAUAUUUCUUAGACUUUGUUUUGGAAGGGAGGUGGAGGGAUUUCUCAUCCAUAUAUGGUUACUUGAUUAGCUUUUGACUGUAUUGCCUCAGUCGUGCAAAGGAAGAUCCAAAUACUAAUGAAUGAGAAUUGGUUAGAGACCCAAAAGACAGAAAUGAACUACAGAAGGAAGUUUUUGCUGCUUUAUUUAGUGUUCCUGAGAACUCUGAUGAAGAUGGAGUGGAGGUCCAAAGCAUUAAGAAAGGUGGUGAGUGAACCGCCAGAGGAAUUGGUACCAGAAUACAAAGCUAAUGUGGUGCAUUUGCAGCAAGAUAACCAGACUAGUAUGUGCUCUUGUAUUAACUAUAUUGACUGGAUUUGUGAGCAUGUUCAUUUUUGUGUGUAUAAUCACUUUUGUAUUUAUGCAUAUUAAUGUUAGUAGGAUUCUUGAUUUCCUCCACUUACUGGAGAACUAGUGGAAAGCUUUAUAGUGAAAUAUCUGCAAUAACUAAUGGAAACCAUGAUUUGAAUAUUUUCUCUCACCUGGAGAGCUUUGUAACAGAUGUACUUUGUGGCUAUGGAAUACUAGAGAUUCUGCAAUAACUAAUGGAAACUCUGAUAUGAAUAUUUUCUCUCACCUGCAGAACUUUGUAACAGAUACACUUUGUGGCUCUGGAAUGUCUAAAGAUUUUGUCUGCUUCAGUUAGAUCAAAUAUCUUUUAGUUACCUACAUUAUGGAAAAGAUAGAGUUCUCUGAAUCUGAAAGACUGAAACAUUUUGCAUAUUUCGUGAAAGGAAAAUAUCUGUAGAUACUAGUUCAUGCAUUGAGGUAACAUCAAUGUUAAAGAAAAACAGCAAUAACUUAUUAUAUAGAAUUAGGUUCACUUGCUUUAAAUGCUGGUCUGGUCAACCAUAUGAACCUGUAAGUGUAUCUGCAGAAAUAUAUAUGGGGGGACAAACUAGCUAAAUUUUCCUCUCAUUUCUGGCUUUGGUCAUUUUUUCCCCUUAUUUUUCAGCUUUCCUUCUCCUGAAGUAUGUUAACAAUUGCAGAUAAUGACGAAGAGGACAGCUUGCAGGCUCUUCGUGGAGCUGUGAUGGAAUAUAGGGGCACAAUGAAAGAACAUUUUAAAGCUGUAGGUUCUUUUUCUCCUGUCAUUUAUAUUUGCUCACACAUUUUUCAUAUGCUCCAAGCAUGCAAGUUUGUAUGUGUCUUUGCCUUUUAAGUUUUAAAAACCAUAAGGUAAGAAUACAGUUCCUCGUCAGGUUAUUGAUGCAUUCACUCCGGAGGAUCAUGUUCGAGCAGGAAAACUUCUAGAACAGGCAAGGUUUUCCAUCUACAGCCAUCUAUUGACAACAGAUACAUUUUCAUUCAGCAGACACUGUUAGCAUUCAAGAUGCUGGCAGAUUCACUUGAUUCUUAUUAGUUUGUUUAGUGGUAAAGCAUAUAACCUGUUUUUCAAAGCCAAGUUGUGCUAUUGAUUAUGUUAACUUUAUUGUUCACAUAAAGUGAUAUGGAGGAAAUAAUCAUUGUAGGAAAAUUAGGUGAAGAGGUGAUGUCAAAUCUUGAACCUGUUACAAAACUCCAAGUUCUUUACUUGAAGAAGCUACCAAAUUUGAACAGGGUCCACUGGAAGGCCUUGCCAUUCCCUGAUGCCUGCAGAAUUUUUGUAUUUAAAUGCCCAGAGCUUAAGAAGCUGCCACCGGAUCUUGAAAGGGCAGGCCAAGGUAAAAUUCUUAUCAAGGGAAAGGAAGAUUGGUGGAAACAACUUCAAUCGGAGGAUCAAGUAACUCAGAAUGCAUUGCUUCUAUUUUUAAAAUCAACUGACAAGUGAUUGAAGGGGGCAUCAUCAACAUCAUCAACAUGGAUGGAGAGAUUCAGGAGCAGAUCCGCAGGGUUUAUUACGACCUGUGGUGGUUGCUUUUUUGUGACUUGUUCCCUUUCAUUUUUUCACUUCCUGUCAUAUUAUCAUUUCUUUGUCUCUGUUUCUAUUGCUGAUGUUGCUGCAUGCUUGCAGCCCUUGACAAAGUUAGCAAUGCAAUAUAGAUUUUGAAAUUAAAUUUUGUAUGUUCGGGACAGUCACAAAGUACUACUUGUUCUAUAUGGGGGUGAUGUGAAUCAACUUUUCAAUUAUAUAUUCUGUGGUAAUUGUGAAUUCAAUUUCAUUUGUCUCCUGCAAAUUAUGAAGAAAGUGCAGAGUUAGAAUAUCGAAAAGUUCACUGGCAAAUACUUUGUAAAAGCUUCGGAGUGAAACAGGGAAUGCACUUGCAACUAAGGACAAAUUGGUGGCCAGCUAAUGCAUUCAUUUUAUGUACAUUCAUCUUUUUAAUUAUUGAAGAUAAGUGGUUCGUUGCUUUUGUUGUAGAAAAAAUUCAGACGACCUCAAUUGUGAGAUGAAAAUAUUUAAAAUAUCUCUUAAAUUAUUAUAAACUUUAAUUUAUCUUAAUUUUAUUUAAAAGAUAAAAGAAAAAUGUGGUAUAUGGGUAAAAAUUUUUUUAUCUUGUUAAUAAAAUGAAAUAAAUUAAAAUUUACAAUAAUUUAAAGUAUUUUAAAAUUAUUAUUUCAUAAGAGAUUAAUAUGAAAUUAAUCCUUUUUACUUUUUGAAUGUGAAAGGACAAGAAAAGAGAAAGCUAGUGUCACUGCUUUUUAUUUUAUUUGAAAUCGGAGUUAUCCCAUAUACUUUACUACUUUAGCUCUAACAUUACAAUGUUUUUAGGCUACACUUUUAUUUUUCUUUUUCCCCCUUUUUUUAUACAUGCAUGUGGAUUACUUUUCUCUAAGCUCCUUAAUAUUUAAGACAAAUCAUAAAAGCAAUUGAAGCAUAACAAGAUGAUCAAAACAUUUAACCGAAAAAAAAAGAAAUAAAACAUUGAAAAUGGAGAUGUUGAUUAAUUUAGAAGAGAUGCAAGCAAAAAAUAUUCCCAAAAAAAAAAAAAAAAAAAGCAACGUUAGUUCAUCCAUGUCUGUCAAUGCGUUUUUUAUGGUUUUUUUUUUCCAGUUGUUUGUUGUAAUAGAUUAAUUGUAAAUUGAUAUAAACUUGAUGUUGUAAUAUGUUCGCUUUUGUGGAAAUAAAUUUCAAUAUUCAAGAUUAUUCAAGUCUUAUCUAGUAUGUGUUCGGUUGUGUUGUCGAUAAUUUUACAUUCUAAUAAGUUUUCACCUAAAAUAUUAGCAUGAGUAGUAGUCCUUAAACCUUUGGUCAAAAUUAUUGUUAUUGUUUCUUUUAGAGGAAAUUUUUUUAUUAAAGCCUCGUUAACACUAUUCCUUAUUAAGAUUAUAAGUUAGUGUCGGUGCAGGAUUUGCAGCGACAAAUCUUGUCUAGCCACGUGUCAAAAUACAAAUAAAUCAAGGGAAAGCACAUGACAUGGAUUAGGAUCCAAUAAAAUUUAAAUCCCAAGGAAAAGGACAACUGUAUCCUAAAGUUUCAAUAAGAGAUACUGGGAUAUCUUUUGACUAAUGUUAUUUUUUGGCUUUAUUAAUAAAAAGAUCCAAUAGUUUAUAACAAAUAAAAAUAUAGUAUUAAGCUAAAUGUGAUAAUUUACACAUUUUACAUAAUUUCAAUAAAAAUUUUUUUAAUGUUUUACAAUCUAUCAGACAUAUUUUAUUAAAUUAAUAAGAAUUUUCUUAUAAAUAGCAACAUAAUAUUAAAAUAAAUUUAUAAAAAUUUAAAUGUAAAAUAAUUUUAGUAUAAUUAAUACGCGGGAUAUAUUUUGUAAAUUAUAAAAUUACUUAACCCAAUGAUUUUUAAAAAUCUUUAAAAUAAAUAAAAAUAAAUUAUUCACAUUUUGAUGUAAAUAUUUAAAACAUUUUUAUACAUUAGUCCACAAUUAUUUAUGUUAUAUUUGUAUUUAUUAGAAAUUUUGAAAGUCAAAUGUUUUUUACCUCUAUGUUAUUAGAAUUAUUGCACACAGAGAAAGAGCCAUAUAUGCUUUAUAACUUUAAAAUCGAUUUGUUUUAUAGCUGGGAAUAGAGAUGAUCAUUAUUAUAAGGAUUUUUUAAAAAAAGAUAAAGAAUAUUAAUGAUUAGCGAAAUCUCUAUGGAAAUUGAAUUUAGUAAGAAAAAAUUGAGCUGAUUUUAGUGGUAUAGUAAUAUUUUAUAUAGAGAAAAGUAAAAGCUGCACCCAAGGUUAAGGGAAAUGGUCAAAAUUCUUUUUUAAUCAUAAUACCCUUUUUCCUAGAUAAUUUAAAAAUUUUACUCUAAUAGUUUAUAAUAAAUAAAAACAUAUAAUCCUAAAAUAAAUAAAAUGAUAUAUAUUUUAAAAUAAUCUCAAUAUUUAAAAUAUAUUUUAACAUUUUAUAAUCUAUUAGAUAUAUUUUAUUAUAUUAAAGUAAAUUUUAUAAUAAAUACAAAACAUACUAUUAAAAUAGAUAUAAAAAUUUUAAAGUAUUUUGAAUAUUAUAUAAAAUAACUUUAAUAUUGUUAAUGCAUGAGAUGCAUUUUAUUAAUUAAAAAUUCUAUGUAACCCAAAGAUUUAUUUAUAAUAAAUUAAUAAUCAUAUUUUUGAAAUUAUUUUAAAUAUUAAAAAAUAUUUUAAUAUUACUAACUAUUAGAUAGACUAAACUAUUUAUUUUAUUUUCUAUUUAUUAUAAAAUUUCAAAGUUAAUCUUUUUAACUACUAUUCAAAAGAUGUUAUGAUAAAAACAGAAUUUUUGUGUUUUUAUUGAAAAUUUGGAGUUUACAUCUAUUUUUUCAAAUAUUCAGGGUGUAACUGUUUUUUCCCUUUUAUAUAUACGAACGGUGGUGAGAAAGUUUGAUUUAACGUUAUUUAUUUAAAUAAAAUCUCAGUUAAAAAUGUACAGAGAAGAAAUUUCGGUUGGUAUUUUAGUCUUGGUAAUCUCUAUAUUAUAUGCAUAUAAGAUACAUCAUUCUCACAUGAAUAGUAUAUGUGUGAGAUCCAUAUAUUAUUCAUGUGAGGGAGAUGUAUCUUAAUAAGAUAGAGGGAUCCGUUAGUCUUUUACCAAUCAUCACGAUUAGGCCUUGGCCUUGAAACAUUAAUUGUUUCACUUUUAGCGCUAGUGGCGUUGAAAGUUGUCAAGAAAAAGCAAGACCAUAUUCCACAAAAGCAAAAGUAACGUAGGCUCUUUUAUUAAAGGCAAAGUAUAAAGUAGUCAAGAAUCGAAUAUCCUGUCGUCUACUCUUUUUUAAAUUCUUCUUUUAUUAUCGUUUAGAAUAGUUUUUGGUAAUUACAAUCAUUAUUCAGAGUUAUUGUUAUCUUCCGGGGCAGUCUCUGUUCAUCGAAGUCGUUACCUUUUUUUUAAUGGAUCAGUUCCAGUGGUAAGCAGUAAUUUUCUUAGAACUCGGAUCUUUAAUUCGAGUUUCUGUGUGAAUUAAUAAUAAAAAAUUUUCAUUACACGCAAUUUAAGCUACGAAUUACUUUUUGCAAAGUUGAAUAUGGAAUUGGAGAAAUUAAGUAAUUUAGAAUGUUGGUAAAAAUUGACGAACAUAUCUCCAAUUACAGUAAAACCUCUCUACAGUCAUAACAUUAUAACAAAAUUAAUUUUAUUACUAUGUUGAGGUAAUAUAGGUUUAGUUACAAAAUUAUUGUUUUAAUAUGGUUAGUGUCAAGUGAUAUAAAGGUUAAGUAUGCAGUACAUUAAUAAUUAAAUAAUGAAGUGUCAAAUCUAAUGUAUAUAUAUUAAUGAUAUAGAUAGACAUAGUUUUAAAAAACUAAUUAAUGUAUAUUUAUGUAGUGUUAUGAAUAUGGAAAGUCAAGCCUACACUUUACAUUAUCCUUAAUUUUUUCUCUCAGUUAAAUUCUACAAAUAUUGUACAAUGGUUGGGCAAGAACUCUAAAUUAAGAAUAAAUUAUUGUCACAAAUAAUUUUAGAAAAUAUUUUAUUUCGUCUUAAACCUUUAAUAUAAAUAAACAUAUAUAUAUAUAUAUAUAUAUAUAUAUAUAUAUAUAUGUGUGUGUGUGUGUGUGUGUGUGUGUGUGUGUGUGUGUGUGUGUGUGUGUGUGUGCAUAUUUUGCAACGUAUAGAUAAUUGUUAGUAUAUGGAGACAAGUCUUUUAAGGUAGGACCUAGGAAAAUUUAUAACUUACUACACUGUGGAGUUUUUAUUCCUUUUUAUAAUUGGCUCAUAUUGAUACAUUCUUACACAAAAUAUUACCAUUGACAUAUUUUACUACAAUUAGUUUAGAACAUUUGUUAGGAAAAAAAAGAAAAGAAAAGAAAACAUCCCUUGGAUGUAGCUCUCCUGACUAUUUAAAUCUUUUAAGGAAAAAAAGAAAAAAGAAAAACUGGCACAUUCAAAUCUUGAAGCAAUUACAUUAAAAUCUCUCCAUAAUGAUAGGAAUAAUCUCCAUUUAGUAAUAAAAAAUUUUGUUCGCAAUUUAGGCAGAGUUAUAAAUAAGAAUAAAAUCCUCAUUGUAAUAAGUUAUAUUUAUUAUGGAUCCCAUCCUAAGGAAUUCGUCUCUAUAUAGUAAUAAUUAUUUGCAUAUUAUAAAUAUAUAUGUUGCAUUAGAUUAAAUGAACUUGUCUCCACAUACUACUUAGACAACGAGAGAAAAUUAUUAAAGAGAACACAAAUAUUUAGAUAUUUUUAAGAUUACUUUGCAUAUUUAUAACAAUAAUACAUUGAUAUAUGUAUUAGUUUUUUGAUAUAUUAGAUUUAACAUGCUCUAUUAAUAAAUUAUUAAUACGAUGCAUAUUCAUCUCUAUAUCCUUGCAAUAAAAGUAACUAAGUUAUAACAAUAAUUAUUAAUAAAUUAUUAAUACGUUGCGUACUUCAUCUCUAUAUCCUUACAAUAAAAAUAACUAAGUUAUAAUGAUAAUUUUUGUAACUACAUACUUAUUAGGUUUUAACUACUUCAUAAUAAUAAAUUAGUUUCGUCCUAAUAUUAUAAUUAUGUAGAGUUGUAGUGUAUAGACACACCCAAUUUAAAUAGUAUAUCAAAUAAAAUUGUCCCCACGAAAAAGAAAAAAGGGGUAAAGGAUUCUCAUUUCUUCAAACAUUAGGAUCACGUUUGUACAAGUGCGAUGCCUUUCUUUUGAAGGCAACGUCAGUGGGUACCCAAUAGGACGUGUGUAAAUCUUUCCAAAAUUUCUCUGGUAUAACGGACAGAGAUCAUUACUUUUCUCUUCCAUAUACCACAGCAGCUUCAGUUAAUCAGACUCAAUCAAUUUUCUUGGUUUCUUCGCUUAUCAAAAUUCCAAAAUAUGGGUAGCAUAUUUCAAAUCACAUGCGAUGGUGCUUUUUUCAAUCGUUGCUUGGAUUGCUUUCUUGGAAAAGUAGCAAACACAAGUAAGCUCCAAGAUAACCUUGUUGCCUUGGAGACUGAAUUGGGAAAACUAAUCGCAGCAAAGAACGAUGUGAUGAUGAGGGUUGUCAAUGCUGAACGGCAACACCUGAGAACGCUGGACCAAGUGCAAGUGUGGCUUUCGAGGGUGGAAGCUGUUGAAACUGAAGCUGAUGAAUUGAAAAGACACGGCUCUCAAGAAAUUGACAAAUUAUGUGUUGGAGGCUACUGUUCCAAGAACUGCGCGUCAAGCUACAAGUUCGGGAAACAAGUGGCUAAAAAGCUACGGGAUGUGCAGACUUUAAUCGACGAAGGAGUUUUUGCGGCGGUGGCUACCGAGGUGGUGCCUGAGAGAGCUCCAGAACCUGUAGCAGAUGAAAGACCCACUGAGCCAACAAUAGUAGGCUUGCAAUCACAACUUGAACAAGUUUGGAGAUGUCUUGUAGAAGAAUCAGUGGGAAUCAUUGGCCUAUAUGGUAUGGGCGGUGUUGGUAAAACUACACUAUUGACCCAUAUCAACAAUAAAUUUCUUGAGAGUCCAACCAGUUUUGAUUGUGUGAUUUGGGCCGUAGUUUCAAAGGACUUGCGACUCGAAAAAAUUCAAGAAGAUAUUGGGAAAAAGAUCGGUUUGGUUGAUGAUUCAUGGAAGAGUAAAAGUGUAGAGGAGAAAGCUCUCGACAUCUUCCGGAGUUUAAGAGAGAAGAGAAUUGUAUUGCUGUUAGAUGAUAUAUGGGAGCGGGUUGAUUUAACAAAAGUGGGCAUUCCACUUUCCGGACCAAAAAAUACUACAUCAAAAGUCGUAUUCACAACCCGUUUCGUCGAUGUUUGUGGUAGCAUGGAAGCUGACAAGAAGUUCCAGGUGGCAUGCUUAUCAGAAGAGCAUGCUUGGGAACUGUUUCGAAAAAAAGUUGGGGAAGAAACUCUUGAGAGUGAUCAUGAUAUCGUUGAGCUAGCCCAAACUGUGGCCAAAGAGUGUGGUGGUUUGCCACUCGCACUUAUUACUAUUGGUCGAGCUAUGGCCUUCAAAAAGACAGCCGAGGAGUGGAGUCAUGCAAUUGAUGUGCUAAGAACAUCAGCUUCUGAGUUUGCAGGUUUGGGAGAAAAGGUUUAUCGUCUUUUAAAGUUUAGCUAUGAUAGUUUGCAGAAUGAGACGAUUAGAUCUUGUUUCUUAUAUUGUUGUUUAUAUCCCGAGGAUUAUAGCAUUCUUAAAUGGGACUUGAUUGAUUGUUGGAUUGGUGAGGGAUUCUUAGAGGAAUCUGACAGGUUCAGUGCAGAAAACCAAGGAUACUACAUUGUGGGCACUCUUGUUCAUGCAUGUUUAUUGGAAGAGUUAGAAGAUGAUAAAGUAAAAAUGCAUGACGUUGUUCGUGAUAUGGCUCGAUGGAUAGCUUGUGAAAUUGAGAAGGAGAAGAGAAAAUUUUUGGUUUGUGCAGGUGCUGGAGUAGGAGCGGUGUCAGAUGUUGAAGGAUGGGAAAAUGUGGGAAGAUUGUCAUUGAUGCAAAACCAAAUUGAAAUUCUGUCAGAGGUUCCCACAUGCCCUCAUCUCCUCACUUUAUUUCUUGACUUUAAUUAUAAAUUGGAGAUGAUCACCGAUGGCUUCUUCCAAUGUAUGCCUUCUCUCAAAGUUUUGAAGAUGUCAAACUGUGGGCAUGUCAAAGUUUUGAAAUUACCUUUUGGGAUGUCAAAGCUGGGUUCACUACAACUUCUUGAUAUUUCACAUACCGGCAUAAGAGAGUUACCAGAAGAGUUAAAGUUGUUGGUAAAUCUGAAAUGUUUGAAUUUGAGGUGGACACAUAUGUUAAAUAAAAUUCCACGGCAGCUAAUAUCAAAUUCUUCAUGGUUACGUGUGUUGAGAAUGUUCGCUAUUGGCUUUGAAAAUUCUAAAGAACCAUCAGAAGACAGCGUUUUAAUUGGUGGGGGUGAAGUUUUAGUACAUGAAUUGCUCGGUUUGAAAUAUUUAGAGGUAUUGGAGUUGACCUUGCGAAGUUAUGAUGCUCUCCAAUUUUUUUUGAGCUCAAAUAAGUUAAAAAGUUGUAUUCGAUCUCUUUUCCUCAAUAAGCUGGGAGAUACAAAGUCGAUUCAUGCUACGGCUUUCGCAGAUCUAAAGCAUCUCAAUGAACUAUGCAUUCGUUCGGCAGUGGAGUUGGAAGAAUUGAAGGUUGAUUAUACAGAGAUUGCGCCAAAAAGGUCGGAACCUUUUGUUUUCCGCAGCCUUCACCGUGUUACUAUGGAGCGGUGCCAUAAAUUGAAAGAUUUGACAUUCCUCGUUUUUGCUCCAAGCCUCAAGUCUCUUUCGCUAUACGGUUGCAAUGCUAUAGAAGAAAUAAUCAGCGUUGGAAAAUUUGCUGAGACUCCUGAGGUGAUGGGACAUAUAAGCCCUUUUGGAAAUCUCCAAACGCUUUAUUUAACUGAUUUGCCAGAGUUGAAAAGCAUCUACUGGAAGCCAUUGCCUUUCACUCAUCUCAAAGAAAUGACGGUACAUGGGUGUAAUCAGCUUAAAAAGCUUCCAUUCGAUUCCAACAGUGCAACAGAGCGUAAAUUUGUUAUUCGUGGAUACACACUCUGGUGGAACCGUCUUCAAUGGGAGGAUGAAGCCACUCAAAUUGCUUUUCGUUCCUGUUUCCAAUCUCAUGAAAUAUAAAUUCCUGAGCGGUGGUUGCAAAAUUUGAUUUCUAGUGAGUGCUUUUUUCUUAAACUCUUACAUAUAUUCUCGUCGUUUGCUUCGUGCAACGGACUAGGUUUUUAUUUCAGAUUCGUUUUUUGUCUCCUGCAAAUCACAAUUAAAUGUUGAAUUAUAUGGAGUCAAUGCUUUAUAAAAUUUUCAAGGCACUGCCAUUUCCUUUUUCUUUUUCUUUUUUUUUUUGGGUCGAAUUGAUGCUCUGGCUUUUUACUUUUUGUUGUCACAUUUUGCUCUGUUUUUUCAAGUUGAUGCUUGAAUAGUUGAAUUCAAUUGAUGCUCACAUAAAUUUGUUUAGUUGCCGCAAAAGGAUAUAAUUAGACUGAAGUACACACUUCUAGAAUGAAUACAAAAUGUUAAGUAUACUAGCCCUCUUUACAGAAAAUCAAAUGAAAAUCAAUUUUUUGGGGCUUUGAUUUUCUAUGGUCUAUUAUAUACUCUUUUUAAUAUCUUCUGUUCUAACUAUAACCAAAUCCUUUGUUCAAGGAUUUUUAUUUGGGGUAUUGAUAACUGUCCACCAAAAGAGUGAACACUUGGAUGCUGCUCAAGGAUCUCUAAUCAAUAGCUGGAAGCAACUGAGAAGGCGGUCGCUACUGUUUACAAAGCGAUGCAGUAUUUGCCAUUCAUCUUAAUAAUUAUGAAGCUUUGGUAAAAUUUUCAAACAAAGUUGAACACAUGUUGUUUUGAGAUUUGGUUCAUGAUUUUGGAUGAAUAUCGUUGUUCCGUUUGAGUUGGAUGUGAAUUCAAAAUCUAUAUAUUCUUUGGUUUUCAAUUCUGAACUCAAUUUCUUUUUCUCAAGCAUGUUAUGCAGAAAUGAUUUUUUACUAAAUCAUUUUUGAUGAAUUGUUUAAAUUAAACAAUUGGAAUAAGAAUUGAAAAGGUUUAUCAUAAGCAUGCUAAUAUGAUAAGUUGUUUUAUGAACGAUUAAUUAAUUAAUCAAUUAAUAUUAAAUUAUCUAUUAGUCAAUUAGAUAUGCGUUACAUGUCAUGUUUAAAAAUUAUUUAUUUAUAUUUCAAACAAAUUUGACUGGAUGUUGUGUAGGUAAUACUACAUAAUUUCAAAACAAAAAAAGUAAUAAAAACACGUUAAAUUUUGUUUUUAUGAAGAAAAAUUUAAAAUUUUAUUAAAUAGGUGAAAAUAAUAAAUGGAUUCGUGUAUGGUUUGAGAUUCUUGACAUAAUUAUGAAAUAAGCCGGAUUCGACUUAGUUCAAUUUUGACGCGAUAAGAAGACGACACCACACAAACACACGAUAAGAACCGUUACCUGAGAAGAUUGCCAUCAGGAAUUUUGAAAUUGAUUUCACUACAAUACCUUAAUCUUUCAGAUACUACCAUCACUGAGCUGCCAGAAGAGCUAAAAGCCUUGGUAAAUCUUAAGUGUUUGAACUGUACACAAAUUAUCUCUCUACAAUUCAAAAACAACUAAUUUGUUACUUUUUCAAUGCUACAUGUUCUGCGAAUAUUGAGUUGUGGUUAUCUUGUUGAAAUAUCAGACAAUAGAGUUCUAUUUGGUGGUAGUGAAUUGUUGGUUGGGGAGUUGCCUAGUUUAAAACGUUUAAAUGUAUUAAGCAUCACCUUACAAGGUUUUUCUGCUGUCCAAAAACUUAUGAGCUCUCAAAAGUUUCAAAGCUGUACAAAAUGUUUGGAGCUUAUAGACUGUGAUGAUUCAAAGUCUUUUGCCUUGGCAGAGUUGAAGCAUCUCGAAAAACUAGUUUUUUGAAUUGUGGAAGAGUUUAAGUUCUGCUUUGUUGAAGUUGGAAAAGCUCAAGAAUGUUUUCGUUUGAACAGUUUUCACCGAGUUAAUAUAAAGGCUUGUCAUAAAUUGAGGGACGUGACAUGGCUUGUAUUUGCUCCAAAUCUUACAGUUAUUCAAAUAGAAAAAUGUAUGCAGAUGGAAGUAAUAGUCAGUGCAAGGAAAUUGGGUGAAGUUCCAGAGAUGAUGGCAGAUCUAAACCCUUUUGCAAAUAUCUUUGCCAGCGAGUUCUACCAAAAUUAAAAAGCGUCUAUUGGAAUGAGUCACCCUUUCCACAUGUCAGGGAAAUUAUUGUAUCUGAAUGCCCAAUUCUCAAGAAGCUUUCACUCGGUUUUAACAAUGCAAAGGAAUCUAAAAUUGUCAUUAGGGGAGAGGAACACUGGUGGAGUGAGCUGCAAAGGGAGGAUGAAGCGACCGUUAAUGCUUUUCUUCCUUGUUUCGGUUCCAUUUGAUAGGCAUCAACAUGGAUUUAUAUUUUGCGGUGGACAACUUGUGGUAAGUGCUUUUCCAUUUAUUACAUGUUUAUAUCUAACUUUUGUUUUCCUUUAUGGUUAAAUUUUACUGUAUAUAUGUUGUUAUACGGUGACAUUCUCGCAUCAAUUAUUAGCUUUUUAAUUCUCUUCUGGCAUUAAUUGCCCUUCUGAUCAUGUAGGAUAUGCCGAUGUCAAAGAGUAGUAAAUUGGGAUACAAAUGUAAGAAUUAGCCAGAUGACAUGUUGUUUUGAAGCUCUCUCGAAGGACUAGUUAUGUCAUUCAAAGCAUCCAAUUUCGCUACUUUUUUUUUCAUUUGUUGCUUUUUAUAUUUCUAGAUAGCUUGAUAUUCGGCCAAGACAUCGAUAGGAGGGCACAUUGUGCAUGCACACUAGUGGAUGAUUUGGGCAUGCCGAAUCCAAUUAGCGUGGAUGACCCUUUAUAAGCAUCAGGCUUCUCUCAUACCAGAGCAAUGUAGAAUAUGUUUAUAAACUGUGGAUUACCCUUUAUAAGUUUAGACUUCUUCUAUACUCGAGCGAUGUGGAAUACCUGUAUAAGCAUUAAGCUUCUCUCAUACACUUUAUGUUAAAAAUAAUAAUAAUAAUAAUAAAAUAAAUCCAUUUUAAAAUAGGCUCUUUUUUUCUUUUUUUAUAUAAACAAAAUGCAUUCUUCAAAUCAAUAGUGGGUGGAAGAAGUGAGUAGAGAAGGACUAGGCCCCUUCAUUCCGCCUAAAACCUCACCGAAACCUCUCUUGUGAACUUCUCAGAUUCUCUCUCAAUAUUUCUUAUGAUCUCGUUUUUGAUAGAAUCACUUCUAUUGCAUGCUGCAUUUUGUGCGUCGUUUUUGGGUAAUAUCUUAUCUGGAAUGCUGUUAUGAUCAAUAGAACAAGUAAUCAAUUUUUGGUUUGACGGAAGUCGAUUUAUUUAUUUACUAUUGUUUUUUAUUUGAAAUUUUGACAGUUGUGUUUCAUUCAUUUCUUUCCUUCUUUUUUUAUUUUAUAUUUAUUAUGUAUAAUUGUGUUUCAUUUGAUAUUGAUCAUACUGUAGAUAACUAUGUGAUUGUAGCUGGGGAUUUUAAGUUUUGUGAAUUCAAGAAACUGUCAAAAUGCUAGUGAAAUUGGGACCUUUAUUCAUAAGCUUGUGGUUUUCAAAAGUAGCCGGGUUCAACUGAUGAAGUUCCUUUUUGGGAUUCUUUUUUUUCUAGGCUGCAAUUCGGAUAUGUACCUGAUAGACAAUCUUUUGUGAGUUUAGCAUAUCUUCUCCGAUUUUGUCUUUUAUUCCCCAACUUUACAGCUACACACCAUGAAUGCUGGGUGAUUGUACAGAAAAUUUGUGUUAGAACAAAAGCAUUGUGAAGGAGUUUCUGUGCUAUAAGUUAUUGGCUUCAGCUUUAUUGGCAUUAAUUGGGUAGAUUAUGUGUUACAGUGAUUCAAUUUGUGAUCCACACUUUAAUUUUCUCUUUUCCCCAAUUAUUUAUGUCAAAUUCAAAUCCAGAAGCAUGCGCUGAUUUUUUUUUUUUUUUGUGAUAAUCUGUGAAGUUUAUUUGGAAAGGACGUAUCUGGGUUUAAUGGAUUAAAUUAUGACAUUGAGGGAAAGGCACUAAAGGUUUUGCUUGACACAUUUGGUCUGUGUUUACUCUGCAAUAAAUAGCUUCGCUUAUCAGAAAUCCCUAUUUGGCUGGUGAAUUUCUCUGUGACAGACAGGCAAACACCUAAACCGCUUCUAUCCAUUUUUCUGCUGGUGAGGUAAGGGGUAAAAAGUCUUCAAAAUCAUCAAAUAGUAACAUCUCUGAGAAUUGGUUUUAGAAAAAUGGAAAAUCUAGACCUACUAGGACAAAAUGGCGUCCGGUAUCAGGAGGUACCGUUUCAAGUUUUCUUGGUAAAGAAUAUAUUAAACCUGCGCAACCAGCUAAUGGCACUUUUCUGGCAUCAAAGCCAUUGAAGUUGGAUCUAAAGGAGUUUUCCCAUGCCUGCAUUGUGCAGAGAAGAAACUAAACAAAAACAAUCAAAGAAUGACCAUUUGCAGAAGGAUACGGAAGAUUUUCUAUUUAAAUUGUUAGGAGAAGGGUCCCAGCUGAACAGGGAUGUGAUUCAGGAGGUUCUCGGUAAUGUCUUAAAUAUACUGAUGCCAAUUUAAUACAUAUUGUCCUUUUCAAUGUUCUUUCUUUCUUUCUUUUUUUUUUCCUUCUUCUUCUUUUUCUUUUCGUGUGCAUGUGAUCACUGAUUUGGUAUUAUGCUUAAGUUGCAGAUAGCUGUGGAUUUGAUAUGCAAAAGGUAAGGACUAUAUCUUCCUGAUGUAGGCCUCUGCUUUUUCCCCUUCUAUGUAAUUUAGUAAUUCACAUCUUCCUUUGUGAUUGUUAUAUCAUAUCGAAGUCAAGUCUUAAAUACUGCUGUCAUAUGUGAAGGUUCAACUUGCAUUUUGAUUAAGAUCCAUUUGCUGCUGCUUCCAAAAGUGAGAAUGAGAUACUUUGGUUAAUUUCAGUGGUUGAACCCAAUAGAGAACUUUAUUUAGAUCUUCAUGGUUCAAAGGCCUGAAAAAACUUGCCCGUAAUUGUAAAAUGACAUUCUGUGCUUUUUAUGCAAUAGGGAACAGGGAAGUAGAGCUUUGGAAAAGCCUGGAUUGAUAACUAUGGAGAGACUUAUUAUUUAAGUGAUGAAAAAUUCCCAUCGCCCGCAGUCAAGAAAAUUUCAGAUAGUUAAAGACUCCAUUUUGCUUCAGCCAAAAAUGUUUGUUUCAAUUAAAGACUUGAACCAUUUUCAUUGAACCUGAUUGUGAUCCUUUACGUUAUGCAUGUUCCUCUCAAUCAAGAAAAGUUGAGGUCAUGAUUCUAUAUUUCUAUAUUGUAACUUGAAAUAAUAAUUGGUCUACUUGUUUCUGUAUCUUGAUAAUAUGAAUUUUCCUUCUCAAGUUAAUUUGUUCAAUAAAGUAAUUCUUCAAAGAAAAUAUGCCCAUUCUAUAAUCAUUUUCUUAGCUCAGAUGUUUUUUCUUCACUCUUCAGAGCAUGUCAAAACUAAUUGAUCGCUUGGCAGAUACUUUGGGUAAGAAGACAAAAUUUCUUGGUAAAUCCUCGGAAAAGGUAUGCAUAAUUCCCGAGUAUUAAAUAACCAAUAGUCAUAAUUUUUGUACAUGACUCUUUUUUCUCUUUUUUGUGGAGAUCAUUAAAAUUGGUUGAUGAUCCAUUUUGUAACAUCAUAGAGGGAUCAUCAAUUCCUUCUCUUUUCUGUGGCUAGGCAACACUUUCAGGCCAAAGUAAGAAAAUCUAUUUUAGGUAAUGUGAAAACCAACGGUAGGAUGUAAUAGUUUAUUAUGCACUGACAAUAACUUUUUGUAUGGUUGGCAGUUUAAUGAAUACAAGAGGAACUUUGUUGACAAAUUCAUCCAAGAUAGAUGCUAAAAUUAUUUAUGCAUGCCAGUUGCCUUAACUAAUUUUUCUUAACACUUGUAUUGAACAGGAAAAUGAAUAAGCAAUCUGUAUAUUGUGCCAUUGUGGAGUAUUUGGAUAUUCUGAUUUAAAUAACAAGGAGAAUACUUGCCUCAUCUUUAAAUGAGGAGUGGGGGAUUGGAAGUGUCUUCAUGUAAAUGUUCAUUUAUUUGUAUUUUGAACUAUUAUGAGAAUCUUAUAUGCCAAAUCAGUAAUACAAAUCUUCAGAUGAUUUUUGCUGUUGAUCAUGGGUUUGUGUCUGCACACAACCAUUGUAUAUCACUUUAUUCUGAUGUGCAGGUAUGUGUAGCUUAGAAGAAAUGGAAUAAUAAUCAUCUAUUAUUGCUUGGUUCAUGAUUAUUAAACGAUUAUGGCUUUAAAAAGUCUACAAAUUCCUUCUGUUCAUAUAUGAAUGUGCCAAGUUUGCUAUAUCUUAGAUUAUCUUCUUCCAAGAUAACAAGUUCAUAUUCUUUUUAAUCUUUUUCCCUCACAGUUGACUUUUAGGUGUUAAGAUUUGUUAUUAGUCCCCUGUUAUUAUGAUUUCAUAAACAGUGUACGGAUAUGUGCUCUAACUUUGGAGGACCUCCACAUGAAAGAAAAUUGCAACAAUUGAAUUCUUCCGGAGGGUAUGGUCUUUAAUUUAUUUUCUCAACUUCUCGUAAGAUUAAUAUAUUUCAUUCAGUAGGCACAGCAUGGGGGGAAGGGUUUUUAUUGAAAGAAUUCUGAUAUUUCUUAGACUUUGUUUUGGAAGGGGGGUGGAGGGAUUUCUCAUCCAUGUAUGGUUACUUGAUUAGCUUUUGACUGUAUUUCCUCAGUCAUGUAAAGGAAGAUCCAAAUACCAACGAAGGAAUAUUGCCUAGACACCCGAAAGACAGAAAUGAGCUACAGAAGCAAGUUUUACUACUUUAUUUAGUGCUCCUGAGAAAUCUGAUGGAGACCGAAUGGAGGUCCAAAGCAUUGGAAAAGGUAGUGAGUGAACCGCCGGAGGAGUUGGCACCAGAAUGCAAGGCUAAUGUGGUGCACUUGCAGCAAGAUAACCAAACCGGUAUGUGCUCUUAUAUUAACUAGACUGACUGGAUUUGUGAGUGUGUGCAUUUUUUUGUGUAUACUCUUGUAUUUAUGCAUAUUAAUGUGUGUAGGAAUUUCUGCCACUUACUGGAGAACUAGUGGAAAGCUUUAUAUCGAUAUAUCUGCAAUAACUAAUUGGAAACUAUGAUAUUAAUAUUUUCUCUCACCUGAGGAACUGUGUAACAGAUAUACUUUGUGGCUCUGGAGUACUAGAAAUUCUGCAAUAACUAAUGGAAACUAUGAUAUGAAUAUUUUAUCUCAACUGGAGAACUUUGUAACUUGUAGCUCUGGAAUGUCUAAGGAAUUUUGUCUGCUUCAGUUAGAUCAAAUAUCUUUUAGUUGCAUACAUUAUAGAAAAAGAUAAAGUUCUCUGAAUCUGAAAGACUGAAACAUUUUGUAUAUUUUGUGAAAGGGAAAUAUCUGUAGAUACUAGUUCAUGCAUUGAGGUAACAUCAAUGUUAAAGAAAAACAGCAAUAAGUUAUUAUGUGGAACUAGGUUCACUUGCUUUAAAUGCUGGUCUGGUCAACCAUAUGAACCUGUAAGUUCUGCAGAAAUAUAUAUACGGGGAGAAACUAGCUAAAUUUUCCGUUCAUUGAUGGCUUUGGUCAUUUUUUUCCCCUUAUUUUUCAGCUGUCCUUCUCCUGAAGUAUGUUAACAACUGCAGAUAAUGAUGAAGAGGACAGCUUGCAGGCUCUUCUUAGAGCCAUGAUGGAAUAUAGGGGCACAAUGAAGGAACAUUGCAAAGCUGUAGGUUCUUUUUCUCCUGUCAUUUAUGUUUUCUCACACAUUUUUUAUAUGCUCCAAGCAUGCAAUUUUGUAUGUGUCAACUGCUUUCUAAGUUUUAAAAACCAUAAUGUAAGAAUACAGUUUCUUGUCAGGCUAUUGAUGCAUUUGCUCAGGGGGAUCAUGUUCGAGCAGGAAAACUUCUAGAACAGACAAGGUUUUCCAUCUACAGCCAUCUAUUGACAACAGAUAUAUUUUCAUUCAGCAAACACUGUUAGCAUUCAAGAUACUGGCAGAUUCACUUGAUUCUUAUUAGUAAUGUUUAGUAGCAAAGGAUAUAACCUGUAUUUCAAAGCCAAGUUGUGCUAUUGAUUAUGUUAGCUUUAUUGUUCACAUAAAGUGAUAUGGAGGAAAUAAUGUGAAGUGAUAUGGAGGAAAUAAUCAAUGUAGGAAAAUUAGGUGAAGAAAUGAUGUCAAAUCUUGAACCUCUUACAAAACUCCAAGCUCUUUACUUGAAUAAGCUACUAAAUUUGAACAGGGUCCACUGGAAGGCCUUGCCAUUCUCUGAUGCAUGCAGAAUUUUUGCAUUUAAAUGCCCAGAGCUUAAGAAGCUGCCACUGGAUCUUGAAAGGGCAGGCCAAGGUAAAAUUCUUAUCAAGGGAAAGGAAGAUUGGUGGAAACAACUUCAAUGGGAGGAUCAAGUAACUCAGAAUGCAUUGCUUCCAUUUUUAAAACAACCAGCAAGUGAUUGAAGGGGGCAUCAUCAACGUCAUCAACAUGGAUGGAGAGAUUCAGGAGCAGAUCAGCAGGAUUUAGUACGACCUGUGGUGGUUUCUUUUUUGUGACUUUUUUCCCUUUCAUUUUUUCACUUCCUGUCAUAUUAUCAUUUCUUUGUCUCUGUUUCUAUUGCUGGUGUUGCUGCAUGCUUGCUGUCCUUGACAAAGUUAGCUAGUUUUUUUUUUUUUAAUUAAAUUUUGUAUGUUCGGUCGGGACAGUCACAAAGUACUACUUGUUCUAUAUGGGGGUGAUGUGAAUCAACUUUUCAAUUAUAUAUUCUGUGGUAAUUGCGAAUUCAAUUUCAUUUGUCUCCAGCAAAUUAUGAAGAAAGUGCAGAGUUACAAUAUGGAGAAGUUCACUGGCAAAUACUUUGUAAAAGCUUCGGAGUGAAACAGGAAAUGCACUUGCAGCUAAGGACAAAUUGGUGGCCAGCUAAUGCCUUCAUUUUAUGUACAUUCAUCUUUUUAAUUAUUGAAGAUAAGUGGUUCGUUGCUUUUGUUAAGAUUAUAAGUUAGCGUCGGUGCAGGAUUUGCAGCAACAAAUCUUGACUAGCCACGUGUCAAAAGCACAAAUAAAUCAAGGGAAAGCACAUGACAUGGAUUAGGAUCUAAUAAAAUUUAAAUCCCAAGGAAAAUGACAACUGCAUUAUGAAGUUUCAAUAAGGGAUACUGACUAAUGAUAUUUUUUGGCUUUAUUAAUAAAAAAAGAAUAUUUUAUAACAAAUUAAAACAUAAUAUUAAGCUAAAUGUGAUAAUUAUAUACAUUUUAAAUAAUUUCAAUAAAAAAACAUUUUAAUGUUUUACGAUCUAUCAUACAUAUUUUAUUAAAUUAAUAUGAAUUUUUUUUUAUAAAUAGCAACAUAAUAUUACAACAAAUUUAUAAGGAUUUAAAUGUAAAAUAAUUUUAGUAUAAAUAAUACGUGGGAUAUAUUUUGUAAAUUAUAAAAUUAUUUAACACAAAGUUUUUUAAAAAAUAUUUAAAAUAAAUAAAAAUAAAUUAUUCACAUCUUGAUUUAAAUAUUUAAAAUAUUUUUAUAUAUUAGUCUACAAUUAUUUAUGUUAUAUUUUUAUUUAUUAGAAAUUUUGAAAGUCAAAUGUUUUCACCUCUAAGAGAAAGACACAUAUGCUUUAUAGCUUUAAAAUCGGUCUGUUUUAUAUCUGGAAACAAAUAUAUCAUUAUUGGUAAGGAUUAAAAAAAGGGAUAAAGAAUAUUAAUGAUUAAUGAAAUCUCUAUGGAAAUUGAAUUUAGUAGGAAAAAAUUGAGCUAAAUGAUUUAGACAUUUAGUGGUAUAGUAAUAUUUUAUAUAUAGAAAUGUAAAAGCUGCACCCGAGGUUAAGGGAAAUGUUCAAAACUCUUUUUUACUCAUAAUACCCUUUGUCCUAACUAACUUACAAAUUCGACUCUAAUAUUUUAUAAUAAAUAAAAAUGUAAUCCUAAAAUAAAUAAAAUAAGAUAUAUUUUAAAAUAAUCUCAAUAUUUAAAAUAUACUUUAAUAUUUUAUAGUCUAUCAGACAUAUUUAAUUAUAUUAAAGUAAAUUUUGUAAUAAAUACAAACAUACUAUUAAAAUAGAUAUAUAAAAAAUUUAAAGUAUUUUGGAUAUUAUAUAAAAGAACUUUAAUAUUGUUAAUACGUGAGAUAUAUUUUAUUAAUUAAAAAUUCUAUUUAACCCAAAGAUUUAUUUAAGAUAAAUUAACAAUCAUAUUUGUGAAAUUAUUUCAAAUAUUAAAAAAUAUUUUAAUAUUACUAACUAUUAGAUAGACUAAACUAUUUAUAUUAUUUUCUAUUUAUUAUAAAAUUUCAAAAUUAAUCUUUUUAACUACUAUUCAAAAGAUAUUAUGAUAAAAAUAAUUUUUUUGUGUUUUUAUUAAAAAUUUGGAAUUUGCAUAACUCUUUUUUUAAAUAUUGGGGUAUAGCUGUCUUUUCCCUUUUAUAUAUACAAACCACAGUGGUGAAAAAGCUUGAUUUAAUGUUAUUUAUUUAAACAACACCGAUAUUCACACCACAUUGAGCACCAUAGUUUUUUUUUUUUUUUUGAAAAGAAAGUACACCUUUCAUUGAAUUAAGAGAAAAGAAACAAAACAUCCUCUGGAAAUUCAUCCAGCCAAAUACAAGGGUCUGACUUUUUGAAAGCCAACUUUGCCAAAUCAUGCGCUAAAAAGUUACACAUCCUAAGGACGUGCUGAGCUUUAAAAUUCUGAAAGAUUUUCUUAGCUUCUAUAAUAUCAAAAAUCACCCAAAAGGUGUCUGUCAAAGUGCUUCUCUUGUUAUUGAUUAGCUCUAUCACCCCUUUAGAAUCAGACUCUAAGAUAACUGAAGUUGCCCCUGCCUUGGCAGCUGCCUGCAUUCCCCACAAAACAGCUUUUGCCUCACUCAACUCCACAUCUCCUGAGCUCUUAAAAGUGCUAACAGCUGCAGCAACUGUUUCUCCCUUAUGGUUUUUAACUACUGCUCCCAGCCCAGCAAGAUAAUUCACCCUAUCCAUAGCAUCAUCAACAUUUACCUUAAGCCAUCCUUCUUCGGGUGGACUCCAUUGGCUUUGCUGAACAUUGUUUUGUUCUGCUAAGAAAUCCUCUUCUGACAUUGAGCACCAUAGUUAAGUACAAAACGGUGCGUUUUGUUCACGCAUGUUAGUAAACACCCACGCAACUUACACACAUACGCGCGGCUCACAACACGCGCUCUCCUCGCCCUAAAUCUCACCUGAUUGAAGCCACAAAUUUGGCCACGUUCUCCCACAGCUCUCUCCGUUCUGACCGUUUACUCUUCCUCUAGCCCCAUCGAUUACAUCUCUCAUAGCACCUCAUUCAACCGACGUAAUUGCCAGAAAACAACCUACCUGGUAAUAAAAGUCGAUUCUCUUACAAUUUUGGCCCAAAAAAAAAAAUUGCACAACUGAAAAAUCAAAAUGCCACUCUUUAAAACCAAAAAUCAAUUUUGGGCCCCCUUCAUCACCGCCUUCACUCUAGAUUUUUUCAAUCCACUUUGUCGUCAAAACCGUGGUGUUCUUAAACCAUUAUUAUAUUCACCAUCCCCUUAAUCACAUCCAACCAUCCCCAUUAUUCGUUUGUCAAACACGCUGUUCUCUUCCCAAAUUAAUUAAUUAAUUAAUGACAGACAGGAACAAAAGUACUUUAAAUCUCUGCCAAAUCGUAUUGUUAUUACUUCUUCCGAGUCGAGGCCACGUCGUUCUCGAUGGAAACCAUUGCUUUUUAUUACCACUCUUGAGGAGUUCGAAGCAUUCUCGACGGAGACCCGCGCAAGCUGUGGAAAGAGAGAGAGUCAACGGUGAAAAGAGAGCAUGGUGAGAUGUGUGAGCGACGGGGGGAGAGAGAGAGAGAAAGAAAGCCGACGGAGAGAGCACAUAGAGCUGAGAUGCGUGAGUUGGGUGAAGAUUUGGUGAGCGUUGUGUCAGUUGCCCGUGUGUUGUGUGAGCUCUGUGCCAUGUGAUAUGCGUGCUACUUUGAGAAUUUAUAGAUAGCACAAAACUCAAUCUAUAUCCAAUUCAUACCUAGAUAGAUGCGGAUUUGACUCAAUUUAUAUCCAAUUCGUCAUUUGCGAACUAAAAAUUUUUAAUUCUCUCAAAUUCACAAACUAACUAAAUAAAUAAAAAUUUAAUAUAAAAAUAACUGUACUACCGAUCAAAUUUAAAAUUAAAUAAUAUUUAAAUAAAUUAAUUGUUUAAAUAAAGUUAGAAAAUACAUUCAAAAUUUUAAAAUAUAACACAGUAAAAAGAAAAAAUCUCAUUUGUUUAGACCUAUGUAUGAAAAUUAAUUGUUUAGGAAUCUAUAUUUAUUUAUUUUUAUAUUAUUAUCGGAUAAGAUAUAAUAUGGUGUUAAUGUAACUAUAUUUUAACUUAUUUAUUUAUAAGACCAAUGCUAUAUGUACAAGUUUAAUUUUUUAAUUAAAUAAAUAUUUUUUUUUGCGGAAUUGUGGAUUUUUGCGGAUUUACAAAAGUAAAUCUAUAUCCAAUCCACCGACUAUGGAUUUUCAAAUUUUCAAAAUUUCAAAUUUUCAAAUUUUCAAAAUUUCAAAUUUUCAAAUUUUCAAUCCAAUCCAAUCCACCAAUUCACAAAUUCGGAUUUUUACGGAUUAGAUUUCUACAGAUUAAACGAAUUGAGCAGACCAUAUUUGAUUUUGAACAUUGCUAAUUUGUAUGUUAAGUAUAACAUAAUCAAUUAUUUGGAUAAUCCCUUGUGUUUUAUCUCUAAUUAGAGCAUCAAUCUUCACAAUAUCUACAAAGCUACAAUGGCUACAAAACAAACCUGCUUGCAAAUUGUCAAGGAUACUUAUCCUUUCUCUUGACAAGUCAUUUGGAAAAAUACUGUCCCUUGGCGGCUCCAUGACUUCUCUGCUCCUCCUUUUGGUCUUAAUGUACGGUUGCAUAAUGAUAGUUUAGGCCCUUUAGGGACUACUUUCCCUGGGGUUGUUAAGUCUUAGCUUGUGCUAGGCUCGUUUUUCUUACCAAAAAAAAAGGGAAUACUUCUCCUAUAAGAAAUAAUCUCUAUAUAUAGGGUGGUUGGAUUCACUUGUUUACAUAACAGAUCAAUUAGUUCUCUGUAAAUAGAGAGUUUCUAGUAUAAGAGAAACGGUAGAUCUAUUGAGAGAUUAUGUGUUAUUAAAAUUUUAGUUGCGAAGAAAAGUACUAGAGUGAUUGUAUUAAUUUUUUACAUAGUAGAUUUUUCUAUCGUCAUCUUUAUGGCUGUGAUUUUUCUUCCAUAUAGAAGUUUCUCACGUAAAUUUUUAUGUUGUGUGAUUAGUUUUAUUCUCUAUCUAUUUUUUGUUUAAUAUUUUAUUUGUAAGAUGCUGGAUGGGAUUAAAAUUUCUUAACAAAUAACGGAUUAAAAAUCAUGAAGAAAAAGCUCAAGAGAUCUUCAAGAUUUGAAGUGUGCAAAAGUUCAUAUUACUGCUAGAUGAUAUAUGGGAGCGGGUUGAUUUAGUAAAAAUGGGUGUCCCUCUUCCUAGAUCAGAAAACAGCACAUCCAAAGUGAUAUUUACAAACCCGUUCUGAGGAAGUUUGCGGCUUAAUGGAAGUUCGUAGGAGUUUUAAAGUGGCGUGCUUAUCAAAUAAAAAUGCUUGGGAAUUGUUUCUAUACAAAGUUGGGGAAGUGAAAGAAAACAGAGAUGUACUGUUUGGUUGAAUAGAAAAUUACAGAGAAAAUUCUCAAUACUUGUAUUUGAUAAGAUUCAAUUCUUAAGAGCUUUUACAAAUCAGUACAAGUAUUUAUAUUAUUCCUUACACGUGAGAAUUGCUAGUAACUCACUAACUAACUAACUUUCUUUGAGCUGGAUCACUAACACUUGACUAAUCACACUGAGCUGUUAUUCUUCACUAACAACCUUCUGCUGACGUGGCUUCACCAAGCUACUUGAAUAAUGAGCAGCCUUGACAGCCCCCCUCAAACUCAAGGGACAAGACAUGACGUUGAGUUUGGCCCUAAGAUAGUUAAAAUGGAUGAAUGAGAGUGGCUUGGUCAUGAUGUCAGCUACCUGCUCCUCACUUGGUAUAUAUUGAAUGUUUAGUUCUCCAGCAAGAACUUUGUUUCUAACAUAAUGAAUAUCAAUCUCAAUAUGCUUUGUUCUUGAGUGGAAAACUGGAUUGUGAGCUAACUCUGUUGCACUGAGAUUGUCACACCAAAUAACAGGUUUCUCUAUGCAUUGUAAUUUCAACUCAGAAAACAGUGAUUGCAGCCAGCUUAUCUCGGCACUUGCUGAGGCUAGGGACCUAUACUCACUCUCUGCACUGGACCUAGCAAUAACAGGCUGCUUCUUAGACGACCAAGAUAUCAGAUUAUGACCAAGAUAGAUGCAAUAGGCUCCAAUCGAUUUUCUGUCAUCCAGAUCCCCUGCCCAGUCUGCAUCUGUGAAUCCUGUUAGUUUCAGAUCACCAUCCUUAAUAAUUUUGAGUCCAUAGUUCUGUGUAGCCUUUAGAUAUCUGAGCACUCUUUUGCAAGCCAUAAGGUGCUGCAGUGUUGGUGCAGAAACGUAUUGACUCAGCUUGUGAACACUAAAGGCAAUUUCUGGUCUUGUUAAUACCAAAUAUUGCAUCCCACCAACAAUGCUUCUGUAAUGUGUUACAUCUUCAACAUAACAACCAAGAUUACCUUGAGCUUCCUUCUGUAGCUUCAUUCCUGUACUCAUAGGAGUAUCAAUAUCUUUGCAAUUUAUCAUCUCAACUCUUGACAGCAGAUCCCUUAUGUAUUUCCUUUGAGAUAAGAAAAUACAAUCUUUAUCAUACAGUACUUCAAUGCCUAAGAAAUAAGAGAGAACUCCAAGAUCCUUCAAAGCAAACUUUGUACUGAAUUCUGUAAUGAAUUUUUCCAGCUCAAAGCUAUUUGGUCCUGUUAUUAAAAUGUCAUCAACAUAUAUAAGAACUAGAAUCAUAGAUGACUUAUUUAUUUUCAAGAAUAAGGAGGUAUCUGAGCUGGAAUUUGUGAAUCCCCACUGCAACAAACAGCCUUUCAACUUAUCAUACCAAGCUCUUGGAGCUUGUUUAAGUCCAUAAAGAGACUUGUGAAGCUUGCAUACAAAGUCUGGUUUCUCAAAGCUGAUAAAUCCCUCUGGUUGAUCCAUGAACACUUCCUCUGUUAAGUCUCCAUUAAGAAAGGCAUUAUUCACAUCAACUUGCCUUAUCUUCCACUGAUUCAUCACAGCUAAACUCAAGACUACUCUUACAGUUGCUGGUUUUAUGACAGGACUGAAAGUUUCAAAAUAAUUCACUCCUAUAAUUUGUUGAAAUCCCUUUGCAACUAACCUAGCUUUGUAUUUAGCUACACUUCCAUCAGUGUUGUAUUUAACCCUAUACACUCAUUUGUUUCCAACAACUCUUUGAUCAUUUGUUUUUGGCACUAAGGACCAUGUACCACUCUGCAUCAAAGCUGCAUAUUCUUCUUUCAUGGCUGUAAACCAUUUUGGGUUUUGCAUAGCCUCAUAUACAGAAUCAGGUUAUUUGUGAACAAGGGUUGCUGUAUAAAGCUUUGGUUUGAAGAUACCAGUUUUGCUUCUGGUAGUCAUUGGAUGUGUAUUAGGUUGGACUGGAAAAGAUAUAUCAGGUGUAGGUUGAGCUAAUAAGGAUAUGUCAGGUGCAGGUUGUGGUGAAUUUUGAGGCUCUGUAGAUGGUUCAAUAAAUGUGGUAUGUGUUUGUGAAUAGGAAUGUUGAUUGUCAGUAUGAAAUGGAUUAUCUGAAUGUUGUGAACUGCUGCUGGUAGAAAUUGCAGAUAGAGGAUUGCAUGAGCUAUUUCCAUCUGAUACUGGUGUUGUAGAUAAUAUGGUCAGAUGAAACACUGGUUGGGGUGUAAGGGAUUGACUCGAAUAAGAUGAUGAUUCAUUAGAAUGAAAAACUGAGUCUGUAGAAUAAGGAAAUGUUGACUCAUAAAAAACAACAUGUCUGGCUAUGUACAUCUUGCCUGAUGAAUGCAAGCAUUUGUAACCUUUGUGAACUGGACUGUAGCCAAGGAAAAUGCAUUUGCUUGAGUGAUAAUCAAAUUUGUGUUUGUUGUAAUCCCUUAGAUAAGGAUAACAUGUGCAACCGAAACACUUGAGCAUGCUGUAAUCAGGUUUAAGUUUAAAAAUUGUCUCAUAUGGGGUAAGAAGUUUCAGAGCUGUUGAGGGUAAUCUGUUUAUAUGGUAAACAGCUGUAAGAAAAGCAUCCCACCAAAAUUUAAAUGGUAGCUUAGCUUGUGCUAAUAGGGUUAGUCCUAGCUCAACAAUGUGUCUAUGUUUUCUUUCUACCACCCCAUUUUGGUGAUGUGUAUAAGGACAAGAAUGUCUGAAAAUGAUUCCACAUUGGUUUAAGAAUUGAGUAAAUGAUCUGUAUUCUCCCCCCCAAUCAGAUUGCAGGUUUUUAAUGGGGCUGUCAAAUUGGUUUUCAACCUGCAAUUUGAAUAGUUUGAAUACAUCUAAUGCCUCAGAUUUCAACUUAAGAGGAUAAAUCCAAGUGUAUCGGCUAAAAUCAUCAACAAAACUUAUGUAAUAGACAUAGCUAUCUCUAGAAGGUGUAGGUGAGGGUCCCCAUAGGUCUGUAUGUAUAAGCUCAAGGGGUUUUGUUGUUUUGGUUUCUGUGCUGGGAAAAUGCAGCCUAUGGGAUUUGCCCAUUUGACAUGCUUCACAGAUAUGCUCAAGUGUUUGUUUUAUGUUAUUUCUUGAGAGAUUAACUGAAGUAAUUCCUUUUAGCAAAUGCAUUAGAAUUUGAGAAUUAGGAUGGCCAAAACGUUUGUGAAGAAGAAGAAUUUUAUUAUUCAAUGCAUCACAAGAUGAAAUGUAGCUGGAAAAUUUAUUUAUUGAUGCAUUACAAACUGUGACACAACUGGAAUCAUUAUUCUGAGUGUUUUUAAGAACACUUGAAUCAAAAGAACAUGCAGAUAACAUUGACAAAGGUUGAGUGGAUGAAGGUUGACCCAUGUAAGAACAAGGAAGAGACUCAGAUGGUCUUAGAAGUAGCUUAUACAAUCCUUUCUCAGCAAUUCCUGUCAGAAGCACUUGCCUCUUCAGAGAAUCCUUCACAUAGCAAACAUUAUCAACAAAUUCAAUAGAGAUAUUGUUAUCAGCAGUUAAUUUUGAUAUGCUGAGCAGGUUCUUUGUGAUAUCAGGUACUAAUAACAUGUCAUUCAGUAAGAUAUGUGUUGGUUUAUAUGCAGCAUUUGAUCCUUUAUAAGUAAAACAUGGAUUACCAACAUGAGUUAUAGGCAAACCUUGGCCAUUGCCGAUGACAAGUUGAUUAGAUCCUCUGAAUUCCUCUCUGACAUUCAUGUUGGCCAUACUGUUAGUCAAGUGAUGUGUGGCACCAUUGUCAAGGUGCCAUCCUUCAUCAGCAGGCCCUUCAUAGUUGGUAAGAUAGGCUUCAGGAAUUACUGUGUCUGUUGAUGGAUAAGAGGAGAAGGAUAAAGGAUUGUAGCUUGAGUAGGGUGCAGCAUACUGUUCUUCAGUUGAAGGAGCAGCAUAGGUUAGAGAUGGAUCAAAGUUAGCUGUGUAUGCAGCCUUAGAUUCAAAAGAUCUGCCCCUUCCAAAAUGCCUAGGUAAUGGUUGAGGAUUGUCAUCAUAUCUAUGCCAGCAUUCAUCUGCUGCAUGUCCUGUUUUGUGGCAUAUCUGACAUAUGGUUGGUAAUUCAUCAGCAUGCAUGUUAGCUGAAGGAUGAAAGUUUGGCUUCAUAGGUGGCCUAAAAGGUUGCAUCAUCUGGCCCCUGCCAUAACCCCCAACAUUACCAACACCAGGUGAAAAACCUCUGGGAUGUGGAUUGUGAAACAUGCCUCUUCCAACAUUAAAUCCUCUAGUCAUAGGUCGACCAUAAUUUCCAUUUCCAACAACACCUCUUCUAAAAUUUCCUCUCAUAUAAGGAUGAUUCACAUUCAUUGUGCUAUAGUUUGCAUUAAACACAGUUUUGGCACUUUGAUUUUGUUCAAGUCUAGCUUCAUGAGUCAGUAAUAAUGCAUAAGCAUCAUCAUAGCUCAUCUUAUUAGCUGUGAUUAUGGAAGCUAGAUCUAGAUAACCUGAACCUAAGCCAUUCAAAACUCUCAUUAACAGAUCCUUUUCAGUGAUUACAUCACCAGCACAAGCAAGUUUGUUGGCGAGUAAUUUCAUUUUAGCACAAUAUUCCUCAACAUUCAUUGAAUCUUUUCUUAAGAUAUUCAUUUCAUAUCUGAGUUGCAUAAUCUUAGCCUCAGAUUGAACUCCAAACUGUUUUUCAAUAGAUCUCCACACAUCAAAUGAAGUGUCAUAGCUAAGAACAGAACUAAGAAUACCUUCACUUAUAGUUGAGAGCAGCCAGCCAAGGAGUAUUUGAUCUUGUGCUCUCCAGUUGCUGUAGGCUGGAUUUUCAAUGCUCUCACCAGAUCCUUCGAUCAUUGAAUCAACUAGAUACUGUUCUGGAAUAAUUUGCGGCUCUAGAAUGAAUCUUUCAAGGCGAUUUCCUCUGAUUGAAGUUACCACUUGUUUGCGCCAAAGCAAGAAAUUUGAUCGAUCAAGUUUCACAGUUGCAGCAAAAGUAAAUGAUGUUUGUGUAUGUUGAUUUGAGUUUAUGAUUGUUUGAUUUGAGAUUGUAUUGCUUGAGCUGGCCAUUUGUGGCUCUGAUACCAUGAAAGAAAACAGAGAUGUACUAUUUGGUUGAAUAGAAAAUUACAGAGAAAAUUCUCAAUACUUGUAUUUGAUAAGAUUCAAUUCUUAAGAGCUUUUACAAAUCAGUACAAGUAUUUAUAUUAUUCCUUACACGUGAGAAUUACUAGUAACUCACUAACUAACUAACUAACUUUCUUUGAGCUGGAUCACUAACACUUGACUAAUCACGCUGAGCUGUUAUUCUUCACUAACAACCUUCUGCUGACGUGGCUUCACCAAACUGCUUGAAUAAUGAGCAGCCUUGACAGGAAGAAACUUUGAACAAUCAUCCUGAUAUCCUUCAGAAAGCACAAUAGUUGUUAAGGAGUGUGGUGGUUUGCCACUUGCACAUUUUACCAUCGGUCGAUUUAUGGCAUGCAAGAAGACACAGCCGAAGAAUGGAGAUAUGCUAUUCAAGUGUUCAAUUCGUCCGCUUCCCGUUUCCAGGUCUGGAAGAAUGGAUAUAUACUCUUGUAAAAUUCAGUUAUGAUAGUUUACCCAAUGACACAAUUACACCUUGUCUGUUAUAUUGUAGUUUAUAUCCAGAAGAUUGUUGCAUUUCUAAAGAGAAUUUGGUAGAUUGUUAGAUCAGUGAAGGAUUUUUUAAUGAGAGUGAUUGGUUUGGAGAAAAAAUCAAGGAUACUUCAUUUUGGGCAUUCUUCUUCACGUUUUUUUUUGGAAAAGGGAGGAGAUUGUGAAAUGAAAAAUGCAUGCAUGACGUUAUUCGUGAUAUGGCUUUGUGGAUCGCAUGCGACUAUGAGAAGGAGAAGGAGAACUUUUUGGUUUACGCUGGUGUUGGUUUAACUAAGGUACCGGAUAUUAGAGAUUGGGAAAAGGUAAGGAGAUUGUCAUUGAUGAAAAAUAAAAUUGAGAAUCUAUCCGAGGCUCAUACAUGCCCUCAUCUCCUCACUUUCUUUCUUGACGAUAAUGAGUUUCGGAAGAUCCCCGGUGAUUUCUUCCAGUUUAUGCCUUCUCUCACUGUUUUAAACUUGUCAUGUAUUAAACUAAAGUCAGUUCCUUUAGGGACUUCAAGGUUGGUUCCACUACAACAACUCGAUCAUUCAUAUUCAAGCAUAAAAGAGUUGCAAGAAGAGUUAAAUGCCCUGAUUAAAGUUAAAUGCUUGAAUAUAGAUCAUGUAGAGGAGCUAAUUACAGUUCCACAACAACGGAUAUUUAAUUUUUAAGGUUAUAUGUGUUGAGAAUGUUCGAUACUAUUAGUUUAAAUUUUCAAGAAGCAUUAAAUAAAGACAGCAUUUUAUUUGGUGGGGAGGAAGUUUAAGCAGAGGAGUUGCUCGGUUUGGAAUAUUUGGAGGUAUUGAGCUUCACUUGAGAGGUGUUCGUGCUCUCCAAUUUAUUUUGAGCUCACAUAAGCUACGAAGUUGUACUCAAGCGCUGUUCCUCCAAUCCUUCAAUAAUUCGAUAUGGCUUGAUAUUUCACUUUUGGCAGAGUUAAAAGCACCACUGCAGAUUUAAGUAUUUUUGGCUGUAGAAAAUUGGAGGACUUGAAGAUGGAAUAUACAGGGGGAGCGAAAAACAAGCGGCAACCUUGUGUUUUCUAAGGCCUACAUACAGUUCACAUAGAGGUUUGUUCUAAAUUGAAGGACUUAACAUUCCUUGUUUCUGCUCCAAAUCUCAAGAACUUGGAAAUACAAAAUUGCCCUGCUGUGGAAGCAAUCAUCAGUGUGGGAGAAUUUGCGGAAGCUCUAGAGGUGGUGGAAAAUCUAAACCCAUUUGCAAAACUCCAGUAUCUUGGACUAGAAAAUCUGCCAAAUGUGGAGAGCAUCUAUUGCAAGCCUCUGCCCUUUCCAUGUUUGAAAAGAAAUGACUGUGGAUAGUUGCGGUUGUCUUAAAAAGCUUCCACUCUACUCCAACAGUGUAAAAGAGUGUACAAUUGUUAUUUCAUCAUUCGGAGAGUUAAUGGUGCAAUGAGAUUUGGCAGUUAACUCUCGUGGGAAGAGCUUGAAUGGGAAGACGAAGCCACUCGAAUUGCUUUUCAUUCAUGUUUCAAAUCUCUGAUUGGAUUGGAGAUUGCAUUUCGCCUCAGGUUCGUACUUUUCUUGAAUUUUUCUUGUUAACUUCAUUUGUUCAUUUAUCCAUUUUUUUUUAAAGGAAUCAGAAGGGUUAAUAAUUUUGGUUGUGUUAGGUCGACUUCUAAUCACGAGGCAGAAGGAGUUGAGAUGAAGUUUAAUUUUGGUGGAGAAAUUGUUUGAUUUAAAAAAUUUAAAUGAGUUGACCAUCAUUCUUUAGCAUAUUUGUAUGAACAGGAGUGUGUAAAUAUGCAAACUGUCCAGCUGUAUGUGUAUAGCGUAAUAAUUUUGAGGAGUUAAAACAUUGAAGAAUAUUGAUGUUUCCAUUGUCAAACCAAAUAUACUUAAUUACUUGAGGAUAAUGAUUACUGCUAAUACAUUUGCUAAUACAUUUGCAAAGAAAAAAACAUGCCUAUUGAAAAACUCAUCUUAUUAGCAACAGCAUUAUAAGUAGUAUCCAAUCAUAGUUUCAUGCAAGAUUUUGAGAUUUUUCAAAUGCUGAUUCCGGGAAUGGAGAUUAAUAGAUAAUGGAGACAGGUUGACUGCAAUGGCUAAUUGCAAGAGGGAAUUUUAGUCGUAAAAACAGACCAACUAGCAAAGCAAAUUCCAAAUCUUGGAAUGAAGUGGCAAAAAAACGAAACAAACAAAUGGCAAGAGGAAGUGACUAUACAAUAAUAACAUCGACUUGCAAUUCAACAUUUAUACAGUUUUACUCACCAAGAAAAGAGAAAAUUACAAUAGCAAUUUGGCUACUAGAAGAUGUUCAUUCAUGCUUAUGCCUGUCAUAUGGAUUUGAAACAAGGAGUAAAAGCAUUUAGAGUGGCUUCAUCCUUCCACUGCAGCUCAUUCCACCAGUGUUGCUCUCCCCUAAUAACAAGUUUGCGUUCCUUGGCGCUGUUGUAAUCGAGUGGAAGCUUCUUGAGGUUCGGGCAUCCAGAUACAAACAAUUCUAAGAGAUUUGGAAAGUGCACUUAAAUUCUUAUGAAUUGCUUAAGUAUGCAAGCAGCAGAGCAGAAAACAAACAACCUUUUCAUAUAUUAUAAUAACAUGAAUAAUCAGAUAUACACAUCCUUCACAUAUUUAUACUAAACGUGAAAAAUGGUAGCUUGCUCAAAGGGAAAACAGAAAUGAAUAAAACAAAAGAUUACAGCUGCACUAGCCAAUCAUUGGAAACAUUCUAGAAACUCCAGCUUGCAGUAUUCACGUGUAAAUAUUCUCCUGCAUAACAGUUUUGCCAGCUCAUUGAAUACACCUCAACUUCUUCAUCAGCUGGUUGCUGGAUAUGGCUGCUCAGGUGGCAUGCCAGCAUGGCCUUUGGGUCAAUUGUUGACUCAUCUUCAUAAUCUGAAUUCUCAACACCCUCUCUCAAACUUAAGGUCUUGUCGAAGACAUUAAGUUUGCUUCUAAAUUGACUGAACUUGUAAUAAGGCAAUGGCUUGGUUAAUAUGUCUGCAACUUGAUCUCUGCUGGCUACAAAACUGAUUUCCAGCUCUCCUUGAGUGACUUUGUCUCUAAUGAAAUGAAGGUCUAUCUCAAAAUGCUUUGUCUUUGAGUGAUACACUGGAUUUGUGGCUAUUGCUGCUGCACUUGUGCUAUCACUUAAGAUCAUUGGAACUCUUUGCAUCUUGAUUUCCAAUUCACCAAACAGAGAAUUUAUCCAAGUGAUUUCAGUAGUACACAAAGCUAUGGCCCUGUACUCGGACUCAGCUGUCGAUCUUGCUACCAUGCCUUGCUUUAUUGAGCUCCAAGCUACUAAAUUGUCUCCCAAAAACACACAAUAUCCACUUACUGAUCUUCUGUCAUCUGGAUCACUAGCCCAGUCAGCAUCAAUAUAGGCUAUCAAAUCUAGAUGUUCUGACUUCUGGAACUUUAAGCACAUGUUUGCAGUGCUCUUUAGGUACCUCAACACUCGUUUGCAAGCUGUCCAGUGAGAUUGUCUUGGGUCAGACAGGUAUUGGCUAAGCUUGUUCACAGAAUAUGCAAGCUCUGGUCUUGUUAGAACAGCAUAAUGUAGACUUCCUACAACACUCCUAUAAAAUGAAGGAUUGUCAAGUUUGGUGCCUUCACCCUUCUUUAGUUUCUCUGCUGUGCUGAAAGGUGACUCUAUUCCCUUGCAAUUCUCCAUCUCUGUUUUAGCUAAUAGGUCUUGAACAUAUUUAGCUUGAGAGAGCAAAAUGGAGUUCUGAUUUCUUAUAACAUGUAUCCCAAGGAAGUAGCUUAAAUUUCCAAGAUCUUUCCACUUAACUUUCCUAUCACUUCCUCAAUACCCUUGCUGUUAUUUCCAGUCACAAUUAUGUCAUCUACAUACACAAGCACAAUGAUUAUUUCAGCACUGCUUCUUUUGAAGAAUAGAGAAAUAUCACACUUGGAGUUGUUGAAUCCCCAAGAGCACAGAGCAUUCUUUAAUUUGUCAAACCAUGCUCUGGGUGCUUGUCUCAGUCCAUAAAGAGCUUUCUUGAGCUUGCAUAUGUGGUUUGGUCUUCUCCUAUCCUCAAAUCCCUCAGGUUGUGGCAUGUACACUGUCUCUGUCAAAUCUCCAUUCAGAAAUGCAUUAUUUAUGUCAACCUGCCUCAACAGCCAAUCAUUACUUACAGCCAAAGUUAAAAUGAUUCUGAUUGUUGCAGCUUUGACCACAGGGCUGAAAGUCUCAUUAAAGUCAAGUCCUGGUGUCUGCAGAAACCCCUUCAAGACAAGUCUAGCUUUGUAUCUAUUUAUGGUGCCAUCUGGAUUUUCCUUUACUUUGUACACCCAUUUGUUGCCAAUGAGUUUGUAGUUCUGGUCAUGUGGAAUUAAGGUCCAGGUUUGGUUUUUGACAAGAGCAUUAUAUUCAUCCUCCAUUGCUCUUCUCCAUUUAGGAUCUUUCAGUGCCACAGUGGAGUCAGGGGGUAAGGAAGUUUGAGAUUGAGUGGAUAUUUGAUAAACCUUUGGCUUGCAAAUCCCUGCUUUUGACCUUGUGAUCAUGGGAUGUAAGGAGGCUUGAGUGUUUGGUUAUGUUAUGAGAGGCAAGGUGCAAUUUUCUACUGAGGUGUUUGGUGAGAGUUCAACAGGUGAGUGGUUGUCUGAUAUAGAGUUGAAGCUCAAAUUCUAACAAGCUCCAUCUUAACUAAAACUUGGGAGCUGUUCUGAGUUUCCAGCAGUGGCCUGAGAUUAACUAUGAGCUGCAUUUUGCUGUGUUGACUCAGGGGGAACAGUAGUGGAGAAAGAUACAACUUGAAAUUUUUCUAGAACUGUGGGGGAAUCAUUUUGGUCAGUGAGCCUUUGCUUGCAGAAAUUUGAGUCAUUUUGAAAAGGGAAUGAAUGAUCAUUAAAUUGACACUGGCUGAAAUGUAGAUCCUCCCAGAAUGAUGCAUGCAAAUGUAACCUUUGUGACUGAUGCUAAUGCCUAGUAGUGUGCACUUGAAAGUGUGAAAAUCAAACUUAUGCUUGUUGUAGGGUCUUAAGUAUGGAUAGCAUUCACAACCGAAAACUUUAAUUUGGGAAUAAUCUGGUUUGGUGAGAUAUAACAGCUCAAAUGGAGUUUUAUUUUCAAGAAUAGGUGAGGUUAAUCUGUUUAUGAUGUAGGUGGCAUAGCUGAAAGCUUCUUGCCAAUAUCUCAAAGGCAUUUUUGCUUGGGCUAGUAAUGUUAGGCCAGUUUCCACAAUGUGUCUGUGCUUUCUCUCCACCUUUCCAUUUUGUUCAUGUAAAUAAGGGCAUGAGUGUCUUAAGGCUAUUCCUUCUUUCUUGAGAAAGGGUUCGAAAGUUUUAAACUCCCCACCCAUGUCUGUUUGUAAAGCCUUGAUUCUUAAAUUUAGCUGAUUUUCUACUUGGUUUUUAAACACAAUGAAUGUGUCAAGGGCCUGUGAUUUUGUUGUUAAGGGAAACAACCAUGUGUAUCUUGUCUUGUCAUCCACAAAUGAUAUGUAAUAUCUGUGUCCAUGGGUAGAUGGAAUAGGUGCUGGUCCCCAGAGAUCACUAUGUAUUUGUUCUAAGGCUGUGCUGGUCUUGGUUUCAAUGCUUUUAAAGUUUAGUUUUGAUUGCUUUCCAUACUGACAAGCAUUACAGAAUGAGGGAAAUAUAUUUUUAUUUAAGUUGAGCUGAUUACAAGAUAAUAGAGUAUUUUUCAGAACUGACUCAUUUGGAUGCCUCAGCCUAUGGUGCCAGAGAUCUAUUUCAUUUGUUCUAAGAUCCCUACUGCUUGUAUCAGCUCUACUGGACUCGACAACACUGGCACCAACACUGGCACCUAAAGACUCAUUACUACUGAAAUUGAAACAUGCCAUUGACAUUGGAUUGCUAAUGCAACUUAUUGACUUGGGUAUUGGAAAUGAAGAUAACUCAGCAGCAUAAGUAACCUUGUUGCCACUCAAAUGAGUUGGCAUGCAUAGCAGCUCAUAUAGUCCAUCUCUAGCCACUCCUUUCACCAGAAUUCUCCCUUGGCUCUUGUCCUUGAUGAAGCAAACAGAUUUUUGAAACUCAACAUCAAUAUCAUUAUCAUGAAGCAAUUUGGAAACACUAAUGAGAUUUUUGGUAAUAUCAGGUACAAACAAAAUAUGAUUUAAUUUGAUGUGUUUGUGUGGACUGUAAGUGGGCAAUAUAGAAUAACCAAUGUGAGAGAUAUGAAGUUUGUUACCAUUACCAACAGUGAGCUUGUCAUUACCUUGGUACUCUGAGUUCAGGUUCAUGUUUCCAAUAGCAUUGGUCACAUGAUUUGUGGCACCACUGUCAAGGUACCAGGCAUUGCUGUUUUGUCCUUCUGUUGUGGCCAUGUAGGCUCCUCUCCUCCUAUUUAGCUGUGGCACAUAAUUUUUCUUAAACCUAUGCCAGCAUUCAACAGCUGUGUGCCCCAUUUUGAAGCAGAUUUGGCAUGGACCCUUUGAUUCAGAACCUUCACCUUCUGCAGCAGCUUUGCCUUUGCCUUUGUCUUGAAUAUUUUGAUUUCCCUGACCAUGACCACCAUUGCCACCAUUUCCAGUGCCACCACCAGGAUUUCUGAAGACUAUCCCAGGUUGUUGCUGACUGCCAAAUCUUUCACCAUUGCCCCAGUUCCUCCUGCCAUUUCUCAUCUGUGUGAAGUUAGCCUCAAGAAUCCCUGGGCUGAGAUUUUGCUCAGUCCUGGUUUCUUGGCUGAGGAGCAUGCUGUAGACCUCUGACAAUGAAGGAGUUUCUGGCAUAGAGUUAAUGUUAGUGACAACAGAGUCAUAUUCAGAUCAUACUCCAGCUAAGACACACAUAAUAAAGUCCUCAUCACUCAUGUUAUUUCCAGCUGCUCUGAGUGUAUUUAGGAUAGUUUUCAUCAUGGAGUAAUAAUCAUGGAUUGUAAGAGAGCCCUUUUUAGUGGUUUGAAUCUGUGUCCUCAAAUAUAGGAUUCUAGCUCUUGUUCUUGCACCAUACUGAUUGGUAAGAGUUGUCCAAACUUCAUGUGAAGUAGAACAAUCCACCACAGUGCCGAGGACACCCUCACUGAGAGAUGAGAGCAACCAGCUCAAAAGAAUGUGGUCCUGUUUCUUCCAGAUUUGAUAUUCUGGAUUUUGGUGGGUAACGGUAGCUUGGUUAGGUCCAGGACUGGUGAAAUAUCUGGGGGGACAGGUAUAGCUUCCAUUUAUGAAGCCUUCAAGCUCAUUUGCUCGUAUGCUGGAGACCACUUGUGAUCUCCAGAGCAUGAAAUUGUUCUGUGUUAACUUGAUGGGAGUGGUGAACACAUAUGUGUUGCUGGUGAUAUGUUGGGUAGGAGAUGGGUUCAUUAUGGUCACAUUUCUUGUGUUAUUAUCUGGAUUCUGAUUGUCGAUAUUUUCAGGUUGGUUUUGAUUCAAAUCAUUUGGUUGAUCAUCUGGAUUUUCCAGAGUUUGAUUCAUGUUUGUUUGUGAAUUUCUGCUGCUUUCCAUAGCUCAAAAGUUGCUCUGAUACCAACUUAAAUUCUUAUGAAUUGCUUAAGUAUGCAAGCAGAAGAGCAGAAAAAAAAUAACCUUUUCAUAUAUUAUAAUAACAUGAAUAAUCAGAUAUACACAUCCUUCACAUAUUUAUACUAAACGUGAAAAAUGGUAGCUUGCUCAAAGGGAAAACAGAAAUGAAUAAAACAAAAGAUUACAGCUGCACUAGCCAAUCAUUGGAAACAUUCUAGAAACUCCAGCUUGCAGUAUUCACGUGUAAAUAUUCUCCUGCAUAACAGUUUUGCCAGCUCAUUGAAUACACCUCAACUUCUUCAUCAGCUGGCUGCUGGAUAUGGCUGCUCAGGUGGCAUGCCAACAUGGCCUUGGGGUCAAUUGUUGACUCAUCUUCAUAAUCUGAAUUCUCAACAAUGCAUUCAAACAGAUCUUCUUCAAAUUUCUUAGAACUUGCAACCGAAGAUAUUGGAGUUUCGCAAAAGGUUUUAGCCCUGUAACUUCUUCCACUUUCCAAACACUGAUUAUUUCUUCCAUCUCAUAACAACGUUCUACAUGGACCAUCUUCAGAUUUGGGGCAAAAACAAGCCAUGUCAUCUCCCUCAAUUUACUGCAAUAGUCUAUGGUAACACUUUGAAGGCUGUUGAAACCAUAAGUUCUCUUGUUGUUUGAACUUCUGCAUAGUCAACCUUUAGCUCUUCCAAACUUGUACAAUACACAAAAUCUAGUUUGUCAAGAUACUUGAGAUCUGCUAUGGACAAAAUAUUCCAUGACCUUGAAUCCUCACAGCGUCGAAGCUCUAAAGCAUAUUUACAACUCUUGUACUGUUGGCAGCUCAAAAGUCUUCGUAGAGCAUAAAAACUUCUUAACGUGACGCUUAAUACAUUUAAAUGUUCCAAAGUAAUCAACUCCUCUACCAAAAUUUCACUACCACCAAAUAGAACGCUAUCUUCUGGUACUGUAUUAGCAGAGCCACAAUCUAGCAUCCUCAACACCUUUAACCCAGAAAAAUUACAAAGCAGUUGCCGUGGAAUCGUAUGGAGAUAACGCAUGUACUCCAAGUUCAAACACUUUAGAUUUUUCAAGGCUUUUAAUUCAUGUGGUAACUCUUUGAUGAAAGUUUCUGAAAGAUUAAGAUAUUGUAGUGAAACCAAUUUUGAAAUUCCUGAAGGCAAUUGACUCAAGGAGCGAUUCUUUGAUAGGUUUAAAACUUUAAGAGAAGGCAUAAAAUCGAAGAAAUCACUAGGGAUAGUAUCUAACAUAUUAAUGCCGAGGAACAAAGUUAUAAGAUGAGGGCAUAUUGGAGUUAUUGGUAAAAUCACAAUUUUAUUUCUCAUCAACGAUAUCCUUCUCUUAUCUUCCCAUUGUUUAACCUCGGGUGGUUCAGUUAAUUCAAUACCGGCAGAAACCAAAAAGUUUUCAUUCUCCACUUCACAGGCUAUCCACAAGGUCAUAUCACGAAUCACAUCAUGCAAUUUUACAUAAUCUGAUCCUGCUUCUUCCAAUAGGCAUGCAUGAACAAGAACACCAAUAAUGUAGUAUCCUUGGUUAUGUACUCCAUUAAUUCCUUCAUAUUCCUUCAGAAAACCCUCACCAAUCCAACACCCUAUCAAUUCAAUUUUGCUAAUUUGAUAAUCCUCAGGAAAUAAACUACAGUAUAACAGACAAGAUCUAAGGACGUCACUAGACAAACUAUCAUAACUGAAUUUUAAAAGACGAAACACCUCUUUCUCCAUACCUGGAAAUUCAUAAGCUGAUCUCCUUAACAUCUGAAUUGCAUAGCUCCAUUCUUCGGGUGUCUUCUUGCUGCUCAUGGCACGACCGGUGGUAAUAAGUGCAAGUGGCAAACCACUACACUCCUUUGCCACAGUUUUGGCUAACUCCGGAAUAUCGGGAUGACUUUCAAGAGUCUCUUCUCCGACCUUCUUUAGGAACAAUUCCCAAGCAUCUUGAUCUGCCAAACACUCCACCUUGAACUUUUUUUGAGCUUCCAUGAGGCCACAGACGUCCACAAGACGAGUCGUAAAUGUUGAAAGUCAUGGCUGGCGCCGGCCAUCUAGAUGGCCGGUGCCAACCAUUCAACAUUCAACACGGCCCGCCAUUAUUGGUGGUGCCGUGUUGAAUGACUCCAUAAAAAAAAAAAAAAAAAAAAAGAGCCAAAAUUUUGGCUAUAUAAAGAGGGCUUCCCACCCUCAUUUAUAAUCCAAUCUUGAGAGAGCAAUUUAGGGAGUUGAGAGAGAGUUUAAGAGCUUGCAUUUAUAAGCUCUUAUUUUAGUGAUUUGAGAGUUUGGGUGUAUUGGGGUUUUGGGUAGUGAGCUAAAAUACUACAAUACUUGUAACUCCUUUUCACUAGUAAAAUAUUUCCUUCUGUCUUUGCCCAUGGACGUAGGCUAAAAGCCGAACCACGUAAUUUCUGGUGUCCUCUAUUGUGCUUGUUCUUUAUUUUAUUUCCAAUUUCAUUUUAGCUGCGGUCCUGCUUCACCCACCAAUUUCCUAACAGUGGUAUCAGAGCUAUUGGUUGUAUUUUUGGAGUCGGGAACUGUUCACGUAAGGGGUACUAUUCACGUAUACGACACUAUUCACGUAUACUGUACUGUUCACGUAUACGGGUUUGUUCACAUAUACGGUACUGUUCACGUAUACGAUACUAUUCACGUAUACGGUACUAUUCACGUGAAACGGGGAAGCGAUCCAAGAAUUUUCCGGUGCAAAGCAGGGAAUAGUAGUGUGAGAAAAGCAACUGUGGUUUUGUACAUGUCUAGGAAAGUUCUGUCACAAAGGCGAUAAGAGCUUAAGGAGUCUGGGUUUUAAGUGGGACCAUUGUGACCCCUCCAGUCUUUCCUGGGAACUUUCCUGGUGUGCAUUCUCACACAUACUCACAACUAUUCAAGGUGGUAUACUAGCUUGUGUGCAGUAUUUAUCAACAAAAUGGCGGCAAAGUAUGAAAUUGAGAAGUUGAACGGAAAUAAUUUUUCGUUGUGGAAAAUGAAGAUGAAAGCUGUAUUGAGGAAAAAUAAUUGUUUGGCAGCAAUUGGAGAAAGGCCCAUGGAGAUAACUGAUGACAAGUGGAACGAGGUAGACGGUAACGCCAUUUCUGAUCUACACUUGGCACUUGCGGAUGGUGUAUUAUCUAGUGUGGCAGAGAAAAAUACGGCGAAGGAAAUAUGGGAUACUCUCACAAAAUUGUACGAGGCCAAGUCACUACACAACAAAAUCUUCUUGAAGAGAAAACUAUAUACUCUUCGAAUGGCGGAAUCUACAAUGGUGACCGACCACAUCAACACUUUGAAGACUCUAUUUUCACAACUCACAACGUUGGGUCAUAAUAUAGAGGAGAAUGAACGUGCAGAGCUUCUACUUCAAAGUCUACCAGAUUCGUAUGAUCAACUCAUCAUCAACCUGAUGAACAACAAUCCAGUGGAAAGUCUAGUUUUCGACAAUGUUGCAGCCUCCGUAUUAAAUGAGGAGAGCAGACGGAAAAAUAAGGAAAACAGACAAGCAAGUUCGCAGCAAGCAGAGGCGCUAUCGGUGACGAGAGGGAGAUCAACGGAACGUGGCCCCAGUGGGAGUCAAAGUUAUGGUAGAUCAAAAUCCAGAAGUAAGAAAAAUGUUAAAUGCUACAACUGUGGCAAGAAAGGGCACGUCAAGAAAGAGUGUUGGAGUAACCAGAAGAGAAGAGAGGGUAAAGAACCUGAGUCAUCAAAUGCUCAGGGGUGUGUAGCAAGUACCUCGGAUGAUGGCGAAAUUCUCUACAGUGAGGCAACAACUGUUUCAGAAGGCAGAAAACGACUUUCUGAUGUCUGGCUUAUAGACUCAGGAGCUACCUGGCACAUGACCUCUAGGAGAGAAUGGUUCUACACAUAUGAACCUAUCUCAGGAGGAUCUGUAUAUAUGGGUAACGAUCAUGCCUUGGAGAUCGCUGGUAUUGGUACUAUCAAAAUAAAAAUGUUUGAUGGUACAAUUCGCACAAUUGGGGAGGUACGACAUGUCAACGGCCUAAAGAAAAAUCUAUUGUCUUUAGGACAAAUGGAUAGUCAUGGGUACAAAACUCAUGUGGAGAAUGGAAUUAUGAAGAUCGUUAAAGGCGCGCUUGUAUUAAUGAAGGCAGAAAAGAUCAGUGCUAAUCUAUUCAUGCUUAAAGGAGAAACACUACAGGAGGCUGAUGCGUGUGUCGCGUCAAAUGGAGAAGAAUCAACGAUGAUGUGGCAUCUCAAACUCGGCCACAUGUCAGAACAAGGCUUGAAGAUUCUCUCUGAGCGAAAAUUGCUUCCGGGGCUCAAAUCAGUAAGUUUACCAUUUUGCGAGCAUUGUGUUAUAAGUAAGCAGUAUAGAUUAAAAUUCAGUAGAUCUAUUGCUAGAAGUAAAUGCAUUCUAGACUUGAUUCAUUCUGAUGUUUGGGAAUCACCGGAUAUAUCCAUGGGAGGUGCAAAGUACAUGGUGACUUUCAUUGAUGAUUAUUCCAGAAGAUGUUGGGUGUAUCCAAUUAAGAAAAAGUCAGAUGUAUUUCCUGUGUUUAAAGAAUACAAAGCGCGGGUGGAACUUGAAUCUGGUAAAAAGAUCAAGUGCUUAAGGACAGAUAAUGGUGGAGAAUAUACAUACGACGAGUUUCUUGCUUUCUGUAAGCAAGAAGGUAUUCAGAGGCAAUUCACGGUGGCAUACACUCCUCAACAAAACGGAGUAGCAGAGCGGAUGAACAGAACUCUUACAGAAAGAAUAAGAGCUAUGUUGAGGACUGCUGGUUUACCCAAUUCAUUCUGGGCAGAAGCAGCCAAAACCGCCUGUUAUAUAGUAAAUCGGUCGCCAUCUACAGCUAUUGGGUUGAAGACAGCGAUGGAGAUGUGGACUGGAAAGCCAGCUGAUUAUUCCUACCUACAUGCAUUUGGAUGUCCUGUGUACGUGAUGUACAAUGCCCAAGAAAGAACAAAGCUGGAUGCAAAAUCUAGAAGAUGUAUCUUCUUGGGGUAUGCUGAUGGAGUAAAGGGGUAUCGUCUGUGGGACCCCACUGCCCAUAAGAUCGUCAUCAGCAGAGAUGUUAUCUUUGUAGAAGAUCAACUACAAAGAAAAGAUGGAGAUGAUGGCACUGUAAAAGAAAAGUCAGAGACUGUACCAGUAUAUGUCGAAAAUAAUCUAGAAGAUUCAGAUUCUUCUGAAGCAGCACCAGAGCACGAGGAACAAGAACCAGUCGAGUCUGAGGCUCCAGAAGUUCGUCGGUCAACUCGUGAGAGACGACCACCGGCGUGGCACUCGGAGUAUGUCACAGAGAUCAACGUUGCAUACUGUCUUCUAACAGAGGAUGGAGAGCCUUCAACUUUCCAUGAAGCUUUAAACAACUUAGAUGUUGCUUUGUGGAUGACAGCAAUGCAGGAAGAAAUUGAAGCUCUACACAAGAACAAGACAUGGGAACUUGUACCACUACCACACGGAAGAAAAGCCAUUGGAAACAAAUGGGUCUACAAGAUCAAACGUGAUGGCAAUGACCAAGUGGACCGGUAUCGUGCAAGAUUGGUGGUGAAAGGAUAUGCUCAGAAAGAAGGUAUUGACUUCAACGAGAUAUUUUCUCCGGUGGUUCGACUCACAACAGUCAGAAUAGUCUUGGAGAUGUGUGCUACAUUUGAUCUACAUCUUGAGCAGUUAGAUGUUAAAACUGCAUUUCUUCAUGGAGAACUUGAAGAAGAAAUAUAUAUGCUCCAACCAGAAGGUUUUGCAGAAACAGGAAAGGAGAACUUGGUUUGCAGGUUGAACAAAUCUCUAUACGGUCUCAAACAGGCGCCGAGGUGUUGGUAUAAGAGAUUUGAUUCCUUCAUCAUGAGCCUUGGAUACAACAGACUCAGUUCAGACCAUUGUGCAUAUUACAAGAGGUUUGAAGAUAAUGAUUUCAUCAUUUUACUGUUGUACGUGGAUGACAUGUUGGUAGCAGGCCCCAACAAAGAUCAAGUCCAAGAAUUGAAGGCACAAUUGGCUAAGGAGUUUGAAAUGAAGGACUUGGGACCAGCAAACAAGAUUCUAGGGAUGCAAAUUCACCGAGACAAAAAUAACAGGAAGAUUUGGCUUUCACAGAAGAAUUACUUGAAGAAAAUCUUGCGGCGCUUCAACAUGUAAGAUUGUAAGUCAAUUUCUACCCCACUUCCUGUUAAUUUCAAAUUAUCCUCAAGUAUGUGUCCUAGCAAUGAAGUGGAGAGGAAGGAGAUGUCUCGAGUACCGUAUGCAUCAGCAGUGGGAAGUUUAAUGUUCGCUAUGAUAUGUACUAGACCAGACAUUGCACAAGCAGUGGGAGCAGUCAGUCGAUACAUGGCGAAUCCUGGUGGAGAGCAUUGGAUAGCUGUAAAGAGGAUUCUGAGAUACAUCAGAGGAACCUCAGAUGUUGCAUUAUGUUACGGAGGAUCAGAGUUUACUAUCAGGGGCUAUGUGGAUUCAGAUUUUGCAGGAGAUCUUGAUAAAAGAAAAUCCACUACUGGUUAUGUGUUUACACUUGCAGGAGCAGCUGUAAGCUGGGUUUCGAAACUGCAGAUCGUUGUGGCUUUANNNNNNNNNNNNNNNNNNNNNNNNNNNNNNNNNNNNNNNNNNNNNNNNNNNNNNNNNNNNNNNNNNNNNNNNNNNNNNNNNNNNNNNNNNNNNNNNNNNNAUAUUCUUGAUUAAUCCAUUUUCUGAAAUUUUUUAUUUUGUAUGGUCAAUUAUACCUUCAUACUAAAAAUUUCUGAUGUUAUGGGGUUGUUGGAUGUGUUUUGGAUAUUUGCAGCUAAGUUUGAGUUUAUAUCUCAACUUAAAAUUUGUAGUUUUCACUUGAAAAAAUUCAGUUAAAAAUUGAUUGGUAGAAUUGUGAAGAAGUUUAAAUUUUUAGUUCAACCCGAUUGCAUAUUUAAGAACAUCUCAAAUGAAUUGCUUACUGCUAUCAUCAUCAUAAUUGUCAGAGAUGGUUAAUUGAUAGACUAUGUGCCUGGGUCGAGCACUGGAAGCCUGCAAUGCAGACUGAUUGAUUUAUCAGUUUAACGUGUGCCAGGAAUGAAGAACUGGAAUAUCACCGUCAAGCAAGCACCCUGUGGAGCAAUACCAAAGAAUGCACAAUCCGGCUUUGCAAGGUGACACUGGAGGCUUUUUGAAAAGUGCUUCACGCUCACUUGCACAGAUUGAGCAUCCCCUCUGGAUAUUGCCCUCUCUGAUCGAGUCUGAGCACUCAAAUUUUGGUCCUCAGAGGGAGCUACAGUUUUCUCUCCAAUAACCAACAAUUUUCUAAACUCAGCACCUAGUGUGAUCAGAGUUGUUGAUAUUUAUAAAUGGAGAUCCCCAUAUUUGCAAGUGGAGACAUUUAACAAUUCACCAACAUGCUUCAUCCGGUGUACAAAAUUCUGCAGCUGAUUCAAAUCCGGAACCUGAACCAGAGUCGGAGGUAUAUCUUGAGCCAUAUCUAAAGUAGUUUGAAGUUCAAGACCUUGAGCCCUUGACAAUGGUUUUGAAAUUGGAACAUCUUGGAUUACUGCAGACUUGUACCCCUUGGUUUCAAAGGUAAGGAAAGGCAUUGCUUGAGUACAAUUUGGAGGCAGCUUCUUCACCAAUUUUAUUUGGAGGCGAUUGGCAGCGGAUCCAGCAGCACCAAUUUCAGAGCAAAUACUGACACUACUUCGAACAGCACACUGAAGAAGUGAUAUGUCUACGGCAAAGGCAAUGCAGUCCUCAUUUUGGCUUGAGAUGCAGUAAUCAUCGAAGAGAGUUUCCUUGUGAAACUGGGCAACACAUUGAAUCCCUUCGCCACUGAGAAGGUUGUGGAGGAAGUAAGCUUUCUCUCUAGUGAGGCAGAGGUGGCAUACCUUCCCCAUUUUGUCGAGGGCAGGUAGGAAUCUUUUUUCUAAGAGAUUUACUUCAUUCUCUGUGAGAAAUGCUUUGAACUUCAUCCCUCUGUCUCUAUCCUCACUUAUCAGGAAAUAAGUUGAAAGCACUACGAAGAGAGAGAGAGAGAGAGAGAGAGAAUUAAGAUAUAUAGACAAGAAAAAUAUUAGACGUUGAUCUUACAAACUAAUACUUCAAGCAGUAUCCUGGAAAGCUAAAAACUGCAAGAUGGCUUGAAAUUUGAAAAGAGCACGUGCUUUUCCUCCUUAACUUGAGAAAAUGUUUAAUAUAGUGCACCUUAUGGAAGCAUUUAAGCAAUUAGAACUUUGCACAAAAACAUCAAGAAGACUAAACAAGUCAGAUGCAGUGUAUUUGUCCAAGCACAAAUUGCAUUUUGUCCUCAACUUUAAUAUUUAUUGAUGAGAAUCAAUACAGGUCCCUCAUUUGUUAUAGAAAGCUUUCUUUCUUGUAGUCUCACCAGUUAAUUCACAGGUCUAUAAUCAUCUUGCAAAGUUAAGGGCAUUUCUUUUGAUCUAAAGUCUUUGCAUCACCACCUCAUCACACGCCAAGCCAAUAUUCCAUUUACCUCUACAACAAAAAGUUUUAAUUAAACAAUCCUAAUGCACGCAGCCAAAUAAAAUGCAGUAAGAAUAUUCAACUUAAAAAUCUGAAAGCCAACUUGGUGAAUUGCCUCCUUAGGUGAAGUUCCAUGCUUUACUAUAGUUGACAGAACUCAGCAAAAGCUUCCAUACAACAGAUUUUGAAAAUGAUGAUGCCAACAGAUACUCAUUCAAUCCAUUGAAACUCCAAAGGUUCAUUGUUCAUAGAAGUUUACAAAGUUUUGGUCAUCAAAUAGCUCAGACCUAAUCCCAAACAAAAAAAGAGUGAAAAUUAGAUCACGAGCAGCUAAUUGUAAAUUCUAACUUAACUCUUCAUCUCCUUUGUAAACAAGAAACAAAAUGGAGACACGCAAAAUGAAUAUGGAGAAAAUUUGAACUCAAAUGAAAUGAGGGCACGAAAGCAAACAAAUGGCAUGCACAAAAAAACCAAGCCUCAAUCAAAAACUAAUUAACCAUUAAGAAAAAAAUUGGUCAGACAAUGAACUCCAAAUUCAGGAGUCAAGCAAGAAGCUUUCAUUAUUUCAGAAGCUCCUGUACAAAUUAAUAAGUUAUGCUCUUUGGAAGCAAAACCAAAUUCCAAGAGAAACAGAACCCAAAAAAUUUGCAAUUAUUCGCAAAGGAAGUGAAGCACAGGAUUCUAUCACACAUAGGAAUUUUAUAACAAGAGAUCGAUAUAUCGAAUUAGAAAACUCAAUUCGAAUUUGUGUGAAAAAUCAAAAUUAGAAGAUUUCACAUUUCGAGAGGAACAAGCAACAGAUGAGUUUAAUUUCAGCCAUAACAUGCUAAAAAUGCUACACUUAACGGUUCCUUGUCAGCUAUUGAUGCGUUCGCUCANNNNNNNNNNNNNNNNNNNNNNNNNNNNNNNNNNNNNNNNNNNNNNNNNNNNNNNNNNNNNNNNNNNNNNNNNNNNNNNNNNNNNNNNNNNNNNNNNNNNAAGGGUCAUGUUCAAGCAGGAAAACUUCUAGAACAGGUAAGGAUUCCAUCUACAGACAUCCAUUGACAGCAGAUAUAUUUCAUUAAGCAGACACUGUUAGCAUUCAAGAUGCUGGCAGAUUCACUUGAUUCUUAUUAGUUUGUUUAGUGGCAAGGCAUAUAACCUGUAUUUCAAAGCCAAGUUGUGCUAUUGAUUAUGUUAACUUUAUUGUUAACAUUAAGUGAUUUGGAGGACAUAAUCAAUGUAGGAAAAUUAGGUGAAGAGAUGAUGUCAAAUCUUGAACCUCUUACAAAGCUCCAAGUUCUUUACUUGAAGAAGCUGCCAAAUUUGAAGAGCGUCUACUGGAAGGCAUUUCCAUUCCCAGAUGUAUGCAGAAUUUUUGUAUUAAUGCCCAGUUCUUAAGAAGCUGCCACUGGAUUUUCAUGGGGCGGGCCAAGGUAAAAUUCUUAUCAAGGGAAAGGAAGAUUGGUGGAAAGAACUUCAAUGGGAGGAUCAAGCAACUCAGAAUGCAUUGCUUCCAUUUUUCAAAUCAACUGACAAGUGAUUGAAGGGGGCAUCAUCAACAGAGAUGGAGAGAUUCUGGAGCAGAUCAGCAGGGUUUGUAUAUGAUCUUUGGUGGUUGCUUUCUUUUGUGAUUUUUUUUUUCUCAUUUUUUUACCUUCCUGUCAUUUUAUCAUUUCUUUGUCUCUUUUUCUAUUGCUGAUGUUAGUGUAUGCUUACUGUUGCUUGACAAAGUUUGCUUGCUUCUUGUUUAUUAAAUUUUUUAUGGUCACAAAAUAUUACUUGUUCUAUUUGAGAGUGAUGUGAAUCAAUUUUCAAUUAUAUAUUUUUUGGUCAAUGUGAAUUCAAUUUCAUUUGUCUCCUGCAAUUAUUAAAAAAAUGCAGUCUCAUAAUAUGGAAAAGUCGACCGGCAAAAAUUUUGUGAAAGCUUCGGAGUGAAACAGGGAAUUCACUUACUACUAAGGACAAUUGGUGGCGAGCUAUUCCAUUCAUUUUAUGUCCCUACAUCUAUUUAAUUAUUAAAGAUAAGUGGUCCAUUUGUAAAUUUCAGAUUGUGUCUCUCUGAAAAUAACAAUAUUUAAAAUGUCUCUUAAAUUAUUAUAAAUUUUAAUUCACUCUCGAUUUAAAAUGGAACAUGCUGAUGAAAAUUUUUUUCUUCUCAAUAUUCAAUAAAAUUGAAAUAAAUUGUGUUUGCAGUAUUUUGAAAUAUUUUAAAGAUUAUUAUUUUAUAAGAGAGUAAUAUGAAAUGAAAUUUACUCUUCAUGCGUGAAAUGUUGAAAAGGACAAAGGAAAGUGUCACUGCUUUUAUUUUAUUUCAAAGUGGAGUCAUCUCACAUACUUUACCUCUAUCAUUACAAUUUUUCACGUUACAUUUUGAUUUAUUUAUUUCUUUUAACACAUGCAUGUGGGUUACUUUUCCGUAAGCUCCUUAAUAUAUGUUUAACACAAAUCAUGGAAGAGAUGGGAGUAUAUCAAGAUGAUCAAAGCAUGAGACAAAAAUAUUUAAGAAGUAAAACACUGAAAAUAGAGGAGAGAUGCAAGCAAAAGAUAUUCCAAAGAAAAGCAAUCUAUCCCCUUUCGAGGGCAAACUUAAUCAGGUUUAAGAAAAGUACAUGUUUUGGAUUGGUAGUUGCAGCCUUGCAGGAUAAUUGUUUUUGCCAUUAUAUUAGUUGGAGGAGUUGAACCCAGCGAAGAAUGUUAUGGAAGAGCAAAUUAAUGAUAUUUCUGAUAGAGUCUAUUUGAUUAUGUAGCCUGAAUGGAUGUCUUGUUGAAAGAUAUCUCAGUGCAUUAGUUCAUCCUUGUCUGUCAAUGUGUUUUUAAUGGUUUUUCCAAUUGUUUAUUAUUAUAGAUUGAUUGUAAAUUUAUAUGAAAAUUUGAUAUGAAUUUAAUGUUGAAAUGUUUUCUCUUUAGUGGAAUGAAUUUAAAUUGAUUGAUUGUAAAUUGAUAUGAAUUUAAUGUUGCAAUGUUUUCUCUUUAGUGAAAUGAACUUAAAAGUGUAAAAGAUUAUUGCACACAUAGAAAUAAACAUAUAUGCUUUAUAGUAUAACUUUAGCAAUCGAUUCUUUUACGGCUGGAAACAGAGAUGAUGAUUAUCAUAGGGGUGAAGAAAAGGACAAAAAAUAUUAAUAAAUGAUCUUAAUGUUCCACAAAAGCAAAUCGUAAUAUUCCACAAGAAAAAGCAAGAUCUUAAUGUUCCACAAAAGCGUUAUUUAUUUUUUUUGGUGAGCCACGUGGAGCUCAAUUAUCAUUGUCUUUACUUUAAAAACGUUAUUUUAUUUUAUUUUCUUACAAAUUAAUGCUAACAAGAAAAAGCAAGAUAUAAUAUUCCACAAAAGCAAAUCGUAAUAUUCCACAGAGGAAUAAGAUCCACAAAAGCAAACAACUAGCUGGAUUCUUUUAUUAAACUACAAAUUAAAGUGGAAUCGUUUACUAAACAACAAAUUAAAGUUCAAAUAUUUAAAUAGUAGUGCGUUAGACGAUUAGGCUCUUUUAUUAAAGUCAAGUAUAAAGUAGUCCAGAAUCGAACAUCUCUAUUGUCUAGUCUUUUUUUUUUUUAAUUCUUCUUUUAUUAUUUUUCAGAAUAUGUUUUGGUGAUUACUAUUGGGUUAUUAUUCAGAGUUAUUGUUAUCUUCCGGGGCAGUUUCUGUUCAUCGAAAUCGUUAAUUAAAAUUUUAAAACUCUUAUCGGAAGAAUGUUUUUCCGUUAUUUUUUUAUAUUCUAAUUUCAAUUGUAAGAAGUAGUCAUUUUAGAAUUUGGGUCUUGAAUCGAAUUUCAAUGCAUGAAUUAAUAUUUUAAAAAAAUUUACUACAUGCAGUUUAGGUUACAAACUAUUUUUUGCAAAGUUGACUAUGAAAUUGGAGAAAUUAAGUAAUUUAUAAUGUUUGCAAAGAAAGAGACCAACAUACUUCCAAUUACACUAUAUCUCAAUUAUCAUAAUGUUAAGAUUAAACUAACUUAAAAUAAAAUUUAUUUAAAAAGUUUAUCAAACGCAGUCUAAUUUUAUUAACUUGAAGAGAUAAUAGUUAUAGAAAUUAUUAUUCUAACUUAAUUAGUAAAAGUGGUAUAAAGGUUAAGUGUGCACUAAAUCUAUUUAAAUUUUUUUCCAGUAUAACUAACAGAGGUCAUUACUAGAAUUAUAUUACUAGUCUAUUAGAUAGAAAAAAUUAUUUAUAUUGUUUUAUAUUUAUUAAAAAAAUUUAAAGUCAAUCUUUUUAAUUACUAUUUAAAGGAUAUUAUAAUUAAAAAAAUUUUAAUGUCUUCAUUAAAAAUUUAAAAUUUUAUAUGACCGUUAUCUAAAUAUUUAAAGUGUAACUGUCAUUUUCUCAUAUAUAUAUAUAAUUUCAUCAACCCCUUAUACUUUAUGUUAUUUAUAUUUUAUUCAUGAAUAUUAUAAAUUUUUUGAAAUAUAAAAUUUCGUUUAACCCUUUAUACUCAAUUUUAUUUUAUUAAAACCCUAGAGUAUGAAUUCGUCCCUAUAAUAUUAAAUUCUCAAAAUAACUUCCAUUUAAUUAAAAAAUAUAAUUAUUAUUAAAUGAAUUAUAAUUAUUAUUAUUAUGUUAUUAUAAUCAUAAAAAGCGAGAUCAUAUUCCACAAAAGCAUAAGUGACAAAACAACCAACUGGAUUCUUUUAUUAAUCAACAAAUUGUAUAGUCUUUUUCAAAUUGUUAUAAAUUGGUGGCCCCUACAAUCCUCAAUAAUUGUACCGAAAUUCACAAGUUGGUGGGCCCUACAAUUCUGUUCCGAUAAUUUAACUGUGCAAGUGCUCAUUCACAAUCUUCCAGGUCAUGCUCUUAACAAUUGUUUUUUCUUUUCUGCACGCCCUUUCAUGCUCUUAAUAAUUGAAGAGCAUACUUUUCAAAUGUGAAGCCGCAUCUAAUGUCGCUAAUUUAAUUUGGGAUUAAAUUACGGGACUAUUAUAUUGCAGUGUGCACUAAUUUUUAUGUUUAUCUAAACUCUUCAAAUUUAAAACAUAUUAUGGCAUAAAUAAGAAUGUAACAAUAACAAAAGAGUAAGAAAGUGUAGAGAAAAUCUUGCAGAAAUAUAAAUAAUAUUUAUUUUUAAAAUAAUAUUAAUAUUUAAAAUAAUUUUUAAUAUUUUAUGGUCCAUUAGAUAUAUUUUAUUAUAUUAAAAUAAAUUUUAUAAUAAAUAAAAACAUACUAUUAAAAUGAAUAUAUAUAGAAAAUUUAGAGUAUUUUAAGUAUUAUAUAAAAUAAUUUUAAUAAAAUAUGUGAGAUAUUCAUAUUUUAUUAAUUUAAGAUACCAUUUAACCUAAAGAUUUAUUUAUGAUAAAUUAAUAAUUAUAUUUUUGAAAUUACUUCAAAUAUUAAAAAAAUUAAUAUUACUAAUAUAUUAGAUAGAUUAAAUUAUAUAUAUUAUUUUUACUUAUUAAAAAAAUUUUAAAAUUAUUUUUAAUUACUAUUCAAAAAACGUAUUCAAAAAACAUAAUGAUAAAAAAAUCUUAACAUCUUUAUUAAAAAAUUAAAAACUUAUAUGAUAAAUUCUCUAAAUAUUUACGGUAUAUGUGAACCACGGUGGAUAAGCUUUAUUUAAUAUUAUUGAUUUAAAUAAUAUGUCAAUUAAAAAUGUACAGAGAAGAAAUUUCGGUGGGUAUUUUAGUCUUUUAAGCAAUUAUCAUGAUCAGAUCAGCCUUUAGCCUUCAAACGUCGGUCAGAAAAGUUUUAAAAUUAAUGCUAAAUUGUUUUUCACUUUUAACGUUGGUGGCCUUGAAAUUGCUUGUAUUUUAUUAAAAAUUAAUGCUAACAAGAAAAAGCUAGGUCAUAUUCCACAAAAUCAAAAGUGACAAAACAACCAGCUGGUUUCUUUUACUAAACUACAAAUUAAAAUAAAUUUUUUCGAUAAAUUACAAAUUAAAGUGGAUUCUUUUGAAUACAAAUGGGACAGACGAUUAGGCUCUUUUUAUUAGAGGCAAGUAAAAACUAGUCAAGAAUCGAACAGUCUUUUUCCAAUUCUUGUUUUAUUAUUUUUCAAAACUAGUUUUUGGUAAUUACAACCGGGUCAUUAAUCAUUAUUCAGAGUUACUGUUAUCUUCGGGGGCAGUGGGUAAAAGAUAAUUACUAACUGUUUUUCCUUCAAAAGUUAGCGGCUCAUGUUUGCAAGUGUGAAUGUGCGAUGCUCUUUUCUUAAAGGCCAUUACAGUGGGGCCCGAAUCAGACGUGCCUAAAUCUUUUUAAAAUUUUUGCCGUAUAACGAACAGAGGUCAUUACUAAAAUUUCUCUUCCACAGCCUACAGCAGCUUCAGUUUAUCAAACUCCAUCAAUUUUCUUUCUUAACAAAAUUCCAAAGAUGUGUAGCAUUUUUCAGAUCACAUGCGAUGGUGCUCUUUUCAAUCGUUGCUUGGAUUGCUUUCUUGGAAAAGCAGCAUACAUACGUAACCUCCAAGAUAAUCUUGAUGCCUUGGACACUGAACUGGGAAGACUAAUCGCUAAAAAGAACGAUGUGAUGAGGAGGGUUGUCGACGCUGAACGACAACAAAUGAGAAGGCUGGACGGAGUGCAAGUGUGGGUUUCGAGGGUGGAUGCUGUUAAAACUGGAGCCGAUGAACUUAUCACAGACGGCUCUGAAGAAAUUGGCAAAUUAUGUGUUGGAGGCUACUGUUCCAAGAACUGCAGGUCAAGCUACAAGUUCGGAAAACAAGUGGCUAAAAAGCUACAAGAUGUGAAGACUUUAAUCGCCGAGGGAGUUUUUGAGGCGGUGGCUACUGAGGUGGUGCCCGAGAGAGCUCCGGAACCUGUAGCAGAUAAAAGACCCAUUGAGCCAACAAUAGUAGGCUUGCAAUCACAGCUUGAACAAGUUUGGAGAUGUCUUGUAGAAGAAUCAGUGGGAAUCAUUGGCCUAUAUGGUAUGGGCGGUGUUGGUAAAACCACACUAUUGACCCGUAUCAACAAUAAAUUUCUUGAGAGUCAAAACAACUUUGAUUGUGUGAUUUGGGUCGUAGUUUCAAAAGACCUGCGGCUUGAAAAAAUUCAAGACGAUAUUGGGAAGAAGAUAGGUCUGUCUGAUGAUUCAUGGAAGAAUAAAAGUUUUGAAGAGAAAGCUGUGGACAUCCUGCGGAGAUUAGGAGAGAAGAGAUUUGUAUUGUUGUUAGAUGAUUUAUGGGAGCGGGUUGAUUUAACAAAAGUGGGCGUUCCACUUCCCAGCGCACAAAAUACUACCUCAAAAGUCGUAUUCACAACCCGUUCCAUUGGUGUUUGUGGCAGCAUGAGAGCUAGGCCGGUUAAAGUGGCAUGCCUAUCAGAAAAGCAAGCUUGGGAACUGUUCCGCGAAAAUGUUGGGGAAGAAACUCUUGAGAGUGAUCAUGAGAUCGUUGAGCUAGCCCAAACUGUGGCCAAAGAGUGUGGUGGUUUGCCACUCGCACUUAUUACUAUUGGUCGAGCUAUGGCCUUCAAAAAGACAGCCGAGGAGUGGAGUCAUGCAAUUGAUGUGCUAAGAACAUCAGCUUCUGAGUUUGCAGGUUUGGGAGAGAAGGUGUAUCGUCUUUUAAAGUUUAGCUAUGAUAGUUUGCAGAAUGAGACCAUUAGAUCUUGUUUCUUAUAUUGUUGUUUAUAUCCCGAGGAUUAUGGCAUUCUUAAAUGGGACUUGAUUGAUUGUUGGAUUGGUGAGGGAUUCUUGGAGGAAUCUGACAGGUUUAGUGCAGAAAACCAAGGAUACUACAUUGUGGGCACUCUUGUUCAUGCGUGUUUGCUAGAAGAGAUGGAAGAUGAUAAAGUAAAAAUGCAUGACGUUGUUCGUGAUAUGGCUCUAUGGAUAGCUUGUGAAAUUGAGAAGGAGAAGAGAAACUUUUUGGUUUGUGCAGGUGCUGGAUUAAAAGAGGCACCGGAUGUUAAAGGAUGGGAAAAUGUGAGAAGAUUGUCAUUGAUGCAAAACCAAAUUAAAACUCUGUCAGAGGUUCCCACAUGCCCUCAUCUCCAUACUUUAUUUCUUGCCUCUAAUAUGGAGUUGGAGAUGAUCGCGGAUGGCUUCUUCCAAUUUAUGCCUUCUCUCAAAGUUUUGAAGAUGUCACGCUGCUGGAAUUUUCAAUUACCUGUUGGGAUGUCAGAUUUGGGUUCAUCACUAGAACUUCUUGAUAUUUCACAUACCACCAUAAGAGAGUUACCCGAAGAGUUAAAGUUGCUGGUAAAUCUGAAAUGUUUGAAUUUGAGGUGGACAGGUGCGUUAAUUAGAAUUCCACGGGGACUAAUAUCAAAAUUUUCAAGGUUACGUGUGUUGAGAAUGUUGGGUACUGGCGGGUUCAUUUUUUAUGAAGCACCAGAAGACAGCGUUUUAUUUGGUGGGGGUGAAGUUUUGAUACAGGAAUUGCUCGGUUUGAAAUAUUUAGAGGUAUUGGAGUUGACCUUGGGAAGUUAUCAUGCUCUCCAAAUUCUUUUGAGCUCAAAUAAGUUAAAAAGUUGUAUUCGAUCUCUUUACCUCUAUUUGACCGGAGAUAAAAAGUCGAUUAUUGAUGCUACGGCUUUCACAGACCUAAACCACCUCAAUGAAUUAUGGAUUGAUAAUGGAAUUGAGUUGGAAGAAUUGAAGAUUGAUUAUACGGAGAUAGUACGAAAAAGGCGGGAACCUUUUGUUUUCCACAGCCUUCACCUUGUUACGAUAUAUAGUUGCCAUAAAUUGAAAGAUUCGACAUUCCUCGCUUUUGCUCCAAACCUCAAGUCUCUUUCGCUAUUCAAAUGCCGUGCUAUGGAAGAAAUAAUCAGCGUCGGAAAAAUUGCUGAGAAUCCUGAGAUGAUGGGACAUANNNNNNNNNNNNNNNNNNNNNNNNNNNNNNNNNNNNNNNNNNNNNNNNNNNNNNNNNNNNNNNNNNNNNNNNNNNNNNNNNNNNNNNNNNNNNNNNNNNNNNNNNNNNNNNNNNNNNNNNNNNNNNNNNNNNNNNNNNNNNNNNNNNNNNNNNNNNNNNNNNNNNNNNNNNNNNNNNNNNNNNNNNNNNNNNNNNNNNNNNNNNNNNNNNNNNNNNNNNNNNNNNNNNNNNNNNNNNNNNNNNNNNNNNNNNNNNNNNNNNNNNNNNNNNNNNNNNNNNNNNNNNNNNNNNNNNNNNNNNNNNNNNNNNNNNNNNNNNNNNNNNNNNNNNNNNNNNNNNNNNNNNNNNNNNNCACUGUUUUUAUUUCAGUCUCUCUCUCUCUCUUUGUCUCUGCUAAUCACAAUUAAAUGUGAAUUAAUGGAAUUAAUGCUUCAUAAAUUUGCCGGCACUGCCAUUACUUUUUUUUUUUUAAUACAAAUUGAUACUUUAUUUAUAUCUUCUUAGCGAUUUAAUUUCCUGUCAAUUGACGAACGAGAAGAACAUAUGACUUGAACCAAUGCUCGCAUAAACUUGCUGUAAAAAGAUAUAAUCUCACUGAAAUGCACACGCCUAGAAUGAAUAGAAUUAAAACAGGGAAAAUAUUAAGUAUAUUAGCCCUCUUUACCGAAAAUCAAAUGACAAUAAAUUUUUUGAAGUUUUGAUUUUCUAUGGUCAAUUCCACCUUUUGCAAUUUCUUCUGUUCUAACAAAAACCAAUUUCUUUGUUCAAGUAUUUUCGUUUGGGUAUUAAUAAUUCUCCACCGAAAGAGUGAACUCUUGCUCAAGGGAUCUCUAAUCAAUAGCCGGAAGGGCGCCGAGACCUGAUCGGACCUAGGCCCAAGUUUGGUCUUAAAGCCUGGGCUUGAGCCUGGCAAUUAAAUUAAAACAGUAAUUGAUUUCUUGAAUGAAUUGUCGUGUAAUUGAUUUAUGGGGGAUGACACAUCAACAUACUUGAAAAUACACUAAUCUCAGCAUCAUCCGUUAAUAACUUUUAGAUUUAUGGGCAAUCAAUAGUUAAAUUAGUUGUCAUUAAUACUAAAUAAUUUUUACUUUUUUUGUCUCUUCUAGAGGAUCUUCUAGAAAAAUGCAUCCACAAUUAAAUUUAAUACUUUACAUAAUAAAGAAAGCAUAAAUGUUAAAUUUAAGAAACUGCAUUGUAUUUCAGCUGAAGUUGACUUUAAUAUUUAGGGUAGAAAAAAAUUAAAUCCUUAAUGUGUUUAAUUUAUAUCACUUGUGUCAUUAAAAUUUUCUAGUCACCCUAACCAAUUACAUCUCAACCCACUUUUUUUUGGAUGAUUUUAUUUUUAUACUAUUAUUUUCAACAUUUUUUUUUCCUUUUAACACCAACAUUAGUGUAUGUUACGUAACAUAAUCCAUAUUUGGAUAAUUUGAAAUUUGUUUGUGUUUUAUCUCAAAAUAGAGCUUCAAUCAAUUUGUACCUCAUAAAUUCACAAUAUCUGGCAGGGCUAAUAAGACCAAACUCUGGCAUAUUAUCAAAUGUGCUUAUCCUUUUGCUUGACAUGUCAUUUUAAAAUUGUCAUUCAAUGCCAAAAAAAUCACAUCAACUGAUGGCCGACUACUUUAAUUUGAAAGCAUGCAUGCGAUCGCCACCAAUAAUUAUAACUUAAUUGUUAUAUUGAAAUUUUUUUCUUUAUAAUUUUUAAGUUUAAUACUGCUACAUGUGCGGCACAUAAGUUGGAAAAUAUAACAUAAAAUUUGAAAAAUGUGUAGUUUUCGUUCCUUUUUUUUCUUAAAAAUGGGGAAAAAGAAUGUAAUUUUGUUUAAAUUACUGUUGUGAUAACAAUUAUUAUUUUAUUGAUUAAUUGGCAGAGAAUCGUUAUGGUUUCGCAUGGUUGUUAAAACAUUGGAAAAUCCACUACAUCAUCCGAUAAUAACUUUCAGAUUUAUGGUUAAUCAAUAGUUGAGAUUUGUUAUCAUUAAUGUUAAAUAUUUUUUUAAUAUUUUUUCUCUCUCCUAGAGGAUCAUCCACAGUUAAAAUUUAAUAUUAUAAAUAGUAAACAAAGUAUAAACGUUAAAUCGAAGAAACUGCAUUGCAUUUCAGCUGAAGCUAACUUUAAUAUUUAACAGAGAAAAGUAAUUAAGUCCUUAAUGUGCUUUAUUUACCCAUAUAUAUGGCUAAUUUUUUAAGAUAAAGGGGAAGGAUGAUGCUCAAAAAUAUAAAUUAUAGAAUUAAUUGAGCUCUCAAGUAAGUUUAAAGUUCAUUAUUUUUAAUUACAUGUUUAUAAUUUAUUUUUAUUUCGUAUUAAUCUAUAGAUCUAAAUCCACUUUGGAUUCAUAUACAUAUAUAGACAUAAUGUGUAUGUUAAUCUAUAGGUCUAAAUUCACUUUAGGUCUAUAUAGGUAUUUUGACAAAUGUACUCCAAUCAUAUUGGCAAGUUCUAACUACUAUAUUGGUAUGUCAAUAUUAUCUCUAAUUGCCCUAUACAUUCAGAAAUAAUCUAGAUAUACAAAUUAACAUAAAAUAAAAAUAAUUGGUAGAAAAUAUAAAUUAUAAACAUGUAAUUGAAAACGAUAAACUUUAAAUUUACUUAAGAGAGUAAUUAAUUUCAUAGUUAAAAUCUUUAAAUUUUACCCCUCAUCUUAACUUAAGAAAAUUAAUCACUUAUUUUAUUUAACAAAGAAGAGAUUUUUUUCCCCUAUAUUUCCCAAUUAUUUCUCUCCCUCUCGCUCCCGUAAGUUAUACAACUUGAAGUGAAAUAUGAGUGGUCUGAUUCUAGCUUAAAUAAUUUAUUGUGACAUGCUAUCUAAGGACAAUACAUUACCUAGCUCUACAUAUUUUAUUUAACCUCCGGCUCACCCUGUGCAAACUUGCCUUCCCCUACAAGACAAGAUUAAUCAAUCUAUCAAGUCUCAAAUUCAAUUUGGAAUAUGACCAUCGUACGUUCUUGUUCUUCCCUCUUUACGAGUGCAUUCCCCCCAACCUCAAGCUCCCUCUCUCGUCUUCAAUGUCACUGCCUAUAUCCUUGUGUUGUUCUAGUUUGAAAUAGUGGCUUCCACAAUUUCAGGGCCCCCAAAAAUCCAGAAACAUAGUAUUCAUCACGAUGACAAAUUUUUUGGCAGGCAGGUGCUUCCUGACUUUCACACGGUAAUUCUCAAAUUCUGAUUUCACCAUAUUUUAAUUACUGAUUAGCAUAUAUUCAAGUGCUCUCCAUUAUAAUAGAAGCCGCCGCCUCACUCGUGAUUCCAAACUUUAUCUUUUUUCCUUUUUUAAAUUAAUGCAAGUAGCCGCUGUCCUUUUUAUUAAUUAAUUAAUUAAUUCGGCCGCCCACAUUUCUUUUCCUAAUGUCUUCUACUGUCGAUUUUCUUUUAUUUUCUUUUUAUUCUUAAAAUAUGCUUAUAAUAAUAAAAUAUAAAAAUUAAAAUUAACAUAUCAAAAUAUAAUUUAACAGAAAAUUAAGAUAAAAAUAAAAAAAAUAAAUUAUGAGCAUAUCAAUCAAUAAAUGAAAAAUAAUAAUUUUUAUUUUUAUUAAAUAUAUAUUUUUCAGUAUUAAUCAAUUAUUUGAAUAAAUAAAAUCAUUUAAAAAUAAAUAAAUAAAUUAUUCUUAAAAAAAAAGAAACUUUUUAUAACACUCACUAUGCUGGUUGUAGGGUAGACGCUUUGGGAACUGAAGCCGGUAACUUCUACAAGUAGUCUGAAGUUGACUGGCAACAACUAUAUUGACAUUUAGACAUAAUGUACUCCAACCGUAUUGGUAUGUUUAAAUGUUCUUACUAUUGUAUUGGUGUGUCAAUAUUAUCUCUAACUGCCCUAUAGAUAAAAAAAUAAUCUAAAUUUAUAAUUUAACAUAAAAUAAAAUAAUUGGUAGAAAAAUAAUUAUGGUUCAUUUACUUAUCAGUAAUCAGAAUAGACUAAAAUCGAAAUGAGUUGUAUUACCGUUGAUGUGUUUAUGUUGUCCUGGAAUCGGAAUGAAUUAUUUUAAGUUACUAAAAUAUCCUUGGUUUGUUAUUCUAAUUAUUAUUUAAUAUUUAUUAUAAUAUUUGUCAUAUCAUUAAAAAGAAAUAAUAAUGAUGAUAAUAUUAUCAUUAUUGUUUGUUACAUUAUUAUUAUUCAAAAAAAUUAUUGUUAAUAAUAAUAAUUUUUUUAUUUCAAUAAUAAUAAUGAUAAAAUUAAUAAUAAAAAACAUGACAACAACAAUAAUUAUUUAUUAUGCCAAAAAAUAACAAUAAUAAUAAGAAUAAUAAUCAUCAUCAUUUUUUUGCCAAAGAAAUCAUCAAACCAGACAAGAAAUCAUCAAAAAUUGCUAUUUCAAUUUAGGAAGAAGUUCUUUCGGUGUGCUAGCGAUGGGAGAUGUUGUGGCUGCGAUUCGGGGAGCUAAUAGUUUAUUGCACUAAUAACGGCAGGUGCUGCUGCUUGAUGCGAGGUCCAUGGCCAGUUGUCAGCAGUUCGACUUUGGCAUGGGCGCUGCUGGUUCGAUUUUAGGUGUUGUCUAAUUUCAUUUUCAGGAUUUUAAUUUUAUUUUUUUCUUUUAUAUUUUCAUUAAUUAAUCAGGGCAAAGUUUGAUUUUAGAAUUUGGAAUGAAGGUAAUUUUGUUAAUCAUGGAAAUGAGAUUUUGAUUGUCGAGAAUGAACUUACACAAGCAACUGCAAAUUAAGUGAAAACAAAACGCUUUUUCUCUUUGUGUGAUUAAAACAUGAAAUAUACCAUAAAUAAAUAGGUAAAAAUUAAAUCAACACAAUCCAAAACAGUAAACCAAUUAUAAGAGGCACAAAUUUUUAUGUGAAAUACCGAAAACGGAAAAAACCACAACAUGUUAGUAUGAUAUAAUCUUCUACUAUAUUAAUGGGAUUAUAACACAAAUUCUUCCCUAUAUUACACUAGAGAUUAACAACAUCAAGAAUCUCAAUAAUCUUAACUUACAAUACAACCUAAUAUAUGUCUCUCUAAUAAAUAGAUAUCUAAAAUAACAAUCUCUAAUAAGUAAGUAUCUCAAAUAACAGUCUCUAAUAAGUAGGUAUCUCAAAUAAUAGUUAAUAAGAGGAUAAAACAAAAAUUAAGAUUAGUAGGAUGUGUAUAAGGCGAUGCUAUCAACUUAUCUUCUAAAUUUGAGAAAAAUAGUUAAAUUCACUUUUUUGAUUGUCCGACCAAAGAUGGAAACCUUGCCCCAAAACCAAAGGAGUCACCAUUGUGUUUCUCUCUCUCUCUCUCUCUCUCGUUCUUUUCUUCUACUUUUCUUAAUGUUAGCCGCCACUUGCUUUUAUUCUUUAUAGCAUUUAAAAAGUUACUUUUAAUGGUAAAUUUCAUCUAAGUCCAAAACUUAGUGAUAAUUGCACACUAAACAAUCCUUUUUGGACUAUAGACUUUUGGACCUCCAAAUGAGACGAAUACAACAAAUCUCCCCUUUUAGAUCAUGUAGGAGGCACCACAAGCCCACUCUCUGCAUAUAGCUUUUUAACUUCUCCUUGAAUAAUGACUUUGUCAUCAUACAUAACUCAUUCUCCGUUGUGUAAAUCUUCUCAAGCUAUAACCGUUCUUUCUCAAACACGUCUCGUAUCUAAUAAUACUUCACAUCAAUUUGCUUAGAUUUCGAAUGAUAUAUCAAAUUCUUUGAACGACACUCUGAUUUUCGCAGUACAUAAUAUAGUUGUCUCAUUUUAUACCUAGCUCUUGUAGGAAAUUCUUCGUCCACAGUAUUUUUUUGCAACCUUCAAUAAUUGUAAUAUCAUUUGCUUUAGUAGUAGAAAAGACAACUUAUUACUAAAGUUUAGAUUACGAUGAGACUGCUCCUCCUGCAAAAGUGAGCAAACAUUCUAGUAGGAAUUUUUCGGAAUCAACAUCUCCUACCAUAUCUAUACACUUGUAACACAGGUUUGUCACCACCAAAAUAUAAACAUGCUCUGGAAAUGCCUCUAAGAUAUCUGAGAAUUUUUCACUAUUGUCCAGUGCUCUUUACCGGGAUUGAAGAGAAACCACUAACUACACUAGUUGUAUAAGUAAUAUCUGGUCUUGUACAAAUUAUGGCGCACACCAAACUGCCAACUGCUGAAGCAUAAGGAACUCCUCUCAUGGAGAAAUGGGUUUUGCUCUUGAGAUUUUUGGGAACAUGAAGAAUAAAUAUGUAAUUUCUUGGACUGCCAUUGUUUCGAGGUAUAUAAACAGAGGACAAGUCUAUAUAGGUCGACAGUGGUUUGCUCAGAUGCCAGAACGAGAUUAUGUCUUAUGGACUGCCAUGAUUGAUGGGUACCUUCGAGUGAAUAGGUUCAAAGAGGCUUUGACGCUUUUUCAGGAGAUGCAAACUUCAAAUAUAAUGGGAGACGAGUUUACCAUUGUUAGCAUUCUUACAGCUCGUGCGAAUCUGGAAGCACUAGAUCUGGGAGAAUGGAUAAAGACUUAUGUUGAGUGUUAGAAAAUGCAUAUUUAUAAAGGAGAAAACCAUCAUUUUACAUUUCAAGUCUUACUAACAACCCUUACUUUUAUGUAUUUAACCUUCUUGUGAUUUAAUUACAUGUGUUUUAUUUUAAUUAAGUAUUUUAUGUAUUUUAGGGACAUUAUAGUCAUUUCACAAUAAAGGAGAGAUCAGACGGCAAAACAGACAUCACUUUUGAACUCAGGACGGUCAAAAACCUUAGGAGGAGCAUAAAAGGAAAAAUGGCACUAUUCACAUGUACGGUACUAUUCACGUGUACGGUACUGUCCACGUUACUGUUCACGAUACUGUUCACAUAGACAGAUCGAUGACGUGGCAUUGACUGAUGAGGUGUCACGAUCCUGUUGGGCUAAAAUUCUUAUGUACUGUUGAUGGUGACGUGGCAGCAUAUCAAUGGACGAAAAAUCUCGCAUACAGUACAUGCAUCACACAGGAUUAUUGUCAACCAAAUCGCGUUACUGUUCAUCCGGGUCAAACCGUGUUACUGUUCAUCCACGUAGUCAAACCGCGUACUGUUGACUGAUGACGUGGCGCAAUCCUGAGCGUCCAAACUGUUUUUAAUCCGAUGGCCAUGAUUUACUCCAUGUAUCUAUAAAAAGGGGGCCUCCCCCCCUAAUUUGACAACUCUGAAUCUAUUUUGGGAUCCAUUUUCUAUAAUUCCCUCUCCAUCUUGUAUUUUCUACGUAUUUUAAUAAAUUUCCAUUUUACCCUUAGUUCAAUUAUGAGUGGCUAAUUUCCUUUCAAGCUUGGGUUGAAGGUGAAGUCUCAACAUGUGUCAUGGGCUUUAUUUGGUAAAUUUAUUUUCUUUUCCCCUCUAGUUUUUGUGGAUGAUUUGACUUUUCGUCGACAAAUAAUAUUGAUCUUGUCUAGAUACCACCUUGGUUACACCGGCUCUCUAGUACAAGGUUAUUAUUAUUUGGCACGAUAAGCCCUUAGCACCAUAUUGAUUAGAGCGUGGUUCAUGAGGUGUGGAUUCCCCCCUCAUGAUUUAAUUGGCAUUAAUAAGGAUUAUAUAGCCCAUGAUGCAUGUUGAUACGGAUCUGGAUACCCAAGUGCUUCAUUUCAAUAGAUCUAUCUUCAAUUUCUUCUCGCCAUUUUAAUUUAAGUUUUAGAAUAUUCCAAAUCAUUUCCACCACAAAUCCAAUCCCCGAUUCACAAAAUUAAUUCUAUACACAAUUAAAAUCCACAUCCUCGUGGGAUCGACACUCGUCACCAUUAGUCUAUACUACAAUAGAUUCGUGCGCUUGCGAGUACAUUAAAAUUUACACAACAACUUAUAUUGACAAAAACAAAGUCAAGAAUGAUGUAUUUGCGGGGAAUGCUUUGAUAGACAUGUACUGUAAAUGCCGAGAUGUUGAGAAAGCUCAAAAGGUAUUCAGGAAGAUGCUUUGAAAGGACAAAUUCUCAUGGACGACCAUGAUUGUUGGCCUUGCCAUCAGUGGCAAUGGUGAUAAAGCUCUUGAUAUGUUUUCCCAAAUGCUUAGGGCUUCGAUCAAACCGGAUGAGGUAGCUUAUGUUGGUGUUCUGUCUGCCUGUACUAACAAUGGUAACGAAACUUUUGUGAUAAAUAGUUGCAACUUAAGGUGAGAAUUGGAGGAAAGGAAAUAGACUGAAGUUGUUCAAUCAUCGGUCGUCUCUAUUUGGUUUUCUCCGAUAUCUCAUCUUCAGUUUUGACUCAGAUUCUAUCUUACCACUUAGGGGUGGGCAAAAUCGGGUUCGGGUCAACCCGAUCGGGUUUCGGGUUGUUCGGGUUAGACAAGGAACAAUCCGAACAUAACCCGAAUUAAUGACCCGACCCGAACUUAGUUCGGGUCGGGUCAUUAAUUCGGGUUAUGUUCGGGUUGGAUUUAAAAUGGGUAGGAUUGAGUUCGGGUCAAUUUGGGUUAGUUCGGGUCAAUUCGGGUCAGUUCGGGUCAAUUCGGGUCAAUUCGGGUCGGUUGAAAUCGGGUCAGUUCGGGUCAAUUCAGGUCAGUUCGGGUCGGUUGAAAUCAGGUCAAUUCAAGUCAGUACGUUUUUUUUUUUUAAGAACCCGAUCGGGUAUUCGGGUCGGGUCGGGUUUGACCCGAACCGAUCACAACCCGAUCGGGUUUGUAAAUUUCAAACCGAUCGGGUUUCGAUCCCGACCCGAUCCGACCCGAACCCGAAAUUUAUCGGGUCGGGUCGGGUCGGGUAAAAUGCCCACCCCUAUUAAUACCACUAGUAAUUACAUAGACUUGCUGCCAAAGGUAAGAAUGAGAAUAAAUUAAAUAGAUUAUGUCGAAAACGAAAUAAAUUUACCAUUGUUCUGUUCAUUCUAUUUGUUUCCUACAGAAUAUUUCUCCAGCCUAAAAUUUUUUGAAUUAGUAAGUUUUUAUCUUAUGCAAGAAUUGUGCUGAGAGUAAUUCCAUUUCUCAGUCUCUUUAUGUUUCAAUGAAGACGUAAAACUUGUGUUCUAGUGCACCAAUGUUUAUGCUUCUUACAAUUUGACUUUAAUUUAGUUUGUAAAACUUUUGUCAAAAAGUACUAAAAAGUAGUGCACCAAACACAAACUUUAUUACAGAGAGGACUUCAGUUAAAUUUUAAGAAAACACUCAAAAGAACGAGUUAUAAAUUAUUAUCGAAAUAUUUCACAUAAAUAAAAGCCAUCCCAUGCUGCAAAGAUCUUGCUAUAAUCACCAAAAACUAUCGGGAGCUUUUAGGGUUUCCAUAAAAAUGUCAUUUCGUUCCAAAAGUCAAUGGUGGGUAGAAAGUGGUGCAAAUGAGACUCAUUGUUAAUGGUAUAAGUUUUUGCUUAAUUAUGUCUUCCCCAAAAUGAUGAUUUAAUUUCCAUUCUCAAUUAAUUUUCAAGUUUCAACACUUUUCUAUGUAGCAUGACAUUGGAAAGAUCUUGUACAGUUGUACUACUAAAAGCUAGCACCACACGUUAGUUAUUGUUAAGUUCUUUUUCAACGUGAAAUAAAGGAAGUAGUCCUUCGUUAAAACCAUUAUAGCCAAAUUUCACGUAAUUGGACAUUUACAGACUUUUAUUUCAAGUUGGAUUUUGGUCCAACAUUUCAAAGUUGGCCCAAUUAUUUUUGUCUGGUCAAGUCCUUCGCAGCUAAGCCCCUCAAUGAAUGAGGGUGAGAUUGCUAAAAAUUACGACAGGUGAUAUUUUAUUAUUAUUAUUUGUUUGAGGGAAAAAAUAGGAAAAGCAAUAGAGCGCCACGUGUCAACCAAUGGAAUGAUUCCUGCACAAUCUAAGGUACCCCACACAAUCCGAGGUACCCCAUAUAAUAUGAGGUACCCCACACAAAUAGGGGUACCCCGCGUAAUAGGAGGUACCCCAUGUAACUCGAGGUACUCGGCAAAGCGGAUGCAAGAGAAUCCUCCGAAAAUAUCCGCCAUGAGAAACGUCUCCGCCUCCUAAAAGAUAUUAUUCAAUUUUGUCAGAAUUAUGAAUAAAAAACGACGCCCUAAAAGGAGGGACAGUCGCCUGCGACCUCUGCCAAAAGUGAAGGACACUGUCCCAAGGACAGUGGUCCCCAACGCCUACCCGACAGCUACUGCAAAGGUACCCUGGACCACUCUCCAGCGCGCGCCACGUUUCCAAAAGAUGAGAUACGCCGCGAACGUGCAGAUAACUGCCCAAAAAUUAUAAAGAGGUAAAAGGACGUUAGUAAAAAAGGGUAUGCCAUGUGGCAGCUGAGGUACUCCAUAUAUAAAGGCGCCUAGGUUUCAUUCUCCAUCAUGUUCUCACUCACCAUUAACACUCGCACUCCAAAAAAUAGGUUUUCUUCAACCUUAAACCCUAAUUUACAGAGGGUUAGUCAGCUCUCUUUACCAUAAAAGCUUGAGUUUGCUAACUUGAGCGUCGAAGUGUGAACGCCGGGGUACCCCGGCUUCACCUCUAACCUCUAUUUCACUGUUUUGCAGGCGUGAAGCUCAUUUGGAAGGACACAUCUCUUAGUUCUAAACCUUUCACCAUUGUUACCACUCUCUCUCCCUUUCUCACCUCCCCUGGAUUUCAGAUACACCACACCGCACACAAUAAACUAGUGAGGUACCCCGUCUCCCAUAAAAAUACAAAUUCAUUGUUCUAGAUAGAUUUGGCUUUUUUUACCCCAAAAUCUGUUGAAAACACUAUUUUUAAUUUUGGGGGAUAAAUCCUCACCAAAGUGAGGAGAUUUUAUCAAAAUCAAAAUAAAAAUAUAACAAGAACUGAAAGUCGGGCAGCCUAAAAGCUAGAUGAACUAAAAGUCAGGCGCCUAAAAACAACCUUAUGCAAAAGAGAAGCAACAUGAGACCGAUCAAGUAAAAGAAUCCACCGCAACACCUAAAUUGGCCAAAUUAUCUGUUGGUAUUACAAGUUUCUUGUUAUAAAAGUGUAGAAUGAAGUAGGUGACAGUAGUUUUAAGUUACAGCUGCAUGCCUAAUCGCAAUAUCAAAUAAUGAUUAAAUAUCAAAUAAUGCUUAAAGUAGUUGCCUAGGCCCGCCACAAUUUAUAUUAACUCUUAAAUUUAUAAAUAAUUAAAUUUUUAAAAGUUUGGAUUUAUAUUAAAAAAUCUUCAUAUAAAUAAAUAAUAUAUGCACUUUUACAACACAGUCUUUAAAUUUAAAUUUUUCUAGAAAAAUCUUCUGUAUAUCUUUUCUAUUAAAAAAUUUCCAUAUAAAUAAAUAAUAUACCUAAUUUAAUUGGACCCAGCACAUCGCAUAUGCAUAGAACACAUUCCACAAAGCCAUGCUAUUCGGAAAUUGACGAAUGAAAAGUGAGGAGGCAGCAGUCAAUGCUAUUUGGGCUUGGCCCAAAAUUGAUUUAUCAGGUUGACGUUUGCCAGGAAUGAAGAACUGGAAUAUCACCGUCAAGCAAGCAACCUGUGGAGCAAUACCAUAGAAUGCACAAUCCAGCUUUGCAAGGUGACACUGGAGGCUUUUUGAAAAGUGCUUCACGCUCACUUGCACAGAUUGAGCAUCCCCUCUGGAUAUUGCCCUCUCUGAUCGAGUCUGAGCACUCAAAUUUCGGUCCUCAGAUGGAGCUACAGCUUUCUCUCCAAUAACCAACAAUUUUCUAAACUCAGCACCUAGUGUGAUCAGAGUUGUUGAUAUUUGUAAAUGGAGAUCCCUGUAUUUGCAAAUGGAGACAUUUACCAAAUCACCAACAUGCUUCAUCCAGUCUACGAAAUUCUGCAGCUGAUUCAAAUCCGGAACCUGAACCAGAGUCGGAGGUAAAUCUUGAGCCAUGUCUAAAGCAGUCUGAAGUUCAAGUACUUGAGCCCUUGACAAAGGUUUUGAAAUUGGAACAUCUUGGAUUACUGCAGACUUGUACCCCUUGGUUUCAAAGGUAAGGAAAGGCAUUGCUUGAGUACAAUUUGGAGGCAGCUUCUUCACCAAUUUUAUUUGGAGGCAAUUGGCAGCGGAUCCAGCUGCACCAAUUUCAGAGCAAAUACUGACACUACUUCAAACAGCACGCUGAAGAAGAGAUAUGUCUAUGGCAAAGGCAAUGCAGUCCUCAAUUUGACUUGAGAUGCGGUAAUCACCAAAGAGAGUUUCCUUAUGAAACUGGGCAACACAUUGAAUCCCUUCACCACUGAGAAGGUUGGGGAGGAAGUAAGCUUUCUCUCUCGUAAGGAAGAGGUGGCAUACCUUCCCCAUUUUGUCUAGGACAGGUAGGAAUCUUUUUUCUAAGAGAUUUACUCCAUUCUCUGUGAGAAAUGCUUUGAACUUCAUCCCUCUGUCUCUAGCCUCACUUAUCAGUAAAAUAGUUGAAAGCGCUACAAGGAGAGAAAAGAAGAGUAUUAAGAUAUAUAUAGACAAGAAAAACAUUAGAUGUCGAUCUUACAAGCUAAUACUUCAAACAGUAUCCUAGAAAGCUAAAAACUGCAAAAUGGCUUGAAAUUUGAAAAGAACACAUGCUUUUCCUCCUUAACUUGAGAAAAUGUUUAAUAUAGUGCACCUUACAGAAACAUUUAAACAAUUAGAACUUUGCACAAAAACAUUCAAGAAGACUAAACAAAUCAGAUGCAGUGUAUUUCUCCAAGCACAAAUGGCAUUGCAUUUUUUCCUCAACUGUAAUAUUUAUUGAUGAAAAUCAGUACAGGUCCCUCAUUUGUUAUGGAAAGCUUUCUUGUAGUCUGACCGGUUAAUUCACGGGUCUAUAAUCAUCUUGCAAAGUUACAGGCAUUUCUUUCGAUUUAAAGUCUUUGCAUCACCACCUCAUCACACACCAAGCCAAUAUUCCGUCUACCUCUACAACAAAAAGUUUUAAGUAAACGAUCCUAAUGCAUGCAGCCAAAUAAAAUGCAGUAAGAAUAUUCAACUUAAAACUCUGAAAGCCAUCUUGGUGAAUUGCCUCCUUAGGGGAAGUUCCAUGCUUUACUAUACUUGACAGGACUGAGCAAAAGCUUACAUACAACAGAUUUUGAAAAUGAUGAUGCCAAUAGAUACUCAUACAAUCCAUUGAAACUCCUAAGGUCCAUUGUUCACAGAGGUUUACAGAGUUUUGGUCAUCAAAUAGCUCAGACCUUAAUCCCAAACAAAAAACGAGUGAAAAUUAGAUCACCAGCAGCUAAUUGUAAAUUCUAACUUAACUCUUCAUCUCCUUUGUAAACAGGAGACAAAAUGGAGACACGCAAAAUGAAUAAGGAGAACAUUUGAACUCAAAUGAAAUGAGGGCACGAAAGCAAACAAAUGGCAUGCGCAAACAAACCAAGCCUCAAUCAAAAACUAAUUAACCAUUAAAAAAAAAAAAGUGGUCAGAGAAUGAACUCCAAAUUCGGGAGUGAAGCAAGAAGCUUUCAUUAUUUCAGAAGCUCCUGUACAAAUUAAUAAGUUAUGCUCUUUGGAAACAAACCUAAAUUCCAAGAGAAAGAGAACUCAAAAAAUUUGCAAUUAUACGCAAAGGAAGUGAAGCACAGCAUUCUAUCACACGUACAAAUUGUAUAACAAGAGAUCGACACAUCGAAUCAGAAGAACUCAAUUCAAAUUUGUCUCAAAAAUCAAAAUUAGAAGAUUUCACAUUUCGAGAGGAACAAGCGACAGGUCAGAUGCAAAAUUUUCAGCCACAACAUGCCACAAUUAACAGUUUAUUUCCAUGGAUUUAGAGAGCUGACUGACCUUUUGGCUUUUGGAAUUGAGAAGAUCGCGGGCCAAAAUGGAAGAGGGAAAGCGAAAGUGCGGGUUUUAAUAGGGUAUUGGAUUAGCAAAUUUAAUUAGUUUGCGAGGGUAAAAUAGGAAAGAGAUAUCACUAUUAACUUUUUUUUUUAUAAGAAAAAAGAAUAAUAAAGAAUAUUUUAUUGUCAUUUGCAGCCUGCAAAUGACAAUAAAUCAAAUACGUCAUACAGAAGCUUAAAGCUGAAUCUAAAAAAUCUAGAGCUCUCAACUACAAAAAUUACACUUGAUGAUCCUCUACAAGAUGAAGCUUGUUCAAUAUCUUAUCCAAAGUUUAUAAAGUAACCUUGUAACGAUCUUGAGAUUGCCUGCCUUCCUCGACGACCUGCACGAUGCGUUUGUACAAAUCAUCAUACCUGUGCACCGGAUUUUUAAUAUCAACGCCACUGCAGCUGUGAUCAAGAACAUAAGAGCGUUUAACAUCUUUUCUCCAUCGAGAAAGAAUGUAGUGAGAUGGGAUCUCCUGCAUGCCACUCUGGUUUAGAACACAAAGAAUGUGUCUGGAUAAAUAUCCUCUGAAAUUGAACAACCCACAAACACAAAGCACCUCCAAGUCGGAGGCAUUGUACAAAACAUCGAAAGCCCUUGAAUCUUUCUCGUUGCUACCAACCUCAAAUUCUUCCUUCACUAUGUAUGUUAUAGGUCCAUCAGCACUGACAUGUUUUGUGCUAUAGCAAGAGUACAUAGCCUCCACCUCCGUCUGAAACUUCCUUCACAUUUCAUUUGUGUACAGUUUUGAGAGUUGAAAUUCAUAGUCACAUCUUGGUUUCUGGAUACAACUUGAAUUUCUUGAAUCCAUAUCUGCCAAGGCUUCCGGUUGAUAAUUCGCCUGCAGUGCUUGAUCAUACUUGUGUAAGAAUUCUUUCAAAGGAGUACGCUUAUCAAGAUAUCCUUCAAAGUAUGAAGUAGAAACCUCAUUCUGCAGGAAUGAAAACACUCCUGAUAAAAAUGCUUCCUUCAAAUAAACAGGAGCCCACCUUUUACGAUCUUCAUAUAAAGUUUGAAUCCAUCCGUGAUCCUUUAUUCCAUGACGUUGAAUCAUGUCUUCCCAAGCUGCUUCAAAUUCCUCAGGCCUGAGAGAGUGAUAAAUUGCUCUAUGUAAUGCACCUCUAAUAGCUUCAUAUUCAAACAAUCCUUGGAGUUUCUCUGGAAUUUUUUGCAAGAUGCAUGACAAUGAAAAGCAAUGAUAAGCUCUUGGGAAAACAUCGCCAACAGCAAUUUGCAAGAUUCUACAUUGGUCAGUGAUGAUUGUUUGUGGAGAGCGUCCUAACAUACAUGUAAGCCACACCCUAAACAACCAUGUAUAUGAUUCUAUGGUCUCCCUGGCAAGUAAACCACAACCCAACAACACUGAUUGUCCAUGAUGAUUCACCCCAAUGAAUGAAACCAGUGGUACAUCAUAUCUUUCAGUCAAGCACGUAGUAUCAAUUAAGACUACAUCACCAAAGUACCUAUAUGCAACUCUUGACCUGGUAUCAGUCCAGAACAGGUUUCUCAAGCAUCCCUUUUCAUUUAGAUCCACUACAUUAAAAAAGUUUGGAUCUGUCAACUGCAAACGACAAAAGAAACUCUGGACAGCUUGUGCAUCUCCUGGUUUAAGCUUCAAUUGAUUUGAGCUAUUAACAUUAUUUCCAAAUACUCCAUUAACAUCUACAUUACCAUUUCCCUCGGUAUCGAUGAUAAGAGUUCGAAACAGUCUAAUUUUUUGAACGUCUUCAGCACUAUCUAAUUGCAAUGUUCUUUUGGUUCCAAUACCUAUGUGCUUAUGUGACUUGUAAAACUUUCCGCUUCUUGGGCUUAACAAGUGGUUAUGCUCAAGCUCGACUUCAAUGAUUCUCCACCUUUUGGUUUCCAUCAACCUAAACUUUAUCAUUGCUGGACAGCCAGUUCUUGUUUCUGGUCUUGGGCGGUUUGCCUCGCUUUUCUUCUUGAAGCCUGCACUACUACAGCUCAGCUUUCCUCUAUACUUUUCUCUACUCUUUCGGUACCAUGUAUUGCUAACUCUAACACCAAAACCCUGUUCCUUGGCAUAGCAAUUGUAAAAGUAAUAAACAUCAUCAUACGUCUCAAACUCCAUUCCAACAGCAGGAGCCAAUGGAUUUUGGAUUAUCCCAGUUUGUCCAACAUAUUCAGUCAUUGCACAAUCUCCUACGACCUCAAAAUCAUCAGCAUCAUCAUCACCUACUGGUUCAGUAUUCAGAGAAACUUCAUCCAUCUACAAUAGAUGUUUAAUGAAGUGAACUUUAAGGAGAAAAAGCAAAAUCAGUUCAAGGAAUGAUAAUAUAACCAUACAGUUACUUUCACAAAGCUGCGUAUUUCAUCAAUACCUUAACAACAUACAACUGCCUGAGAACGUAUAGACAUGUCAUAGACGCUUGAAUUAAGUAUUGGUACAAAUUCAUGUGGGACACAAUUUCAGUCACUAAACCCAAUGCCUUUUUUUUUCACAUCAUACCAAGGAACGGAUUAAACCCAAUACCUUCUUUUACGCCAUACCAAAGAACAGAUUAAAUCAUCAAUGAAAAAUUAAUCACAUAAUAAUUUAACUAGACAAAUAAAGAGCUCGAAACAGCACAAAACUUGAAUAUGAUUAUGAUAAUUGUUGAGUCAUUGUAUCUACAGCUUUCCUUCAACAAGAAGAUUAUGAACAUAAACUACACACAAAAAAUUUAUUUUAAACUGACAUAAAUUUAUUCAGUUACAUUGAAACCCAAAAAAGGAAGCAGGAGCUGGAGAAAAACAACAGCAGAGAAACUUAUUUCCAGAAGGUUUACGAAAUAAGGAAUUUAUUAAGACACAAAAUUUGAGGUCAACAAUAAGAAUUUGGUUCUCAUUCUCUUUUUCUUCAUUUUUCACUUAUUGAUGGAGUUACCAUACAAUCCUAAAUGAUAAAACCCCAUCUCCAUCUUUUUGAAAUAGAGUUAAAGCAAAGCUUUUUAAGAUGUUUUUCCCUAAAAGACUCAAUAGUACAAUGUUUUUCAAUAUUAAAUACACAACUCAAUCUUCCCCUAAUUUACUCUAAUAAUCUCUUAACUAAGGAAGAUUAAGCUCCACUUGUAAGCUAAAACAAGUUUCUUAAAUCAAGCCCCAAUGCUCUAUGCUAUUCAACAAGGCCUCAUAAAUGAUAAAACUACCUCUACAAAGAUACCCAUUUUAAUUUCGCAAACUAAAAUCGAACUCCUGAAACGUAACGAGCAUUAAAACAAACAAGUCCGAACAAGAACUGAAAAAUGAUACGUAAACCCGUUUCGACAAACAGUUUCCAAUCAAUGAGCAAAAAAGUUAAUGGAAAACAUGAAAUUCAAACGAAACAUACCUUAGGUUGAUAAAUUAGUAGCGCAAAAGAAAUUUUAGCGAGAUAUGGGAUCAGGGAUUUUGCCACGGUGAUGUUAAUUGCGACAUUCGGGUGACUCAGCAGCCUUCGAGGCUGAAACUUUGAUUGACCAAAAGCUUCCCGUUCGUUGAUUCUCUAAUUGCAGAAACGAAACUGGCAGUGUACAGAAGACGUACGCUGAUUUGAUAAUUCUGUGAAAAUCAUUGUUUUUUUUCAGAUUUUUAAUGUGUUCGAUAAAAUAUCAAAAUCUCAAAAACUUUUGUCUUUCAUUUUGGGGGGGAAAAACCCAUUGAGAUCCUUAUGUUUUUUCUUAUAUAAUCUGGCUUAAUAAUUUGCAAAGUCUAUUACUUAGCACCCAUGCAUGCUGCGUUCCAAUUUACAAAAUUGUACGUGAGUGCAUCCAGCUAAAAUUUGUAAAAAGAAAAUAGCAAUAACAUGUUAAAAAUGUGAUUAUUAUGAAGAAAUUUUAAUUUAGUUAAAUAGGUGACGAUGGAUAGGUAUAAAAUCUGAGAUCUUUUAUAAGGUUAAUAAAUAUGUUGAGUUUGGAUUAGUUCAAUUUUGAAAUAAUAAUAUUCAAAAUAUCUCUUAAAUCAUUAUAAACCUCAAAUCUAUUUUAAUUUUAUUUAAAAGAUAAAAGAAAAAUAGGUUAUGUUGGUGAUUUUUUAUUAUCUUUUUAAUAAAAAUGAAAUAAAUUGAUGUUUAUAAUUAUUUAAAGUAUUUUAAAGACUGCCAUUUUAUGAGAGAAAAAUAUUUCACUUUUUUUUAGUGUGAAAGGCCGAAAAAGGACAAAGCAAGUUUCCCUAGUUUUUAUUUAUUUGAAAUUGGUCAUCUCAUAUACUUCACCCUUCAACACUAUAAUUUUUUUGGUUAUAAUUUUAUUAUUUUUUCUCUUUUACACAUGCAUGUGAAUUACUUUUCUUUAAGCUCCUGAAUAUUUAAGAUAAAUCAUGGAAGAGAUGAGAGUAUAACAAGAUGACCAAAAUAUGUAACAAAAAAAUUUUAUAAGUGAAAAAUAUGUUAGAGACUUACAGUGGAAGUAAAACUCUGAGGUGAUGUUUGAUUUGAAGAAAAUGGAGGAAAUGAAAAGACUGGAAUGUAGAGGAAAAGAGAGAAAAGGAGAGGAGAGGAGAGUGAAAUUUUUUUCUAAUGUUUGGUUUGUCACAUAAUUAUACAAAGAAAGGAAAUCUCUAAUUUUUUAUUUAGACAAUUUUAACCUUAAUAAGUAUUAAGUUUUCAAUAUUUAUCAUGUGUAUAAUUAAAAAAAAAAGAAGUAAAUGGUAGAAAGCGGUUUCUGAUUCCGGCCACAUCGCCCGCAAUGGAAGGUACUUAUCAGAACAUCAAGAGCCAGCCAUCAUUCCCUAGCCAUCACUGCUGUCGGAACACUGCCGGAAAGCUGCCGAUUGAACCGCGAAAAGUCGUGGAAAUCGCUGCCUCAAAUCGGUGAGUUUCGCCCUUUUCUGGUCACGCCGUCGCCAUGGCUUUGUCCAUCAAGCCUGCCACUUCCAUUUUCAACCAUCCAUAGCCACUAUUAAUUGCCAAAUCACCGCCGAUCAGCGGGAUCUGUGGAAGUUAAAAAGUUUCUAAAUUUUUUUAACUGGAUUUGAACAACAUACGACCAUUUUUUUAUCUCGAUAACGACGUAGUAAUGUUGAUCGUUGGUCGGCAAGUCGUAUGGUAGUGGCAGUGAGUAACACGCGCCAAUCACAUCGGCGGCGGCGGCGGCACUAUCCGGCGACUGUUAAAAUAAUAUUUUAUAUUUUCAGAUUAAAUAAAUUUAUUUUAUUAAAAUUUUUAAAUCAUUAUUUAAAUUUAAUUAAUUUAAAAUUAUCUAUAAUGUUGAAUUGAUAAAAUAAAUUUAUAAAUAAUAAUUAUGUGAUUACAUUAAAUAAGUUAAAAAGUUGAAGGGUUAGUUUUGGAAGAUUUAGUUUCCAACACAAAGGGAAUUUGAAUUCUUCACUUCUUAGUGUGGAAUUCAAAUUCUAUAUUGUAAUAGAUAUUAAAUUUCAAUAAAAAUUAAAUUCUUAUAAGUUAUGUCAAACCAAACAACGAAAAUAAAAAAGAAAUUUAAAUUAUUUUUCUUUCCUCCACCCUCUCCUUCCAACUAAAUACAUCCUGAAAAUAGAGAUAUUGAUUAAUUUAGAAGAGAUUCAAGCAAAAAAUAUUCCAAAAAAAAAAGCAAUAUGUCCCUUUGGAGGGCAAACUUGUCAGUUUCAAAAAAGUACAUGCUUUGUAUUGAUAGUUGUAGGAUAUUUGUUUUGUCACUAUGUAUUAGUUGGAGAAGUCCAGCCUUGUGGAGAAUGUUAUGAAAGAGCAAAGGAUAUUCCUGAUAGCUGAUAGAGCUCUAUCUGAUUAUGUAUCCAGUGAAUGGAUGUGUUGUUGGAAGAUAUCUGAGUGCAUUAGUUCAUAUGUGUCUGUCAAUGUGCUUUUAAUGAUUUUUCCACCUGUUUGUUGUAAAAGAUUAUUGUAAAUUGAAAUGAACUUGAUGUUUUAAUAUUUUCUUCCGUAAAUUGAAAUGAACUUGAAUUAAAUCUCGUUGAAUUUAAUAUUAUCUCCUUAGUGGAAUUUCACCUAGUAUGUAUUCAGUUGUGUUGUCUAUAAUUUUGCAUUCGAGUAAGUUUCACCUAAAACAUUAGCAUGAGUAGUGGCCCUUGAACCUUUGGUCAAAAUUAUUGUUAUUAUUUCUGACUAGAUGUAAAUUUUGUAUUAAAUCUCGUUAACACAAUUCUUAAUUAAAAGUAUAGGUUAGUGUUGGUGCAAGAUUUGCCACACCAAAUUCUGCCUAGCUGUCAAAAGUGCAAAAUAAAUGAAGAGAAAGCACAAAUACACGACUUGAAUAAGGAUACAACGAAACUUAAAUUCAAGAGAAAAUGAUAGCUAUAUCCCAAGAUUUGAAAAAGUAGUCAUGUAGGUUUUUAAGAUUUCAAUAAGCGACUGAGAUUCAAAUAAUAUCCUUUAAUUCUAUUAAUAAAAAACAAAGACUCAAAUAUUUUAUGAUAAAUAAAAAUAUAAUAUUAAAAUAUAUGUGAUAAUAUACACAUUUUAAAUACUUUCAAUCCAAAAAAAUAGUUAUGUUUUACAAUCUAUUAGACAUAUUUUAUUAAAUUAAUAUAAAUUUUCUAUAAAAUAAGAAUAUAAUAUUAAAACAAAUUCACAGAAAUUUAAAGAAUUUUGAAUGUAAAAUAAUUUUAAUAUAUUAAUACGUGAGUUUUUUUAUUAAUAUAAAAAUUAUUUAACUUUAAGAUUUUUUAAAAUCUUUACAAUAAGUAUAACUAUAUUAUUUACAUUUAAAAAUAUUUAAAUAUUAUUAACCUACAAUUAUAUUUGCAUUUGUUAGAAAUUUUUAAAGUCAAAUAUUUUGCACUUCUAUAUUAUUAGAAUUAUUGCACACAAAGAAAGAAACAUAUACGUUUAGAAAUUGUUUUCUUUUAAAAUAGAGAUGAUGAUUAGUAUAAGGAUCAAAAAAAGGAUAAAGAAUAUUAAUGAUUAACGAAAACUCUAUACAAAUUGAUUUUAGUAGGAAAAGAGUGAGAUGAAUGAUUUCUUUUACAGUUAGAAAAAUAGAUGAUGAUUAUUAUAACGAAGAAGAAAAGAUAAAGAAUAUUAAUUAUUAAUGGAAUCUCUAUGCAAAUUGAUUUCAGUAGGAAAAAAAAUGAGUUAAAUGAUUUAGAGUGCGUUUGGAAUUGAGAUUGGACAGCCAUAGAUUUUAAGUUACAACACUGAAGUGUUUGGUAAAUACUAGCUGCUGCAGAUUGAAAGUUAUGUUGAUAUGAUUUUUCACAUGUAUCAUAGAAAAUAUAUUACAUCUUUAAUAAUUUUUUUAAAAUUUGUAUUUGCUAUAUAUUGUUUUUUUUAUAUAGUUAUAACUUUUUUUUUUUCCACAGCAGCUGUAGCUUAAAAGCUACAGCACCUCAAUCUCAAACAAGUCCUUAGACAUUCAUAGUGUGUUUAUUUUUUGGAUUGGUGAAUCAAAAUUAUUGACAACGCUAACUUCAUCUUCACCGUUCGCAAUCCAACAGCAGCAAUUGUCGCCAAUAAUGAUAUCGCCGAUGAUGAUGACAAUAAUAAUAAUAAUAAUAAUAAUAAUAAUAAUAAUAAUAAUAAUAAUAAUUAUUAUUAUUAUUAUUAAUAAUUAAUAUAUUAAUAUAUUAAUGUUAAUAUUAUUAUUAUUAAGAUUAACAAUAAUUAUUAGUAAUACAAUUUUUUGAAUAAAAAUAAUCACAAUAAUUAAAAUACAAAUUAACAAUUAUGACAAUAGUUAAUUAAUGUCUUUUUAGUAAUUUGUAAUAAUCUAACUCAUUUUAAUUCUGAUUAUUACAGUUUAAGUAAAUAAAUUAUUAUGAUUCCUAUUCUCCUUUUCUAUUUUAACUCACUUCGAUUCCAGUCUAUUCUGAUUUUUGUUUAAUAAACGCACCAUUAGUGCUAAAGUAAUAUUUCAUACAUAGAAAAGUAAAAACUACACCUAAGGUUAAGGGAAAGGACUUCAAAACUCUCUUUUGAUCAUAAUACAUUUUGUACUAAUUAACUUAAAGAUUUUGAAUCUAAUAUUUUAUAAUAAAUAAAAAUAUAUUCCUAAAAUAAAUAUAAUAUCAAUAUUUAAAAUAUGUUUUAAUAUUUUACACAUUUUAUUAUAUUAAAGUAGAUUUUAUAAUAAAUACAAACGUCCUAUUAAAAUGAAUAUAUAAAAAAUUUAGAAAAUUUAGAAUAUUAUAUAAAAUAAUUUUAAUAUAAUGCGUGAGAUAUAUUUUAUUAAUUUAAAAUGUUAUUUUACCUAAAAAAUAUGAUAAAUUAAUAAUUACAUAUUUGAAGUUAUUUCAAAUAUUAAAAAAAUUUAAUAUUAUUAGUCUUUUAGAUAGAUUAAAUUAUUUUUUUUAUAAGAGAUAGAUUAAAUUAUUUUAAAAUGCCUUAAUUAUUUUUACUUUUAACGUUACCGGCCUUUCUUUUAUUUUAUUGCAAAUUAAUGCUAACAAGAAAAAGCUAGAUCAUAUUCCACAAAAGCAAAAGUGACAAACACAACCAGCUGGAAUCUUUUAUAAAACUACAAAUUAAAAUGGAUUUUUUUUUUGAUAAAUUACACAUGAAAGUGGAUUCUUUUGAAUAUAAGUGGAGUAGGCUCUUUUAUUUUAUUUUUGAAUAUUGUAUAACGGGACUGUAGACUCUUUUAUUAAACUACAAAUUGUAUAGUCUUUUUAAAAUUGUUAUAAAUUAAUGGCCCCCACAAUCCUCAACAAUUGUACCGAUAUUCACAAGUUGGUGGCCCCUACAAUUCUGUUCCGAUAAUUUAACUGUGCAAGUGCUCAUUCACAAUCUUCCAGGUCAUGCUCUCAAUAAUUGUUUUUUUUUCCUGCAUUCCCUUUGGGAAAUUUACGAAAAUAAUCAUUAAUAUUUUAUUAUUUUUACAAUUAACCGUCUUAAUUUUUUUCUAUCAACAUUAGCCAAAUACAAGUCUUUCUUCCCAAAUUACCCUUCUUUACAGAACAAAACCAACAUUGUUUCUCCCAUAUCGCCAAACCAAAAGCAGCUUUUUAUUCUUAAAUCAUCAGCCAACGGCGACCGCAAAAGACAACGGUAAAAGUGAUAUCCGAUCAUAAUCUAUCCGGAUCCAACACAAAUCUACAUCACUCAGUGGUAUGAAUUAUUUUUUGAACUUACUGAACUCAGUCGGGUGAAUCUGAGUCUGGCGACAGGCUGCCUGUCGCAGUAAAACUUGGUGCGACAGGCAACCUGUCGUACCAAACCUUGGUGCGACGGGCACCCUUGGAGAUUUAUUAAAAAUGUAUUAUUUUAAUAGGACUCAAAUAAUUUUUUUUUAUAAUUUCAGGCUUAAUGGAUUCAGUUGUACUUGAAUUGUGUUACGAUGGUUGGUGGGAGACAUUAGAGAAUGGCUGUAUGGAGUACGUGAAUGGUAAAAAUCGAGCUUUUUUGGUUGGAAAAAAUUACUUGUUUGAUCAGUUAUUGGCAAGAGUAUACGAGGUAUUAAAAAUAAACCCUAAUGACUAUAGUAUCACAAUGAAGACAACUUUGAGGUCUAGUAACACAUUAUAUCGUAUAUGUGCAAUGCCCAUGGAUAUAUGUGAUGAUGAAAUGGUGAGGGUUGUGUUGCAUAUGGCAUCUGACGUAGCUAAUUUUGGAUGCAUUCCUAUAUUCGUGACCACAUCACCUCGACUUCCGAGCGAAGGUAUUGAGCCACAUGUCGAUAUAGAAACUUCGUUUAGAGCAAAUAUGUCUGGCCCCGAUAAUGAUGAAGAGGUGUUGCCAAGGACAAUAUCGCUGCAGCAAUAUUACUCUCCAAUCCACGACAAUUAUGAUAACAUUGAUGAUAAUAGCGUUACGUUACAGGAUGUUGGAGCAACGGUAUUUCCAAUAACAACGUCGUUGGAGCAACGAUAUUCUCCGUAUCACAACAAUGAUUUUCGGGACAAUGAUGAUUUUCAUAAUGAGACAGAGGAGGAUAAUGUUUGUGCAGAACCUUCUAAUAAUACGAGGCGGGGCACUCGUUUCAAUAAUGAUGGUGAUGAUGGAGGAGUCGGUCAUUCGAAUGUUCCGUCGUUUCAGCAUGAGGAUGAGUGUGAAGACAAUACUCCUGUGAAUAACAGAGGCAAUAGACCUAUUCCUUCUAUGGUUCGAUCGAGAAGGAGAAUUGACCCCCUUACAAGUCUUGCUCCAACUUUACCUUCGAACAUGGUUGCUCCAAGCUUUGUUAGCAGUUGUGACUCAGAUGAUAUCAGCGUGGGUAAGCUAUUUGUUGAGAAGAAUGAGCUUAUAUUACAACUACGCAAGGUGGCCUUUAGAGAUAAGUUUGAUUUCAAGAUUGCACGGUCUACUACGACACGUUUCGAGGCUCACUGUUGUUCAGAAUCAUGUAAAUGGCAUAUUCGAGCAACUAGAAGUUCGAACGAGCAAAAUGUUCCUUGGGUGGUGAAGAGAAUUGAUAAUGUACACACUUGUCAUAAUGAGGUAUUGAUUGAUGGACGUCAUCAAGUAAGGAGCCGGGUUGUCGGUCAUAUUAUCGCAGAAAAAUAUAUUCAAGAUAAGAGGAUUUAUACUCCCAAUGACAUAAGAGCAGAUAUGCAACAGGAAUACGGUGUUCAGUUAACAUACCAGCAGGCAUAUAGGGCGAGAGAAGUUGGUCUUGAAAUAGUUCACGGCAACCCUGCAGAGUCAUACAACUUGCUCCCUAAAUACUCUCACGUACUAACUACAACGAAUGAGGGUACAGUCACUCACCUCGAGCAGGAUGGAGAUGGUAAUUUCUUGUACUAUUUUGUAGCACUCGGAUAUUCCAUCAAGGGGUUUAUGCAGUACAUUCGGCCUGUCAUUGCUGUAGAUGGUACUCAUCUAAAGAGAUUAUAUCGUGGAAGCAUGUUCGUGGCAACAUGUCUUGAUGGUAACAAUCAAUUGUAUCCGUUAGCCAUUGGGAUCAUGGAUUCAGAAAAUAAUGAUGCUUGGGAAUGGUUUAUGAUGAAGUUACACGGAGUGAUUGGUGAUAGACCUGAGUUGGUAAUUAUCUCUGAUCGAUGCACUGCCAUAAGGAGAGCCGUUCUUAAAGUAUUUCACAAUGCAACUCAUGGCGUUUGUUUUUACCACGUCAAAGGUAACAUUAAGUCACAAUUUAGAAUGUCCAAAGCUCUUUGGGAUGAAUUUGAGCAUGCCUUUAUUAAUGCAGCAAAAGCAUAUGGCCACGAGGAAUUUAAGAGACAACUUGAAGGGUUGUGGAUGAUCCACUCGGGUGCGGCUGAUUACUUAGAAAAUAAUGUCGGCACGUGUAAUUGGGCAAGGUCUCAGUUUCAAGGUAGGAGGUACAACAUUCUUACCACCAACAUCGCGGAGAGUGUUAAUGCUUUCAUGAGGGAACCUCGAAAAUUUCCUGUUACUCAUCUUGUUGAUCACUUCAGGAAAACAUUGCAGCAAUUGUUUUAUGAUAGAAAAAUUGUGGCUGAAUCAAUGACUACUCGGCUAACAACAUGGGCGGAUGAAAUAGUCACUGAGAGGAGAACUAUAGCUGAAAGAAUGAUAGUUCGGCCGGUGUCUCCGCAUCGCUUUCAAGUUAUAGGCGGUGGGCUUAAGGAAGGGUUGGUUGACUUGCAAAAGAGAACUUGCUCCUGCAGAGUGUUUCAGCUUGAUCAGCAUGUGUGUGCUCAUGCAAUUGCGGCGUGUCUAACACACCGGGUGGAUUUUAUUAACCUUUGCUCGGACUUUUACACUACAGAAUCGUUGGCGAUGGCUUAUGCACAACCAGUGGAGCCAGUUGGUGAUGUGGCUGAUUGGGAAGUUCCAGAUGAAAUUCAGGAGAUGCAGGUAUACCCACCAGUUGAGGCACCACUACCUGGCCGUCGUAAAGAGCUCAGAAUACCCUCGACUGGCGAGGACGUUGACCGGCGGACUGUAAGAUGCGGCCGGUGUCAUGAACUAGGCCAUAAUCGUAAGCGAUGUAAGAAUCCUAUUGCGUCGACUCGAAGUUAGUUGUAUUUUGUGUGUUAUUCGUUGGUUAAAACUAUUAUUGUUUUUGUGUUACAUUGGUUAAAACUGUUAUUGUUUUUUGUAUUUCGUUGGUUAAAACUGUUAUUGUUUUUUGUGUAUUGUACACUUAUAUUCAUAAAACUUUAUUUUAUUUUAAAGUUCAAAAUGUGAGGCAUUAAAAUUAUAUAAACUUAAGUGCGGAAAUUAAAAAAAAUGCAAAUUUCAACAUUGAAAUUACUACAUAGGUCUACAAUAUAAUAUCGUCAUUAAAUAUAUCAACCGCAAUCUUCUUUCUAAAGUACUCGACAUGACUAGCGUUAAACUCCAAUCUAAGCCCGAACAUUAAAUACAUCGUAACCAUCAAUACAAAAACACUGCAAUCGCUAGUUCCGGGCUCUUGUUGUGGUGCGCUCUUAACUGCGAUAACUUUCCACGGGUCUUCACUCCGCAACUCAGGUCGGAUAUUGUAGAAGCCAACAUAUUCCAACCAUCGAGGGAAUAUAACUUCAAGUGGCUUGAAUUUCAACUUGUACUUUUUGUCGUCGCGAAAUGUGAGUAAUGAGUCAUAAAUCCAGACUUUAUUUUUCCGAAAGUCAACUCGUGCUAGUACCCAAUGCGCGCCGUCCAAGUUAACAGGGAUGAGUAACUGCAUAUAAAAAUUAAAAAAACAUGUUCGUUAUAUAUGAAAUUGAAAUACAACAAAGAAAAAGCAACAACUCGAAUAUUUUCAUUAUAGAGCAUGUGAAAUGUAAUAAAAUACACACCAUAUCGACAUCCGUCAUUAAUUUUGACAUUGUGUGCUGUCGCCCACAAAGAUAACUAUUCAAGCGGUCGUCGAAUACCAUUGAAUCAACUGCACAAUUCCUGUUAUUCCAUAACUGAUUCAAGAACACCUAGUACAUAGAUAACCAAGAAAUGCAUAAAUUAAUAAAACUUAAAGGCAAUAAUUAAACAAAUUAAAUAGUAUUUAUAAGUUUUGUCGGCACGUUACCCAAAAAAAUGUGUCAGUAUGUGUGACACGUUGGAGUAAGGCAUUUGGAUACUGCCGUUGUUUCUCGCUAAUCAAGCGGAGAUACUCGUGAAUAUGCUGUAGAGAAACAAAAAUAUUACGAUUUAAAAAAAAAUUAUACACAAAUCCACAACAGUAUACACCACGAGGAAAAUAUAAAUACCUCAUCGCCUAGCCAUCCCAUCGAAGCUGUCCCCAAAAUUAUUUGAAAGAAUGACCGCAGGUGCUGGACUCUCCGGCGGACUCUGCUAUCACCAGUGAACCAUCGAUCAAACUCAGCAAACAAACUAGAGUCCUCCAAUCCUCUCAGUGGAUUUACAUCCACACUCGUACUCAUGUCAAUCGCAUGCUCCAUCAUUUGGGGUCGAGGUAACCUCCGGACGUUCUGUCCACGCCUGACCGGAGGAAUCAUGUAAGGACUGUUAUAAACAUACGACGGUAUGUACGCGCGGCCGAACUUACUAACGCCCGGAGGCACCUCUGUGAACACCUGCAUGCUCUCCCCACUAACAUCCCCGUAUAAACUAUAAAAUGACGUGGGCGUAGACAAAUUUUCAUUGCCCACGUCAGUAUACACUCCAUAGUCAUCCGGGGCCUGUACAUUCGCCAAAAAGAACAUAUUAAAUAAUUAUCAAAUUAAAAGUUAAACGAACAUAAUUAUUUAAUUUAAAUUAGCUUACCGCAUACGAGCGUGCAGUGGGAGAAUCCUUAUUUGGAUGUUUAGAAAAUGUGUCGAUGAAGCCAACAACGGUUUCUUUAAAAUCUUUUAAUUCUGACUUUAUUUCAUACACAUUACGAUCAAUCUUAUCCAGCCGUCGUCGUACGUAAUCAUUAAACUGCUUUGUCCUCGACUAUUACAAAAGAAAAAAAUAAAACUUUAGAAUAACAAUAAAAAAAUAAUAAUUUAUAAAGGAAAAAUAUCGUAUAUUAUUUAUAACCUCAGAAUCCCGUGCGUCAUCAGAGUUGUCUGUUUGCUGCUGGUGGUCAUCAACAGCCACCUCAUCCUCAAAAGUGUCAAGACGCUGCUCUGGUAUUGGGUUUAGUAUGUCGUCAUGAUCAUCAUGCUCGUCCGAUUGUCUUGUAACCGACGGCAUCGCGUUGAUUGAGGGUUGGUGCUGUAUAAAGUAUCAUUUAAAAUUACUAAAUGAAAAGUCAAAAAUUUCGAUAAAAAAAUUUUUAGUACUUACAGUAUACCGACCUUAUGAAUCCAAUCUGGAAUGCUUGGCAAGUAAUCCUUCACAGAGAGUCAAUAUUUUCUGCUACUCUCUUUUGAAUUUGGCUCAAGAGUUUGUAAAAUGUCCGUCUGCCAUAAAUUCAAUUGAAAAAUUUAAGUAAGUAUACCCAACUUAAAUUUAGUAAAGUUAAAAAAUAAGUAAUACAUAUUACUUACAAGACGAGAUUCGUCGUUGAAGAACGAAUAAACCUCCGCAAAGUUGAUUCUCGAAGACGUCAUGGGCUUCCAUUGCAGAAUGCGGGGAAUCUUACUCUUCGUUUUGACGACCCAUGUUGAUGGCAACCCUCCGAUUGCUUCGUAAAUCCAAGCCUACAACAAACCAAAGUGAAAAAUCAAAUAAAACAACUAUCAAAUAUUUAAUACUAUAAAACUUAUUAAUAAACAAAAAAAAGCACCUGCACCCCAGACGUAAAGCCGUAAAGAUUAUAUUUUUCAAUAUUAUGAUCUGAAUUUUUCAACCGAGUCUUCUUAAAUUUCUCGUCUUUCUCGAACAGUGCAUUGUCAAGACUCUCGUAAAUCAUUUCCCACGACAAUAGACCCCAUGGCGCUUUCGGAAGUACUGUAUAUCAUCAACUUGGUCAAGCCAAUCGAAAUUAAUUUGACAGUGAUUUUUUCUUGCAUUUAGUACUCUGUCCGCAAAAUAAAACAGCGCAAUCUUUAAUGCGUCCAUAUCGUCCAUUUCCUCGAAAUUCAACUCCUUAAAUACUGCAUCAAAUUGCUUCACAUUAAUCUUACGAUGCACACCACCAAAAUACGUAUUCCGUAGCCUCUGCUCCAUUUCAUCAUUUUUUUCAUUGGUAUCAACACCAAAUGAAAGUCCAGUAACCAAGCACCAUUCGAUAAUUGACAAGCGAAUCAAAUGCUUACCAAUUUGAAACCAUAACUGAUCCUCACAGCUAUCUUCUUCAUGGGCCACUUGCCGCAGUAAACGAUUGUGCAAAAUUACCCCACUAAAUGGAAAACUUCGGCACUCCAAGAAAUGCCCAAAUAUAUCCUUUUUGAACAUACUCAACUGCCGCUUUGUUAAUUUUUCCUCGAUGGCUUUUACGACCGAAGAUAACAUACACAUGCUCGAAAUUCGACCAGGAAAGUGAUCAGCAUAACGAAAAUACAUCUUGCCUACUUCAAUAUCCGGUGAUUCUGAUUUCGCCAUGUAUCUGUAAUAUUUAUAAAAUUAUUACAUUACAUUUACAAAAUUAUUACCAAACUCUAAUUUUUUGGUGCGACAGGCGCCUGUCGCUCCAAAAAACUGCCUGUCGCACCACAGCUGGUGCUCCAAAAUCGAAAACAAUACUCCCAAACACUACCAACUACCACAAACAUCAUCACCACCACUAUUAAUCUCAAGCUAUAACUAUUAUUAUUCUAAAAUCUCAUUUUAAAUUAAUGAAAAUAAGAAAAAUGACUAACCUAGGUUUUGUUGAAGGUUGUAGAUCGUAGAUCGGAUGCCGGUGAGAGAUGGAGCCGCCGCCGACGAGGGUUGAUGUCGCCGCCGAUGAUGGGAGUUGGAUCGGUUUGGGAGAGAUGAGUGAAAAAGGGAGUGUUGGGGAAGAGAUGAGGGAUGGGUAUUUUGGUCUCAAAUGUUGUUUUAUGGCUAAUGUUGAUAGAAAUAUUUUUGGGGGGUUAAGAUGAAAAAAAACAAAUUUGUUUUGGUUAUUACUGUAAAUUUCCCAUUCCCUUUCAUGCUCUUAAUAAUUGAAGAGCAUACUUUUCAUUUUCAAAUGUGGAGCCGCAUCUAAUGUCGCUAAUUUAAUUUGGGAUUAAAUUAGGGGACCAUUAUAUUGCAGUGUGUACUAAUUUUUGUGUUUAUCUAAACUCCUUAAGUUUAAGACAUAUUAUGGCAUAAAUAAGAAUAUAACAAUAACAAAAGAGAUGCCGGAGCAGAUCAGCAGGGUUUGAAUAUGACCUUUGGCGGUUGCUUUUUUUUUGUGAUUUUUUUCAUUUUUUCCUUCCUGUCAUUUUAUCAUUUAUUUGGCUCUGUUUCUAUUGCGGGUGUUACUGCAUGCUUACUGUUGCUUGACAAAGUUUGCUAGCUUUUUGUUUGCAGUGCUGCUAUUCACCCCGAGUCAAGCUCCGAAAAUUUAUUAAACAACGCCGUUUCGAUAGUAACAAUUUUUUUCUUUUCCCUUUGUCUGUCUCUUUCAUCUGCUGUUUCUCUAUCACUUUUCAUUUUUUAUUUCCUUACUUCCCAGCUGCCCCUAAAUUGUUAUUCUAGCAAUAUACUUUCUCAUCUUUGAAUUUUCAUCCUUGAGUACUCCCACAGCCGUAAUUUCAUCAUUAUAGACUUCACUUGGAAUGCUGUAUUUUUUCGAUUCUUAAGCUACUUCAAUUACAUCUCCCAGUAUAGGAUCCUCAUCUUCCUUUAUUUCUUCAUCUUAUGAGGUAACAAAUGGAUUUCACAACUCAUCUACUUUUAAGCAAUUACAUAUUAUACCUUGAAUGAUUCAACUGUUCCGACAGUUAAAGAUUUUAUGCUCAACCUGCAGUGCUACGAACAUUGUCCAUGAAAGAUGAGUUUCAGCAUAUAAAAUGAAAUAUAGAUGUUUAAUCUAAAAUAACCCUUCACUGCCAAGAAACCUAGGUCACAAAAUUCACAGAUAAUGAUAAAGAGCUAAAAAAUUUGAAAAACUCUACAGAUCACACAUCAAGCAAGAUAUCAUGUUUUUUUCCCUCAUUCGGUGGUGAUUGAUUCGCUUUUUGAUGAUGGAUAUGGUAUAAAAGUUUUGACCCAAUUUCAAGCAAACACAAAUAGAAACACAAAUAGAAACACAAACACAAUCAGGACUAGAGUUGUGGGCGAUUAUCUUAGGUGUACAAGUGAAACGGUGGUGGCUGUCGAUGGUGGUAGUGGGGUGGUUGGGUAUGCGUGAUGGCUAGAUUUUAGGACAAUAAUGGUUGGAGUUGACCUCGAUCAACGAAGGAAAGUGACAACAAUUUUGACAUCAAACGGUGCAUUUUUUAGCUUAGUAAAAUGGAGCCGUUUCGAAUUUGGGGUUUAAUCCGGGGUUUGACUCGGCGCAAGUAUCAUUUUCCUUUUGUUUAUUAAAUUUUUUAUGGUCACAAAGUAUUACUCGUUCUAUUUGAGAGUGAUGUGAAUCAAUUUUUCAAUUUUAUAUUUUGUGGUCAAUGUGAAUUUAAUUUCAUUUGUCUCCUGCAAUUAUGAAAAAAUUGCAGUCAUAAUAUGGAAAAGUACACCGGCAAAAACUUUGUAAAAGCUUCGGAGUGAUACGGGGAAUUUACUUACUACUGAGGACAAUUGGUGGCAAAGCUAUUCCAUUCAUUUUAUGUCCAUCCAUCUAUUUAGCUAUUGAAGAUUAGUGGUCCAUUUGUAAAUUUCAGAUUGUCUCUCUCUCUCUCUCCCACUUGAAAUAACAAUAUUUAAUAUAUCUCUUAAAUUAUUAUAAAUUUUAAUUUACUCUCGAUUUAAAAUGGAGCAUGUCGAUAAAAAAUUUUUCUUCUUAAUAAAAUUGACGUAAGUUGUGUGUUACAGUAGUUUGAAGUUUGAAAUAUUUUAAAGAUUAUUAUUCUAUAAGGGAGUAAUAUGAAAUGAUAUUUACUUUUCAUGUGUGAAAUGAAAAAGGACGAAGCAAGUGUCCCUGCUUUUAUUUUAUUUCAAGGAGGAGUCAUCUCACAUACUUUAGCUCUUAACAUUACAUUUUUUCUGGUUACAUUUUUUAUUUAUUUAUUUUUUUUUUUUUACACAUGCGUGUGGGUUGCUUUUCUGUAAGCUCCUUAAUAUAUAUUUAAGACAAAUCAUGGAAGAGAUGGGAUUAUAUCAAGAUGAUCAAAGCAUGUAAAAAAAGAAAAAAGAAAAAAAAAAAUUAAGAAGUAAGACACUGAAAAUGGAGAAGAGAUGGAAGCAAAAGAUAUUCCAAAACAAAGCAAUCUAUCCCCUUUCGAGGGCAGACUUAUCAGGUUUAAAAAAGUACAUGCUUUGGAUUGGUAGUUGCAAUCAAGGGAAAAUAAAUAGGAUCCAAUGAAAUUUAAAUCUCGGAGAAAAUAAAUAAUCAUGCAGAUUUUCAAGAUUUUAAUAAGGGAUACUAAUAUCUUAUUUUGAUUAAUAACAUUCUUUUAUUGUGUUAACUCAAAAAAAAUAUUAUAAUGCUUUACAAUAAAUACAAAUGUCCUAUUAAAUGAAUAUAUAAAAAAUUUAGAAAAUUUAGAAUAUUAUAUAAAAUAAUUUUAAUAUAAUGCGUGAGAUAUAUUUUAUUAAUUUAAAAUGUCAUUUUACCUAAAAAAUAUGAUAAAUUAAUAAUUACAUAUUUGAAGUUAUUUCAAAUAUUACUUAAUUGUUUUUACUUUAAACAUUACCGGCCUUUCUUUUAUUUUAUUGCAAAUUAAUGCUAACAAGAAAAAGCUAGAUCAUAUUCCACAAAAGCAAAAGUGACAAACACAACCAGCUGGAAUCUUUUAUAAAACUACAAAUUAAAAUGGAGUUUUUUUAAAAAAAUUGUUAUAAAUUGGUGGCCCCUACAAUCCUCAAUAAUUGCACCGAUAUUCACAAGUUGGUGGCCCCUACAAUUCUGUUCCGAUAAUAAUUGUUUUUAUUUUUCUGCAUUCCCUUUCAUGCUCUUAAUAAUUGAAGAGCAUACUUUUCAAAUGUGGAGCCACAGCUAAUGUCGCUAAUUUAAUUUGGGAUUAAAUUAGGGGACCAUUAUAUUACAGUGUGCACUAAUUUUUGUGUUUAUCUAAACUCCUUAAAUUUAAGAUAUAUUAUGGCAUAAAUAAGAAUAUAACAAUAACAAAAGAGUAAAAAAGUGUAGAGAAGAUCUUGCAGAAAUAUAAAUAAUAUCUAUUUUAAAAUAAUUUUUAAUAUUUUAUGAUCCAUUAGAUAUAUUUAUUAUAUUAAAGUAAAUUUUAUAAUAAAUAAAAACAUACUAUUAAAAUGAAUAUAUAGAAAAUUUAGAGUAUUUUAAAUAUUAUAUAAAAAAUUUUUAAUAAAAUAUGUGAGAUAUUCAUAUUUUAUUAAUUUAAAAUACCAUUUAACCUAAAGAUUUAUUUAUGAUAAAUUAAUAAUUAUAUUUUUGAAAUUACUUCAAAUAUUAAAAAAUUAAUAUUACUAAUCUGUUAGAUAGAUUAAAUUAUAUAUAUUAUUUUCUAUUUAUUAAAAAAUUAAAAUUAUUUUUAAUUACUAUUCAAAAAAUAUAAUGAAAAAACAUAAUGAUAAAAAAAUCUUAACAUCUUUAUUAAAAAAUUAAAAACUUAUAUGAUAAAUUCUCUAAAUAUUUACGGUAUAUGUGAACCACGGUGGAUAAGCUUUAUUUAAUAUUAUUGAUUUAAAUAAUAUGUCAAUUAAAAAUGUACAGAGAAGAAAUUUCGGUGGGUAUUUUAGUCUUUUAAGCAAUUAUCAUGAUCAGAUCAGCCUUUAGCCUUCAAACGUCGGUCAGAAAAGUUUUAAAAUUAAUGCUAAAUUGUUUUUCACUUUUAACGUUGGUGGCCUUGAAAUUGCUUGUAUUUUAUUAAAAAUUAAUGCUAACAAGAAAAAGCUAGGUCAUAUUCCACAAAAUCAAAAGUGACAAAACAACCAGCUGGUUUCUUUUACUAAACUACAAAUUAAAAUAAAUUUUUUCGAUAAAUUACAAAUUAAAGUGGAUUCUUUUGAAUACAAAUGGGACAGACGAUUAGGCUCUUUUUAUUAGAGGCAAGUAAAAACUAGUCAAGAAUCGAACAGUCUUUUUCCAAUUCUUGUUUUAUUAUUUUUCAAAACUAGUUUUUGGUAAUUACAACCGGGUCAUUAAUCAUUAUUCAGAGUUACUGUUAUCUUCGGGGGCAGUGGGUAAAAGAUAAUUACUAACUGUUUUUCCUUCAAAAGUUAGCGGCUCAUGUUUGCAAGUGUGAAUGUGCGAUGCUCUUUUCUUAAAGGCCAUUACAGUGGGGCCCGAAUCAGACGUGCCUAAAUCUUUUUAAAAUUUUUGCCGUAUAACGAACAGAGGUCAUUACUAAAAUUUCUCUUCCACAGCCUACAGCAGCUUCAGUUUAUCAAACUCCAUCAAUUUUCUUUCUUAACAAAAUUCCAAAGAUGUGUAGCAUUUUUCAGAUCACAUGCGAUGGUGCUCUUUUCAAUCGUUGCUUGGAUUGCUUUCUUGGAAAAGCAGCAUACAUACGUAACCUCCAAGAUAAUCUUGUAGCCUUGGAGACUGAACUGGGAAGACUAAUCGCAGCAAAGAACGAUGUGAUGAUGAGGGUUGUCAAUGCUGAACGGCAACAAAUGAGAAGGCUGGACGGAGUGCAAGUGUGGGUUUCGAGGGUGGAUUCUGUUAAAACUGGAGCCGACGAACUUAUCACAGACGGCUCUGAAGAAAUUGGCAAAUUAUGUGUUGGAGGCUACUGUUCCAAGAACUGCAGGUCAAGCUACAAAUCGAAAACAAGUGGCUAGAAAGCUACGACAUGUGAAGACUUUAAUCGCCGAGGGAGUUUUUGAGGCGGUGGCCACUGAGGUGGUGCCCGAGAGAGCUCCGGAACCUGUAGCAGAUAAAAGACCCACUGAGCCAACAAUAGUAGGCUUGCAAUCACAGCUUGAACAAGUUUGGAGAUGUCUUGUAGAAGAAUCAGUGGGAAUCAUUGGCCUAUAUGGUAUGGGCGGUGUUGGUAAAACCACACUAUUGACCCAUAUCAACAAUAAAUUUCUUGAGAGUCCCACAAACUUUGAUUGUGUGAUUUGGGUCGUAGUUUCAAAAGACCUGCGACUUGAAAAAAUUCAAGAAGAUAUUGGGAAGAAGAUAGGUCUGUCUGAUGAUUCAUGGAAGAAUAAAAGUUUUGAAGAGAAAGCUGUGGACAUCCUGCCGAGAUUAGGAGAGAAGAGAUUUGUAUUGUUGUUAGAUGAUUUAUGGGAGCGGGUUGAUUUAACAGAAGUGGGCGUUCCACUUCCCAGCGCACAAAAUACUACCUCAAAAGUCGUAUUCACAACCCGUUCCAUUGGUGUUUGUGGCAGCAUGAGAGCUAGGCCGGUUAAAGUGGCAUGCCUAUCAGAAAAGCAAGCUUGGGAACUGUUCCGCGAAAAUGUUGGGGAAGAAACUCUUGAGAGUGAUCAUGAGAUCGUUGAGCUAGCCCAAACUGUGGCCAAAGAGUGUGAUGGUUUGCCACUCGCACUUAUUACUAUUGGUCGAGCUAUGGCCUACAGAAAGACAGCCGAGGAGUGGAGUCAUGCAAUUGAUGUGCUAAGAACAUCAGCUUCUGAGUUUGCAGGUUUGGGAGAGAAGGUGUAUCGUCUUUUAAAGUUUAGCUAUGAUAGUUUGCAGAAUGAUACGGUUAGAUCUUGUUUCUUGUACUGUUGUUUAUAUCCUGAAGAUUAUGGCAUUCUUAAAUGGGACUUGAUUGAUUGUUGGUUUGGCGAGGGAUUUUUUGGGGAAUCUGACAGGUCUGGUGCAGAAAACCAAGGAUAUGACAUUUUGGACACUCUUGUUCGUGCAUGUUUAUUAGAAGCGGUGGAAGAUGGUGAAGUAAAAAUGCAUGACGUUAUUCGUGAUAUGGCUAUAUGGAUAACUUGUGAAAUUGAGAAGGAGAAGAGAAACUUUUUGGUUCGUGCAGGUGCUGGAUUAAAAGAGGCACCGGAUGUUAAAGGAUGGGAAAAUGUGAGAAGAUUGUCAUUGAUGCAAAACCAAAUUGAAACUGUGUCAGAGGUUCCCACAUGCCCUCAUCUCCUCACUUUAUUUCUUGACUUUAAUCAGGAGUUGGAGAUGAUCGCGGAUGGCUUCUUCCAACUUAUGCCUUCUCUCAAAGUUUUGAAGAUGUCAAACUGUGGACAGAGGAGGUUGAAAUUACCUGUUGGGAUGUCAGUGUUGGGUUCAUCACUAGAACUUCUCGAUAUUUCAUGUACUGGCAUAACAGAGUUACCAGAGGAGUUAAAGAAGUUGGUAAAUCUGAAAUGUUUGAAUUUGAGGUGGACAGGUGCGUUAAUUAGAAUUCCACGGCAACUAAUAUCAAAAUUUUCAAGGUUACGUGUGUUGAGAAUGUUCGCUAUUGGCUAUGAUCGUUUUCAUGAAGCACCAGAAGACAGCGUUUUAUUUGGUGGGGGUGAAGUUUUGAUACAGGAAUUGCUCGGUUUGAAAUAUUUAGAGGUAUUGGAGUUGAGCUUGGGAAGUUAUCAUGCUCUCCAAAUUCUUUUGAGCUCAAAUAAGUUAAAAAGUUGUAUUCGAUCUCUUUGCCUCGAGUUCGCCGGAGAUACAGCGUCAAUUAUUGAUGCUACGGCUUUCGCAGAUCUAAACUACCUCAAUGAAUUAAAUAUUUAUAGUGGUUUUGAGUUGGAAGAGUUGAAGAUUGAUUAUACAGAGAUAGUACGAAAAAGGCGGGAACCUUUUGUUUUCCGCAACCUUCACCGUGUUACUAUACAUAGCUGCCAGAAGUUGAAAGAUUUGACAUUCCUCGUUUUUGCUCCAAACCUCAAGUCUGUUCAGCUACUCGAUUGCUAUGCUAUGGAAGAAAUAAUCAGCGUCGGAAAAUUUGCUGAGACUCCUGAGAUGAUGGGACAUAUAAGCCCUUUUGAAAAUCUCCAAAUGCUUGAUUUAGAAGAUUUGCCACAUUUGAAGAGCAUCUUCUGGAAGCCAUUGCCUUUCACUCAUCUGAAAGAAAUGGCGGUAAGUGGGUGUGAUCAGCUUGAAAAGCUUCCACUCGAUUCCAACAGUGCAAAGGAGCGUAAAUUUGUAAUUCGUGGAGAAGAAGACUGGUGGAACCGACUUCAAUGGGAGGAUGAAGCCACUCAAAUUGCUUUUCGUUCCUGUUUCCAACCUUAUUCCUGAGCGGUGGUCGCAAAUUUUGAUUCUCUGUUUUUAUUUCUGGUUAGUUUCUCUCUCUCUCUUUCUCUCUCGCUCUCUCUCUUUUUGUCUUCUGCAAAUCACAAUUAAAUGUUGAAUUAAUGGAAUUAAUGCUUCAUAAAUUUGCCGGCACAGCCACUACUUUUUUUUGGGGGGGGGGGGGGGGGGGGUCGAAUUGGUGCUCUGGUUUUUGACUUUUUGUUAGCGAUUUAAUUUCCUGUCAAAAGACGAGCGAGAAGAACAUAUAUAUGACGUAAACCAAUUGAUACUUUAUUUAUGUGCAUUGUAUGUAAUAAAUAUUAAGUAUACUUUAUUUUUGCCCUGUUCUCUGUUUUUAUUUCAGUCUCUCUCUCUCUCUCUCUGCUGUCUCCUGUCUCCUGCAAAUCACAAUUAAAUGUUGAAUUAUAUGGAAUUAAUCCUUCAUAAAUCUGCCUGCGCUGGCUUUUUUUUUUUUUUUGUGGGGGUCGAAUUGAUGCUCUGGUUUUCGACUACUUUUUGUUGUCAAAAUUUUCUCUGUUUUUUCAAAUUGAUGCUUUAUUGAUAUCUUCUUCGUGAAAAGUGAUUUAAUUUCCUGCCAAAAGACGAACGAGAAGAACAUUAGAGUCAAACUAAUGCUCACAUAAAUUUCCCGUAAGAAUAUAUAAUUAUUAAGAUAGAUCUGCUCUUUCAUUAAAUAUAUAUUCCUUUUUCACAUAUUAAUUGACCUUUAUUUAAUUUGUUUAAAAAGUUUAAUUAAUUGUUGUUUGCAGAGAAUCAUCUACGCCGCUCGCCGAUAAAAGUUGAGGUGUUCGAGCAGGUGCUUGCCUUUUUUUUUUUCUUUUUCUUUUUUCCCUGUUUUAAUAUUUCUUUAAAUUUUGAAAUUGUUUAAUUAUUCUUCUGGUUUGGAAUGUUGAUAAUAGUGUUGUGAAAUUAAUUUUUACAGGAUAAAAGGUUGUGGGACAUUUAUUAUCCAUGUCCUAUGUAUCUCAAGCUUAAAGGUCUCAGUGGUCCUCUAUUGGAAAAAGCAAGUUUAAUAUAUAUUAAUUGGAUAUCGUCGCCUGUAUAUAUAUGUAUAUACAUACAUACACAGCCACUCAUCGAUUAUAGACUUAAUUAUUUAAUUGAUUAUGUAAUCUCUCGUAGUUUCUUUGUGCAUUUUUAGUUAAUUUAAUGAAUAAACUCAAAUACAUUGUAAAUAAAACCAAAUUAAAUGUUCCCUAAAAUAUACGUAUAUGCCUCUCGAUGGCACACAAGGUUAAAUGUCAGCCCAUCGCGGGUAAUAUUAUUUCUAGCCGCCUUCAUUACGAGUUAAGAGUCAAUUAUUACUAAACUAAACUAGUCAAAACUCGUAAGUGCUAGAAAGUAGAAACGUUUGAUUCUAUAUAAAUGACUUCAAUUCAAUAUGUACCAAAGAGUAUCGAUAAUUGAACCCCAAAAAACUUUAAAAAAGAUUGACAAAAUUAAUUAUAUUAUUGUGUGUUUUUAGAAGAAAAAAUAAAAUAAUUAAUUAAUGUUAUAACACUAUGUUAGGUGAAAAGUCAGCUGUCUGGAAGAGAACAAACUUACUAAGAUAAGAGCCUUCUUCAGUAAUCAACCGAACGAAAAAGUCAUCUCUUUUCUUAUUUAUUUAGUAAAAAUAAGUAAAGGCCGAAAAUUUCCUAAAAUAUCUAAAUCCCUCUCUUUAAAAGAACACCAUAUGCUGCAUAACAUGCAAAUUAAUUUCCCAUAUGUGAUGCAAUUUUCUCCUCAACAUAUGCGCAAUUCUUUCCAUUCCGGCAUUUACACUCAAAUUUUCCUUCCUUUCUCUUUGUGGUUGAAUCUUACACCACAACUCAUGUGAUGCAAUCUCCUCUCGCUGCCUAAAUUGCACUCUCAGCAAAGCAGCAUAUGUAAGCAAGCUUGAAGAUAAUCUUGCUGCUCUGCGGAAGAACGGCAAAAGUUAAUCGAAGCAAGGACUGAUGUAUCAGAAAAAUUUUGGUGGAGAAUUCAGCACAAACAUAUUUCGGAUGAUCAGAAUCAAUAAAACAUGGUGGUUGCGCCAUAUAAACAUCUUCGGAAAGCUGGCCUUGAAGAAAGGCGUUUAUUGAUAUCCAAUUGACGAAGAGGCCAGCCAUGACUAACAUCAAUACUAAGAACAAGCCGUACUGUGGUGGGCUUAACAACUGGACUGAAAGUGUCAUAAUAGUCCACACCAGGCCGUUGAUUGAACCCUUUGGCAAUAAGACGAGCUUUGAACCUGUCAACAGAACCGUUGGAAUGUCUUUUAAUACAAAAAUCCAUUUGCAGCCAACAAUAUUGGAAAGGAUGGGAGGUGGAACAAGCUUCCAUGUCCCGUUAAGAACAAGAGCAUCAUACUCUUCUGACAUAGAUUGACGCCAGUGAGGAUUUUUGAUAGCUUGCGUCACAGUUGUAGGUUCACAAUCAGAAGGAGGGCUAAAAUGAGCACAGAGGUUAAGUUUUUGUAACGGCUUGUGAAUGUUAUUUUUAGCUCCGGUAGUCAUAUCAUGAUGAUUUGUGGGGCAACGAUCUAGUGGAGUUUGGGAAGAUGAUUGAACAGGAAGUGAAGAAGUGCUUUGUGUAGAGGUAGAAAUAGGUUGGGAGGAUUGCUGCGGAGAUGUUACCGGUAGAGAAGAAGGAGCAGUACACGGUGGCAACUCCAAAGGGCCCACAAUAGAUGGAGUAGGUGCCGACGAUGGAGUACUAGGAAAUGAAACAGUAAGAAUUGGUGGAACACUUGCGUAAUUAGGAGUUGUAGAUGAGCUUGUAAUGAUUUGUAUGGAAAAACAAACUCUACAAAUUUAACGUGACGUGAAAUAAAAAUUUGAAAGGUGGAUGGGUCAAAACAUAAAUAAGCACUUUGAGAUAAAGGAAUAUCCUAGAAAAACACAAGGCUUAGAGGGUGGUUCGAGUUUAUGUGAUGAAACACAAACAUUCAAAAUUUUUUAAGUUUAUAUUAAUUAGGAGUGGUACCAAAAAUUAAUUGGCUAUCGGGUUGUUGGAUGUGUUUUGGAUAUUUACAGCUAAGUUUGAGUAUCUCAACUUAAAAUUUGUAGCUUUCACUUGAAAAAAUUCAGUUAAAAUUUGCAAUGCAGACUGAUUGAUUUAUCAGUUUAACGUGUGCCAGGAAUGAAGAACUGGAAUAUCACCGUCAAGCAAGCACCCUGUGGAGCAAUACCAAACAAUGUACAAUCCGGCUUUGCUAGGUGACACUGGAGGCUUUUUGAAAAGUGCUUCACGCUCACUUGCACAGAUUGAGCAUCCCCUCUGGAUAUUGCCCUCUCUGAUCGAGUCUGAGCACUCAAAUUUUGGUCCUCAGAGGGAGCUACAGUUUUCUCUCCACUAACCAACAAUUUUCUAAACUCAGCACCUAGUGUGAUCUUGAGCCAUAUCUAAAGCAGUUUGAAGUUCAAGUACUUGAGCCCUUGACAAUGGUUUUAAAAUUGGAACAUCUUGGAUUACUGCAGACUUGUACCCCUUGGUUUCAAAGUAAGGAAAGGUAUUGCUUGAGUACAAUUUGGAGGCAGCUUCUUCACCAAUUUUAUUUGGAGGCGAUUGGCAGCGGAUCCAGCUGCACGAAGACUAAACAAGUCAGAUGCAGUUUAUUUGUCCAAGCACAAAUUGCAUUUUGUCCUCAACUUUAAUAUUUAUUGAUGAGAAUCAAUACAGGUCCCUCAUUUGUUAUAGAAAGCUUUAUUGUAGUCUCACCAGUUAAUUCACAGGUCUAUAAUCAUCUUGCAAAGUUAAGGGCAUUUCUUUCGAUCUAAAGUCUUUGCAUCACCACCUCAUCACACGCCAAGCCAAUAUUCCAUUUACCUCUGCAACAAAAAGUUUUAAGUAAACAAUCCUAAUGCACGCAGCCAAAUAAAAUGCAGUAAGAAUAUUCAACUUAAAAAUCUGAAAGCCAACUUGGUGAAUUGCCUCCUUAGGUGAAGUUCCAUGCUUUACUAUAGUUGACAGAACUCAGCAAAAGCUUCCAUACAACAGAUUUUGAAAAUGAUGAUGCCAAUAGAUACUCAUUCAAUCCAUUGAAAAUCCAAAGGUUCAUUGUUAAUAGAAGUUUACAGAGUUUUGGUCAUCAAAUAGCUCAGACCUAAUCCCAAACAAAAAACGAGUGAAAAUUAGAUCACGAGCAGCUAAUUGUAAAUUCUAACUUAACUCUUCAUCUCCUUUGUAAACAAGAAACAAAAUGGAGACACGCAAAAUGAAUAUGGAGAAAAUUUGAACUCAAAUGAAAUGAGGGCACGAAAGCAAACAAAUGGCAUGCACAAAAAAACCAAGCCUCAAUCAAAAACUAAUUAACCAUUAAGAAAAAAAUUGGUCAGAGAAUGAACUCCAAAUUCAGGAGUCAAGCAAGAAGCUUUCAUCAUUUCAGAAGCUCCUGUACAAAAAAACCAAGCCUCAAUCAAAAGCUUUCAUUAAUAAGUUAUGCUCUUUGGAAGCAAACCUAAAUUCCAAGAGAAACAGAAGCCAAAAAAUUUGCAAUUAUACGCAAAGGAAGUGAAGCACAGGAUUCUAUCACACAUAGGAAUUGUAUAACAAGAGAUCGAUAUAUCGAAUUAGAAAACUCAAUUCGAAUUUGUGUGAAAAAUCAAAAUUAGAAGAUUUCACAUUUCGAGAGGAACAAGCAACAGAUGACGUUCAAAAUUUCAGCCAUAACAUGCUAAAAAUGCUACACUUAACGGUUCAUUUUCAUGGAUUUUCUCGGGAAACAAACAGAAAAUUACGGUUCAGAGAGUUGACUGACCUUUUGGCUUUUGAAAUUGAGAAGAUCGCGCGCCAAAUUGGAAGAGGGAAAGUGAAAGUGCGAGUUUUAAUAUGGGUAGAUAAGGAAAUUUUAUUAGGUUGCGAGGGUAAAAAAGGAAAGAGAUAUCAUUAUUUUAUCAUCGAUAAUUAUUAAAUUUUUUUCCAAAAAAAAGAACAAGCAAGGAUAUUUUAUUGUCAUUACUAAGUUAAAAAAAAUUGUUUCAAAAUUACUUGAGUCAUAUCCAAUGGACCAACAAAGUAAUCGUUUUUAUUUUUAUUGAUUUUUGCAGGAAAUUAAUAACUUAAAAAUACUGAAAGCUAUUGUAAAAAUUUUUAUUAUCAACCUCAUAGUUUUUUUUUUUUGGGGGAAGAGAAUUCAAACAUUUUUUUUUUAAAUUUCCAAGAAUUCUUGACACCCGUCUUAAUUAAAAGCUAUAUUUUUAUUCAAGAGUCAUGCUAUUCAUUCACUCACAGACCAAAGGCUUUCCGCAGCAAUAUUAUUAUUUAAAUUACAACAAAGGGGAAAUCAAAUACGUCAUACAGAAGCUUAAAGCUGAAUCAACAAAAUCUAGAGCUCUCAACUACAAAAAUUACACUUGAUGAUCCUCUACAAGAUGAAGCUUGUUCAAUAUCUUAUCCAAAGCUUGUAAAGUAACCUUGUAACGAUCUUGAGAUUGCCUGCCUUCCUCGACGACCUGCACGAUGCGUUUGUACAAAUCAUCAUACCUGUGCACCGGAUUUUUAAUAUCAACGCCACUGCAGCUGUGAUUAAGAAAAUAAGAGCGUUUAACAUCUUUUCUCCAUCGAGAAAGAAUGUACUGAGAUGGGAUCUCCUGCACGCCACUCUGGUUUAGAACACAAAGAAUGUGUCUGCAUAAAUAUCCUCUGAAAUUGAACAACCCACAAACGCAAAGCACCUCCAAGUUGGAGGCAUUGUACAAAACAUCGAAAGCCCUUGAGUCUUUCUCAUUGCUACCAACCUCGAAUUCUUCCUUCACUAUGUAUGUUAUAGGUCCAUCAGCACUAACAUGUUUUGUGCUAUAGCAAGAGUACAUAGCCUCCACCUCCGUCUGAAACUUCCUUAACAUUUCAUUUGUGUACAGUUUUGAGAGUUGAAAUUCAUAGUAACAUCUUGGUUUCUGGAUACAACUUGAAUUUCUUGAAUCCAUAUCUGCCAAGGCUUCCAGUUGAUAAUUCGCCCGCAGUGCUUGAUCAUACUUGUCUAAGAAUUCUUUCAAAGGAGUAUUCUUAUCAAGAUAUCCUUCAAAGUAUGAAGUAGAAACCUCAUUCUGCGGGAACGAAAACACUCCUGAUAAAAAAGCUUCCUUCAAAUAAAUAGGAGCCCACCUUUUACGAUCUUCAUAUAAAGUUUGAAUCCAUCCGUGAUCCUUUAUUCCAUGACGUUGAAUCAUGUCUUUCCAAGCUGCUUCAAAUUUCUCAGGCCUGAGAGAGUGAUAAAUUGCUCUAUGUAAUGCAGCUUUAAUAGCUUCAUAUUCAAACAAUCCUUGGAGUUUCACUGGAAUUUUUUGCAUGAUGCAUGACAAUGAAAAGCAACGAUAAGCUCUUGGGAAAACAUCGCCAACAGCAAUUUGCAAGAUUCUACAUUGGUCAGUGAUGAUUGUUUGUGGAGAGCGCCCUAACAUACAUGUAAGCCACGCCCUAAACAACCAUGUAUAUGAUUCUAUGGUCUCACUGGCAAGUAAACCACAACCCAACAACACUGAUUGUCCAUAAUGAUUCACCCCAAUGAAUGAAACCAGUGGUACAUCAUAUCUUUCAAUCAAGCACGUAGUAUCAAUUAAGACUACAUCACCAAAGUACCUAUAUGCAACUCUUGACCUGGUAUCAGUCCAGAACAGGUUUCUCAAGCAUCCCUUUUCAUUUAGAUCCACUACAUUAAAAAAGUUUGGAUCUGUCAACUGCAAACGACAAAAGAAACUCUGGACAGCUUGUGCAUCACCUGGUUUAAGCUUCAAUUGAUUUGAGCUAUUAACAUUAUUUCCAAAUACUCCAUUAACAUCUACAUUACCAUUUCCCUAGGCAUCAAUGAUAAGAGUUCGAAACAGUUUAAUUUUUUGAACUUCUUCAGCACUAUCUAAAUGCAAUGUUCUUUUGGUUCCAAUACCUAUGUGCUUAUGUGACUUGCAAAACUUUCCACUUCUUGGGCUUAACAAGUGGUUAUGCUCAAGCUCGACUUCAAUGAUUCUCCACCUUUUGGUUUCCAUCAACCUAAACUUUAUCAUUGCUGGACAGCCAGCUCUUGUUUCUGGUCUUGGACGGUUUGCCUCACUUUUCUUCUUGAAGCUUGCACUACUACAGCUCAGCUUUCCUCUAUACUUUUCUCUACUCUUUCAGUACCAGGUAUUGCUAACUCUAACACCAAAACCCUGUUCCUUGGCAUAGCAAUUGUAAAAGUAAUAUACAUCAUCGUACAUCUCAAACUCCAUUCCAACAGCAGGAGGCAAGGGAUUUUGGAUUAUCCCAGUUUGUCCAACAUAUUCAGUCAUCGCACAAUCUCCUACGACCUCAAAAUCAUCAGUGUCAUCAUCACCUAUUGGUUCGGUGUUGAGAGAAACUUCAUCCAUCUACAAUGGAUGUUCAAUGAAGUGAGCUUUAAGGAGAAAAAGCAAAAUCAGUUCAAGGAAUCAUAGUAUAAUCAUACAGUUACUUUCACAAAGCUUCAUAUUUCAUCACUGCUUUACCAACAUGCAACUGCCAGAGAACAAACAGACAUGUCAUAGACGCUUGAAUUAAGUAUUGGUACAAAUGAGCACACAUCAUGUGGGACAAAAUUUCAGUCACUAAACCCAAUACCACUUUUUACAUCAUACCAAGGAACAGAUUAAACCCGACACCUUCUUUUAAACCAUACCAAGGAACAGAUUAAAUCAUCAAUGAAAAAUUAAUCACAUAAUAACUUAACCAGACAAAUGAAGAGCCUGAAACAGCACAAAACUUGAAUCUGAUUAUGAUAAUUGUUGAGUCCUUGUAUCUACAGCUUUCCUUCAAUGAUAAGACAAUGAACAUAAACGAGACACAAAAAAUUUAUUUUAAACUGACAGCCCAUGAUAUAAAUCAAACAAAAUCAACUCCUUUUUUUACACAUCACAUCUCAUAUUCAUUUACAUUGAAACACAAAAAGGAAGCGGGAGUGGGAAAAAAACAACAGCAGAGGAACUUAUUUCCAUAAGGUUUACGAAAUAAGGAAUCUAUUAAAACCCAAAACUUGAGGUCACCACAAAGAAUUUGGUUCUCAUUAUUUUUUUCUUCAUUUUUCACCAAUUGAUGAACUUAAAAUACAAUCAUAAAUGAUAAAACCCCAUCUCAAUCUUUUUGAACUAGAGCUAAAGCAAAGCAUUUUAAGAUGUUUCAUCAUUUUUUUUUUAAAAAAAACCUCAAUAGUACAAUGUUUUUACUCUAAUAAUCUCUUAAUUAAGGAAGAUUAAGCUUCAGUUGUAAGCUAAAACAAAUUUCUUAAAUCAAGCCCCAAUGCUUUAUGCUAUUCAACAAGGGCUCAUAAAUGAUAAAACUACUUCUACAAAGAUACCCAUUUUCUAAAUUAAUUUCAAAAACUGAAAUCAAACUCCUGAAACGUAACGAGCAUUAAUAUAAUCAAACCCGAACAAGAAUUGAAAAAUGACACAUAAACUCGUUUACACAUUUCGACAGACACUUUGCAAUCAAUGAGCAAAAAAUUAAUGGAGAAGAUAAAAUUCAAACGAAACAUGCCUUACAUUGAUCAAUUAGAAGGGCAAAAGAAAUUUUAGUACGAUAUGGGAUCAGGGUCUUGCCACGGUGAUGUUAUUUGUGAUGUUCGAGCGACUCAGCGGCCUUCGAGGUUGAAAAUUUGAUUGACCAAAAGCUUCCCGUUUGUUGAUUCUCUAAUAGCAGAAACGAGACUGGCAGUAAACACAACAACUUCGCUGAUUUUAAAUUCCGUUGUUUGAGAUGGAAAACUUUUUGAAAAAAUUAAUGUGUUCGAUGAAUAUCAAAAUCUAAAAAACUUUUUGUUUUUCAUUUUUUUGGAAAAAACCAUUGAGAUCCUUACUAUUUUUUCUUAUAUCAUCUUGCUUAAUAAUUUGCAAAGUCUAUCGCAUAGCACCCAUGCAUGAUGUAUGCUGCGUAACUGCGUUGUAAUUUACAAAAUUGUAAAUUUGUUAAAAGAAAAUAAUAAUAACAAGUUAAAACUUUAAAAUUUUUAUCAUUCGAAGAAAUUUUAAUUUAGUUAAGUAGGUGACAUGAUAAUAAAUAGAUACGUAUAAUGUCCGAGAUUUUUUAUAAGAUUAAUAAAUAUGAUAAAUUUGGAUUAGUUCAAUUUUGACGUAAUUCAGAAUAAACACAUCUUCCUAAUCUAAAAAUAAUUACAAACAAUUUAAUUUGUGUUGUUUCUCUAAAAGUUUGAGACACAAAUGUUAUUGCAAAUUGAAACGCCAUGCACUAGUAGAAGGUAAGAGAAACCAAGGUUGAAGUUACUGUUCAUUUAUUUUUAUUUAUGAUUUUUUGUAAAAUGUAAGAAAUAUGUAGAAAUGUUGCCAGCAAUGAUUUUGGAACUUUGCAUAAAAUUUUUAUCAUUAUUGUUUUUGGUAUUAAGAAAUCCGAGGCGGUGAUUAGUCGUAUGUUGCAACAAUUAAGAAAUUUCUUAUUGGAGAUAAUUUGGUAGGUUGCAACAAUUAGAGAAUAAUUUUCCUGUCAGUUAAUCAAUCAAUAAUAAAUUUCAAAUUGCAGAAAAUAAAAUAAUACUGUCGCACUUAGAAUCAUCUUUUCUAUUUCUUUCAAUUGUGACAAUCAUUUGUAACAAAUAAAUCAAUUUGAUGCACAUCAUUUCCCCAAUUCAAAGUUCAAGUCACUGCUCAAUUGCAGGGUAGUUAGUAGACAUGCAUGCAUGUUUAAUUAAGUACUGCAUUGUAAUAUAGAAAAUCAUAACAUCUCACCAAGCCCGGAAGCAUAGCUCUUUAUCUUGUAAAUGUUGAAAUCUUAUGCAAACUAUGGGAAACAUGAUCUCACUCUCAGUGCCACUUGAUUCCAUUUUCUUUGUUGGGAAUGCUACGAAGUCUAAGCUUGAAGAUAAUCUCGAUGCCUUGCGGACUGCAAUGGAAAAAUAAGCGGAAACGAGAAAUGAUGUGAUAAAUUGUGAGCCAACAAUAGUGGGCAUGGUGUCGACUUUUGAGAAAGCCUGGAGAUGCCUUGAAGAAGAAUCAGUUGGAAUUAUUGGCCUGUAUGUUAAUGGGGGAGUUGGAAAAUAUUUACUCAAAUCAACAACAAGUUCCUUGAUGGUCCAAAUAAUUUUGAUGUUGCGAUCUGGGUAGUGGUCUGCCAAGAUUUACAACCCCAGAAGUUUCGGGAAAAGAUUGGGAAAAAGAAAGGCUUGUUCGAUGAGUCAUGGAAGAACUGAAGUUUUGAAGAGAAAGCACUCGACAUAUUCAAGAAUUUAAGCAAGACGAAGUUUGUAUUACUGCUGGAUGAUAUAUGGGAGCAGGUUGAUUUAAUUAAAAUUGGUGUCCCUCUUCCAAGCACAAAAAUUACAUUCAAGAUAGUCUUCACAACUCGUUUUAUUGACAUUUGUGGCCUCAUGGAAGCUCACAACAAGAUUAAAGUGGAGUGUUUAAAUGACGAAGAAGCAUGGGAAUUAUUCUGCAAGAAGGUUGGAGAAGAUGUGGCGACUCUGUCCAAGUGCUAAGGAGAUCAGCCUCAGAAUUUCUAGGUAUGUAAAAAUGAGUAUAUAUAUCCACUUUUGAAAUUCAGUUAUGAUAAUUUACCUAGCGAUAAAAUUAGAUCGAGUCUGUUAUACUGUAGUUUGUUUCUGGAAGACUUUCCAAUUAGCAAAACGGAAUUGAUACAUUGUUGGAUAAGCGAGGGCCUUUUGGAUGAAACUAAUAGUUCUGAGAUAUGAAAUCAAGGAUACUACAUUAUUGGUGUUCUUGUUCCUUUAUGUUUAUUGGAAGAAGAGGCUCCACUAUAUGUAAAAGUGCAUGAUGUGAUACGCGAUAUGCUUCUGUGGAUCGCAUGUGAAGUUUUUUUUUUCUUUUUGAUAGGGAUAGCAUGUGAAGUUGAGAAGGAGAAAGAGAAUUUUUUGGUUCGUGCAGGUGCAAGGAUUAACUGAAGUGCCAGACAUUUGGAAAUGGGAAGGGUUGAGAAGGGUGUCUUUCAUGAGCAACAAAACUGAGAAGUUAUCAGAAAUUCCUUCAGAUCCCCAUCUACCGACUUUGUUGCUUCAACGUAAUUAUUUAGAGAUGAUCAAUAAUGACUUCUUCCAAUCUAUGAAUUCCCUUAGAGUUUUGAACUUAUCAUGUAAUCAUUCUCUAAUUGAUAAUUUCAAAGUUAGUUUCCCUACAACAUCUUAAUUUAUCAAUGACUAACAUACGAGAGUUGCCGAAUGAGUUAAAGUUUGUAGUGAAUCUAAAGUUUUUGAAUGUGGAGUAUGCACGGUUUCUUCAUUCAAUUCCAGGGCAAGUGAUAUCCAGUUUUACGAUGUUACACGGUUUGAAGAUGUUUGGUUGUGGGAGGUCAUCUUCUGAUCAUGAGCCACACUAGAAGAUAGAGUUUUAUUUGAAGGCUGUAAACUUUUGAUUGUGGAGUUGUUUGGUUUGAGAGACAUCUAGAUGUGUUGACCAUCAUCCUAACAAGUUCCCUUGCUCUGAAAAGAUUUUUGAGCUACAACAAACUUCAAAGUCGUACUCAAUCUCUCUAUCUUAAAUGCUUUGAUUCAAAUCUUCUUGUUUUUUCCAUAAAACAUUGCCAUGAUAUGGAGGAAAUACUCAGUGUCGGAAAAUUAGGUGAAGAGAUGAUGUCAAAUCUGGAACCUCUUACAAAACUCCAAGUUCGUUGCUUGAAGAAGCUACCAAAUUUGAAGAGCGUCUACUGGAAGGCCUUGCCCUUGCCCAAUGUAUGCAUAAUUUUUGUAUCUAAAUGCCCAGAACUUAAGAAGCUGCCGCUGGAUUUUGAAAGGGCGGGCGAAGGUAAAAUUCUUAUCAAGUGAAAGGAAAAUCGAUGGAAACGACUUCAAUGGGAGGAUCAAGCAACUCAGAAUGCAUUGCUUCUGUUUUUCAAAUCUAGUGAUUGAAGGGGGCAACAUCAACAUCAUCAGCCUGGAUGGGGAGAUUCUGGAGCAGAUCAGUAGGGUUUGAAUCUACAUCAUUAACAUCAUCAGGGUCUGUAUUUCUAUUGCUGGUCUUAAUGCUUGCUUACUGUUGCUUGACAAAGUGAGCCAGUUUUUUGUUUAUUAAAUUUUGUCUUGUAGAGACAGUCACAAAGUAUGGGUUGUUCUAUGUGAGAGUGAUGUGAAUCAAUUUUUCAAUUAUAUAUUCUGUGGUCAUUGUGAAUUUUGUUUAGAGAUGCAAACUUAGAAUAUGGAAAAGUUCAUCGGCAAACAUUUUGUAAAAGCUUCCAACUGAAGUUUUCAUAAUUAAAUAAUAAAAAAAUAGGAAGUGACGAAAAAAUUAUCCUAGGUGUUACGAAAAAACAUGAGCUCCGAAAAUAUUGGAAGUGACGAAAACUUAGGGCUAGGGUUUGAGAACUCUAACCCGCCACCACUGCAAGAGGACAGGACGACUAAGAAGGCCCGGUUUCGGGCUGAGGGAAUUGAUGCUGAUAAUCCUCAUAAACCCUCUUGGAGAGAUAAGGCUAUGGAGGCAGUCACGGUGAUGGCAGGUCAGACAGGAAGGAUUGGAGAGUUGGGUUACGGCAGUGUAUGCUAGCCCUAUUCCAACAGUCCUGCGUGAAUUAUGGUAUCACCUUGCAAGUAUUGCUUCUCAAAUGUUGGAUCCGUGGUUGGUGGGCGGAGAUUUCAAUGCUAUCUUAUACGCACAUGAGAAGAAAGGGGGCUCGAACCGAAUAAGUGGCACUUGCAAUUUAUUUAAUCAUUGGUUUCAUUCUUGCAGGAUGCUUGAUCUAAAGUUCUCCGGCCCUCGCUUCACUUGGUCUAGGGGAAACCUUUCUAAACGAUUGGAUAGAGCGGUUUGCAAUAAUGGAUGGCUAAUAAAACAUGCAAAUAGUAGUGUCAUGCAUCUUCCAAAAAUUGAUUCCGAUCAUCGGCCUAUUCUAGUCAAGUUCCAGAACAUGGAUUCCAAGCAUGGGGGCCCGAGGCCAUUUCGAUUUUUGGCUGCAUGGCUCACAGAUGAGAGAUUUGGGAGUUUUAUGAAUGAUAGCUGGAAUAAGGGAGAGAAUUUUCUUGAGGCAGUGGCUGAUUUUACUCAACAAACUAGGUGGUGGAAUAAGGAAAUUUUUGAAAAUAUUAUUUAUCGGAAGCGGAAAUUGUUGGCUAGAAUAGGUGGGAUCCAAUGAAUUUUGGAAGCCAAGCCUAACCAUAGCCUUACUAGACUUGAAGUUAAGCUUCAGAAGGAGCUCGAAGAGGUUCUCACUCAGGAAGAAUUAUUGUGGCUUCAGAAAUCCAGGAGAGAUUGGACUUUGUAUGGUGACCGCAACACUGCUUAUUUCCAUAAAAAAAUGCUAACCAGGCAUCGCCAGAAUCGGAUUACUGCAAUUCAAAAUGAUACUGGGCAGUGGAUACACGACGUCGAGAUCAUUAAGCAACGUGCAGUCAAUUUCUUUUUGGAAUUAUACACGCCUGAACAAGGGGUGCAUAGAACAUAUAAUGUCAGGGGGUGUUUCCCUGAGACGUCAGAUGAUAUUUGUUUAAGUUUGAUGUCUGCGGUAACAGAUGAGGAAAUCAGACAUACUAUUUUCAGUAUGAGUCCUUUUAAAGCUCCUGGAGUUGAUGGCUUUCAUGCUAGUUUUUACCAAGCGCAAUGGAAUACAGUUGGUAUGUCUUUGAGCUCUUUAAUCAAAAAUAUUUUUAAUUCUAAUCAUAUCCCUGCAGAGAUCAACAGAACCUUGCUGGUGCUCAUUCCUAAAGUGUAUCAUCCAACAAGCCUCAAGAUGUUUCGGCCGAUCAGCCUUUGCACAAUUCCGUAUAAAACGGUGACGAAAAUUAUUGCAAAUAGGUUACAGGUUUUUCUUCCAGAUCUCAUUGGACCCCAACAAACCAGUUUUGUACCGGGUCGGCAUAUUACAGAGAAUAUUGUUAUUGCUCAAGAGGUAAUCCAUACAAUGAAGAAAAAUGUGGGGGGUAAAAGAAUGAUGGCGGUUAAAGUGGACUUGGAAAAGGCUUAUAACCGGUUGAGUUGGCGAUUUGUUCAGGAAACUUUACAGGAAGUUGGGCUACCGGAGCGAUUUAUUCACCUCAUAAUGGAGUGUUUGUCCACAGCCCAAAUGAAUGUUUUGUGGAAUGGAGAAAUGACUGAAGAUUUUCGGCCAGGGAGAGAAAUUCGACAAGGAGACCCUCUUUCGCCUUAUAUUUUUGUGCUUUGUAUUGAAAGAUUAAGUCAUGGGAUUAUCCAGGCGGUUAAUCAAGGUAGAUGGAAACACAUUUGACUGACUCGAACUGGCACUCCUCUAAGUCAUUUAUUUUUUGCGGAUGAUCUGCUUCUCUUUUUGGAAGCAAGUUACGGCCAAGUUGAUGUAUUGAAUGAUGUGGUGGAGAAUUUCUGUAGGAGCUCGGGCGCUAGAGUUAGUAAUCAAAAGACCCAAGUCUUCUUCUCCAAAAAUGUCCCGGUCACUUUAGCCAAUGGAAUUGGCAAGGCUUUAGGCUUCUCGGUUACAAAUAAUUUGGGAAGAUAUCUUGGCAUGCCUCUUCUUCACGAUCGGGUUUCUAAGAAAACGUAUCAGAGUAUCAUUGACAAAAUUGAUCAGCGGCUAUCAGGAUGGGCAGCAAAGCAAUUGUCUCUGGCAGGGAGAGUUACUCUCACUCAAUCGGUGCUUCAGGCAAUCCCGAUUUACGCUAUGCAAACCACGUACCUCCCAUCUAGUGUCAGAGUUAAAAUUGAUCAAUUAUGUAGAAGAUUCAUUUGGAGUGGGGCUGGUUCUCAACGCAAGUUAAGUUUGGUUAGCUGGGACAACAUUUGUAGGCCUAAGAGCAAUGGAGGGCUCGGUUUCAAGGACAUGGAACUUAUGAACAAAGCCUUACUAAUGAAAGUGGCUUGGGAUUUAUUCAUAAAUCCUAGCAAGCUGUGCUCCCAGGUUUUAAUUUCUAAUUAUGUUGCGCCUUGUGAUAUGAUUACUACUGAUGCUUCAUUUAAAAAUGGUUCCUAUUUAUGGCGCUCUAUGGGUAAGAUUUGGAAAGACUUCCAGAAGGGUUUGCGUUGGAGUAUUGGAAAUGGCCAACGGGUGAAGUUUUGGGAUGAUAUUUGGGCUACAAAUGGUGAUCCCUUAAUCAACUAUACGGUGGCUUCAAUUCCGGAUAGCAUGCGAAAUAUGUUGGUGGCGGAUUGUGUGGAUCAAAAUGGGAAUUGGUUGUGGAACAUAUUCAACUCUUUUUUGAAUAACCAUGCUGUUUUAAGGAUUGCUUCCAUGGCUCCUCCGUCGUCAAUGAGAGGCGAGGAUAGGAUGUAUUGAGGUGCAUCAAAUACUGGCAAUUUUACAGUCCAAUCAGCUUACCAAGUGCUUACGAAUUUUUGCCCCGCUGAAGACUGUCAAGACUGGCAACAUUUGUGGAAAUGGAAGAGGCCUCAAAGCGUAAGAAUUUUUCUAUGGUUAUUAUGCCAUGAUCAAUUGAAGACGGGAUGUGAGCUUGCUAGAAGGCAUCUGGACGUCGAGGCUUUAUGUGGGAGGUGCCAUGCAGACGUUUAGAAUUCUUUGCAUGCAAUUCGAGAUUGUGAUUAUUCGAGAGGUGUUUGGCGGAAGCUUGUUCCCGCGCUUAGACAACAUGACUUUUUUAGUUAUCCUCUUUGGCAAUGGAUCAUGACAAAUCUUAGGAGAAGAGUCUGUGAUAUGGGGAGCUUAUUUUGGCCGAUUAUGUUUGGUAUUGCGGCUUGGAGAAUUUGGUAUUGGAGGAACCAGGUGAUGUUCAACAACAAGAGCUGGAAUGGUGAUUUGAUCGUUCGAGAUAUUAAGGCAAGGACUGAGAGUAUUUGUUCUACUCUUUCAAGCAUAGGCUAUCGAAGAAAUGAAAGGAUUCAGAAAUGGAUUCGUUGGGCUCCUCCACCAUGGCCUUUCUUGUGCUUAAAUACGGAUGGUGCAAGGAAAGGAAAUGGAGAGGCGAGUGCAGGUGGGCUGCUGCGGGACUGUCAUGGUAAUUUUAUUCAUGGUUUCAGCGCACAUCUCGGAGUUUGUUCAGUUCUAAAGGCUGAACUUUGGGGUGUCUUGCAUGGGUUAAGAAUGGCAUGGGAUCUUGGCUAUAGACGUAUCCAAGUUGGAGUAGACAACUGUAGUGUGGUGCAAAUUAUAAGGGAAAAUAAUGCUCAUGUCAACGAAAUUUCGAAUAUAAUCGAGAUGAUUAGAGAACUCAUGAGGAGGGAUUGGAGGAUUCAAAUUGAUCACAUCUACCGCGAAGCAAACUCGGCAGCUGAUUUCCUUUCUACGCAUGCUUUGAGUUUACUUGUUGGAGUACAUUUUCUUCAUUCUGCACCUUUAGGUUUGAGAUCUAUUUUAUAUUUGGAUAUGUAUGGGGUGGCACACUCCCGGUUUGUGCCCCUUUAGCUCUUCUCUUUUAGAGCCUUUUGUUUAUCAAAAAAAAAAAAAAAGCUUCCAACUGAAAUAGGGAAUGCACUUACUACUAAGGACAGUUGGUGGCCACCUAAUGCAUUCAUUUUAUAUCAAUUCAUCAUUUUAAUUAUUGAAAACAAGUGGCUCAUCGCUUUUACUUUAGGUAAAAUUCGGAUAAUCUCUAUUAUGAAAUGAUAAUAUUCUCUUAAAUUAUUAUAAACCUCAGCCAAUCUUAAUUUUAUUUAAAAGAUAAAAGAAAAAUAGGUUAUGUUGGUGACUUUUUUCUUAUCUUUUUAAUAAAAAUAAAAUAAAUUGAUGUUUAUAAUUGUUUAAAAUACUUUAAAGAUUGUUAUUUUAUGAGAGAGUAAUAUUUUACUUUUUUAUUGUGAAAUGCUAAAAAGGACAAAGCAAGUGUCCCUGGUUUUUAUUUUAUUUGAAAUUGGUCAUCUCAUAUACUUUACGUUUCAACACUACAAUUUUUUUGGUUAUAUUUUUAUUAUUUUUUUCUUUCUUACACAUGCACGUAAAUUUUCUUUCUUUAAGCUCCUGAAUAUUUAAGACAAAUCAUGGAAGAGAUGAAAGUAUAACAAGAUGAUCAAAAUACGUAACAAAAAAUUUACAAGUGAAACAUACGUUAGAGUCGAAGUAAAACUCUGAAAAUAGAGAUAUUGAUUAAUUUAGAAGAGAUGCAAGCAAAAGAUUUUCUUAAAAAAAAGAAAAGCAAUUUGUCCCUUUCCAGGGCAAACUUGUUAGUCUCAAAAAGGUACAUUCUUUGAAUUGAUAGUUGCAGGAUUUUUGUCUUGUUUUUGUUGUUGUGCAUUAGUUGGAGAAGUCAAGCCUAGUGAAAAAUGUUAUGAAAGAGCAAAGGAUAUUUCUGACAGCUUUAUUUAAUUAUGUAUUCAUUUAAUGGAUGUAUUGUUAGAAGAUAUUUAAGUGCAUUAGUUCAUCCGUGUCUGUUGAUGUGCUUUUAGUGAUUUUUCCAGCUGUUUGUUGUAAAAGAUGAUUGUAAAUUGAAAUGAACUUGAUGUUGUAAUAUUUUCUCUUUUGUGGAAUCUCAGUUGUGUUGUCUAUAAUUUUAGUCAAAAUUAUUGUUAUUAUUUCUUACUAGAGGUAAAUUUUUUAUUAAACCUCAUUAACACAAUUCUUAAUUAAAAGUAUAGGUUAGUGUCGGUGCAGGAUUUGCAGCACCAGAUCCUGCCUAGCUACGUGUCAAAAAUACAAAAUAAAUGAAGAGAAAGCACAAAUACAUGACUUGGAUUAGGAUAGAAGGAAACUUAAAUCUUAAAGAAAAUGAUAGCUAUAUCCCACUAUUUGAAAAAAUGGUCAUGUAGAUUUUUAAGAUUUAAAUAAGGGACGGAGAUCUUCUUUUGACAAAUAAUAUCUUUUAGCUCUCUCAAGUAAAAAAAAAAUUAAAUAUUUUAUAAUAAAUAAAAAUAUAAUAUUAAAAUAUACGUGAUAAUAUAUACAUUUUAAAUAAUUUCAAUCCAAAAAAAUAGUUAUGUUUUAUCGAAUCUACCUAUGUUACAAUAGUAGUAUGGUACCACAAUAUUUGUUCUUAUCCAAUGUAAUCAUUGGAUGAUUUAGAGCUUAAUCUAACGGCUUAAAUUAUUUUUCUGAAUAUUUGAAGCAACAACUUGCAACCGUUGGAGCCGGUUGCAUAUUAAUUUAAUAUCAUUUGGGGAAGCGUACGGUCAGGAAGUUUCUUAGUAUGCCACCAAUGGAAUUUGAUUUCAUCUCAAAUCGAUCUGCAGGCAGCAAUUGGGAAAUUACACUCACGGUCUUCCUCUUCUUCACUUCCUCUCUACUCUUCACUUUUCUCACUCUCGCGAUGUUUACAGCAUGAUAAGUACAAUUACAAACCAGGAAAUGCCAUUAACAAUUUUCAUUUGUCUUAGUCGUUUUUUUUUUUUUUAGUAGAAAGCCAAAAAAGAAAACGGGUGGGAGGUUGGGGCGUCGUGAUGAAAUGGUUUUGAGUUUUUGACGGAAUGUUUGUUUUUGUGAUUCAUUUAGGGUUUGAAUUCAGGCUUGUACGAACUCGGAUCUAUUCGAGAUCCGUAUUGGCGCUGAAAUCAGAUCCUUUGAAGCCUUGGUUUGAAUUCAACCUUGAGAACUCCAAGCUUGUUAGAAUCUUCAUUGAUCUCUCCAGAAAUUACACGGAUCUUAUUACUAAACCCUACAUAUAGGGCUGCAAUGGAGUCCGAUUCUCUCACAAUUGAUGAAUCAAUAUUGAGACAGUUCGAAAAGGAAGUAAAAAAGAGAAUCAACUUGACUGGCUAAAUAAUUGCGGAGGCCAAAGAGUCUUUUGAUAAUCAAUUGAAGAUUUAGAAGUUAAAAGACACUAUUUUUACUAUGAACGAACAAUUGACUAAGGCGAAAAAGCAAGGAGCUUUUUUGAGUUUGAUUGCUGCGAAAUCGAUGCCUUAGAGUUUGCAUUGUUUGGCCAUGAGGUUGAUGAAAGAGCGAGUUGUUCAUCCGGAGAACUAUAAUGAAGAAGGGAAGCCCACACAUGCAGAAUUCGAGGAUCCCAAACUUUAUCAUAAUGCUAUUUUUUCUGGGUAAUAUGCUUGCAGCUUCGGUGGUGGUGAUUGGUGAAUUUAGCUGUUAAGAACUCGAAGGAGCCUUGGAAACAUGUGUUUCAUGUUGUGAUGGAUCAAAUGUUUAAAUUGAAGGAUUAUAAUGGAGCACAUUUAGGCACGAAGGCUGUUGAGGAUUAUAAGUUUUUGAAUUCUCACAUGUCCCUGUGUUAAGGCAGCCGGGGUUUGCUAAUUUGCAAAGGUUUUACUUCGGGAAGUAGCUUGAGAAUGCUACGAAAGAUGCUACUAACAUGAAGUUUAGGAAUCCCAAUUACUUGUUGAUACUGUAUCAUUUGAGGUUCUGGAUAAGAUUUCAAUGAUGGCCGCUUAAAACAAAUAAUAAAAAAAAAGAACUUGUACUGUAUUUGGAUCUUUACUUAUUUGAUAUAGUUUUCUGCAAUCUCUCCAUGCAACCGGUUACUUUAAUUAUCCACUAACUCAUCUCAACCGUUUGAUGGACUCACUUUAUAUCCAACGGCAGUUUUAAAUGAAGACAAAAAGUGUGGUAUGUUGCAAUUGUUGCAACAUAUGUGAGUCUUGUUUUACAAUCUAUUUAACAUAUUUUAUUAAAUUAAUAUAUUUCUAUGAUAUAGGAACAUAAUAUUAAAAUAAAUUUACAAAAAUUUAAAGAAUUUUGAAUGUAAAACAAUUUCAAUAUAUUAAUAAUGAGAUUUUUUUAUUAUUAUAAAAAUUAUUUAACCCAUAGAUUUUUUUAAAUCUUUACAAUAAGUAUAAAUAUAUUAUCUUCACUUAAAAAUAUUUAAAUAUUAUUAACCUAUAAUUAGGUUUGCAUUUAUUAGAAAAUUUUAAAGUCAAAUAUAUUGCACUUUUGCAUUAUUAGAAUCAUCACAGAGAAAGGAGCAUAUAUACUUUAUAACUUUAAAAAUUGGUUUCUUCUGGAAACAGAGAUGAUGAUUAUUAUAAGGAUGAAAAAAAAAAGAUAAAGAAUAUUAAUGAUUAACGAAAUCUCUAUGCAAAUUGAUUUUAGUAGGGAAAGAGUGAGAUGAAUAACUUCUUUUACAGCUAAAAACAGAGAUGAUGAUUAUUAUAAGGUUGAAAAAAAAAGAUAAAGAAUAUUAAUUAUUAAUGGAAUCUCUAUGCAAAUUGAUUUUAUAGGAAAAAAGCGAGCUAAAUGAUUUAGACAUUCAUAGUGUAUUUAUUUUUGAAUUGGUGAAUAAGAAUUAUUGACAACGCUAACUUCAUCUUCACCGUUGGCUAUCCAAUAGCGGCAAUUGUCGCCGAUUAUGAUAUCUCCAAUGAUGAUGACGGUUUUUUUAUUAUUAUUAUUGGUGACCCCUUGGAAAGUUAACUGCAACUGCCAAUCAGAGAAAAGUCGUCAUGCACAAUCCUCAAUCGAACCAAUCAUCUACGUUACAGAAUCUGAAACGUACACACUGUUAACAUAUAUGUUUCCAUAAUGUUGAUUUUGAUGAUAACAAACAAGAUUAAGAAUGAUUAAUCUUUUAAGCUCAAAUUAUUUUUAUGCAUUUUAAAUAAAUCAUUAUUUUUACAUUAUAAAGGUUCUAUAUUUAAUGGAAAAAUGAUUUUAUGAAAUUGAUUGUUUUUUAUUCUUUUUAAAUAAAUCAUUAUUUUCACAUUAUAAAUGUUUCAUAUUCAAUGGAAAAAUGAUUUUAUGAAAUUGGUUGUUUUUCAAAGUUUAUGGUUUAAUUGAAAGAAUUUUGAAAACUUUGAAAUAAACAAGUAUUGCUUGAAAUUUCAGAUUUGGACUUAUUUGAAACUAUUUAAAUGUUUUUAGGCUAUUCUAUAAUUUCACAAAGUUUGGGCGAAAUUAUAAUUUCAGAACGUUGUGGGAUUGACAAAGUAUUAUUCUAAAAUUCUGAAAUUGGACUUAUUUGUAAAUUUUCAUAACGUUUUGGGUUAUAGUAUAGUUUUAUAAAGUUUUGGGGUCAAAUUAUAAUUUCAGAAAAUAGUGCACUGUGCAGGUUACUGUGGCAUCCGGCUUACCGGAUAUAAAAAUCGGAAAACCGGAUACGGGGCAGAAUGUAUCCAGAAUGUAAACGGCUUACCGGAUUUCGUAACCAGCAAGCCGGAUAGGCAAAAUUCAAAUUUUUGCCUUAACGGUAACAUAAAUCCAGCUUAUCGGAUUCCAUAAAUGGCAAACCGGAUACGCCCAGAAUGUGAGUAACGGCUAGUUUUUGAGUUCAAACUAUAUAAACUCAAAACCAAUUCAUUUUUGGUAAUCCAAGCAAGAAAGAACAAGUGCACAUAACAUAUAUUGAGCUUCAAUUUCGUAACUCAUCAUUUAUUAAAUCAUCUUUGUUUUUCAAUUUGUAUAUCCACUCUUAAAGAGAGAUUCAUUGUUGUAUUUUUCAUUUCUCAUCAAAUUGUGAGUGUACAAGUGUGAGAAACACUUGGGGUGAAGAGAUUGGAGAGAUAAUCUCUUGUUGUAAAGGUUCAUUAACACAUUGAAGUCAAUUGUAAACGUUUGAAGCCUUGGAAAUGCUUGGAUAGUGAAAUCCUCAAGCCCGGUGUGCUUGGAAGCGUGGACGUAGGCGGAGAUUACCGAACCACGUAAAAAUCCUUGAGUUUGCUUUCUCUUCCCUUACUCUUUAAUUAUUGUGCUUUGAUUGAACUUAUUGCUUUCAAUUUUUAUUAAGACAUUAGAUUAAAUUGUUGUGUGGUUUGCCUAGGAUAAUUUUUAAAAUCUCAAUUCACCCCCCUCUUGAGUUGCCUAGUUAGUAUUUCACACACCCAAUGGGAAGCAGCACACGUGUUCUGAGGAGAGAGAGAAAAAACCGUGCAAAUGCAAGCAAUAGGUAUUGGCUACAGUUGGAUCUGUAAGUUACAGAAUCUGUAACUUAGCCAACUCCCUCAAUGAUCAAUAUUGUUUCCGAUAUUUAUAAAUUGGUGGCCCCUUGGAAAUUUAACUGGAAGUUUGCAAGUGUCAAUCAGAAAAAAAUCGUCAUCCAUUGUUUUUUUUUUUCUGCAUUCCCUUUCAUGUUCUUAAUAAUUGAGGACAGGUUGUUCAUAACAUUUAUACUUUUCAAAUGUGGAGCUGCAUUUAAUGUCGCUAUUUUAAUUUGGGAUUAAAUUAGGGGAACACUAACUUUUAUAUUUAUCUAAACUCCUUAAAUUUAAGACAGAUUAUGGCGUAAAUAAGAAUAUAAUAAUAACAAAGGAAUUAAAAAGUAUAAUGACGAUCUUGCAGAAAUAUAAAUAUUAGCGUUGAAUUAAAUAACAUAGAACACAUGAAUUGAAUAGUGAUUAUCAAGACGGUGUUACUUGCACUCCUAUUUAUAAAAAAUCUUGGUUCUGUUCCAUUAGAUUUUUUAUCUUCAAAAUCUUGCAAAGUUUUGACAACCCAAAGGCUCAGUUUGGUUGUUCUAUAUUUGUAUGAUAUGAAUUCAAAUUUUUGUGUUCUGUUUUUCUUAAUUCUGAACACGGAUUCUUCUCUUCUCGUGCAAACCAGAAAGAAAUGUUGUCUUACAAAAAAAAAAGGGGAAUAACUUCAUGAGAACAAAAAUUCAGAAAAAUAAUAUAAAGUUUAUAUUUAGACUUUUGUGGUAUAUUUUAAUUUUCAACAAUGAGUUAAAGAAAAUAAUAAAUAAAGUAAAUAAAAGUUUAGAGAUUCAAAUUUUUAGUAUUGGAUUCUUUAAUUCAAAUACCUCUCAUUAAUUAACACUUAAAAGAGAGUUCACUAUUAUAAUUUUAAGUUUUUUGAUUUAUUAUUGAUAUAUAAAUUAGGAGUUUAAGCUUACUUUUUUAUUUUUCCAUUUUUUUUCAAAUUUGAAAUUAUUAUUUAAAUUUAUAAUUUUUUUUAAAAAAAUAGAGGGCUUGAGCCUGGCUUGGGUAUUGUUUCCUAAACCCUUAUCCGGCCCUGGCUUUUUUGCCAGCCCCAAUGAUGAUGAUGAUGAUUAUUUUAUUAUUAUUAUUAAUGAUGAAAAGUAUUAUAAUUAAUUAAUAUAUUAUUGUAUUGUUAUUAAGAUUAACAAUAAUUAUUAAUGAUAACAAUUUUUUGAAUAAAAAUAAUCACAAUAAUUAAAAUAUAAAUUAAUAAUUAUAACAAUAGUUAAUUAAUGUAUUUUUAACAAUUUGUAAUAAUUUAACUCAUUCUAAUUUCGAUUAUUAUAGUUAAGUAAACAACUUAUUAUAAUUUUCAUUCUCCAUUUUAAUUUCAGCUCAUUUCGAUUUCAGUCUAUUCCAAUUUUCAUUUAAUAAACGUUCCAUUAAUGCUAUAGUAAUAUUUCAUAUAGAAAAAAAUAAAAGCUACAACUAAGGUUAAGGGAAAGGACUUCAAAACUCUCUUUUUGUCAUAAUACAUUUUUUCCUAAUUAACUUAAAGAGUUUGAAUCUAAUAUUUUAUAAUAAAUAAAAAUAUAUUCCAAAAGUAAAUAUAAUAUAUCUAUUUUAAACUAAUCUCAAUAUUUAAAAUAUAUUUAAUAUUUUACAAUCUAUUAGACAUAUUUUAUUAUAUUAAAAUAAAUUUUAUAAUAAAUAUGAACAUACUGUUAAAAUGAAUAUAUAAAAAACUUAGAGUAUUUUGAAUAUUAUAUAAAAUAAUUUUAGUAGAAUACGUGAGAUAUAUUUUAUUAAUGUAAAAUGCUAUUUAAUCUAAAGAUUCAUUUAUGAUAAAUUAAUAAUUAUAUUUUUAAAAUUAUUUUAAAAAUUAAAUUUUUUUAAUAUUAUUAAUCUAUUAGACAGAUAAAAUUAUUUAUAUUAUUUUGUAUUUAUUAAAAAAAUUUAAAGUCAAUUUUUUUAAUUACUAUUCAAAGGAUAUAAUAAUUAAAAAAAUCUUAGCGUUUUCAUUAAAAAUUUAAAAAUUUACAUGACUAUUUCUGUAAAUAUUUAAGGUAUAUAUGAACUACGGUAGAGAAGCUUCAUUUAAUAUUAUUGAUUUAAAUAAUAUCUCAAUUAAAAAUGUACAGAGAAUAUAUUUCGGUGGGUAUUUUAAUCUUUUUAGCAAUUAUCAUGGUUAGCCCUUGGCCUUGAAACGUCUGUCAGAAAGGUUUUCAAAUGCUUUAAUUGUUCUUAUUAAAAAAAAAAUCUUUAAUUGUUUUUUCACUUUUAACGUCAGCGGCCUUGAAAGUGCUUUUACUUUAUAACAAAUUAAUUAAUGCUGACGAGAAAAUAUCUCUUCCACAGCCCACAGCAGCUUCUGUUAAUCAAACUCAACCAAUUUUCUCUCUUAACAAAAUUCCAAAGAUGGGUAGCAUUUUUCAGAUCACAUGCGACGGCGCUUUUUUCAAUCGUUGCUUUGGAUUGCUUUCUUGGAAAAGCAGCAUACAUAAGCAACAUCCAAGAUAAUCUUGUAGCCUUGGAGACUGAACUGGGAAGACUAAUCGCAGCAAAGAACGAUGUGAUGAUGAGGGUUGUCAAUGCUGAACGACAACAAAUGAAAAGGCUGGGCCAAGUGGAAUGGUGCGUUUCGAGGGUGGAUGCUGUUAAAAUUGAAGCUGAUGAACUUAUCAGAGACGGCUCUCAAGAAAUUGACAAAUUAUGUGUUGGAGGCUACUGUUCUAAGAACUGCACGUCAAGCUACAAGUUCGGGAAACAAGUGGCUAAAAAGCUACGAGAUGUGGAGACUUUAAUCGCCGAAGGAGUUUUUGAGGCGGUGGCUACCGAGGUGGUGCCUGAGAGAGCUCCAGAGCCUGUAGCAGAUGAAAGACCUACCGAGCGAACAGUAGUAGGCUUGCAAUCACAACUUGAACAAGUCUGGAGAUGUCUUGCAGAAGAAUCAGUGGGAAUCAUUGGCCUAUAUGGUAUGGGCGGUGUUGGUAAAACUACAUUACUGACCCAUAUCAACAAUAAAUUUCUCGAGAGUCCAACCAACUUUGAUUGUGUGAUUUGGGUAGUAGUUUCAAAAGACCUGCGACUUGAAAAAAUUCAAGAAGAUAUUGGAAAAAAGAUAGGUUUGGUUGGUGAUUCGUGGAAGAGUAAAAGUGUAGAGGAGAAAGCUGUCGACAUCUUCCGGAGUUUAAGAGAGAAGAGAUUUGUAUUGUUGUUAGAUGAUAUAUGGGAGCGGGUUGAUUUAACAAAGGUGGGCGUUCCACUUCCCGGACCAAAAAAUACUACCUCAAAAGUUGUAUUCACAACCCGUUUCAUCGAUGUUUGUGGUAGCAUGGAAGCUGACAGGAAGUUCCAAGUGGCGUGCUUAUCAGAAAAGGAUGCUUGGGAACUGUUUCGAGAAAAAGUUGGGGAAGAAACUCUUCAGAGUCAUCAUGAUAUCGUUGAGCUAGCCCAAAUUGUGGCCAAAGAGUGUGGUGGUUUGCCACUCGCACUUAUUACUAUUGGUCGAGCUAUGGCCUGCAAAAGGACAGCCGAGGAGUGGAGACAAGCAGUUGAAGUGCUAAGAAGAUCAGCUUCUGAGUUUGCAGGUUUGGGAAAAGAGGUGUAUCCUCUUUUAAAGUUUAGCUAUGAUAGUUUGCAGAAUGAGACGAUUAGAUCUUGUUUCUUAUAUUGUUGUUUAUAUCCCGAAGAUUAUGGAAUUCUUAAAUGGGACUUGAUUGAUUGUUGGAUUGGUGAGGGAUUCUUAGAGGAAUCUGACAGGUUUAGUGCAGAAAACCAAGGAUACUACAUUGUGGGCACUCUUGUUCAAGCAUGUUUAUUAGAAGAGUUAGAAGAUGAUAAAGUAAAAAUGCAUGACGUUAUUCGUGAUAUGGCUCUAUGGAUAACCAUUGAAAUUGAGAAGCAGAAGAGAAACUUUUUGGUUCGUGCAGGUGCUGGAUUAAAAGAGGCACCGGCUGUUAAAGAAUGGGAAAAUGUGAGAAGAUUGUCAUUGAUGCAAAACCAAAUUAAAACUCUGUCAGAGGUUCCUUCAUGCCCUCAUCUCCAUACUCUAUUUCUUGCCUCUAAUGAUAAUUUGAGGAUGAUCACGGAUGGCUUCUUUCAAUUUAUGCCUUCUCUCAAAGUUUUGAAGAUGUCAAACUGUGUGGAUUGGCCAGUUUCGAAAUUACCUUUGGCGAUGUCAAAGUUGGGUUCACUACAACUUCUUGAUAUUUCACAUACCGGCAUAGAANNNNNNNNNNNNNNNNNNNNNNNNNNNNNNNNNNNNNNNNNNNNNNNNNNNNNNNNNNNNNNNNNNNNNNNNNNNNNNNNNNNNNNNNNNNNNNNNNNNNGAAGAGUUGAAGUUGUUGGUAAAUCUGAAAUGUUUGAAUUUGAGGUGGACAUUUGAGUUAAAUAAAAUUCCAUGGCAACUAAUAUCAAAAUUUUCAAGGUUACGUGUGUUGAGAAUGUUCGCUACUGGCUUUGCACGUUUUGAUGAAGCAUCAGAAGACAGCGUUUUAUUUGGUGGGGGUGAAGUUUUAGUACAGGAAUUGGUCGGUCUGAAAUAUUUAGAGGUAUUGGAGUUGACCUUGGGAUGUCAUCAUGCUCUCCAAAUUUUUUUGAGCUCAAAUAAGUUAAAAAGUUGUAUUCGAUCUCUUCUCCUCCAGUUGGCCGGAGAUACAACGUCGAUUAUUGAUGCUACGGCUUUCGCAGAUCUAAACCACCUCAAUGAAUUAUGCAUUGAUAGGGCUAAGGAGUUGGAAGAAUUGAAGAUUGAUUGUAAAGAAAUAGUACAAAAAAGGCGGGAACCUUUUGUUUUCCGCAGCCCUCACCGUGUUACUAUACAUAGCUGCCAGAAGUUGAAAGAUUUGACAUUCCUCGUUUUUGCUCCAAACCUCAAGUCUCUCGAUCUAGACCGUUGCGAUGCUAUGGAAGAAAUAAUCAGCGUCGGAAAAUUUGCUGAGACUCCUGAGAUGAUGGGACAUAUAAGCCCUUUUGAAAAUCUCCAAAUGCUUGAUUUAGAAGAUUUGCCUCAUUUGAAGAGCAUCUUCUGGAAGCCAUUGCCUUUCACUCAUCUGAAAGAAAUAUCUGUGGGUUAUUGCCGUAAUCUUAAAAUGCUUCCACUCGAUUCCAACAGUGCAAAGGAGCGUAAAUUUAUUAUUCGUGGAGAAGAAGACUGGUGGAACCGACUUCAAUGGGAGGAUGAAGCCACUCAAAUUGCUUUUCGUUCCUGUUUCCAAUCUCUUUUUGAUUAACUCUUAUACAUUUUCUCGUCGUUUGCUUCAUGCAAAAGACUACGUCUUUUGUUCUCUGUUUUUAUUUCAGUUUCGUUUUGUCUCCUGCAAAUCACAAUUAAAUGUUGAAUUAUAUGGAAGUAAUGCUUUAUAAAUUUGCCGGCACUGCCAUUUAUUUUUCCUCUUUUUUUUUUUGGGUCGAAUUGAUGCUCUGGCUUUUUUAUUUUUUGUCAUCGAAUUUUGCUCUGUUUUUCAAAUUGAUGCUUGAAUAUGUGAAUUCAAUUAAUGCUCACAUAAUUUUGUUUAGUUGCCGUAAAAGAAUAUAAUUAGACUGAAAUUCGCACUCCCAGAAUGAAUAGAAUCACAACAGAGAAAAUAUUAAGUAUGCUAGCCCUCUUUACAGAAAAUCAAAUGAAAAUAAAAUUUUUUGGAUAUUUGAUUUUCUAUGGUCUACUAUAUACACUUUAUAAAUUCUUCUGUUCUAAGGAUAACCAAGUAGGGGAUUGAUGAAGGCUCCUUUUUGGGAUUCUUCUUUUUCUAGGCUGCAAUUAGGAUAUGUACAUGAUAGACAAUCUUUUGUUGGUUUAGCAUAUCUUCGCUGAUUUUGUCUUUUAUUCCCCAAUUUUAUAAUUACACACCAUGAAUGUUGGGUGAUUGUAUAGAAAAUUUGUGUUAUAACAAAAACAUUGUGAAGGAGUUUCCGUGCUAAUAGUUAGUGGCUUCUGUUUUAUUGGUAUUGAUUGGGUAGAUUUCGUGUUACAGUGAUUCAAUUUGUGUUCCAAACUUUGCUUUAAUUUUCUGUUUUCCCCAACUAUUUAUGUCAAAUUUAAAUCCAGAAGCAUGUACUGAUUUUUUCUUUUUGUAUUAAUCUGUGAAGUUUACUUGGAAUGGAAGUAACUGGGUCGGGUCUAAUGGAUUAAAUUAUGACAUUGAGGGGAAGGCACUAAAAGGGUUUGCUUGACACAUUUGGUUCUGUAUUUACUCUGCAAGAAAUAGCUUUUGCUUAUUGCAAUGCAGGGGGAAAUCCCGAUUUGGCUGGUGAAUUUCUCUGCAACAAACAGGCAAACGCCUCAACCUCUUCUGUCCAUACUUCUGCUGGGGAGGCAAGGGGUAAAGAGUCUUCAAAAUCAUCAAAUAGUAACAUCUCUGAGAAUUCAUUUUAUGGAAAUGGAAAAUCUAGAGCUUCUAAUACAAAAUGGCAUCUGGUAUCAGGACGUACCGUUUCAAGUUUUCUUGGUAAAGAUUAUGUUAAACCUGCACAGCCAGCUAAUGGCACUGUUCUGGCAUCAAAGCCAUUGAAGUUGGAUCCAAGGGAGUUUCGCAUUUCUGCACUUUCAGAGUAGAAACUAAACCAAAACAAUCAAAGGAUGACCAUUUGCAGAAGGAUAUGGAAGAUUUUCUGUUUAAAUUGCUAGGAGAAGGGUUCCAGCUGUACAGGGAUGUGAUUCAGGAGGUUCAUGGAAACGUCUUAAAUAUAUUGAUGCCAAUUUAAUACAUAUUGUCCUUUUCAAUGUUCUUUCUUUCUUUCUCCUCUUUUUAUUCUUCUUCUUCUUCUUUUUUCUUUUCGUGUGCAUGUGAUCACUAAUUUGGUAUUAUUCUUAACUUGCAGAUAGUUGUGGAUAUGAUAUGCAAAAUAUCUUCUUGAUGCUGGCAGAUUCACUUGAUUCUUAUUAGUUUGUUUAGUGGCAAGGCAUAUAACCUGUAUUUCAAAGCCAAGUUGUGCUAUUGAUUAUGUUAACUUUAUUGUUAACAUAAAGUGAUAUGGAGGACAUAAUCAAUGUAGGAAAAUUAGGUGAAGAGAUGAUGUCAAAUCUUGAACCUCUUACAAAGCUCCAAGUUCUUUACUUGAAGAAGCUGCCAAAUUUGAAGAGCGUCUACUGGAAGGCAUUUCCAUUCCCAGAUGUAUGCAGAAUUUUUGUAUUAAUGCCCAGUUCUUAAGAAGCUGCCACUGGAUUUUCAAAGGGCGGGCCAAGGUGAAAUUCUUAUCAAGGGAAAGGAAGAUUGGUGGAAAGAACUUCAAUGGGAGGAUCAAGCAACUCAGAAUGCAUUGCUUCCAUUUUUCAAAUCAACUGACAAGUGAUUGAAGGGGGCAUCAUCAACAGAGAUGGAGAGAUUCUGGAGCAGAUCAACAGGGUUUGUAUAUGAUCUUUGGUGGUUGCUUUCUUUUGUGAUUUUUUUUUCUCAUUUUUUUUCCUUCCUGUCAUUUUAUCAUUUCUUUGUCUCUUUUUCUAUUGCUGAUGUUAGUGUAUGCUUACUGUUGCUUGACAAAGUUUGCUUGCUUCUUGUUUAUUAAAUUUUUUAUGGUCACAAAAUAUUACUUGUUCUAUUUGAGAGUGAUGUGAAUCAAUUUUCAAUUAUAUAUUUUGUGGUCAAUGUGAAUUCAAUUUCAUUUGUCUCCUGCAAUUAUGAAAAAAAUGCAGAGUCAUAAUAUGGAAAAGUCGACCGGCAAAAACUUUGUGAAAGCUUCGGAGUGAAACAGGGAAUUCACUUACUACUAAGGACAAUUGGUGGCGAGCUAUUCCAUUCAUUUUAUGUCCAUACAUCUAUUUAAUUAUUGAAGAUAAGUGGUCCAUUUGUAAAUUUCAGAUUGUCCCUCUCUCUUGAAAUAACGAUAUUUAAAAUAUUUCUUAAAUUAUUAUAAAUUUUAAUUUACUCUGGAUUUAAAAUGGAACAUGAUGAAAAUUUUUUUUUCUUCUUAAUAAAAUUGAAAUAAAUUGUGUUUGCAGUAGUUUGAAAUAUUUUAAAGAUUAUUAUUUUAUAAGGGAGUAAUAUGAAAUGAAAUUUACUUUUCAUGCGUGAAAUGUUGAAAAAGGACAAAGCAAGUGUCCCUGUUUUUAUUUUAUUUCAAAGUGGAGUCAUCUCACGUACUUUAGCUCUUAACAUUAUAAUUUUUCUGGUUACAUUUUUAUUAUUAUUUUUUUUUUUUACACAUGCAUGUGGGUUACUUUUCCGUAAGCUCCUUAAUAUAUAUUUAACACAAAUCAUGGAAGAGAUGGGAGUAUAUCAAGAUGAUCAAAGCAUGAAACAAAAAUAUUUAAGAAGUAAAACACUGAAAAUGGAGAAGAGAUGCAAGCAAAAGAUAUUCCAAAGAAAAGCAAUCUAUCCCCCUUUCGAGGGCAAACUUAUCAGGUUUAAGAAAAGUACAUGCUUUGGAUUGGUAGUUGCAGCCUUGCAGGAUAAUUGUUUUUGCCACUAUAUUAGUUGGAGGAGUUGAACCCAGCGAAGAAUGUUAUGGAAGAGCAAAGGAUUAUGUAGCCUGAAUGGAUGUCUUGUUGAAAGAUAUCUCAGUGCAUUAGUUCAUCCUUGUCUGUCAAUGUGUUUUUAAUGGUUUUUCCAAUUGUUUAUUAUUAUAGAUUGAUUGUAAAUUGAUAUGAAUUUAAUGUUGAAAUAUUUUCUCUUUAGUGGAAUGAAUUUAAAAGUGCAAAAGCUUAUUGCACACAGAGAAAUAAACAUAUAUGCUUUAUAGUAUAACUUUAGCAAUCGAUUCUUUUACAGCUGGAAACAGAGAUGGUGAUUAUCAUAGGGGUGAAGAAAAGGACAAAAAAUGUUAAUGAUUAACGAAAUUUCUAUGCAAAUUGAUUUUAGCAGGAAAAAAAGUGAGCUAAAUGAUCUUAAUGUUCCACAAAAGCAAAUCGUAAUAUUCCACAAGAAAAAGCAAGAUCUUAAUGUUCCACAAAAGCGUUAUUUUUUUUUUGGUGAGCCACGUGGAGCUCAAUUAUCAUUGUCUUUACUUUAAAAACGUUAUUUUAUUUUAUUUUAUUACAAAUUAAUGCUAAACAAGAAAAAGCAAGAUAUAAUAUUCCACAAAAGCAAAUCGUAAUAUUCCACAGAGGAAUAAGAUCCACAAAAGCAAACAACUAGCUGGAUUCUUUUACUGAAUUACAAAUUAAAGUGGAAUCUUUUAUUAAACAAUAAAUUAAAGUUCGAAUAUUUAAGUAGUAGUGCGUUAGAUGAUUAGGCUCUCUUAUUAAAGGCAAGUAUAAGGUAGUCCAGAAUCGAACAUCUCUAUUGUCUAGUCAUUUUUUUCAAUUCUUCUUUUAUUAUUUUUCAGAAUAGGUUUUGGUGAUUACUAUUGGGUUAUUAGUCAGAGUUAUUCUUAUCUUCCGGGGCAGUUUCUGUUCAUCGGAAUUGUUAAUUAAAAGAGUAAUGAUAUAGUCACAAACUCUUGUAUAAACUUAUUUUGUACAAACUGAUGUGGCAUGAUAAGAUUAGUUGAAUUAAAUAUCACUUAGGCCACAUGAUUUAUUUUUAUUAUUUUAUAUUUUCAUUCAACCAAUGAAUUAAUGCCACGUCAGUUUGUACAAGAGUUUGUGGCUGUAUCAUUACUCUAAUUAAAAUUUUAGAACUCUUGUGGGAAGAAUGUUUUUCUGUUAUCUUUUUUACAUUCUAAUUUCAACAAUAAGAAGGAGUCAUUUUAGAAUUCGGGUCUUGAAUCGAAUUUCAAUGCAUGAAUUAAUAUUUUAAAAAAAAAUUACUACACGCAGUUUAGGUUACAAACUAUUUUUUGCAAAGUUGACUAUGAAAUUGGAGAAAUUAAGUAAUUUAUAAUGUUUGCAAAGGAAGAGACUAACAUACUUCCAAUUACACUAUAUCUCUAUUAUCAUAAUGUUAAGACUAAACUAACUUAAAAUAAAUUUUAUUUGAAAAGUUAUAUCAAACACAGUCUAAUUUUAUUAACUUGAAGAGAUAAUAGUUAUAGAAAUGAUUGUUCUAACUUAAUUAGUACAAGUGGUAUAAAGGUUAAGUGUGCACUAAAUUUGUUUAAAUUUUUUCCAGAAUAACUAACAGAGGUCAUUAUUAGAAUUAUAAUUACUAGUCUAUUAGAUAGAAAAAAUUAUAUAUAUUGUUUUAUAUUUAUUAAAAAAAUUUAAAGUCAAUCUUUUUAAUUAUUAUUUAAAGGAUAUUAUAAUUUAAAAAAAUUUAAUGUCUUUAUUAAAAAUUUAAAAAUUUACAUGACCGUUCUAUAAAUAUUUAAAGUGUAACUGUCAUUUUCUCAUGUAUAUAUAUAUAAACCACGGUGGUGAAGCUUUAUUUAAUAUUAUUGAUUUAAAUAACAAUAUCGCAAUUAAAAAUGUAGAGAGAAGAAAUUUUGGUGGGUAUAUUAGUCUUUUACAAUUAUCAUGAUUAGCCCUUCCUCUUGUAACGUUGGUCAGAAAAGUUUUAAAAUGCCUUGAUUUCUUUUACUUUUAACGUUAGCGGCCUUCCUUAUAUUUUAUUACAAAUUAGUCCUAACAAGAAAAAGCGAGAUCAUAUUCCAAAAAAGCAAAAGUGACAAAAAAACCAGCUGUAUUCUUUUAUUAAACUACAAUUUAAAAUGAUUUUAAAGUGGAUUCUUUUGAAUACAGGUGGGGUAGUCGAAUAGUCUUUUUCAAAUUCUUGUUUUAUUAUUUUUCAAAACUAGUUUUUGGUAAUUACAAUCGGGUCAUUCAUUAGUCAUUAUUCAGAGUUAUUGUUAUCUUCGGGGGCAGUGGGUAAAAGGCUAAAUGAUAAUUACUAAGUGUUUUUCCUUCAAAAGUUAGUGGCUCGUGUUUUGCAAGUGUGUACGUGCGAUGCUCUUUGUCUAAAGGCAAUUACAGUGGGUCCCGAAUCGGACGUGCCUAAUAAAUCUUUUAAAAUUUUUUCUAAUAAAUAUUCCUAAAAUUUCUCUUCCACAGGCAAUUACAGCAGCUUCAGUUAAUCAAACUCAAUCAAUUUUCUUUCUUAACAAAAUUCCAAAGAUGUUUGGCUGUUUUCAGAUCACAUGCGAUGGUGCUCUUUUCAAUCGUUGCUUGGAUUGCUUUCUGGGAAAAACAGUAUACAUACGUAACCUCCCAGAUAAUCUUGUUGCCUUGGAGACUGAAUUGGGAAAUCUAAUCGCAGCAAAGAACGAUGUGACGAGGAGGGUUGACAAUGCUGAACGGCAACAAAUGAGAAGGCUGGACCGAGUGCAACGAUGGAUUUCGAGAGUGGAAGUUGUUGAAACUGAAGCCGAUGAAUUGAUAAGACAUGGCUCUCGAGAAAUUGAAAAAUUAUGUGUUGGAGGCUACUGUUCCAAGAACUGCAUGUCAAGCUACAAGUUCGGAAAACAAGUGGCUAAAAAGCUACGGGAUGUGCGGACUUUAAUCAGUGAAGGAGUUUUUGAGGUGGUGGCUGACAGAGCUCCAGAGCCUGUAGCAGAUGAAAGACCUACUGAGCCAACAAUAGUAGGCUUGCAAUCACAACUUGAACAAGUUUGGAGAUGUCUUGUAGUAGAAGAAUCAGUGGGAAUCAUUGGCCUAUAUGGUAUGGGCGGUGUUGGUAAAACCACACUAUUGACCCAUAUCAACAAUAAAUUUCUUGAGAAUCCAAUCAACUUUGAUUGUGUGAUUUGGGUUGUAGUUUCAAAAGACCUGCGACUUGAAAAAAUUCAAGAAGAUAUUGGGAAAAAGAUAGGUCUGUUUGAUGAUUCAUGGAAGAGUAAAAGUGUAGAGGAGAAAGCUGUCGACAUCUUCCGGAGUUUAAGAGAGAAGAGAUUUGUAUUGUUGUUAGAUGAUAUAUGGGAGCGGGUUGAUUUAACAAAGGUGGGCGUUCCACUUCCCGGACCACAAAAUACUACCUCAAAAGUCGUAUUCACAACCCGUUCCAUCGAUGUUUGUGGCAGCAUGGAAAGUCACAGGAAGUUCCCAGUAGCAUGCUUAUCAGAAGAGGAUGCUUGGGAGCUGUUUCGAGAAAAAGUAGGGCAAGAAACUCUUGAGAGUCAUCAUGAUAUCGUUGAGCUAGCCCAAACUGUGGCCAGAGAGUGUGAUGGUUUGCCACUCGCACUUCUUACUAUUGGUCGAGCUAUGGCCUGCAAAAGGACAGCAGAGGAGUGGAGACACGCAGUUGAAGUGCUAAGAAGAUCAGCUUCUGAGUUUGCAGGUUUGGGAGAAAAGGUGUACUCUCUUUUAAAAUUCAGCUAUGAUAGUUUGCAGAAUGAGACGAUUAAAUCUUGUUUCUUAUAUUGUUGUUUAUAUCCCGAAGAUUAUGGAAUUCUUAAAUGGGACUUGAUUGAUUGUUGGAUUGGUGAGGGAUUCUUAGAGCAAUCUGACAGGCUUAGUGCAGAAUACCAAGGAUACUACAUUGUGGGCACUCUUGUUCAAGCAUGUUUAUUAGAAGAGUUAGAAGAUGAUAAAGUAAAAAUGCAUGACGUUAUUCGUGAUAUGGCUCUAUGGAUAACCAGUGAAAUUGAGAAGGAGAAGAGAAACUUUUUGGUUCGUGCAGGUGCUGGAUUAAAAGAGGCACCGGCUGUUAAAGGAUGGGAAAAUGUGAGAAGAUUGUCACUGAUGCAAAACCAAAUUGAAACUCUGUCAGAGGUUCCUACAUGCCCUCAUCUCCUCACUUUAUUUCUUGACUUUAAUCAGGAGUUGGAGAUGAUCGCGGAUGGUUUCUUCCAAUUUAUGCCUUCUCUCAAAGUUUUGAAGAUAUCAAACUGUGGAAACAUUUUUCAAUUACCUGUUGGGAUGUCAAAGUUGGGUUCACUAGAACUUCUUGAUAUUUCACAUACCUUCAUAAAAGAGUUACCAGAAGAGUUAAAGAAGUUGGUAAAUCUGAAAUGUUUGAAUUUGAGGUGGACAAGGGAGUUAAAUAAAAUUCCACGGCAACUAAUAUCAAAUUCUUCAAGGUUACGUGUGUUGAGAAUGUUCGCUACUGGCUACAUACGAUUCGAUGAUGCACCAGAAGACGGCGUUUUAUUUGGUGGGGGUGAAGUUUUGAUACAGGAAUUGCUCGGUUUGAAAUAUUUAGAGGUAUUGGAGUUGACCUUGGGAAGUUAUCAUGCUCUCCAAAUUCUUUUGAGCUCAAAUAAGUUAAAAAGUUGUAUUCGAUCUCUUUACCUCGAGUUGACCGGAGAUACAACGUCAAUUAUUGAUGCUACGGCUUUCGCAGAUCUAAACCACCUCAAUGAAUUAUAUAUUAAUAAUGGUAUUGAGUUGGAAGAAUUGAAGAUUGAUUAUACGCAGAUAGUACGAAAAAGGCGGGAACCUUUUGUUUUCCGCAGCCUUCACCGUGUUACUGUUAUGGAUUGCCAUAAAUUGAAAGAUGUGACAUUCCUCGUUUUUGCUCCAAACCUCAAGUCUCUUACGCUAUUCGAUUGCGGUGCUAUGGAAGAAAUAAUCAGCGUCGGAAAAUUUGCUGAGACUCCUGAGAUGAUGGGACAUAUAAGCCCUUUUGAAAAUCUCCAAUUGCUUGAUUUAGAUAAUUUGCCACAUUUGAAGAGCAUCUUCUGGAAGCCAUUGCCUUUCACUC